ACCCAUCCAUCUAUCCAUCACCAGCGCCGCUCACCACCAGCGGCCAUCUCGCCUGCCAUACCCGCGCGCCUCCACCUGCUGCUGAUUCUCCUUGCCGCUCCCUUCGCCUACCUCGCUGUUGUUCUUCUUCCUGACGUCCUCCCUGCUGCCCUUCUGCUUCUCCUAUGCUUCCCCUCUCCUAGCGCCUCAACCUGCUGCUUCUUCUUCCCCAAACUUUGCUGCUGCUUCUUCCCUCUCCUCACGUCCCUGCUGCUGCACUUCUCCUCCUCCUAACCUUGCUGCUGUUCACCUCUGAACCCCCAACAUGCUGCUGCUCCUCUCCAACAACGACGCCGAUCUGCAGCACUCCCUCGUCACCAGCCUCAAGAAACGGAGCUGCUGAUCCUCUCCAACGACCCCUUGCUGAUCCUCUCCCACUUGGCUUCGCUGAUCAUCUUCGUCCCUGCUGCUCUCCUUCGCCCGCAACAUCUACAGCCUAGGAGACAACUCUGAAUCUCUCUUCUCUUACUGUAGUUUUCUGAAUUUUUGCUCUGGUUAUUCUGCAGCUUGUAGUCUGAAUCUCAGUUAACUAUUGAUGUGCCCGUGAGAAAACUAGGUGGUUCAACUUGUAAUAUUGUUCUGCUACCUGUGAUGUUUGAGAUAGUUCCAUCAUCUACUCUAUGCUACCGAUAAUAUGCUACUGAUAAUAUGUUCAGUUCGUACUUGUCAUGUGUUAAUUAGUAUUCUGCUACUGUAUGUGUGAGCUCCCUUAUGUGUUUGUUCCUUACUGCAGAAAUUUAUUCAGUUGUCCAUGUGUUAGCUCCAGUACAUGUGCUAUAUAAAUACAUGUGUGUUUUGUGAUGUAAACCAUGUCAGCUAGCUCACUGUGACAAAUUCAUGUUACUAUUUGUGAUUUUAUUUUGUAUUGAAAUUACUCUCUGUGGUAGCCAGUUGGGUGAUCAUUCAAUUUGCAGUCUAUGUAUUAGCUCUGUACCUGUAAUAUAUGUUGUGACAUGACGCAUUUUCAUCCCUGUCCAUUAUCUUGUUUCUUCCCUCUGUCAUACGCUUGUUAGAUAAAUAUAUGUGUUCAUGACCUGUUGUUUCCUUUUGUGUUAGCAUUUUAGUUUCUCAAGUAAUAGAAAAACAUCAAAAAAGACAAUAUAGACAAUCUGAACCUCCCCUUUGCUUAUUUUGCAUUUUCUUCGGCGACGACCUUCGGGAACUACCUUGUUUAGUUUAGGUUUAUUUUCUUGCAUUCAUAAUCUGAAUUGUGUUACCUAGCUUUAUCCGAGCACGAUCAUUGACUUGCCUAGUCCAUGUGGAGAACACGACACUUGCAGUUUGGGCGUAAAAACCCCGCUACACUUACUAUCGAUCAUUUUGGCGCCGUUGCCGGGGACUAGCGUCGAACGAUUGUGUGAAGCUAUAGAGUAGGCUUAGUAUAGUUUUUGUUUAAAUUUCCAUUCAAAUUUAUUUCUGUGCUUCUUUUACCUUUUUACUUUUUGUUGCUUCGGCUUAUUAGGAUACUAACUUUCUGACUAGUGUUUACUGUUUAUGAGUGUUUGUAGGAAAUCUGAACUAAUUGCAGGUUUUCUAUAGUUACACUCGGUUAAGAUGGCAUUGCUUCGUAAUCUUUGGAUGCCCAAAAGUCAGUGCUAUAUCACAGGACCGAUUUGGCCAACUAUUGAGGCAGAGAACUUCGAGCUGAAACAUAGUCUUAUUGCUUUGGUUCAACAACAACAAUUUGGAGGACUGCCUACUGAGGAUCCCUAUGAGCACUUACACUGAGUCAUGGAGUAUUCAGAUACAAUCAAGUACCAUGGAGUUCCUCAAGAUGCAAUCAUGUGCAGGUUGUUCACAUUCUCUCUUCGUGAUGAUGCUCGUGCUUGGUAUCGAUCCUUGCCAUCAAGGUCAUACAGUUGGAAUGAGAUAUCACGAGCUUUCUUGGAUAGAUAUUUCCCACUACACAAGCAGUCUGCGAUUCGAGAUGAGAUCUUCAAUUUCGUUCAACGUGAAUACGAGAGCUUGUAUGAUGCUUGGGAGAGAUACAAGGCUUUAUUCAGGAGAUGUCCUAACCACGGGCUCGAGAGAUGGUUAGAGUUGCAGAUAUUCUACAGAGGAUUGACUUCGGACACUCGAGCUUACGUCGAUAUCACUAAAAAAAGGACAUCUGUGACAUUUUGGGCCGAACGAAUUUUUUUUCCUGUCAUAUGUAUGACACUUUUAUGACGAUAAUUGUCACAAAACCCGGUAUCAUCAUAGAUGUGGUGGGCUCCUACUUCUAUGACAAAAAAUCAUGACAGAAAAUGGGCUUUUCGUCCUGGGCGGGCCGGAGACGCAGCUGCAUGACAUUCUUUGGGCCGUUCAUGAUGGAAAAAACUGUGGUAGAAGCGAGGGCGAGGAAAAUUUCGGGGAGUUCCCGGUUACGGUGGGAGGUCAGGGGCCGAGCGAUGCGCGUUUCUCUCGUACACGUACGCGCGUGUAUGCGAGGCGUUGGCUCUAACUGAACCCGAGCGAGGCGUUGGGCUCUAACUGAACCCGAGCGAUUGCACUGCAAGCUAUGCGUUACUGAACCCGAGCGAUCAAUCGAUGACUGUUAACUGAACCCGAUCGAGCGAUUCCUUCGCUACUGCUGCUAACUGAAGCCGAUCGAUGCUGCCUCUGGAUGAACAGUGAGCGUUGCUGGGGGGGUUUGGAUGAACAGUUCCCGGUGGGGGUGGAUGAACAGGACCCCGUGGUGUUGCCUUUGGAUGAACAGGACCACGAUCGAUCGAGCCGGUUGGGGCUGGAUGAACAGGACCCCGUGGAGGGCAGGAUGAACAGGACCACCCCGUGGAGGGCAGAAUGAACAGUAGACGGUGGAGGGCUGGAUGAACAGUAGCCCGUGGAGGGGUGGUUGAACAGGAGCCCGUGGAGGGGUGGUUGAACAGUAGUCGGUGGAGUAGCGCGUGGUGGAGGCUGGAUGAACAGGAGCCCGUGGAUGAACAGUCGCAGGUGGAGGUCGACGGUGGAUGAACAGUAGUCCGUGGAGGCCGGAGGGGGUCGACGGUGGAGAUGAACAGUGUCCCGUGGAGUCCCGUUUUGCGGUACGCCACACCCCUCCUGAUGAACAGGACCCCCGUUUCGACCGUAGCGCUCCAACACAAGUCCGUUUCCUCCGUUUUGCGGUACGCCACACCCCUCCCGAUCAACAGGAGCCCCGUUUCGACCGUAGGAGGUUCGUUUCCUCCGUUUUGCGGUACGCCAGACCCCUCCUGAUGAACAGGAUCCCGUUUCAAACGUGGCCGGUCGAACACAAGGCUGUUUUCUCCGUUCUGCGGUACGCCAGACCUCGUUUUCAUCGGUUGUUCCGUCCAAGCCCUCCCGAUGAACACGAUGACGCAUUCCGUUCCGACCCAGCCGGUUGGCUCCCCAUGAACACGACGACGACGCAGUUUCUCCGUUCCGACCCAGCCAUGUACACGAGCCCUGGCCGUACGUAUGCGCGAGUAGGCGUUCGAGACCCUGCCCGUAUGUACGUACGUGGUCGUAUUUUCUUUCUUGCACAUUGGCCGCUGUACGUACCUGUACAUGCUACGUGCGUGCCUCUACUACGACACGUGCGCGCCUCUACAUCGACCAGUAUUUACGUAUACGUUCGCGACCAGAAUGACAAUGCUACGUACGCUUCGACCAGGUGGGUCCCGACUGUCAGGCACUUCCUUGCCUGCGAAGAUGUAGCUGGUGGGUCCCAGCAGUCAGGGGGGCGAAUCGUUUUUUUUGCCCGGACGCACUUCCUUGCGUGCGAAGAUGUAGCUGGUGGGUCCCCGCAGUCAGAGGGAAACUUUUUUUUGUGAAAUACGGUGGCCCGUCCGGUGGGUCCCCGCUGUGAGGUGAAGGAAUCAUUAUUUUCCGCGUAAUAAGGAGGCACUUCCUUGUUGCGGCCAUGGACCUAGCUGUCAGCCUCUUCACGUACAGUCCACGUCCGAUGGAAGUCGUUCCUUGACCACGUUGACCACGCCGCGCCGAGAGCACCAGGGCGGUGGACGACAGCGAGGCCUAGGAAGGGGACGACGGGGAGCCGGGGAAGACGCGACAGUGGAAGCCCGCGCGGAGAGGAGUAUGAGGGUUCACUGGUUCGGCUGCGGUGUGAGGCUGCCGUCGCCGCAGGGCCUGGCCAGCGGUGGGAAUAGUAGGGGCGGUAAGGCCUCCGCGACAGCACAGCCGGCCAGGGGAGGCAGGAGCAUGCGGCACGACCGGCGCUGCUUUGGGCAGCUGGAGCAAGAAGACCAGAGGUUGAAGAAGCACUACGGCCGUUGGAUGGACAUUGUACGGUCACUGGAGCUAGAAUCGUUCAUAUUGACUAAAGUUGACAAAGGCCCCCGUCCCAGUCAACUUAGUAGGCCCACAAGUCAGCCUCCCACCAUGGUGGGUCCCAGCUAGCCGGGGGAGUAUUCAUUUUUUUGUGCGUAAUAAGGAGGCAUUCCGGUGGGUCCGAGCUGACAGCGGGGGAACGUUUUUUUUCGCGAAAUACGCUGGCCCGUCUGGUGGGUCCCAGCAGUCAGGGGUGAAACGUUUUUUCGCGAAAUAAGGUGGCCUGUCCGGUGGGUCCCUGCUGUCAGGUGAAGGAAUAAUUAUUUUGCGCGUAAUAAGGAGGCACUUCCUUGCGGCCGCCUGGACCCAGCUGUCAGCCUCUCCACGUACAGUACUCUUCCGAUGGAAGUCGGUCGUUGACCACGUUGACCACGCCGCGCCGAGAGCACCAGGGCGGUGGUCUGGACGACGGCGAGGCCUAGGUAGGGGACGACGCGGAGCCGGGGAAGACGCAGCAGUGGAAGCCCGCGCGGAGAGGAGUACGAGGGUUCACUGGUUCGGCUGCGGUGUGAGGCUGCCGUCGCCACAGAAUAACAGGGGGUGUGGGUGAGUAGAGGGAUGGCCUGGCCAGCGGUGGGAGUAGUACGGGGCGGUGAUGCCUCCGCGGCAUCACAGCCGGCCACGGGAGGCAGGAGCACGCGACACGACCGGCGCUGCUUUGGGCGGCUGGAGCAAGAAGACUAGAGGUUGAAGAAGCACUACGGCCGUUGGAUGGACAUCGUACGAUCACUGCAGCUAGAAUCAUUUAUAUUGACUAAGUUGACAAAGCCCUUGGUACGCGUCAACUUAGUAGGCCCAUAGCUCAGAUUUGGCAGAGAACAUAUAGCCCAUUUGCGAUUUGUAAGAAUGUACAACCCAUUUUUUAAUUCUAAUGGAAUUUAGUACAACCCAUUUACAGUUUGUUAAAAGUACAACCCAACUUCUAGCUAGGACAACGAUUAAUAAUUUCAAACAACCGCUCAAAACAGAAUUCAAAAAAAAUUCUCACAUUUUGAUGGGAUCCGAAAUAUUUUUAUCCGAAAUUUCUAGUCAGGUUAAAUAUAAUUUCAAAAUAAAGUUGUAUUACGUUAAAAUCCAACGAAAUAUUGCGCGCGCAACAAGUAAUGAAAUGAAAAUUUUCAAAUUCCAAAAAUAAUAUAUUUUUCAAACUAAUUACGUGUUUGGUGCAUAGUAACUGUCCAGUUAUUAUUUCUUAAAGUCCAUUUUUUUGUUAAGCCUAAUGCAUACCUCCUAGGAAAGUUUGCAGCCCAGCGGGGCGGAGAAUAACAAGUUGACCCGGAUAUUGUGUACAACUGUCGGCCCAGUUGCAUUGCUGAUGUUGAAAAAAAGGCCUGUGUAGUACAGUACAACCUAACAUGGUUACUCAGCCCACAUUCAACGACGCCGGAAAGGCCCAAACAAGGCUUCUGUACAACUUUUUGAAGUCACUAAGCUCAAUUAAUAACUUAAGAAAAAAGUUAGAUUACAGUGGAACCUAAUUAAAAGCUGUCACAAGCAAAUAAAUAAUUCAACGGGUCCCACUUAUGCGUGUGCGCGUGUGUGUGCGUGUGUGUGUGAGAGAGAGAGAGAUAGAGAGACCCAUCGGUCGAUGCUCGUAAAUACAUCUUUCAGCCAUAUGCAUUGCUGAUGCUCACUAAAAACUUAUAUAGUUGACACAAUCAUAUAGAAUAUCAUAGCACACUGAACUUGCAUACAAAAAUUUCACGCAGGCGGUACAAUCAGGAUGAAAGCAGUGGAUCGCUACGGGAAGGGCUAUGUUGAAACCAACGAAGUCGUACAUAACGGUUCAUCGUCUUUAUCAAUGACGGGGAAAUAUCUUGAAUGUUGUGCAAAAAAAAAUGACAGACAACACAAUAAGUUCUGCUAGCACAUUAAGUUGACGUACAACCCUUUCUAAAAAAAGUCCAGGUACAAAAUUAGAACAGGUCACAAUCAAAUGUACUGGCAUAUCAGUGCUUCACACCCAUAGCUCGGAUUUAACUAGUAUCUGACAAGAUUCAGUUGUUACCUUAAAUUAGAGCACAUCCAGGCAGCCAGCCCUGCCUCUUCUCCCAAAGAAGCAGUGGCCUCCGCCGAGCGAUGGAGUAGGCCCUGUGCCAUCCAUCGUUCCGAGCAACACGGGGAAAGUCUGACGCUGACUCCUGUAAUGGACGUCGUCGACGGACCCUGGCACCAGCGGCGGCGGCAGGACUUCGAUUGAUGGAUUGACCACUUCUUCGACAUGCACGAACACUCGAUACAGGUACAUCCCUAACGUGGUACACGGCGGCCUUGGUGGCGACGAAUAGUACAACCCCGGUUCUUGCACCGGUAUCUCAACACCAAUCACCUUCGGUAUGCUGGACGGCUUCUUCAUCCAUGCCAUAACCGUCAGAGCCCAGCUGUCUGGAGGAACAAACAUACUUACGAGCUUGUAACGCCCACGAUGCGGCUAUAUCUCCCACGUGUCGAGGCACGACUUAGAGGCAUAACCGCGUUGUAGGUAUUGUCGCAAGAAGGGUCAUCUUCACACAAUCCCAUGUAAUGAACAAGAAUGGGAUAACGAGAGUUGGCUUACAAUCGCCACUUCACACAAUACAUAAAUUUAAUUCAUACAUCAUCCAAAAUCCACACAUAGACCGACUACGGUCAAAUCCAAAUGAAAAGAAGAUAACCCCAAAUUCUAGAUCCCCGAUCGUCCCAACUGGGCUCCACUACUGAUCAUCCGUAAACGAAACAUAGUAACGACCACGUUCCUCGUCGAACUCCCACUUGAGCUCGGUUGCAUCAUCUGCACUGGUAUCGUCGGCACCUGCAACUGUUUUGGUAGAAUCUGUGAGUCACGAGGACUCAGCAAUCUCACACCCGCGAGAUCAAGACUAUUUAAGCUUAUAGGAAAGGAUGGGGUAAUGAGGUGGAGCUGCAGCAAGCACUAAGCAUAUGGUGGCUAACAUACGCAAAUGAGAGCGAGAAGAGAAGCAACACAAUGGUCGCGAAGCUAGAAAUGAUCAAGAAGUGAUCCUGAAACUACUUACGUUCAUACAUAACCCAGACCGUGUUCACUUCCCGGACUCCGCCGAAAAGAGACCAUCACGGCUACACACACAGUUGAUGUAUUUUAAUUAAGUCAAGUGUCAAGUUCUCUACAACCGGACAUUAACAAAUUCCCAUCUGCCUCAUAACCGCGGGCACGGCUUUCGAAAGAUAAUACACUGCAGGGGUGUCCCAACUUAGCCCAUUAUAAGCUCUCACGGUCAACGAAGGAUAUUCCUUCUCCCGGGAAGACCCGAUCAGUCUCGGAAUCCCGGUUUACAAGACAAUGGUAAAACAAGACCAGCAAGACCACCGGACUGUGCCGACAAAUCCUGAUAGGAGCUGCACAUAUCUCGUUCUCAGGGCACACCGGAUAAGCGAAGCGUACAGGUACCAACGUAACCCAAGUUGCCAAGGGACGGUCCCGCACGGUGCUCUAGUUUGGACCAACACUCAGAGGAGCACUGGCCCGAGGGGGGGGGGGUUAAAUAAAGAUGACCCUCGGGCUCGCGAAAAUCCAAGGGAAAAAGGCUUAGGUAGGCAAAUGUAAGACCAAGGUUGGGUCUUGCUGGAGGAGUUUUAUUCAAGGCGAACUGUCAAGGGGGUCCCAUAAAUCACCCAACCGCGUAAGGAACGCAAACUCAAGGAACAUAACACCGGUAUGACGGAAACUAGGGCGGCAAGAGUGGAACAAAACACCAGGCAUAAGGCCGAGCCUUCCACCCUUUACCAAAUAUAUAGAUGCAUUAAUUAAAUAAGAGAUAUUGUGAUAUGCCAAAAUAUCCAUGUUCCAACAUGGAACCAACUUCAACUUUACCUACAACUAGCAACACUGUAAGAAGGGCUGAGCAAAAGCGGUAACUUAGCCAAACAACGGUUUGCUAGGAAAGGAUGGUUAGAGGCUUGACAUGGCAAUAUGGGAGGCAUGAUAUAGCAAAUGGUAGGUAGCGCAACAUAGCGAUAGAGCGAACAACUACCAAAGCAAAGAUAUAAGUGAUUUCGAGGGUAUGGUCAUCUUGCCUGCAAGGUUCUCAGAGUUGUCGAAAGCUUGAUCCUCGUAAGCGUUCUCAACAGGUUCCUCGAAAGCGUACUCGCCUCUCGGCUCUACCCGAAGCAAGAACACAAACAAAGGACCAACAAUCAAUCACGGGAAAUGCACAAGCAACAUGAUGCAAUACAUGCAUGAUAUGAGAGAUGUGAUAUGCGAUGCAUAUGCGUGCUCCAAAAGGGAAAAGAUGAACAAGGCAUCAACUUGGCAAACCAAGUAUGCCACUGGAAAGAUGAGAUGAUUUCGGUCGAAAUCGAUAUAAAGAUCACAGGAAACGGAUGCACGGUUUGCAAAUGGCAAGCAAAACAAGAAUGACACAAUUCUGCGAUUAACAGCAUGAUAGCACUUAGAAUACAUCAAGAAACUAUGCUACAGCACCCCAACAUAGCAACAAAGCAUAUGGAAGUGAUCUACAAGAGAUUCUUGACAAAAGAUGAACACUGAGCUACAGCUAAAUCACACAAUAACAGGUUCAAACAAGCAUGGCAAAAGUGCAAAAGAUAUCAGCUUCACAGACUUGGUGAAAAUACUGAACAUGGCAUCAACAUCAUCAGGUAGCACCGUUCAGAGCAAGCAAUCAACAUGCUACAGGAACUUAUCAUAGCAAAACAAGGCUUGGCAUGAAUCUACUAAAUGCAUAGAACAAAAGUACCUUACUGAUCAUGAGCCAAAAAGGAUCAGAAGAUAUGAUGGCACCCAUGUAUCUCAAAAUAAGUCCCUUACUGUUCAAAACAUCCUUACUGAAGUAUCUCAAAAUAAGCAUGGAUCUCACUAUAGCAUCAAGGAUACAUGGCAUCAAAAUAACAGCAGGUAAAGGACUUAGCAAAAUCCUAAGUCCCUGAAAACAAAAACAUCACGAAGCCUAGUUUGCAUGCUUGUGCUAGUCACCACAUAGAUCACAAAAAUACAUGGCAUACACCCCUGUAAAGAUGGCAUGGCAUAGAUCAAAACAAAUGUAGAGCUCAUGCUCAGAAGAUGCACACAUCAAAUGCAACAAAAAUAACAAAACAUCAAGUUCUGAUAAGUAACAGCAGUAAACAACACAUAGCACUCUUGCACCAGCGAUUUGGGCAUCAAGAUGAACUCAAACAAGCAGGACACAAUGAAACAAAAUGAAGAGCAUCUCCUGAUGAACAUUUUGACAUAUCAUGCGCAUGAAACGGAGAAGUAUGCAAGGAGAUAUGAUGCGAUGAACAGAGCCACAUAAUAUAAGCAAUUCGGGACUUGGCAGAAAAACGAGGGGGGGAAUCAACCUCGAUCUAGGGUUUCGUGGGCACGUGAGCCGAGGUUCACCAGAACUUUGCCGGAGUUGGAGGAAGGGCGGCCGGAGCUCGGGGAAGCUCACCGGAGGGCAGGGGACGCCGGAUCCGGCGCGGAGGGGGCUGGGCGGCGGCGGGUCGGGCGGAGAAGACGGUCGGGGGCGCUGGGCGGCGAGGUCGGCGNNNNNNNNNNNNNNNNNNNNNNNNNNNNNNNNNNNNNNNNNNNNNNNNNNNNNNNNNNNNNNNNNNNNNNNNNNNNNNNNNNNNNNNNNNNNNNNNNNNNNNNNNNNNNNNNNNNNNNNNNNNNNNNNNNNNNNNNNNNNNNNNNNNNNNNNNNNNNNNNNNNNNNNNNNNNNNNNNNNNNNNNNNNNNNNNNNNNNNNNNNNNNNNNNNNNNNNNNNNNNNNNNNNNNNNNNNNNNNNNNNNNNNNNNNNNNNNNNNNNNNNNNNNNNNNNNNNNNNNNNNNNNNNNNNNNNNNNNNNNNNNNNNNNNNNNNNNNNNNNNNNNNNNNNNNNNNNNNNNNNNNNNNNNNNNNNNNNNNNNNNNNNNNNNNNNNNNNNNNNNNNNNNNNNNNNNNNNNNNNNNNNNNNNNNNNNNNNNNNNNNNNNNCGGCGAGGGAACGGGUCCCGCGGGCCAGGCGGGGGCCUCGCGGGCCGGUGGGAGCCGCGGGGCGGCGGGUGCCCACAUGGCGGCGGCGGAGUGGCUCCAGGUGGUGGCGAGGCUGACGUGGCGGCUAGCUAUUGGCCGGGCGACGUGGCAGAGGUCGUGUCCGGCGGCGCGGAGGAGCGGGGCUAGGGUUUCGGGACCCGUGAUUUCGGAGGAGUGCACAUAUUUAUAGCUAGAGGGAGCUAGGAGACUCCAAAUGAGGUGCGGUUUUCGGCCACGCGAUCGUGAUCCGACGACGGAGGGAUGGAAGGGGUUUGGAUGGGUUAUUGGGCUGUUUGGAGGGGUGUUUGGCUGCAACACACAAAAGGCCUUUGCGGUUACCCGGUUAACCGUUGGAGCAUCAAACGGCCUCCAAAUGGAAUGAAACUUGACAGGUGGUCUACCGGUGGUGUACCAAGGCCACUUGGCAAACCUCAGUCCAUUCCGAGAACGUUUGACACCCGCUCACGAAAAGAGACAAGAGGGGUGCGCCGGUGCAUGUGGGAGUGUCGGAUUGCAAAACGGACAACGGGGAAAAUGCUCGGAUGCAUGAGACGAACACGUAUGCAAAUGAGAUGCACAUGAUGACAUGAUAUGAAAUGCAUGACAUGAACUAAAUGCAAAACGAGAGACAAAAAGCCAACCACGAAGGGAAUAUCAUAACACAUAGCCGAAAAUGGCAAGAGUUGGAGUUACAAAUAUGGAAAGUUACACCCGGGGUGUUACAACACUCCACCACUACGACAGGAUCUCGUCCAGAGAUCUAGGACUGAAAGAACUCCGGAUAUUCGGAACGGUGGUGGUCCUCGCGCUCCCAGGUGGCUUCUCGGUCGGAAUGGUGUGACCACUUCACUUUCAGGAAUUUAAUUGACUUGUUGCGAGUCUUGUGCUCAGUUUCUUCAAGAAUAGCAACGGGGUGCUCAUGAUAAGAUAGAUCUUCUUGGAGAUCAAUCUCUUCGAAGUUGAUGGUGCGCUCAGGAGUCUUGAAGCACUCGCGAAGCUGUGACACGUGGAACACAUCGUGCACAUUCGCGAAGUUGGAGGGAAGCUCAAGUUGAUAGGCGAGGUCGCCUCUUUUGCCAAUGAUCUUGAAAGGACCCACAUAUCUAGGGGCAAGCUUCCCUUUGAUACCGAAGCGACGAGUGCCUUUCAUUGGAGAUACGCGGAGGUAGACAUGGUCUUCGAUCUCAAAAGCCAAGUCACGGUGCUUGCUAUCAUAGUAACUCUUCUGGCGCGAUUGCGCGGCUUUGAGAUUUUCACGGAUGACUUUACACAUUUCUUCAGCCUCUGUGAUUAAGUCAUUGCCAAGAGUUGGCGUUCACCUGUCUCGGACCAAUUGAGAGGAGUACGGCACUUCCUUCCAUACAGAAUCUCGAAUGGGGCCUUGCCCGAACUCGCUUGGAAGCUGUUAUUGUAGGAGAACUCGGCAUAUGGGAGGCAAUCUUCCCACUUCAUGCCAAAAGAAAUGACACAAGCCCUGAGCAUAUCUUCAAGGAUUUGAUUGACUCGCUCGACUUGGCCACAAGUUUGAGGAUGGAAAGCUGUGCUGAAGCGAAUGUUGGUGCCCAUGGCCUUCUGGAAGGAGUCCCAAAAUUUAGAAGUGAAGAUGCUUCCACAAUCUGAAGAUAUCAAUUGUGGAAUGCCGUUCAAGGAGACAAUCCUGGAGGUGUAUAGCUCUGCCAACUGAGCUGCUAUGAUAGAUUCUUUGAUUGGAAGGAAAUGAGCCACUUUAGUAAGCUUGUCAAUGACAACGAAGAUAACAUCAUUUCCACACUUGGACUUCGGAAAUCCAGUCACGAAGUCCAUUUCGAUAUGAUCAAACUUCCAUUCUGGAAUAGCAAGAGGUUGGAGGAGACCAGCUGGUCGUUGGUGUUCUGCUUUCACCCUUCGACAGACAUCACAUUCAUUCACGAAUUGAGCGAUUUCUCACUUCAUUCGAGUCCACCAAUACGACUGCUUGAGGUCAUGGUACAUCUUCGUACUUCCAGGAUGAAUGGAAAUAAGAGAAUUGUGUGCCUCGUUCAUAAUGACUUUCCUUAGAUCACCUUUAGGAAUCACAAUCCGGUCCUCGAAGAAUAAAGUGUCUCGGUCAUCAAUGCGAUAAGACUUGUAUUUGGAAAUGCCCUUGUCAAUACCACAUUUCACCUUCUUCACCAUGGCAUCAAGAAGUUGUGCCUCACGAAUUUGAUCUUCCAAAAUAGGAGAGACUUGGAGAUUGGCAAGAAAGCCUUGAGAAACAACUUGGAGAUUGAGUUUGCGGAAAGCUUCGCAAAGAUCCGGUUGGAAGGGCUUAAGAAUUAAGUUGUUGCAAUAAGCCUUCCUGCUCAAAGCAUCUGCAAUGACGUUGGCCUUGCCUGGAGUAUAUUCAAUACUCGGAUUGUACUCUUGAAUCAUUUCGACCCAUCGAGUUUGUCUAAGGUUGAGGUUGGGCUGAGUGAAGAUGUACUUGAGACUCUUGUGAUCGGUGAAUAUGUCCACUUUCCUUCCCAACAAGAGAUGUCUCCAUGUUAUUAAUGCAUGAACAACUGCCGCCAACUCGAGAUCGUGAGUGGGGUAGUUCUUUUCGUUGGGCUUCAACUGACGAGAGGUAUAGGCCACAACUUUCUUCGAUUGCAUUAACACAACACCGAGACCUUGAAGAGAAGCAUCACAGAAAACUUCGAAUGGCUUGGAUUCGUCAGGAGGAGUCAAGACAGGAGCUGUGACGAGUUUCUCUUUGAGAGUGUUGAAAGCAACGUCACACUCAGGAGUCCAGACAUACUUCACAUGCUUCUGGAGGAGGUUGGAAAGAGGCUUUGCAAUCUUAGAGAAAUUCUCAACGAAUCUUCGGCAAUAGCUUGCAAGCCCAAGAAAACUGCGAAGCUGCUUGACAUUCUGAGGAGGUUCCCAAUUCAUAAUUGCAGACACCUUCUCGGGAUUAACAGUGUUGCCCUUGGCAGAGAUGAUAUGACCAAGGUAAAGAACUUCAUCAAGCCAAAACUCACAUUUGGAAAACUUUGCAUAGAAUUGAUACUCUCUGAGCUUGUCGAGCACCAAUCGCAAAUGUUUGGCAUGAUCCUUCUUAUUCUUGGAGAAGACCAAGAUAUCGUCGAGAUACACCAGGACGAAUUCAUUGGUGUAGGGGUUGAAGAUGAAAUUCAUCAUUCGAGAGAAUGUUGUGUCACGACCGGUUUUUCAAUAAAAUAAUUAUUGAGAGACCAAUCCCUUUUACGGACCAGCGAAGAAGAAUUCCUUCUCACUGGUAGACAAUAAUCUUGGUCACAGAAGAAAAAUACCAGGAGUACUAAAUAUAACACAAGGUUGAGCAGAGGCUGCUCAACAAUUUAUUACAUGCACGCCGCUAAAACAAUGCGGCGGAUAGGGUGGCAACUACUAACUCACGAUGAUAAAGGUGGUGGAAAUAUCACUGCAAAGCGAGUGACAUGAUUCCAGAAGACUACAACUCAUCGAGCGUCGGAGUGAGGCUCGAGAAGACUUAUUGCGGGUGGCGGAAGCGUAAACAACAUAAGUGACCAAUAUCCGGGAUCGCGCAGGACUGACUGGGACACCUCUAGGCAUCGGACGCGCUAUCAAAAUCUUCAUCCAAGAGAUCGCCUUCGUCAACAUCUGGCCAAAUCAACAAGCCAGGUGAGUACUAUGAAAGUACUCGCAAGACAGUUCAGACAUAAGGUAUAACAAAUGUAAACAUGAAACAUAUGAACAAGUUAACCAGUGCGAUCAGACAUAGAGGUAAUAAAUACUGGGUGCCAAGCGAGGGUCCGAAUGACGCCUCGAGCGGAAACUGCAGAAUAGUAAUGCGGGUGCCAAACGAGUGUCUGAAAGACUCCUCGAGAGGAAAAUGCGGAACGUUAAUACAGGUGCCAAACGAGUGUCUGCAGGACUCCUCGAGAGGAAAAUGCAGAAUAGUAAUGCCACAGUCGGGCGUCGGGGCGACACCACAUAAAGGGCUUAUAGCAGAAAAUAAAGACAGUGCAUGCCGCAGUCGGACGUCUGAGCGACAUCGCAUAAAGGGCUUAUAUUUAAAGUGAGAAACGAGUACACGCCACAGUCGGACGUCUGCACGACGUCUCAUAAAGGGCUUAUAUUGUAACACAAUAAUACAAUAGUUCGGGAACAUAACUUAUCACAAGCACGAGACAAAUAUAAAGUUAGUCCAUCCACCGGAAUGACAAUAAAACUGAAUUACCAUUUGAGUUUGUUCACCGGGGGCAAGUUUUGUCACAUAGAUAGAUAUGGAUAUCAUUCUUACACUGCUUGAUCAUGGGUACGAUGAUUUGGAAAGAAUUGACUCUGCAGAGUUUGUACUUAACCACAGCCAACGGAUUUCAGUAGUCACGGGGACUAGUUCCGUCUACGGUGUUUUGGAAGAAACACGUCUAACCAGUACACACCCAAUUCAACCACCCGAAGCCAGGGAUCACCCUCGGCCACAUUCAAGAAAAACCUUGAGUCGGGGAGGCUACAACCUCGCGUAGCAUGGGAUCAAAUUUCUAUACGCGCGCUCUAAGGGGUGCCCCCCCUCUCGGUCCCAACCGGAAACACCCAUGCCCCCUGACCGGAUGACUGGCUUUAAUCCUGGGCCAAGGUACCAUCAUCCCGGCCUCUCUGUUUGGUGUGUACACGGAAAGAGGUUACCAACUUACUAAACCGUAUCCUGGCAAUGAGACAUGUGGUAGCACGGAAAAGGGAAGGCACGGUAACACGGCUCCAACCAUGUUGACGUCGGAAAAGUCGGAUGACGCAAGGCUGGCAUGCUACAACAAUACCCCCUUGUUGCCCUUCAUGUCAUCACAUGAUUAGGCCACCUCUCAUCAGAGAUCAUCGCAACUUCGGAACAUGCGGGAAAAGAACGACAACGUAGCUCCACCCACAUUAACGUCGCAGAGAGUUGGAUGACGCAAGGCUGGCAUGCUACAACAGUACCACCUUGCUGCCCUUCAUGUCAUCACAUGAUUAGGCCACCUCUCAUCAGAGGUCAUCGCAACUUCGGAACAACCGGGUCGUUGCCUUACGAGCGACGCGGUAAUAAUCGACACUCACAUGCCACGCACAAACUUUCACAUGAACAUGCAAAACAUCUGCCAUAUCAAAUGUUCAAAACAUGCUUGCCUGGUUCGGAGAAGUCGGAGUCUAGCUCGGCGAAGUUCGCGGCUCCGUCACCUCUCCCGGAACCUACGGCAAUCACGAAACGGGUACUAACGUGAAAACCAACACAUGCACAGAAACUUUUCCAAAUAUUUUUCAAAUAAAUCCCAUAAAAAACUAGACAAAAUUUGAAGAUUGUCAGAAAAAGAAUCACUCACAAAUACCUUUUUAUUAAAAAGUUAUAAGGGUUUCUGUCCAGGGACUUAUCUGUAAUGAAACAAAAAAGUUCCAGGGUUUUAACUGAGAAAACAGAAAACGCUUCGGCUGGGAAUGCGCAAGCGCAAAGGAGAAACGUAUUUCGCCUGAAGGCGUCAACAGAAAACGGUUCGCGAAUAAAAGAACAGAGGCUGACACGCGGGGUCCACAUGUCAGGUUUGAAAAGCUCGCCGGCGCCCGAAGACUGCGGUGGACGCCGGCGUCGAACCACGGCGAGUUAGGAGAAACGGAGGGUACCAAGAGCUUCAGCGUCCUCUUCCGCGUCGGUGGGUGGUGGACUCGUCCAACGGGGAGCACCACGUCGACGGCGACACUUUCUCCGGCGGACGGCGGCUCGGGUGAGGAUGGGGAACUCCGGUGGAGGGCUGCAAGCUUCAAAUUGAAGUGCGGGUCAGAGAGAGGGAUGCAUGGUGAAGCUACUGGCAAGUGAAUGGAGGCGGAGGAGCACACACGGGGGCGAAUCGGGCUGGAUCCCGUGGUGGCUCGCGGCGGCCGGAGUCGAGGAAGGAGACCUCCUCGGGGCUCUUCCAGUGGCUAGGCGUGCUCUAGGGGGAGUGCAGGGCUGGUGGGUGCUCGAGUUGAAGCUCGGGGCCCCUAUUUAUAGGCAGAUCGACGGGAUGGCCGUGAACGGUGGAUCUCCGGCGAGCGAUUACGGCGGAGCAGUGGGUUGGCAGGGGGUUUGAGCGGUCGGGCAGCAUCAGUGGAUGUUACUGGACUCGAUUUGCAGCUAAACGGGGUCGGUCUUGGCGUAAUGGCGUCGGUCCACGGUGAGGUGACCGCACGGGCUCAACGGCGGCAGAGAGCGCGCUCCGCGCCCUGCGGUUCACGACGAGAGCGGCAGCGCGUUCGGGGGAGUGGAAGGCCACGCGGCGAGCUCCGGUGAUUUGGGCGGCGUUGGGUGGCGUCGUCGGCGCCGUGUCUCCCGCUGGCGCCCGCAAAGCCGCCGCCGGCGUUGGUCACGGGGUGGCGCACCUUCUGCUGCUCGUCGCCGACGCCCGCAAGGUGCCAGGCACUCGUGCGGUGCAGGAACAAGGGGGCGAGGACGAGGAGCAAGGCGACGCGGUGGCACUGGCGAGAUCGAUGUCCAUCUCUGAAGAAAACGACAGCGAGCACUGAACUGAAUCUCUGAACUUCUGAACUUGACAAUGACCAUGCACUGCAGGUGUUCGACAGGAGGUUUUGGCUAUGAGAUAAAUUUUUCUGGAGCUGUAACUUGGUGAGAUGAUCACUCAAAGCACCCAGGGGCUGCCUGAAUUUACUUGGAAUUUUUGGAGAAGGUUUUGAAUGAAUUUCACCAAAUUUGCCAAAUCUGGUCCAAACUUGCAGCAGGUGUAGUUUGAAAUUUUUGAACUGAAGACUAAUGGAUCUUCAUGGUUCCAGGUUGAGGGUUCAAAGGACUAGGAGGGGAAAGAAGUUUGGUGGUAAAAGUCCAAACAGAAAAUGGAGUUCCUUUGUAAAUCCCCAAGUGGUAGAAUAGAAGGCAGAAUUUUUUUUGAAUGAAAUUUGAAUGGGAAUAAUCACAUGGGGAGGUUCAACUUGCUGGAUUAGGUGUAAAACAUGAUCCAAAGGUGAGGGAAGGAUUUGGGGAGAGGAUUUGCACAAAUGUCAUGGUAAGAAGGGAAAGUUGAAAGUGGUGAAGGACUUUCCAAAAGCCAUAGUGCAAAUUCAAAAAGAUUUUCAGGAGUUAUUUUCCCAAAUGAAAAACAUUUUGUUUUGAGUCCAAAUGAAAAGUAAGAACUUCCAAGACCAAAGGCAGAUCUUGGGUGAAUCCAAACAAAACUUUUGCCAUAAGGAAAAAUAUAUGAGAGGGGGAGUUCUCUUAAAGAAAAAUUUAAAUUGCUCCCCUCAAGUCAAAAUAGAAAUCUUUUUUGAAAAAACCAAAUAAAAACUUGGGUGUCACAACACCUACCCCCUUAGGAAAAAUCUUGUCCUCGAGAUUUCGGCUGAUCCUCAAAUAGAUAUGGAUACUCUGCUCGGAGGAAAUCUUCCCUCUCCCAUGUGGCUUCAUCCUCAGUGUGGUUGCUCCACUGAACUCUGAAAAAUCUUGUCGUUUUCUGACGGGUCCUCCGUUCAGACUCUUCUAAAACCUUUACUGGCCUUUCUCUGUAGGUUAGAUCUGGUUGCAUAUCAAUGUCCUCAUGAGGUACAUGUUUUUCUGGAUUGCUCACACAUUUUCUUAACUGUGAGACGUGGAACACGUCAUGGACGUCUGACAGCUCCUUGGGGAGGUCUAGUUGGUAGGCCACCGUGCCUCUUCGUGCCUUUACACAAAAUGGUCCAAUAAACCUUGGGGCUAGCUUCCCCUUAAUUUUGAACCGUUGCAGACCCCUCAUAGGAGAUACUCGGAGGUAUACGGAAUCACCGGGUUCAAAGCUGACCUCACGGUGCUUCUGAUCAUAGUAGCUCUUUUGGCGGCUCUGUGCUGUCUUGAGUCUGUCCCUGAUUUGCUUAACUUUCUCCUAGGCCUCUUUGAGCAUGUCUGGGCCGAAGAUACGGCUGUCACCGGUUUCCGACCAAUUCAAUGGGGUACGACACCUUCGCCCGUACAGCGCUUCAAAGGGUGCCAUUUUCAAGCUGGCUUGGUAACUGUUGUUGUAAGCAAAUUCGGCAUACGGCAAACUCUCUUCCCAACUGGAUCCAUAGGUGAGUACGCAGGCUCUUAGCAUAUCCUCUAGGAUCUGGUUCACACGUUCCGUCUGUCCAUCAGUCUGAGGGUGGUAUGCUGUACUGAAAGCUAGUUGCGUGCCCAGAGCUUGUUGUAGGUGAUCCCAAAAUUUGGAGACGAAUUGGGUGCCUCGGUCUGAUAUUAUAGUCUUUGGGACUCCGUGCAAGCAAACUAUACGGGAGAGAUAGAGUUUUGCCAGUCUUUGUGUGGAGUAGGUAGUCUUCACGGGAAUGAAGUGAGCAACUUUGGUUAGUCGGUCUGUGAUGACCCAGAUGGCGUCAUUUCCACGCUGUGAUCGGGGUAAUCCGACAAUGAAGUCCAUUCCGAUUUCAUCCCAUUUCCACUCCGGUAUCCUGUUAGGCUGGAGUAGCCCUGCUGGCUUUUGGUGCUCGGCCUUGAUGCGCUGACAUGAAUCGCAACAAGCAAUGAAUGUGGCUAUAUCUCUUUUCAUACCGUGCCACCAAAAUCUUUCCUGAAUGUCCUUGUACAUUUUGGUUCCUCCAGGAUGGAUCGAGUAUGGAGCGGUGUGGCUCUCCGUCAAGAUCUGUUGCUUGAGUCCCUCAAUGUUAGGUACGCAAAGUCUGUCUCGGUACCAUAACGUCCCUUCACUGUCCGUGAUGAAUUCUGAAGUCUUGCUAAGGUUCAUUUUCUUCUUUAUGCCUCCGAUACUGGGAUGUCCCUGUUGAGCCUUCUUGAUUUGUUCCACUAGGGUGGGUUGUAUCUCCAGGUUCGAUAUGGUGCCCUCAGAGACUAACAUCAUGUUGAGCCGAGUGAACUCUCGCUGAAACUCAGGCCUCAAACUUUGCUGACCGUAACUGUCCGGGCUGGGGUUUCGACUAAGGGCAUCGGCCACUACAUUUGCUUUCCCUGGGUGGUAGUGAAUACCGACGUCAUAGUCCUUGACCAGUUCCAACCAGCGUCGUUGGCGUAAAUUCAGCUCUGGCUGUGUGAAAAUAUAUUUGAGGCUCUUAUGGUCUGUAUAUAUUUCACAGCGAUUUCCCAACAGAAAGUGCCUCCACUCCUUGAGUGCAUGUAUAACUGCUGCUAGCUCCAGGUCAUGUGUUGGGUAAUUUUCCUCAUGUUUUCGCAGUUGCCUGGAGGCAUAUGCGACAACUUUGCCAUCCUGCAUUAGCACACAUCCGAGACCUUUUCGGGACGCGUCACAAUACACCUCAAAGCUCUUGUGUAUGUCUGGCACAGUUAAGACUGGUGCGGUUGUUAGCUUCUUCUUGAGUUCUUGGAAGCUCUGCUCGCAUGCUUCUGUCCAUACAAAUUUCUUGUCCUUCUUGAGUAACUGUGUUAUAGGUUUUGCCACAGUGGAGAAUCCUUCAAUAAACCUCCUGUAAUAUCCGGCCAUUCCUAGGAAACUCCGCACAUCUGUAACAUUCGCGGGUGGCUUCCAGUCCAGUAUGGCCUUGACUUUUUCUGGGUCUACGGCCACGCCUUCUUGGUUCAAUAUAUGGCCCAAGAAACCAACUUGUCUUAGCCAAAAUUCGCAUUUGCUAAAUUUGGCGUACAACUGAUGUUUCCUCAAUUCUCCCAAAACAAUUCUGAGGUGCUCAGCAUGUUCUUUUGGUGUCCUUGAGUAAACUAGAAUGUCGUCAAUGAAUACCACCACAAAUUUGUCCAUGAAUUUCAUGAACACUUUGUUCAUGAGGUGGACGAAAUAUGCGGGGGCGUUUGUUAGUCCAAAAGGCAUCACUGUAAACUCGUAUAACCCAUAUCUGGAAGUGAAAGCUGUCUUGGGAAUAUCUUCCGUUCGUACCUUCAACUGGUGAUAUCCCGAUCUCAAAUCAAUUUUCGAGAAUACCUUGGCCUGUGCGAGCUGGUCAAACAAAUCAUUUAUUCGUGGCAUCGGAUAUUUGUUUUUGAUGGUGACCAUAUUGAGGGCUCGAUAGUCUAUGCACAGCCUUAGUGUCCCAUCCUUCUUUUUGGCGAACAACACAGGCGAACCCCAUGGUGAGGAGCUGGCUCGAAUAAAUCCUUUGUCCAACAAUUCCUUUAUCUGCUUCUUUAACUCCACCAAUUCUGAGGGUGCCAUUCUAUACGGCUUCUUAUAAAUGGGAGCGGUGCCAGGUGCUAGUUCGAUGCUGAAUUCGAUCUCUCGGUCUGGUGGCAUGCCUGGUAGUUCUUCCGGGAACACAUCAGGGAACUCGCAUACCACUGGCACUUUUCUUAAUUCUGCGAUGUCCAUCUUGUUCAGUUUUGGUUUCUGUGAUCGUGGCCUUUCUUGAGCGGAAACUCUUAUAGUCUUGCCGUGAUGGUGAGUGAGAAUCACUGUCCGAUUGAAACAGUCGAUGAAUCCUUUGUUGGUGGUUAACCAGUCCAUUCCUAAAAUGACAUCCAGUCCUUUACUUUCCAACAUGAUGAGAUUCGCGUGGAAUGGUAGUCCUUCGAACUCAAUGACCACUCCUUGGCAGUAACCCUGAGCAAUUUUCUUAUUCCCGAGGGACUAGAUGAUCAUAGAUUUUUCCAAGGGAAGUAUCGGAAAACCGUGUUGUGAAACAAAACUCUUCGAAACGAACGAAUGGGAAGCUCCAGAAUCAAACAAAACCGUGGCAGGUACUGUGUUGACAGGGAACGUACCGAGCACGAUGUCUGGGGCGUUCUGCGCUUCUUCCCUGGUCACAUGGUUCAGGUGACCCUUCCUGUGGUUGUUGCUGGGGUUGAAGUUGUUGCGCUUGGGGGAUGGAUUGUUCCCACCAUUGUUCGGCUUGGGUGCCGUGUCUCUUGGCUUCGGGCACUGUUUAGCAUAAUGCCCUUGUUGACCACAAGCAUAGCAGGUGACCCCUGGACGGUAUGUGAACUCCUUAUCUCUGGCAUGAAACUGCCCGACGGGCCUUGGCUCAGUAGUCGUGGGUCUCCUUGCGUCUGUCCUUGGGCUCUCAGUCUUGCCUCGGUUGCUGCGGGUAAGAGUCGUCUUGUCCCUCUUUCGUUUGCGGAUAUCUUCCAGACUACGGCGCUCAUUCUCCAGGGUGAUGGCCUUGUCCACCAGCGUCUUAAAAUCCGGAAAGGUGUGUACAAUCAGUUGGCAUCUCAGUGCUGGUGCCAGGCCGUCCAGGAAUUUUUCCAUCUUCUUGUUUUCUGUCAUGUGCUUGUCGUAGGCAUAGCGAGACAGUUGGGUAAACUGGCCGUUGUAUUCUGUGACGGACAUGCCUCUUUGCUUCAGGUCAUCAAACUCUCUUUUCUUGAUCUUUAGGAUGCUCCUGGGAAUGUGUGCCCCACGGAAGCCUUCCUUGAAUUCUUCCCAGGUGAUGUUGUGUUCCCUGGGGUGCAUGUGUAGGAAGUUUUCCCCCCAUGCUGCCGCUGCUCCAGUAAGGUAGUGUGGUGCAUAAAGCACCUUCUCAUGAUCUGAGCACUGAGCGAUAAUCAGUUUCCUUUCAAUCUCACGAAGCCAAUCAUCGGCUUCAAGUGGCCUGUCGGUGUGAGCAAAAGUUGAGGGGCGAGUCUUCUGUAACUCAGAUAACUUGGAAUGUGGUUGAUAGGGUUCACGGUGGUUUCCCAUUAUUGAUGACAUGGUUCAUCAUCUCCUGGUGCUGUUGCUGGCUUUGCUCGAAGAGACGGCAUACUUGAGAUAGUGCCGCUUCGCUGUCCUGUUGGCUGGACUGACCCUGAGUGAAAUUGUUGCUGGUCUGUGUUCCGUAAACCUCUUCUGGCUGAUUGGGCAUAGAGCGAGUCCAUGGGCGAGACAUUUUUCCAGUCUGGGGUAUCAUUUGCAAAACCCAUGAGAAAAACUGUGUAGCGCAGGAAAAAUCUUGCAAAGGUAAUAAUCAAAAAGGCUUCUAGGUUUUCAAAGAAACACAAAUGAUUUUUUUCGGAGAAGAAGUGCUUAACACAAAUCUUACAUGCGAAAGCAAACACAAGAUACAGCACUCAGGUUGUGCGUAGACAAUCCUGACAUGUUAUUAAAAACUAGCGUACUACUCCGGAAGGCAGCAAACACACCAACACAAACUAGCGUACAGAUAAAAACAACACAUCAUACAAGCAGGCAUAACACGCGGCUACUCGGUGCUCUCAGUCGGAGAUGGUGAAGAUCUCCUUCCCCUUGCCGAUGGCAAGGCUCAGCGGUCCAGGAGAAUCAACCUCCUCCUCUCUAGUUGGCUCCUGGCGUGCGACGCUGCGCGGCGGUGAUGGUGCGGGGGGCGACUGGUGGUAGAGCGCGUGCGGCAGGCGGUGCGGCUCUGACUGGAGUAGGAGCGAUGACUCGGUCGAACUCCUCAGUGGUAGGCAGACAACGAGCAGUGGCCAAAACGGCCGGUGCAUACGAGGCUGAAGACGAGACGAAUGUCAGAGGCGGCGCUGUGUGGAGAAGCUCCUUCCUGCUGGCAGGACCGCCCCGGACUAAGUCCAUGCGGGCAGCCACAAGAUCAUCUACGAGGUUGUCGAAAGACUCCUCCAGUGCCUUGAGAUACUCCACAACCAUUUCGAUGGCUUCAUCUCGUUCUCCCCGAUGGCAGGCGAACGCAUAGUGGCUGGUGUAAGGCACAUGGCAUGGGAGGUAGCGGUAGCGACGAGUCUUCAUCGUAGGAAGGAUGUCCCGAAGGCGAGCUAUCGCCUCGCGGGCAGCCAUCUGCAUGGCAUGCCUCUCCAUAGGCAUGGCCCUUCCCACAAAACGGAAGUGGCGUGCAGCUGAACGUCCUCCCUUGAACUGCACCACAGCCUGGUGCAUAGACAGGUCGUCACUGAGCUUGUGCUGAUAGAGUGUGAACUCCGGGCGAGCUGCUGGCCCGAUCGCGAGCUUGGUGAUGGAGACGAGGAGCUUGACAAACCCCUCGGGCACGUUGGUGAACACUCGAUUCUCACAGCUGCUGCCAGCCAUCUACAAAAGUAGGCAAAAAUUCUGAGUAGUCAUGUCAUAAAUUUUAUGAUGACCAACAGAAAAUAGCUACAAUUGUAAAAUGCUGAAAAAGCACAAAAGACGCUAAUAACCGAUUAGCGAUCGCACCUAGUGGCUUCCUACAGUCAGCCUGGCUCUGAUACCAAGCUUGUCAUGACCGGUUUUUCAAUAAAAUAAUUAUUGAGAGACCAAUCCCUUUUACGGACCAGCGAAGAAGAAUUCCUUCUCACUGGUAGACAAUAAUCUUGGUCACAGAAGAAAAAUACCAGGAGUACUAAAUAUAACACAAGGUUGAGCAGAGGCUGCUCAACAAUUUAUUACAUGCACGCCGCUAAAACAAUGCGGCGGAUAGGGUGGCAACUACUAACUCACAAUGAUAAAGGUGGUGGAAAUAUCACUGCAAAGCGAGUGACAUGAUUCCAGAAGACUACAACUCAUCGAGCGUCGGAGUGAGGCUCGAGAAGACUUAUUGCGGGUGGCGGAAGCGUAAACAACAUAAGUGACCAAUAUCCGGGAUCGCGCAGGACUGACUGGGACACCUCUAGGCAUCGGACGCGCUAUCAAAAUCUUCAUCCAAGAGAUCGCCUUCGUCAACAUCUGGCCAAAUCAACAAGCCAGGUGAGUACUAUGAAAGUACUCGCAAGACAGUUCGGACAUAAGGUAUAACAAAUGUAAACAUGAAACAUAUGAACAAGUUAACCAGUGCGAUCAGACAUAGAGGUAAUAAAUACUGGGUGCCAAGCGAGGGUCCGAAUGACGCCUCGAGCGGAAACUGCAGAAUAGUAAUGCGGGUGCCAAAUGAGUGUCUGAAAGACUCCUCGAGAGGAAAAUGCGGAACGUUAAUACAGGUGCCAAACGAGUGUCUGCAGGACUCCUCGAGAGGAAAAUGCAAAAUAGUAAUGCCACAGUCGGGCGUCGGGGCGACACCACAUAAAGGGCUUAUAGCAGAAAAUAAAGACAGUGCAUGCCGCAGUCGGACGUCUGAGCGACAUCGCAUAAAGGGCUUAUAUUUAAAGUGAGAAACGAGUACACGCCACAGUCGGACGUCUGCACGACGUCUCAUAAAGGGCUUAUAUUGUAACACAAUAAUACAAUAGUUCGGGAACAUAACUUAUCACAAGCACGAGACAAAUAUAAAGUUAGUCCAUCCACCGGAAUGACAAUAAAACUGAAUUACCAUUUGAGUUUGUUCACCGGGGGCAAGUUUUGUCACAUAGAUAGAUAUGGAUAUCAUUCUUACACUGCUUGAUCAUGGGUACGAUGAUUUGGAAAGAAUUGACUCUGCAGAGUUUGUACUUAACCACAGCCAACGGAUUUCAGUAGUCACGGGGACUAGUUCCGUCUACGGUGUUUUGGAAGAAACACGUCUAACCAGUACACACCCAAUUCAACCAUCCGAAGCCAGGGAUCACCCUCGGCCACAUUCAAGAAAAACCUUGAGUCGGGGAGGCUACAACCUCGCGUAGCAUGGGAUCAAAUUUCUAUACGCGCGCUCUAAGGGGGUGCCCCCCCUCUCGGUCCCAACCGAAAACACCCAUGCCCCCUGACCGGAUGACUGGCUUUAAUCCUGGGCCAAGGUACCAUCAUCCCGGCCUCUCUGUUUGGUGUGUACACGGAAAGAGGUUACCAACUUACUAAACCGUAUCCUGGCAAUGAGACAUGUGGUAGCACGGAAAAGGGAAGGCACGGUAACACGGCUCCAACCAUGUUGACGUCGGAAAAGUCGGAUGACGCAAGGCUGGCAUGCUACAACAAUACCCCCUUGCUGCCCUUCAUGUCAUCACAUGAUUAGGCCACCUCUCAUCAGAGAUCAUCGCAACUUCGGAACAUGCGGGAAAAGAACGACAACGUAGCUCCAACCACGUUAACAUCGCAGAGAGUUGGAUGACGCAAGGCUGUCAUGCUACAACAGUACCACCUUGCUGCCCUUCAUGUCAUCACAUGAUUAGGCCACCUCUCAUCAGAGGUCAUCGCAACUUCGGAACAACCGGGUCGUUGCCUUACGAGCGACGCGGUAAUAAUCGACACUCACAUGCCACGCACAAACUUUCACAUGAACAUGCAAAACAUCUGCCAUAUCAAAUGUUCAAAACAUGCUUGCCUGGUUCGGAGAAGUCGGAGUCUAGCUCGGUGAAGUUCGCGGCUCCGUCACCUCUCCCGGAACCUACGGCAAUCACGAAACGGGUACUAACGUGAAAACCAACACAUGCACAGAAACUUUUCCAAAUAUUUUUCAAAUAAAUCCCAUAAAAAACUAGACAAAAUUUGAAGAUUGUCAGAAAAAGAAUCACUCACAAAUACCUUUUUAUUAAAAAGUUAUAAAGGUUUUUGUCCAGGGACUUAUCUGUAAUGAAACAGAAAAGUUCCAGGGUUUUAACUGAGAAAACAGAAAACGCUUCGGCUGGGAAUGCGCAAGCGCAAAGGAGAAACGUAUUUCGCCCAAAGGCGUCAACAGAAAACGGUUCGCGAAUAAAAGAACAGAGGCUGACACGCGGGGUCCACAUGUCAGGUUUGAAAAGCUCGCCGGCGCCCGAAGACUGCGGUGGACGCCGGCGUCGAACCACGGCGAGUUAGGAGAAACGGAGGGUACCAAGAGCUUCAGCGUCCUCUUCCGCGUCGGUGGGUGGUGGACUCGUCCAACGGGGAGCACCACGUCGACGGCGACACUUUCUCCGGCGGACGGCGGCUUGGGUGAGGAUGGGGAACUCCGGUGGAGGGCUGCAAGCUUCAAAUUGAAGUGCGGGUCAGAGAGAGGGAUGCAUGGUGAAGCUACUGGCAAGUGAAUGGAGGCGAAGGAGCACACACGGGGGCAAAUCGGGCUGGAUCCCGUGGCGGGUCGCGGCGGCCGGAGUCGAGGAAGGAGACCUCCUCGGGGCUCUUCCAGUGGCUAGGCGUGCUCUAGGGGGGGUGCAGGGCUGGUGGGUGCUCGAGUUGAAGCUCGGGGCCCCUAUUUAUAGGCAGAUCGACGGGAUGGCCGUGAACGGUGGAUCUCCGGCGAGCGAUUACGGCGGAGCAGUGGGUUGGCAGGGGGUUUGAGCGGUCGGGCAGCAUCAGUGGAUGUUACUGGACUCGAUUUGCAGCUAAACGGGGUCGGUCUUGGCGUAAUGGCGUCGGUCCACGGUGAGGUGACCGCACGGGCUCAACGGCGGCAGAGAGCGCGCUCCGUGCCCUGCGGUUCACGACGAGAGCGGCAGCGCGUUCGGGGGAGUGGAAGGCCACGCGGCGAGCUCCGGUGGUUUGGGCGGCGCUGGGUGGCGUCGUAGGCGCCGUGUCUCCUGCUGGCGCCCGCAAAGCCGCCGCCGGCGUUGGUCACGGGGUGGCGCACCUUCUGCUGCUCGUUGCCGACGCCCGCAAGGUGCCAGGCACUCGUGCGGUGCAGGAACAAGGGGGCGAGGACGAGGAGCAAGGCGACGCGGUGGCACUGGCGAGAUCGAUGUCCAUCUCUGAAGAAAACGACAGUGAGCACUGAACUGAAUCUCUGAACUUCUGAACUUGACAAUGACCAUGCACUGCAGGUGUUCGACAGGAGGUUUUGGCUAUGAGAUAAAUUUUUCUGGAGCUGUAACUUGGUGAGAUGAUCACUCAAAGCACCCAGGGGCUGCCUGAAUUUACUUGGAAUUUUUGGAGAAGGUUUUGAAUGAAUUUCACCAAAUUUGCCAAAUCUGGUCCAAACUUGCAGCAGGUGUAGUUUGAAAUUUUUGAACUGAAGACUAAUGGAUCUUCAUGGUUCCAGGUUGAGGGUUCAAAGGACUAGGAGGGGAAAGAAGUUUGGUGGUAAAAGUCCAAACAGAAAAUGGAGUUCCUUUGUAAAUCCCCAAGUGGUAGAAUAGAAGGCAGAAUUUUUUUUGAAUGAAAUUUGAAUGGGAAUAAUCACAUGGGGAGGUUCAACUUGCUGGAUUAGGUGUAAAACAUGAUCCAAAGGUGAGGGAAGGAUUUGGGGAGAGGAUUUGCACAAAUGUCAUGGUAAGAAGGGAAAGUUGAAAGUGGUGAAGGACUUUCCAAAAGCCAUAGUGCAAAUUCAAAAAGAUUUUCAGGAGUUAUUUUCCCAAAUGAAAAACAUUUUGUUUUGAGUCCAAAUGAAAAGUAAGAACUUCCAAGACCAAAGGCAGAUCUUGGGUGAAUCCAAACAAAACUUUUGCCAUAAGGAAAAAUAUAUGAGAGGGAGAGUUCUCUUAAAGAAAAAUUUAAAUUGCUCCCCUCAAGUCAAAAUAGAAAUCUUUUUUGAAAAAACCAAAUAAAAACUUGGGUGUCACAUGUUGGAGGAGCAUUGACAAGGCCGAAAGACAUGACAGUAUAUUCAUAAGAACCAAAGCUUGUUCUGAAUGCUGUCUUGGGAAUAUCUUCUUCACGAAUGCGAAUCUGAUGAUAACCCAUCCGGAGGUCAUGCUUGGAGAAGACUUUAGCACCUUUAAGUUGCUCGAAUAGCUCAUUGAUGUUGGGAAGUGGAUACUUGUUCUUGAUUGUCUUCUUGUUCAAUGGCCGGUAGUCGACACAAAGUCGGUUCGUGCCAUCCUUCUUCUGGACAAAAAGAACACCACAACCCCACGGAGAUGAACUUGGUCAGAUCAAACCCAGACGCUCUUGUUCAUCAAGCUGUUUCUUCAAUUCCUUCAGCUCCUUGGGUCCAAGCUUGUAUGGACGCUUGCAAACGGGUAGUUCCGUGCCAGGCUCAAGAUCGAUAACGAACUCGACUGGCCAGUGAGGAGGCAUACCCGGAAGCUCUUCUGGAAAAACAUCUUGGUACUCACAAACGACUGGAAUCCGAUAGAUUGCGUCUAGCUCGCCCUUGUCAUUGAGAGAGAAUAACCGAAUGGUCUCAUCACGAGCGGCAUAGAUGAUCACAUCCUCAGAAGAGUGUGUCAAUUGAAUUUCCCUGGCAGCACAAUCAAGUUGAGCCUUGUGCUUAGAAAGCCAGUCCAUCCCGAGAAUUAGAUCAAUAUCCGAGUCACCAAGGACAAUUGGAGAAGAUAGAAAUUUAUAGUCGCCCAUCUUGAUAGAGACAUCAGGAACUAUCGAGUUGGCUCUCAUUGACUUCCCCGGAGAAACAACACCCAAAGGUUUAUCCAGGUAAGACCAAGUAAAAUCAUUCUUUGCAAAGAACGAUCUUGACAUGAAACAAAGCGAUGCACCAGUAUCAAACAAAACUUUUGCAGGAAUAUCAUUAACUGAGAGAUUACCCAUUAUCACAUCAGUAGAUUCCUCCGCUUGAGCUGCAUUCAUCAUGUUCACCUUUGUAGACUUGGGAUUAUGCUUGACCACUGCAUUGCUGGAAGAUCUCACAGGAGGAGGAGGCGGAAGGCGCCUUUGGUUGAAGCACUUGUUAGCAUAGUGACCUUUCUGCUGACAUUUGUUGCAAGUCACCUCCGAGAGCGGACGAUGAUAAGGAGCAUUAGACCUCGGAGCUUGAUUCUAAGACUUGUUCUGAUAGCCAGGGUUGGGUGGGUGGGAAGAUCCAUGGCCACCUUUGUUCUUCUGCUGGAAAGGCUGACGAAACGGAGGAGGAGGAGGCAACCAGAACUUCUGUUGCUUAGCAGCCACUAGUGAGGAAGAAGAAGACUGAACUGCGUCCCUGACUCUCUUCUUAGAAGCCUCACACUUGAGCUGAGCAGCCUCUUGCUUCAGUGCCAUGUUGUAGAAAUCAUCAUACUUGGUCCGCUCAAAAAGUACGAGAGGUAAUUGCAGAUCUUCUGUGAGGCCACCUCUAAAUUGAUAGAUCAUGCUCUUUUCAUCAAGAACGUCUUGCUUAGCGAAGCGAGCGAGUUUCUGAAACUGGGUAUUGUAUUGAUACACGGACAUGCUACCUUGCUUGAGAUUGCGGAACUCCUCACGCUUGCUCUCAACAACACUUUGUGGAAUGUGGUGAGCUUUGAAGUCUCGGCGGAAAUCAUCCCAGGUAAUCACACGACCUCCUCUGGAAUCUUUGUAUUGUUGAUACCACUCGGCAGCUUGAUCCUUGAGUUGAAAUGAAGCAAACUUGACAAAGUCCUCAGGCCUGACAUUGCUACAUUCAAAAUGCUUGUUGAUGUCCACGAGCCAAUCAUCGGCGUUUGUGACCUCGGCACAGUAGCUGAAAGACUUCGCCUGAUUUGCGAGGAACUGGUUGAGGGUAGCGAAGUGUGGCUGAUAGUUGCCUUGGCCUUGAUUUCCUUGGUUGCCUUGCCCUUGGGUGCCCUCUUGCAAGAGUUGCAAAAUCAUCUGAGCAUUGGCGUUGGUGGCUGCCAUGAUAGCUUGCCAUGCCUCCGGAGGCGGAGGUGGUGGCGUAGGGUUCGCCUGACUCCCAUCAUUGCGUUCCGAAUUCUGACGCGUUGGCGGAGCCAUCCUGAAGAGGGUGACAUCCGUUAGCAUCUUGAUAGACAGAUAGACAAGUUGAAUCAACGGAUAGAAAUUGCAACAUAUAGUCUUCACAAUAAACAUUCGAACGAGGAUGAACGAAUGAAUUCCAUAGUAAAUCAUCACACUUCCAUAAGGUGAGAAGCCACUUGAUAAGAAAUUGAUGAAUGAAAUAACAAGGUGCAACUGGAACAAAUAAGUGGUAAGGAUUACCCAAUCACAAACCAAAUAUCUGCGGGAAGAAAUGCUAAGAGCUACUUGAAUCCCACCUAUAAACUCCCGAAACUUUCUGGUUAUGCAAUCUGGUGUUGGGGAUACAGGGGACACAAAAUAUAUCACCCAAACUAGCAAUCCCUAGAUCCAGCUGUAUCCAUCCAUCAACACAUAACCAAGAAACCUUCGGAAAUCGUGUACCUCAACCUUCGAAAAGCGUCCGUUAUAUGAGUUAUGGCAAUACUCCCGAACUCCCGCCCCAGUACUGGGUAGCGUCGAGGUGAUCUCACCAACAACUGCAUAAAAGAGAUUUUCGUUGUCGGCGAAACUCAGGUAUUCCAGAACUGCAACGAUAAAAUUGUUACGACAACACCUCGGAGCUCAACUCCGCGGGACACUGCGACAACCCCUAAAUGUCAGGAGGCACCAAGAACAAUGUUCUCGUCACAAAACCAUCGGAACGAUUCCAAGAUACCCGCGUGAUCCUAAAUUUUUUUUAGUGAAAUUUGAGAAGAGGAAAGAGAAAACAUCUACGUCAGGAAACCUCACCAGAGCGACGAAGGGACUGAGGAGUAAAAAGAAUCCUACUCUCCGAUAUAUAUAAUCCUAAGACUCAAAACAUUUUUUUUGUAGACUCAACAACGCUAGCGAUUCGAUCAAGCAGGGGGCUCCUAAGUCGGGGAUGGCUCUGAUUACCAACUUGUAACGCCCACGAUGCGGCUAUAUCUCCCACGUGUCGAGGCACGACUUAGAGGCAUAACCGCAUUGUAGGUAUUGUCGCAAGAAGGGUCAUCUUCACACAAUCCCAUGUAAUGAACAAGAAUGGGAUAACGAGAGUUGGCUUACAAUCGCCACUUCACACAAUACAUAAAUUUAAUUCAUACAUCAUCCAAAAUCCACACAUAGACCGACUACGGUCAAAUCCAAAUGGAAAGAAGAUAACCCCAAAUUCUAGAUCCCCGAUCGUCCCAAUUGGGCUCCACUACUGAUCAUCCGGAAACGAAACAUAGUAACGACCACGUUCCUCGUUGAACUCCCACUUGAGCUCGGUUGCAUCAUCUGCACUGGUAUCGUCGACACCUGCAACUGUUUUGGUAGAAUCUGUGAGUCACGAGGACUCAGCAAUCUCACACCCGCGAGAUCAAGACUAUUUAAGCUUAUAGGAAAGGAUGGGGUAAUGAGGUGGAGCUGCAGCAAGCACUAAGCAUAUGAUGGCUAACAUACGCAAAUGAGAGCGAGAAGAGAAGCAACACAAUGGUCGCGAAGCUAGAAAUGAUCAAGAAGUGAUCCUGAAACUACUUACGUUCAUACAUAACCCAGACCAUGUUUACUUCUCGGACUCCGCCGAAAAGAGACCAUCACGGCUACACACACAGUUGAUGUAUUUUAAUUAAGUCAAGUGUACGGUUCUCUACAACCGGACAUUAACAAAUCCCAUCGGCGUCAUAACUGCGGGCACGGCUUUCGAAAGAUAAUACCCUGCAUGGGUGUCCCAACUUAGCCCAUUAUAAGCUCUCAUGGUCAACGAAGGAUAUUCCUUCUCUCGGGAAGACCCGAUCAGUCUCGGAAUCCCGGUUUACAAGACAUUUCGAAAAUGGUAAAACAAGACCAGCAAGACCACCGGACUGUGCCGACAAAUCCCGAUAGGAGCUGCACUUAUCUUGUUCUCAGGGCACACCGGAUAAGCGAAGCGUACAGGUACCAAUGUAACCCAAGUUGCCAAGGGACGGUCCCGCACGGUGCUCUAGUUUGGACCAACACUCAGAGGAGCACGGGCCCCGGNNNNNNNNNNNNNNNNNNNNNNNNNNNNNNNNNNNNNNNNNNNNNNNNNNNNNNNNNNNNNNNNNNNNNNNNNNNNNNNNNNNNNNNNNNNNNNNNNNNNNNNNNNNNNNNNNNNNNNNNNNNNNNNNNNNNNNNNNNNNNNNNNNNNNNNNNNNNNNNNNNNNNNNNNNNNNNNNNNNNNNNNNNNNNNNNNNNNNNNNNNNNNNNNNNNNNNNNNNNNNNNNNNNNNNNNNNNNNNNNNNNNNNNNNNNNNNNNNNNNNNNNNNNNNNNNNNNNNNNNNNNNNNNNNNNNNNNNNNNNNNNNNNNNNNNNNNNNNNNNNNNNNNNNNCUCGCGAAAACCCAAGGGAAAAAGGCUUAGGUAGGCAAAUGUAAGACCAAGGCUGGGUCUUGCUGGAGGAGUUUUAUUCAAGGCGAACUGUCAAGGGGGUCCCAUAAAUCACCCAACCGCGUAAGGAACGCAAACUCAAGGAACAUAACACCGGUAUGACGGAAACUAGGGCGGCAAGAGUGGAACAAAACACCAGGCAUAAGGCCGAGCCUUCCACCCUUUACCAAAUAUAUAGAUGCAUUAAUUAAAUAAGAGAUAUUGUGAUAUGCCAAAAUAUCCAUGUUCCAACAUGGAACCAACUUCAACUGUACCUACAACUAGCAACGCUGUAAGAAGGGCUGAGCAAAAGCGGUAACUUAGCCAAACAACGGUUUGCUAGGAAAGGAUGGUUAGAGGCUUGACAUGGCAAUAUGGGAGGCAUGAUAUAGCAAAUGGUAGGUAGCGCAGCAUAGCGAUAGAGCGAACAACUACCAAAGCAAAGAUAGAAGUGAUUUCGAGGGUAUGGUAAUCUUGCCUGCAAGGUUCUCAGAGUUGUCGAAAGCUUGAUCCUCGUAAGCGUCCUCAAUUGGUUCCUCGAAAGCGUACUCGUCUCUCGGCUCUACCCAAAGCAAGAACACAAACAAAGGACCAACAAUCAAUCACGGGAAAUGCACAAGCAACAUGAUGCAAUACAUGCAUGAUAUGAGAGAUGUGAUAUGCGAUGCAUAUGCGUGCUCCAAAAGGGAAAAGAUGAACAAGGCAUCAACUUGGCAAACCAAGUAUGCCACUGGAAAGAUGAGAUGAUUUCGGUCGAAAUCGAUAUAAAGAUCACAGGAAACGGAUGCACGGUUUGCAAAUGGCAAGCAAAACAAGAAUGACACAAUUCUGCGAUUAACAGCAUGAUAGCACUUAGAACACAUCAAGAAACUAUGCUACAGCACACCAACAUAGCAACAAAGCAUAUGGAAGUGAUCUACAAGAGAUGCUUGACAAAAAAUGAACAAUGAGCUACAGCUAAAUCACACAAUAACAGGUUGAAACAAGCAUGGCAAAAGUGCAAAAGAUAUCAGCUUCACAGACUUAGUGAAAAUACUGAACAUGGCAUAAACAACAUCAGGUAGCACUGUUCAGAGCAAGCAAUCAGCAUGCUACAGGAACUUAUCAUAGCAAAAAAGGCAUGGCAUGAAUGUACUAAAUGCAUAGAAAAAAGUACCUUACUGAUCAUGAGCCAAAAAUGAUCAGAAGAUAUGAUGGCACCCAUGUAAACAUAGCAAGUUCCGUUAACAGGUUUCAAACUUAGCAGAAAACAGAGCAUGGCAUUAACAGAAUUAUGAAGGCAUCUUUGUGAGAUCGAUUCACUCAUCACAAAGCAAUGCAUGACAAAACAAGCAUACCAACAGCAAGAAUACAUGUUCAUGAAGCUAUCCAUGGCAAGAGCAAGUUCAUAGCAUGUAUGGAUCAACUACAACAACCUUGGCAAAAUUGAAUAACAUGUAAACAGUCUGUCAGGAACAUUUUAGAGCAAGAUUGAGACAUGCUAGGGCACUCCAUAAUUGCAAACAGGGGCAUGGAUGGAUAGAGCACAACUAUAUGUUCAAAACAUCCUUACUGAAGUAUCUCAAAAUAAGCAUGGAUCUCACUGUAGCAUCAAGGAUACAUGGCAUCAAAAUAACAGCAGGUAAAGGACUUAGCAAAUUCUAAGUCCCUGAAAACAGAAACAUCACGAAGCCUAGUUUGCAUGCUUGUGCUAGUCACCACAUAGAUAAAAAAAUACAUGUCAUACACCCCUGUAACGAUGGCAUGGCAUAGAUCAAAACACAUGUAGAGCUCAUGCUCAUAAGAUGCACACAUCAAAUGCAACAAAAAUAACAAAACAUCAAGUUCUGAUAAGUAACAGCAGUAAACAACACAGAGCACUCUUGCACCAGCGAUUUGGGCAUCAAUAUGAACUCAAACAAGCAGGACACAAUGGAACAAAAUGAAGAGCAUCUCCUGAUGAACAUGUUGACAUAUCAUGCGCAUGAAGCAGAGCAGCAUGCAAGGAGAUAUGAUGCGAUCAACAGAGCCACAUAAUCUGAGCAAUUCGGGACUUAGCAGAAAAACGAGGGGGGGGGGGAAAUCAACCUCGAUCUAGGGUUUCGUGGGCACGCGAGCUGAGGUUCACCGGAACUUUGCCGGAGUUGGAGGAAGGGCGGCCGGAGCUCGGGGAAGCUCACUGGAGGGCAGGGGAUGCCGGAUCCGGCGCGGAGGGGGCCGGGCGCCGGCGGAUCGGGCGGAGAAGACGGUCGGUGGUGCUGGGNNNNNNNNNNNNNNNNNNNNNNNNNNNNNNNNNNNNNNNNNNNNNNNNNNNNNNNNNNNNNNNNNNNNNNNNNNNNNNNNNNNNNNNNNNNNNNNNNNNNNNNNNNNNNNNNNNNNNNNNNNNNNNNNNNNNNNNNNNNNNNNNNNNNNNNNNNNNNNNNNNNNNNNNNNNNNNNNNNNNNNNNNNNNNNNNNNNNNNNNNNNNNNNNNNNNNNNNNNNNNNNNNNNNNNNNNNNNNNNNNNNNNNNNNNNNNNNNNNNNNNNNNNNNNNNNNNNNNNNNNNNNNNNNNNNNNNNNNNNNNNNNNNNNNNNNNNNNNNNNNNNNNNNNNNNNNNNNNNNNNNNNNNNNNNNNNNNNNNNNNNNNNNNNNNNNNNNNNNNNNNNNNNNNNNNNNNNNNNNNNNNNNNNNNNNNNNNNNNNNNNNNNNNNNNNNNNNNNNNNNNAAGGGCGCGGCGGCGGCGGUCGGCGCUCUUGGGCGCGGACGCCUGCGGGCGGCGGCGGCGAGGGAACAGGCCCCGCGGGCUAGGCAUGGGCCUCGCGGGCCGGUGGGAGGCAUGGGGCGGCGGGUGCCCACGUGGCGGCGGCGGAGUGGCUCCAGGCGGCGGCGAGGCUGACGUGGCGGCUAGAUAUUGGCCGGGCGACGUGGCGGAGGUCGUGUACGGCGCCGGGCGGACACGUCCGGCGGCGCGGAGGAGCGGGGCUAGGGUUUCGGGACCCGGGAUUUCGGAGGAGUGCACAUAUUUAUAGCUAGAGGGAGCUAGGAGACUCCAAAUGAGGUGCGGUUUUCGGCCACGCGAUCUUGAUCCAAAGACGGAGGGCAUGGAAGGGGUUUGGAUGGGUUAUUGGGCUGUUUGGAGGGGUGUUUGGCUGCAACACACAAAAGGCCUUUGCGGUUACCCGGUUAACCGUUGGAGCAUCAAACGGCCUCCAAAUGGAACGAAACUUGACAUGUGGUCUACCGGUGGUGUACCAAGGCCACUUGGCAAACCUCGGUCCAUUCCGAGAACGUUUGACACCCGCUCACGAAAAGAGACAAGAGGGGUGCGCCGGUGCAUGUGGGAGUGUCGGAUUGCAAAACGGACAACGGGGAAAAUGCUCGGAUGCAUGAGAUGAACACGUAUGCAAAUGAGAUGCACAUGAUGACAUGAUAUGAAAUGCAUGACAUGAACAAAAUGCAAAACAAGAGACAAAAACCCAACCACGAAGGGAAUAUCAUAACACAUAGCUGAAAAUGGCAAGAGUUGGAGUUACAAAUAUGGAAAGUUACAUCCGGGGUGUUACAGAGCUCACCUCCAAGGUCGUUGAUAAGCUCGUUCAUGGACUCGCUGUUCCAAGAACGUCGAGGCAUGCCGUGGAAGGUAAGCUUUGUUAAAAACUCAAGCUCAGAGGGCACCGAGCCCCAUCCUGGGUGCCACCGAUCAAAGCUCACCAGCGCACCAUCGCAGAACAAACGCCGGGAAGAUUUGAACACACGACUGCAGUCGAAAGUUGUCCGGAACCUGACGAAGAAAUCAGCCGGUGGCGGACAGACUUCAACGAGAAGUCACUUAUUUGGAUGCCGUGCGCAAUGCCAAGAGCUUUGACAAGGUUGUCCGGCGAGAUGGGAGGCCGGUCGCCGUUGAUGGUUACCAUCAGCACUUUGCCGACAAACUGGUCGUCAAGCGCCGCCAUGCCACUGUUGAGCGACAGCACGCAGCGACCGAAGGCAAGACGGACCUCAGGAUCUCCGGCUCGGAGAUCCGUGUUGACCGGCGACAUGAUAGUGCGCUUGAGUACAGGGAGUAUAGGAGGGGGAUUUGGGGGAACUGGAGUAGGAAUCGAGAUUCCAGAGGUGGGGGAGGGGCGGGAGACUGGGGAUGAAAAGGUAGCAUGAAUUUCGAGCACGCGCCAAUAUGCUCUCGGCGCGCAAGCCCACGAAAACACCGGUGGCGCCCACAUGUCGGCCUAAGAGUCCUUAUUCUUUCUUUUUUGGAGAGCCCGGCCUUUUUUUUCAGGAUCUUUUGAGAGCCCGGCCUGAGAGUCAUAAUUGACCUGUUUGGCAUUGCGUUACUACUCGGCCCAUAUUCAACGACACCUCACUGGCCCAAACAAGUGUACAUCUUUGAAAAGACACUGAGCUCAAAUUAUAUAACUUGAAAAAGGAGAUAUACUCUGAACACUGGAGAAUGGUGAUGCCCUCAUUUAGCCCACCAGUAGUUUGAGACAAUAAACAGUUUGAAACAACGAUAUAUACAACAUUCAAACAUUGACUAGUGACUACUACUGACAUAAACAACAAGACAUGAUAGUUCAUAAGAAGUCUUGCUACACCACCAAAACGCACCCAUCUGCAGCGCUCAGACUCUCAUGAUCCAGACGAGAAUGCCAUUCUAAACAGAAGCAACUAUUACAUAGUAAGUGUGACAUAGACGAGGAUGACCAAAUGACAAGGAAUAUGCAUAACAAAAGAAACAACUACCCAUCCAGAACCAGCAGCAAAGACAACAAAGUCAUUCGAAGAGAUGAUCCAACACCAUCAUAAUUUGCAGCCCCGCUUCAGCGACCAGUGAUCCGGAGACACUAGUACUCCACCCUUUCGAUGCAACAGCCCAAGUACCUAUCAACCUAAAGGCUUGAACCACAUCACUGCCUGUCGUAAUUGAGACAUCCAAGGAUCAAAGUCAAUCCGGAUGCCUUUGUCAUUCUCACCUUCUUUUGGCUGCAGGCUGUAUCGUUGACAAUCAGGGGAGUUUGCUCCUGAACUCCUAGGGCUCGCCGUGUAGACACAGUUUUCCAUAGCAAACAGAGCCUCUCUGCCAUCAAGGUCCUUGCCAACGGUGAUCUCCUGGUUAAUCGGAUAAUUGAGUCCGAGAAACAGAGAGUGUGAACCAAGGCUGUUUACUCGCCUCCAACUAAAAAAUCCUAAAGGCCCCAACAAGCUGGUAUCCUGCUCAUAGACGUAACAACCACUGUCCGGAUACUCACGUAUUACACGGUGCUUGUAUACAGUGGGGUUUUUGCAAUAUAACUUUUCCGGCUCAUGUGUCCGAAUGAUCAUCAGUCUUUUGCCAUCGUCUGAUCAAGCGAGGAACCAGUUGUGCUUCCCUGUUUUUGGCAAAGGUGGUGUGAUUACAAAGGGAAGUAACCGUAGGAACACUGCAUCAUAUUAAAAAGGACAUGCAUUGUUAAUGUAAGACCAACAUUGUUCAGAGUAUGAGUAGGAUAAUGCAAGAAACAACAUUGAUAUGUCCCUGUUGGAAUUGGGAGGAAAAUACAGGGAAAUGUAUACUGGGUUCAAAAAUAUAGAAGUGCCAUGCAUGGUUAUACUCAUGUUAUCUCGCAAUCGAUUCUUCACAGGAAACUACCAUGUCAUGCAUGUUAUGUACUCCCUCCAUUCCCAAAUAUUUGUCUUUCUAGGCAUUUCAAAUAGACACAACAUACAGAUGUAUGUAGACAUAUUUUAGAGUGUAGAUUCACGCAUUUUGCUCCGUAUGUAGUCACUUGUUAAAAUCUCUAGAAAGACAAAUAUUUGGGAACGAAGGGAGUAAUCAUGUUCUGUCCUCACAAACAAAUUCUUCAAGGUAACUAACAGACCAUGCAUUGUUAUAUACUUGUGUUCUGUGGUCAAACUUUUUGUGAGGAUAUUAUUCUAGCCAUUGAUUGCUGAAGGGCGAAUAUAGGUAUGUACACAUGGUAAGCACUGCAGGAUUUCACUACUUCCAAAUAUAGAGUUCUCCAUAUGCACAUUUACUUCCCUAAUGUAUGGUUAGAUGAAACCAACAGUGUGGUGCAUGUUUCUACAUCAUGAAAAUGAGGAAACUAACAUGGCCAUUGAUACACACUCAUUUUUAGUAGUAGUAUAUAGAUUACUGUAAAAUAAGGAUAAUAUCCAUAUAUUCCUAACCGUUUGAUUAUUCAGGGUACAAUUGGCUGUAAUGACAUGGUCACAAUCGCAUGAAUUAACUCAUUCCAAAUAUAGCUGAUUUACGGCGUCUCUAAUACAUUGCCAUAGUUCCACUCAAAUUCUGCUCAAACAGGGAUAUGCCAAUCAUCACAAAAAGUUCAAACAGUGUCAUGGCGUCAACAUUAACAUGAGACAAAAACAACUUACACGCGCCGUCCCAGCAAUACGUGGUGCCAUCUGCUUUGUCGAUCGCGUAGAUGAUGCCAUUGUGUUCAAUAGCAUCACAGAAGUGUGUCUCAGCUUUGACGAUGAUCCACUGCGAGCCGAGUUGUCUCCAGCUAAAGAAGGCACCAGCGUAAAGAUAGGCGAGUCUGCGGUCGAACAAGGCAAUUAGCUUGAAGUCUGCGUAAUUCCAAUGUCGUGUGGGCACUUGGCAGAUUACAAUCUUCUGCAAAACAAGGUCCGUCCAACUGACGUAGUAAUCUAGAUGACUUGGACCGCGAUGGUAAUACUCUAUAUAAUCCAACGGAGGAAGGAUAAUCUCAUGGGAGGUCUGGAAGUUCACGAGCACCAACUUUUUACCGUCUUAAGGCAGCCAUCCAGUGGGAGUUCAUGCCGACCCAGUACAUACCUGCCAAGAAGUUUCGGGCGAUGGUGAUCGGAUCGAUGUCGAGAGAAAUGAUGUACGGCGACCCACUACAUACCUGCAAAGAAGUUUCGGCUAAUGGAGAUCGGAUUGAAGUCGAGGGGCAUCAUGCACGCCUCCGUAUCAUGGUGAGGCAAUCUCGCAAGACCAGAUAGCAGCAAGCAGGGUGUCUUGAAAAGCUUAGGCCUCGCUUUGACGAUGGCCGUGUGCAUGUCCCUCGAGCAUGCAGCCAGCCGCAGGGCGCUCAACAUAUCCAUACACGAACAGCAGAGGUCGAGGAUGUCACUGGGGAGAUUGCUCCAAUCGCGGCUCAUAUGGAUGCUGCGUGGUUCGCGUUCGGCCAUGGUGGAGUUUGGAAGGGGGCUGGAUUUACGGGGGAGAAGGAUGUCGGUGCUGGAGCGGCUAGCGAGGGAAUAGUGGUACUGGGGGAGGCGAGUGAGGCGACGGUACACGGGGGCACAGUGAGAUGGAGACGGAGACGGAGAAGGACAUGGAGAUGGAGUGGUGCUAUGGGAGCGGAGAGGGAGACGAGGCAAGGCGCCAAUGUGUUGUACAGCGGCGGUGACAGACUACACAGUGCACAGGGUGAGGCUGACUUUGGUAACCCGAACACGCCGCUUGGACUAGUGUCAGGCGCAGGGUGUUGUCACUUCACUGUGAGGACCAGAUGAAUAGUAUUUUGACCAUCAAGUGUACCACAGUUGUACUACUACUACUACUACUACUACUACUACUACUACUACUACUACUACUACUACUACUACUACUACUACUACUACUACUACUACUACUAGUAGGAACAUGAGUACUCCAGUAUUGUAUAGCGGAAAUAGGUCUCCCGUGCUAGCAUGCCUGUUCACUUCAUCGUUCAGGUAUCAUCCAUAUUCCGAGCAUAACCAAAUUCUCGUGCAUGCCCAAUCAACGCCCUGCCGCGAUGCAUGCAGUGGUCGUUCUGGUGCAUCAAGGACGGCAUGCAGAUCGUUCCACACUUGAGAAGAGGAAAAAUGGAAAGGUAGAACGCGGCAACAGAGGAAGAGAACGUUGGCUAACGAGGCUGGGAGGGGAUCGAGCAGGAAGUUAAUGCUCCACGCCUAAAGGUUUUGGGAAAACCUGAUUUUCAUAAGGUGACUUAUACUCACCUAAAUGGAGGGAGUAUUCCUUAACCAGAGAAUGUUGUGUCUCCCACUCACGCGCUCAAAAAAACUACGACACAUUUUUUUAUCUGUUUGCAUAGGUCCCACCUAUCAGGAAGGAUGGGCACAUACAUGAACAGGUACGACUCAUCAGUCUACCUGCAUAGCCUUUUCGUUUAGUCUACCUAGCCGUCUAAUCAAAUGCCUGCACGCCACUUCUCGCAUUUACUUCUCCAUCGGGAACCGAUUCUCCUUGGCUUCUCCACCUCCCCUUCGUCUUCAUUUGCAUCCAAACCCCACUGCGUUCACAUUGUUUUAACCUCUUUAAAUAAUCAUCUACUACUUCAGUUAGACUAGCCAUCUAAUCCUAAUUCUCCAAACCAUAGCCCUCCGUUCCAACGGUUCCAAAUGGCGAAAGAGAUCGAGAUGCAGGUUUUUAGCGUCCAACAUGUCCUCGUCGAAGGCUCGAUGCGCAUAGUUGCCACCGUCACCGUCCACCCAAGGGUUGUUCGGCAGUGGAUCAACAAUGUAUCCAACUCCCUCGAAAAGGUAGAGACGAGGGUCAUCGGUCUCGACGCAGAGUACACGGAGCGUGCCCCUGGGAAGAUCCAGCGCGCCGCCGUCCUUCAGCUGUGCCUUGAAGAUGAUGUUUUGGUGUACCACAUCAUACACUCGCCCUCCAUACCAGGUGAGCUUCACAAUUUCCUGUCUCGGGAGGACGUAUACUUCUGUGGGGCAGCCAUCGAAGGGGACAAACAGAAGCUGGAGUCGUACAACCUUGAUUUGAAAAGCAUCGCUGACCUACAAACCAGAAUCAAAAUUCCUGUAGAAGAUUGUGAUAAACAAACACCAUCCCUAUUCGACGUAGCAAAUUUUGUGCUCGGUACAAAUCUUCAGAAGGGUGACGAGAUGGUGGCAUUAAGGUCGUCUGGAUGGGAGAAUUAUCCCUUGACGUACGAGCGGAUAAAAUAUGCUGCCCUCGAUGCCCGUGUGAGUUUCGAGAUAGCUGCAAGGUCCAAAGAGCUUGUUGCGAAGCCGUCUCCCACAGAGAAUGAGAACAAGAAGAAGAAGAAGAAGAAAAGGUUGCACCAGCAGGAGGGUAUUAUGGAUGGAUGAACUAUUUCCUCUCUUGUAAAAAAAAUUAUUCCCUCUCGGUAUUGAUAUAGAUGGACUAUUUCGAUGGUGUGCAUGUCUUUGGAACAGAGUAGUAGCGUGGGUCCGCUUGACUAUAAGGAACUAUUUAUCUGCAUAUAUAGCUUUCUUUGCUACUCCUUCCAGUGAUCGGUAUGCAGUGCAUGUGUCCGUAGACAUGACAGCUUGUACAUGGAAGUUCAACUACGGCGACCAUCACGUUUCAUCUCGUGAUUCCCACGACGCCUCUCCAACCCACGACACCACGCCCCCGACGUGCGCCUCACCCCUCUCGGCCGCACCACCCCUCUGCCUUUGUGUGCAUGACAUGUGGGCCACCUAAAAUGCGGCGAGCAUCAUGUUUCUACCACAGCCACCCGCGAUUCCCACGACGCCGCUCGAACCCAUGAAACCACACGUCCCCUGACCUGCGGCUCACCCCUCUUGGCCCCACUGCCCCUCUGCCUACGGGAGCAUUACAUGUGGACCACUUACCUGUCGGGUCCACAUGUUAUUGACUCAAAGGUAGGUGUAGUAAGGUACUGAAGCUCAGUCCCGACGGCCCUGAGAGGGAAAUGUAACUCCUGCGCCAGGGCUUGUGGUGCUCCCGCAGCACGAACUCGUGCCAAACUCGAGAUUUGUUUCUUUACUAUACAUGCACGCAACGAUUUAAUGGGCAUUGUAAUCUGAACAUGUGAUGGGGAGCUCUAAAUUUGAAUUUGAAACUUAUAAAACAAAAAGAUUCAAAACAAAUAAACUGGGAGAGAGGGAGUAUAUCGUAGGAUGUGUCCCAUACAAAAUAAGUCCCCUGGUUUGUCACCGCGAAGGUGCGGUUAGAAAGGAUGAACAUCAAGAUGCAUUUGUUUUUCAACUACGGCCACGCCGCGCUGGAGAGACCCCCAAGGAAACAUCCUCGUGCGUUCCAUGGAACAUCAAGAUGCAUUUGUUUGAGUAGUUUAUCUUGUGAGAGAAAAGGAUGAACGAGGGAAGGCCUCUAGAGAUAGAGAUGGACACUACUACUACCAAUGUGCUGGCCCGUGCGUUGCAAUGGAUCCAAAGUAGUAGAAUAAUACUUUUUCACGUGCUUGAAAUAUAAACACUCUAGUUUUGAUAUACAUGUGUCAGCAGACAUGACAGCUUGUCCAUGGAAGUUGAACCACGGCGACCAUCACGUUUCUUGUUUCUACCACUGCCACACCCACACGUGAUUCCCACGAUGCCGCUCCAACCCACGGCACGACGUCCCCCGACGUGGACAUGGAUCCUCUGACGUGGCUAUCACUGCCUUGCUCUGCCUUUCCUUCGCUGAUAGGUGGGACCCACGCUUAUGGGUCCCACAUGUCAGUGACAGAAUGGUAGGAUUGUUCGCGUCAGGGGAUCCUCAUCCCCCCGACGUGCCCCUCAUCCCUCUCGGCCCCACCGCUCCUCUGCCUUUGUGUGCAUGACAUGCGGGCCAGCUGAACUGCGGCGACCAUCAACUUUCUACCACAGACACACCCGAUUGGACGCGGUUUGCCUGCUCCGCUGCUGUGCUCCGAUCCGUACUCCCGCACCAUCAAAUUUUCAUCCAGCGGCUGUGACACAUUUCGUCCCGGUCAUCAAUCCUCAACUGGGAGUACUUAUGUACUACAGGUAGUACCCGCCGGUGUGGCCAUCUAUGCCUCGUAACGCCCCGACGCCCAGCUGUGGCACCCUCGCCACGGCCAUGCCACCACCGGCCGGUUCAUCUCGAAUGAGUGAGUCGCGAACCAUGCCACCACCAUGAGAAUGACAUGUGGGCCAGCCGCAUUUAAGGUCUGCAUGUCAUUGACUCAUAGGCCGGGCACUAAGCCACUGAAGUUCGGUCCCGUGGGCCCCGAGAGGGAAAUGUAACUCCUGCGGCAGGCCUUGUGGUGCUCCCGCAGUACGAGCUCGUGCCAUAACUGGAAUUUGUUUCUUACUACUACCAACUAGUACUUGUAAGGUACACGUGCAUUGCACGCAUGAGAUUCUGGUGGUUUGUGCAUUAUGCUUCUACAUGUGGAGCUUUCCGGAUUCUAACAUGUGGCAAAAUCUGGUGGAAUGUAAGGUUAGGCAAGUUUGAUUAACUUAGGUGAGUGUUUGGUUCAAGCCACACCUUAGGCAAGCCACACUAAGGCCCCACAUGAGAUACACACAAAAAAUGUGGCAAGAUUCCCUUAGGCUUGCCAACUUGUGGCUCUCAUUUUGAAGAACUAAUAACUUUGCCUAAGCUUAGUUGUGGCAAAGUUAGUCAUGAAUUAAGUUCAACCAUGGAGUCUUCUAGAUUAUACAUGUGGCAGAAUCUGGUGGAUGAUAUCCAACGGCCAGUAGUGCUCGGAUUUGCCAUCUUUGUACAGUCGGAUUGGCUUCAUCCAACGACCAGCUUUCAAAGUUUUUCAUACACUAUAUAGGGGGUAUAGAUAUAGAUGUGCCGUUCCGUUGCAAUGGAUCCAAAGUAUAUCUAUUUAGUGGAGUGCACUCUAAACACAUUAUCUAUUUAUUUUUCUCUAACCUUCCGUAGCCAUGCAACCCAGCCACAUAAGCUUCAUGGGUGCCCCCCACAUCAUAUUAUUCACACUACGUUGAUUGAAAAAAAGAUAAAUCACCCAAAACAAGAUCUUCCCGUUUUUUGUUCCUACGAUGUUGUGUCGUGCACGUACCUACUAGUUGUAUAGUGGUAGUACUAGUAAUAUAGUAUUAGGAGUACAAACUUGGUACUAGUAGGAGUAGUACUAGUACGGAAUGCUCCUACUCUAUCAACGAGCCCCGUCUGACACCAAAUUUCUUGGCUUCCGUGCUACAACUAGAUCUUCCCCUCGUUUCUGUUUUCCAACCCGGCGGCGGGCGGGGUGUCGGUUUGCUCAAUGGCGGUCCCACAUGAAAGUGAAAAUGCUAGGCAACACGCCUUCCGUAAGCUAUGUGUCGUGCCGGAUGGGCCGUGUUGUACUCCCGAUUCCCGGGCGUGUGGGGGUGCGACGCGAACGCGACAGACCUUUUCCUUUUACCAGCAAUGUGCCCGUGCGUUGCGACGGAUCCAAAGUAGUAGAAUAGUAGUAUUUGUUCACAAACUUGAAAGAAAUCACUAUUGUUUUGAUAUACUCCUAAUAUAUUACUCCCUCCAUACCUAAAUAUUUGUCUUUUUGAGAUUUCAAAUGGACUAUCACAUACGGAUUAUAUAGACAUAUUCUAGUGUUUCUAGCAAGAUGCCCGCGCAUUGCACGAAGUUGAUGGAAAAGGUAAGCACAACUUAUAAAUUGACAGAUGGAGUACUAGUUACAGUGAUGCAUAUAAUUAAGCAAAGGGAUCGCACAUGUCGGUAUUGACUGGAACGAGAAUGCAACAUCACAAUAAGAAUUAAGGCCACGAUGAUGCGAUCGCAGUGGUGGUUACAGAAGGCAAGAAGAAAGAUGGAUCCACGAACGUACGACCUCCUCCUCCUCAACUUAGUGCGUCGGGCCACCGACCGGCGGCUAAGGAGCGGCGGCUUUUGUGGUGAGGUCGAGGUGCUUCUCAGCAAAGGCAUCCAAGUCUUCCAGUCGGUUGAGGAAGGCCAACGUCGUAGCGUCCUCACUGGCCUUGUAGAUACCUAUGUACACGAUUUGCUUGUACACGUGGAUGUGUAGGUCGACGAAUUCUUGCAGGGCGAGGCGCCUCGCAGCGAGCGCGACCUCCAGGUGGACAUUCUUCGUGGCGUCGGCGGGCAGUCGCAGGGCCACCAGUGCUUGAAAGAGGUUCCGGCCAUGGAGGCCGAUUAGGGUGGCAGGCAAUGAGGAGCCCGGGCGCCCGGGCUGGAGGAGUACGACGAUGUCGUCCGCGAUCUUCUUGAGGACGGUGAACUUGUUGCUGGUGGCAACGAUCAUCUGGUCCAACUAAGAGUCAUAGUUGGCGUCGACGGCGGCCAUCCACCAGCCGGUCUCCAACACCGUUUGGAGACGAUCCUCGGCGCCAUGCCGCAGGCCUGCGUCAUGGACCAUCUGGCGCAGGCACUGGUCGCUCACGCGCAUCGCCGCCAUGGGUCUGGAGUGAGCUCUUUUGCGCUUAGUGUAGGUGCUUAGGCAAAUGCUUAGGUGCGUACGAUGUGGUAGAUGCAUUGGAAUGGAGGGGCGCCUUUAUAUGAGGGCAAUGAGGGCAAACUGCGUUGCAUUCACAUCGUGCAACCUCUUUUCCCGGACCUCCUCCCAUUACUUCCCUCAUGCAUUAAUUGAAGGAGGAUGCAUUGGCUAUUCAACAUAUCGGGAACCGCUACUCCCUCCCUCGUCUGCAUUAAAGCCGUAUCGGGAACUGCGCCGCCCGCUGUCAAAUCGAAUACUCCCUCCGUCUAGGUGAGUAUUAAGUCAUCUUACGAAAACCAAAUAGUAAACACAUAGGCGUGGUGCAUUAACUCUCACGUUGUUUCUUAUUUUUUGACAUAAAUAGAGGAAUCAAGCAAGAAGAGAUGUGGGGCUUGUAUGCUUUUAAUGACUUGAGACUAUCAAACAUGACAUGCAGUGGUCAGUUCGUUGCACAAGAACAAAUACAACCCACGUCAGCACACACGCAUCUUAUAUAGCAUCACAUCCAAUGGCUAUAAAAGAUGAAUGAGACCAAAUUAUAUCUCAUCUAGAUGAGUUCUAGCAAAACUGUAUUAAUAAUACUAAGUACUCCUGCGCCAUGUAUCAUAUAUUAGUAUCAUGUAGUACUUUAUUUAUUGCCAUGUAUGACACAUAGUACUCAACUCUCUCUCUUUCUUCAUUUAAUUCUAUGACACCUCAUCAAAAUUGCUAUGGCUAGUACCAUUACAACCAGCCUUAGCAAAUACUAAACAUUAAGUUCUCUCGUUUUCCUCUCCACCUUGGUCACCUAGAUGGAGGGAGUAUACUGCGCGGGCUUUUCCUGCGCGGUAGGCGGGGCAGUUCCGCCUAGUCGGUUCGACAGAGAAGCGAGAAGACGAGGGAGUAGGCUGCUGCAAACGUAGGGCUGUGUGAUUUGACAGCGAGUUAUUGCUGGACAGGUGGGGCCCUGUGAUUUGACUUGCCAUUAUCAUUUUAACUGCAGCGCUACGACCGGCGUGAAUCUCCCGAUUCCUGACCACCUCCAUACAGGUGCCUCUCCCAAUGCUCCAGCAUGUAGUAGAGGCUGGCUCUUGCAUGAGAGCCCACUUCUCCACUUUUUCCUUGCCUCUCUUUCCUCCACAUAUGCAAAAAUGCCAUGUAAAGCGCACUAUUGUACUUACUUGCUCCUACAGGUGCUUAAGCUUGCCACAUAGGCAUAAAGCCUGAUGUGGCAAGUUAAUCAAGAAGAGAGAGACUAGUUUGGUGACCCAAGGAAGAAACGGUGCUAAGCGCGUGUACCAAGGUGAAAAGACAAUUUUGAGUCUAUAGCUAAUCAAAUGAAGCAAACUUAGCAACACCAUUUCAUUGGAAGAGGUCACUCCUUGGCAAUGCAAUAAAUACUAGUACUCCCUGUGUCCCAUAAUAUAAGAACGUUUUUGGCACUACACUAGUGUCAAAAACAUUCUUAUAUUAUGGGACGGAGGGAGUACGAAGAAAGAGAUAGAGAGAAGUAAAAAAAUAAAUACACUUAUAGCCAACCUUAUAGCCAAAACCUUGUUGUAGUACGAGUGACUAAGUGAUGACUAUGUAUGACAUGCCAACAUCAGAUAGCCUAACGCACCGUGUUAAAUCUCCAAGGGCGCGACCACACGAGCGACGCGACGGUCGUGGUAGGCGCGACCACGAUACGGGCUGCUGGCAGCCCUUGGAUCUCAGAUCAAACGGUCGCAUGCUAAGUUGCUGAAAAUUUGCAGAAUAACCCUCCAGGAUAGGAUUUCACCCAUAGGUCUAGAAUCACACCAUGCAACUGUUCGAUCUCAGAUCCAAGGGCUCUCGGAAGCCCGUAUCAUGGGAGAAUGGAAAGCCACUACCCUGCCGUUCGCACGCUGGCAGUUCGCUCCUACUCGUCCCCGCACGUCCUUCAAUACUACGGCGGUUCGCUCCUAGUCGUCCCGUCCAUUCACAUUACGGAAGUUCCACUAAUCCUAACCCUCCUCCCAAAUCCAUGGCGUCCCAAAUCUCCCCGAUCGGCGGUGAGUACAAGGUUAGAACCAUCACCGGCAAUGAGUUCGACGUCAUCUACACCCGUUCUUCCGCGACGGUGAAAGGACGCCUUUCUCGCUUCAGACGCAUGUUCGAAGACUCAGAUGAUGAGUGGGUCACUGGGCUAGAUGUUGAGUACACCACAGUCCUGGCAUGAGAGAAGGAUCUAAAGGACGAAGAGAGGAAGAAGCCCGCCGUGAUCCAGGUUUGCGUGCAUGACUUAUGCUUGGUCUACCACAUAUGCCAUGCCGACGUUGGGUGCCAGGAUUUUAAGGACUUCCUCGAGAGCAACCUAGUCAAAUUCUUUACUGUAGACUUUGGUAACGACAAAGAAGUCCUGCGUCGGAUAGGCCUCGUUGUAGGCAACACCUUCGACCUCCAGAAGAAUCGGCUGGUGUCCUCUCGUCAGCCUUCAAUGCUGACCCUGGCAGGAGCCAUGGUUCAUCCUUCGUACGGUAAACUGGAGAAACCUCCAUACACGUUUCAUGGUCAUGCAUGGCAGCGGAAUGUACUAGAUAUAGACCACAUCCACUAUGCUGCAAUGGAUGGCUACCUUUGCUUCAAUAUCUACAAGGGUUGGAUGAAGAGCAACAACCAAGUGUGCGGUUCAAGCAAAGAAGUAUUGGCCAAGAGGAAGAGGGACAAGGACGAAGUCGAGGACGUGGACGAGGACUCCGAGUAAGGUGGCAGUGUCGUUGCUCAUGGUGGUUCUAAUGCAGUGUCUACCGGAAUAGUUGCAAAGUUUAAUUUCAGGUGUGCUUAAUUUAAUUUGAGGGGUGUGUUGUGCUGAGCCCCCAGCAGAACUAUGUUAUGUUUCUUCUUGUUACUUUAACUCUUCAGUACGUACAUACUAGUAUUUCUUACAUUUCAUCUUUUAGUUGGUAUGGUACUACCACUCGUUUCUUCACAUUAUAUACGUACAAUAUAUAUGGCCAACAUCAUAUAGCCAGCAGUUUAGUUGUCAAAGAAUUUCAGGGUGCUUAGUUUUGUCAAAGAAUUCCAGGGUGCUUAGUUUUAUUUGAGGGGUGGGUUGUGCACUUGGGCUGGACACCAUUAUUGUGACAAGCCUUUUUAAUAGUACUAUAUGCAUAAUUUGGCGACGAGCGUUCUCUAUAUGUACCACCUUUUUUUUAAUUUCAAGUUUUGCUCCAUGGCGCAAUCCAUCGAUACUACUACUGUUCAAAAGUGGAGUAUAUACAUUUUUUAAAAGGCUAGAGGGCAGGGCAGUCUAGCUCGGUCGGUUUCACGAGAGGUGAGGGCCUUUGUGAUUUAACGACUCAUUACUGCUGUUAAAUCAAAUAGUACUGCGCCGCCCGCUGCACGCCCGGUGCCUCCAUUAAACCCCUCCGUUAAACUCGCAUGCAAACCGUGAAUCCUACUCCUGCCACACGUCCGUUCAUGAGCGGGCCGGAAUUAAACGCAACACCGGCCGAGCUCCUCCCGUCCGCCCUCAGUUUAAACGAGGCCAGACGCCGGCCAAGCUCCUACCAUCCGCCCUCUAUUUACACGAGGCCAGACAGACAGCGGGCAAGAAUCGCACCCCUCCGCCGCUCCCCAAUCUCCUCCUUCACCAUUUUCUCCACUCUUCCGAUGGCUUCCGAUGAGCCGUUCUCCGGCAUAUUACUCGGCUGGGUGGCCCGCCGAGCCCUCCGGAUACGGGCAAGGCCGCUCGGUGCUUCACCAACCUCGCUUGGCCUGACGGAGCCAGUUGCCGCCCCAAGCAGGCGCGUGGUUCAGCAACUCGCUGCUCCAGUUCAGCUCGAUGAGGAGUGGCGAGUUGCUCCACGCCGGCACGGCGGCUAGCACGCCGGUACGGGUGCCAUCGUUGCCGCGUCGUACCGCGCCACCAGUGUCUGCGGUGGCUGCGCCUCCCGUGUCUGUGGGCGUGCCUCCCGUGCCUGCGGCAGCGCCUUGCAGGCAGAGACAGAAGCCGGGUGCGUGGAGAGCGACGAGUCGGUGGCCAGCUUCUCCGUGUCCGCCGCCAUCAUCGAGGAGAAGUAGAACACGGGAGGCCGCCACCACUUGGGACCCAUGAAGGCCACCGCCGAGGUGACGACCGCGGAUUCAGGUGGUUUCUUUGCUGCUUCGUCUCUUCCAAGGACCUUCGUCGACCCCGCAAGUGUCUGAUGGACAUGAGGAAGACAAAGGGAUCCGCGGGCAGCCAUUUAGAACUAAAAUAAGUCUAGAUACAUCCAUUUCUAGGACAAGUAUUUCCGGACGGAGGGAGUAUUAAUUAUACAAGAGAGCCGGAUUGGCACCUCUUAGUUCAUGUAAAUGUAAUGAAAUCCAUCAUGUUUAUAUGAAGAUCCGGCUUUUUAUACGAAAUCCUUCAUGCUUAUAUGAAAUCAGUCCGUGUUUGCACGAAUUUCAUCUGGUUGGUUAGAGUUGUAAAAAUGUAUGCCGCUGGCGUUUGAUGUCGUCCUCCGCUUAAGGAAGCAGGAGGAAAUUUGUCGGCUGCCGUUGGAGAUGCUCUUUAUGCUGGAAAUAAUAGAGUGACAUCCAAUCCAUUUGAGUUAAUUGACUGUAUGAUUGUCCCUCUAUAAAAAGUUAAUUGCAUGUACAGUGUACACGUGACUUGCAGGGUGGCUACAGCUUCGUACAGAAAGUUAAAAAGAAACAAGUCCAUCCUUAAUCUUGUAUUCUAAGUACUCUGUGGGUUCCACUGUCAGUACAGUAGCGAAAGAAGUAUAUAUUAAAUAAGUAGAGUAAUAUAUAAUAUAAAAAUAUAAAGUUAAAAGACAGAAUUCAAACUCAUGUCAUCGCGUUGCGAGCAUCCGGCGCUAACCAGCCCAACACAUUUUUGUUGUAGACCAUGCUGGAGAUAUAUCUCCAUGUCUACUCUUAUAUAUACUCCAUUCGUUCCUACAUAUUUGUCUUUUUUAGAUUUCAAAUGGACUACCACAUACGGAUGCGAUGUAGACAUAUUUUAGAGUGUAGAUUCACUCAUUUUGCUCCGUAUGUCUUUUCAAGAAGGGGUCAGAUUUGUCCUUGAUUUAUUUAUGAGGUAUCCAGAUGGCACUGCACCGCCAAGAAAAGAGGGUAACAUCAAAAUUAUGGACUACUUUUUUGAGUAUGUUGGUAAGGUCCGGUCAUAGUCACUUGUUGAAAUCUCUAAAAAGACAAAUACUCCCUCCGUCCGGAAAUACUUGUCAUCAAAAUGGAUAAAAGGAAAUGUAUCUAGACGUAUUUUAGUUUUAGAUACAUCUCUUUUUAUCCAUUUUGAUGACAAGUAUUUUCGGAUGGAGGGAGUAGAAAACAGAGUUGGUGAUGAUGGUGUGCGUGCCAUCCUGCAAUAUAGGCCGUCGGAUUUAUAUCUAACGGAUAGGAAAGAAACUAUGGCAAUUUUGCAAAAAUAUACCCACACGUCUCUCCACGUUCGCAANNNNNNNNNNNNNNNNNNNNNNNNNNNNNNNNNNNNNNNNNNNNNNNNNNNNNNNNNNNNNNNNNNNNNNNNNNNNNNNNNNNNNNNNNNNNNNNNNNNNNNNNNNNNNNNNNNNNNNNNNNNNNNNNNNNNNNNNNNNNNNNNNNNNNNNNNNNNNNNNNNNNNNNNNNNNNNNNNNNNNNNNNNNNNNNNNNNNNNNNNNNNNNNNNNNNNNNNNNNNNNNNNNNNNNNNNNNNNNNNNNNNNNNNNNNNNNNNNNNNNNNNNNNNNNNNNNNNNNNNNNNNNNNNNNNNNNNNNNNNNNNNNNNNNNNNNNNNNNNNNNNNNNNNNNNNNNNNNNNNNNNNNNNNNNNNNNNNNNNNNNNNNNNNNNNNNNNNNNNNNNNNNNNNNNNNNNNNNNNNNNNNNNNNNNNNNNNNNNNNNNNNNNNNNNNNNNNNNNNNNNNNNNNNNNNNNNNNNNNNNNNNNNNNNNNNNNNNNNNNNNNNNNNNNNNNNNNNNNNNNNNNNNNNNNNNNNNNNNNNNNNNNNNNNNNNNNNNNNNNNNNNNNNNNNNNNNNNNNNNNNNNNNNNNNNNNNNNNNNNNNNNNNNNNNNNNNNNNNNNNNNNNNNNNNNNNNNNNNNNNNNNNNNNNNNNNNNNNNNNNNNNNNNNNNNNNNNNNNNNNNNNNNNNNNNNNNNNNNNNNNNNNNNNNNNNNNNNNNNNNNNNNNNNNNNNNNNNNNNNNNNNNNNNNNNNNNNNNNNNNNNNNNNNNNNNNNNNNNNNNNNNNNGAUAGAUUAGUAUCAAGACCGAGGUGUCACCCUACUCCUUCGGUGUUGGGAAGUGUGGGUGUGUGUAUGUGCGCGGGGGGGGGGGGGCAGUGACACUCACAUAUCUCUACUCUUAUAAAAACAGAGUUGGUGAUGAUGGUGUUCCUGCCAUCCUGCAAUAUAGGCCAUCCGAUUUAUAUCCGACGGACAGGAAGGAAACUAUGGCAAUUUUGCAAAAAGAUACCCACACCCAUCUCCGCAUUUGCAAAUAAGGCAUUCCCUCGUUCAUCCUUUUCUCCAACAAGAUAAACUUCUCAUACAAAUGCAUCUUGAUGUUCCGUGCAACGCAUGGGCAUCUUGCUAGUAUGGAGAAGGAGUUUGUGUGACACAUAUCUAGCUAUAUUAAGGGAUAGGUAGAUAGCAUAUGUGUGAGAGACAUUAUUAUACUUUGAGACAUUAGUGGCUGUGGGUGGGCGGAAUUAAAGGGGUGGGUGUGUUAGACAUAGAGAGCGUAUGUGUUUCUGUGUGAGAGACUUGUAGGACGGGGUAGAAAGACGAAUUUAACCCUGACGGAGGGAGAGAAAUACACGAAGUGCGCGUGUGUGAUUCCGAUGCCCACAGGGAAAUGAGAUAUGUAUGCGUGUGAGAGAGAUUGCACAAUUCAUUCACGUAUCACUAUCUAGCGAUCGUGGACGUGCAUCGCUUGAACAUAAGUCAAUAUCUACUUCGUAUCAUGGCCAAAGGUACAAUAUCGAUUCAACGCUAUAAAGAUUGGACACUCACAUAUCACAUUUUUCUAUUUAAAUAAACCUUUUCAGUUGUGCAUGCCAAAGUUACAGUGAUGUUUCUUCAAACAACCAAUGUAGCUAUCAUGUAUAUGCACCAUUGUUACUCUUGCAUUCAAAUUCAUUAGUCUGGGAUGAUUUAAGUUUCUAUUUUGAAGUAAUAUAUGUAAUAUUCAUAUAUGAAUUCAACGGGUACGCAAUUUAUGAAAUGGAGGCUAUGUAAUCAUAUGAGGUAACACUUUUAAGUUGCUGACUACAAUAUCCAUUUCUUUUUGUGCGCCUCUACACUAACACGUCAAUGCAUUAUGUUUAAAGUAAAUAACCAAUGGCACUAAAUUAUCUAUUUACAUGAGAAAUACAUAGGCUGAGCGUUUGAUCCCUUUUUUGUGAACGCGCCACUACACCCGUACGAUUGGCCGCGCCCGUGUGAACGUCCAAGUUAUCGGCGCAUCAUCCCGAGUUAUUGUCUUUUUUCUGGGGUGGACUUCACACCAGUUAUUAACUGCUGACGCGUGCCCCGUGUACACAGUCUAGCAUGACCUUCCCGCUAGCACGGUCCAAAAUUAGUUGAAACUGGAUACGAACGAUCCCGCGGGCGGCAAAAUCUCCCGCCUCCUUCUAAAAUUUCCGCCACCUUAGUCUUUAGCAUGCGAAAUCCCCCUUUUGUCCUUGGUGCAAGGAGACCAACAGUUACAAUACCGCCCUCAUCUACAUGAUAGGUCGGGGCUGCUUUGGUAACUUCCGGUUCCCCCACUACACGGCACCCCCAUUUCCUCUCCCCCUCCCGCAAAAACGACUAACUCCAUAGCACCAGAGCAUCUUACAUCACGCCGUCCGUACUUCAUCGCCCUUUCUCCCCUCCCCUCUCGAAACCCUAGACUGCUCAUCCACCGGCGUACCAUAGCCCAUUCACUGCCAGCGGCGUCCNNNNNNNNNNNNNNNNNNNNNNNNNNNNNNNNNNNNNNNNNNNNNNNNNNNNNNNNNNNNNNNNNNNNNNNNNNNNNNNNNNNNNNNNNNNNNNNNNNNNNNNNNNNNNNNNNNNNNNNNNNNNNNNNNNNNNNNNNNNNNNNNNNNNNNNNNNNNNNNNNNNNNNNNNNNNNNNNNNNNNNNNNNNNNNNNNNNNNNNNNNNNNNNNNNNNNNNNNNNNNNNNNNNNNNNNNNNNNNNNNNNNNNNNNNNNNNNNNNNNNNNNNNNNNNNNNNNNNNNNNNNNNNNNNNNNNNNNNNNNNNNNNNNNNNNNNNNNNNNNNNNNNNNNNNNNNNNNNNNNNNNNNNNNNNNNNNNNNNNNNNNNNNNNNNNNNNNNNNNNNNNNNNNNNNNNNNNNNNNNNNNNNNNNNNNNNNNNNNNNNNNNNNNNNNNNNNNNNNNNNNNNNNNNNNNNNNNNNNNNNNNNNNNNNNNNNNNNNNNNNNNNNNNNNNNNNNNNNNNNNNNNNNNNNNNNNNNNNNNNNNNNNNNNNNNNNNNNNNNNNNNNNNNCGUCGACACCAUCCUUAACCCAACCACCGGAGCAGCUUCUGACGCCCCGUCCCCGGCCGCAGAUCCGCGUCGUCGACACCAUCCUUAACCCAACCACCGGAGCAGCUUCACCUACGCCCUCGUCCAUGGCCACAGAUCCGCUUCGCCCACACCGUAGUCCACCCUACCGGAGCCGCUCCACAAACACCCUACUCAACGGUUCUAGAUCUCCUUACCGGACCCCGACAGCCAGCGCAGCGUCAUCACCCUCGACGUUUCUAACCUGAUUCCCACCGUCUAGAGAGAUGCCAAGCACCCGCCACGGCGUAGGUACUUGUCACCUUUAAACCCGUCCAGCAUCACCUGCCCGAUGUACUUCAAAUAUACUAACCGGUCGCUGUUACCUGUUAUGCAGCUGGCAAAAACUACAAGGACGAUGUUUCUUCUGGAUCUAACAGCUUGGCCAACCAAGAUCCUGGACUGAGGCAUUGCUAUGAUCUUGUAAGCGCGUCUCUCUCUUGUAUUGUUCUAUGCCUGCCAGCGUGCUUUGCUAGGAUUUUCGACCAUUAAUCCCUUUGUGCAGACAAUGAUUUCUACUACUGGCUGCUAAAUUAGAUAUGUAGAUGUCAUACAUGAUACUACCUCGUACCUCCAUUCCUAAAUAUAAGUCUUUCCAGAGAUUCCACUAUAGGCUACAUACGGAGCAAAAUGAGUGAAUCUACACUCGAAAAUGCAUCUAUAUACAUCUGUAUGUGGUCCAUACUGGAAUCUCUACAAAGACAUAUAUUUAGGAACAGGGGCAGUACAUUACACAAAAUCGUAGGUGGUAUGUAGGAAUUCCAGUGCACUACAUUAGGCUCCCUUAGAGUGCCUGCUAGUCCAGCAUACAGAGUCAUGGCUAGUUUAUGGUACGCACACAAUCGUUAAUUGGUGGUUUAAAUAUGCGCAAGGGAUAUGCAAUGUAGUAUCAUGUAGAGAUGUCUGAAAUUAGCCGUGUCAACUUGUAGAUAGGGUUACACAAUGAAAAAGUACAAGAUGUAUGUGGCAAUUUCAUGGAACAUCGCAAAAAAAUGAGAGGCAGCGGUGAGCCUAUACAGUGUGCUAUGGUACGUCACUCCUCCAUUGCAAUCAUCGUGACAUGUUAUUUGUAUGCCAGUUCUAUUAGCCAAGUUUCUUAGGGACAGUUAGUAUGACUUAUCCUAAGAAAAUAAGCACCUGUGAAUAUAAGCUCCAUGUAAUAAGCCAACCAGUUCUUUUCAUUGCAUUUUCAGCUUAUCUUUGGUAUGAUCAGUGGAAAGUCUAGAUUGCAUUAUAUUUUUUUCAUUUUGCUGCCCAUAUGGAAAUUAAUUUGACUUGCAAACAUCACAAAUUGAACCCAGUGCAGUAAUUAAUAUGAUAGGAAAACAGACCAUCACUAUUUGCUCAAAAUGCAAAUACAAAGAUACCAUCUACUUGGCACAAUCUACUUUGGUCAAUGUUUUCCAUAGAGAUCCCAUUGCCUAAUUUAAACGAAGAACGCAUGACCCACAUUUAAAUGAAGAACAAUUAUUUAUUGAAAUUCGAUGGUCCAAGUGGCUGGUUAUGAUCGUAUAGCACCACCACCUGAAAGCAUCAUAUAGCAGCAGCAGCAGCUCAUAGCAACUCAUCAUACAGCAGCAGCAGUCUGCAAUUCAUCAUAUACCAGCAGCAACUCAUAGCAAUUCAUCAUAUAGCAGCAGCAGGAGCAGCUCAUACCAAUUCAUCAUAUAGCAGCAGCAGGAGCAGCUCAUAGCAAUUCAUCAUAUAGCAGUAGCAGGAGCAGCUUGUAGCAACUCAUCAUAUAGCAGCAACAGCAGCUCAUAGGAAUUCAUCAUAUAGCAGCAGCAGCAGCUCAUAGCAACUCAUCAUACAGUAGCAGCAGCUCAUAGCAAUUCAUCAUAUAGCAGCAGCAGGAGCAGCUCAUAGCAAUGCAUCAUAUAGCAGCAGCAGAAGCAGCUCAUAGCAAUUCAUCGUAUAGUGGAUCAGAAUGAAAAUUUGGCAAAAAAUCAGAGGAGAUCCUCACCUUGUUGGAUGAGCUCAUCCUUCAACAGCACCUCAAGGCCAUGGCCUGGGAGGAGGGGAGGGGGAAUAAGGUGCCUUCUGCCGCAGUGUGGCAUCAACCGUAGUUGUGCAGCGCCCGCCGGAGUAGUGCGUUGGACGAACCACAGCGGAGCAGCUGCUGGAGACCAUGAGAAUGACGGGCGGCGCCAGAGGGAGGAGCAGCCAGGGAGAUUUGCCCCUACCCGCCGGCCAUGUAGCCUAGCUGGACAUAGCAUCGUCGAGGACCAGGCCAGAUGGGACCAGUGGCGACGGCUCGCUGGAGGAACCCUAGUGCUGCAGGCAGGGGAUCGAGGUAGAGGGAAAGGGGAGAGGAGAUGCAAGCGGGCAGGGCAAUGAAUGCUUGCGUGUUUGUUUUUACUUGAGGGUCAGGUGUGAGACGGGCGUCAGCAGUUGCAUUUUGAGUGUAAUAUAGGCAAACAACAAAGUCAUUUCACUAUUCCCCUUCCCUUCAAUUUUUAGUGAGGUUCUACCCGAAACACCCCCCUCCAAAGCGAAAUUAGUUAAGCCCAAGCCCAUAACUCAAAAAUGACUUCUUUAUAUCUUUUAUGGCUUAUUUUGACAAUAUGCCCUGAAAAGGCGGAAUCGAACUGGCCCUUAACCUGCAAUUCAAUUGUGCGUGCAAUGAUGAAUCACUCCUGCCUGCUAUCUGUACAUUUAGGCAUCAUCAUACAUGGCAUAACCUAAUACAUGUGCAUUCCAUUGUAGAAUCUGGAAUAUGCAAUGUUUAUGUUAGUUCAUACGUUGCACAUGAUAUUUAAAUGCCCCUUAAAUCUGGUCAGUCAAGUGAUGGUCUUUAAGCCUCCUUCUUUGCUUCUUUUCUUGAUAUGUAAGAUUUGCUCACACAUCUGUUCAAUUGCUUGUUUGCAUCAGCCAGCCAUACUAGGACUGUUUGCUUUGAUUACUUGAUGUUCUUGACCUAACACUCUAACAGAGCUUGUCAACGAUUUAAACACUAAGGGCUGCUGUAGUGGGGCCUUGUCUAACUCAUAGGUGACAUAAAGGUUUGGCUGUACACUAUAGUAGGCUCUCCAAGAGUACCUGGAGAUCCAGUUCGAAGGUAUGCCUAGUUUUUACAUAGUGCAGACAUAGUAAAUGCUCAUUUCAUUGUGUGCAAGUGCAAGAGAUGCGGCAUGUUUCAUUAUGUGGUGUUGUUUUGUUAUAAUCUCAUCCUUUUGUGUUCACAGACUGGAAAGUAUGCAUAUUUAUCUUCCAAGGAGACGAGUAACUAGUUUGUGUCACCUUGCAGAGGGGGUGCAAUGAAGAUAAGAUUGAGGAUUUCCAAGUACAAGAUGUUAGGAAGGAGCCUUGCAAGAGAAGGAGCUGCGCUGAGCCUCUUCAACCUGCGAAGGUAAGUCAAUGUAUGCAACUCAACAGUUCAAUUCCUUGUUUGUUUCAGGCAUAGUUAAUUUUCUCUUUUCAAUUGCUUUAUUUGUCCUCAGUUAAUGAGAUGCCCAAAUAAUCAUGCCUGAUGUUCGGUACUUGUAUCACUAUUAGUUGACAUAAUUAAAGGCCUUACCAUUUAAUUACUCUGCCGAAGUGUGCCUGAAGCUUUGAAGUCUAUUAACCAACUAUUAUUGCAUGAGGCUCACAAUCUAGUUUAUACUACGCUAAUGAUUGCAUAGUUUUGCCUGCUGUAGUAUGUUUGUAUGAAACCCUCUGCUGUUCAUUAUGCUCCCUAAGACUUUAAUUGAGGCACAGAAUGGUCAACUGCUUGCUUACUUAUACGCAACGUGCUGUCUAAAUUUGUAACUUGUCUGUGUUUUCGAUUGGGCCCCAACAUCAUGCUCCUCUGGUGAGCUAAGAGGGAUUUCUGUAUGCAGGCUGCACACACUAUCUUUUUUAUAAUUUUUAAAAUAUCACCUUUUUAUGCUUCAUGACGUGUAACAUUUUUUUUGAAAGUGACGUGUAACAUUAUUGUUAGUCCUGUUUUGCCAUGUAGUACAAAAUAGUGUCUUGUUCGCUUCACUGUUGUAACUAUAUUUUUGCCCUAGUCAUGUGUACUUACAGAAACAUUUCAGGAUGAAGUGACAUCAACACAAAGAUCUGCGAGCAGUGCGGCAUGGCCGUUACCGAAUGAUGAUGGAUUGGAAUUGGAAUGUGCUGAUGUUCUCGAGCAUCAACUAGAGGUGGCAAGACAACGUGUACAUGAUUGUCAACGUAUAAUCAACAAGUUGAGACUGGACAUGCAGGUAUUAGAUGCAGGAGUCAAAAAAAUGAAACAAGACACUGAGGUAACCAUGAAGGAAUUGGAGAUUUUUCAGACUGAAAUUUGUGCUAUCUGAAUCCGGCCAAUCCUAUUUUCUGAAGAGAUUAUAGUUCAAAUGGAGUUAAGUUGAUGCGCGUCCAUGAUGUUUGAGCUGUAUUUGCCCAGUGUAUGUAAUUUGCUGUUUGUGUAUGCUUUAUUAUCACCUGUGCCGAACCAUAAUGCCUAGUGGGUAUAAUCGGCUGUAAUUUGUUUAUUGUAUAGUGUAGGAUUAUUCUACCUUUCUAUGCCUUGAUCUCUUUGUUGUAUAGUAUUGAGUAGGAUAAUUCUUUGAAUAUGCUAUAUCGUUCAAACGGGGGCCAACUCGCCCGACCAUGGCCCUUCACGGGCCGUCGGAUCCAUGGGCCUUCUACGUCUCCUAGGAUCCAUGGGCCUUCUACGUCUCGUAGGAUCCAUGGGCCUUCUACGUCUCGUAGGAUCCACGGGCCUUAUACGUCUCGUAGGAUCCAUGGGUCUUCUACGUCUCGUAGGAUCCAUGGGCCUUCUACGUCUCGUAGGAUCCAUGGGCCGCCGACUCAUUUAUGGGUCUUGUACGGGCCUUUAAUGGGCCGUAGACAGGCCUUUAAUGGAAAUCAUACGUUUUAUGGGCUGACCAUAACGGGCCGUUAAUAGGCCGUAUUUGGUGAUGCUAUGAAAAUGGCCCAACAGACUAACGGUCCACAAACGGGCCGACUGUAACGACGGGCUGAAUUUGGCCCACAAGCAGAAAAUGACAGUAACGGGCCGUAAGUAACCGAAUGCUGCAAAUGAGCCCAAGAAUAAAUGGGCCCUCAGAAGGCCGAAAGUUAACUUGGGCUGGAAACGGCCCAACGGAAUAACGGGCCGUCAAUGGGUAUAAAGUGAUACACUGUUCAUUACGGGCCAGUUUCACCACGGGCCGUUAAUGGGUGUAAAGUAAUACACUGUUCAUUAUGGGCCAGUUUCAGCACGGGCCGCUAAUGGGCCAAGAGUUACAAAGGGCCUCAUAUGGGCCGAAAGACGUCAUGGGCUAUACAUGGGCCAGAAGUGAAAACAGGCUGGAAUCAUAUUGGAUGGCCCAGAUGAUGCUACUGGGCCUAAUUCGGAUAGGGCGUAACGGGCCUUGGGUUAGCGGGCUGUAAAUGGGCUAUAUGCGAACAGGCCGUCAACAGGCUUUCCAUGGGCCGGCCCGCCAGCUUUUGACCAAGUCAAACGGGCCAGCCUUUUCACAGUAAUGGGCCACUGUUGGGCCGUGCCAUGUGUCGACGUAUCAUAGGCACCUUCUGUCCAGUGAGUGGAUGACAUCUGUCCCAACGAUGAGCCGACACGUGUUUCCUCUAGCCAAUGAUGAUUUUACACGUGGAAAAUCCCCAUUGGUCGGGGCUGUUAACGGUUAUCGGAUCCAAAAACCCGAUAGCUUAAUGGCGUUCCGUUACGGUGGAUGCCACAUGUCGGUCACCCUUGACAAAAGAACUUCUGUGACGCGCGAUUUAUCGUCAUGAAAGUGGACACUUCCGUGAUGAUAAUUUUGGUAAUGUCAUGGAACACUUCUACGACAGCACAUGUAUGACUAUCUUGAUUCUGUCAUAAAUUUGUCAUCGAUGUACAUGCAUGACAAAAAACGUGACCUACUGUGACAAACACGUAUCAUCACGGAAGUGUAUUUUUUUGUAGUGUAUGGCAGCGGGUGGAGCUAUUACAAACAAGACACUUGAUGAUGCUUUUCUGCUGAUUGAGAGUAUAGCCUUCCACCAACUUCAGUGGUACAAUGAGAAGCCCAUCUCUGAUUCAGUUGCUUGUUUGCAACAAAUCACUUCAUCUCAGCAAGAAUCUCUUACACAAAAGUCAGAACCAGUUUCUCCGUGUAACAAGAUUGAGCUUUCAUGGAUUAUCUUUGAUGAUGAUGACACCAUCCUAGUUGACACACACACUUCAGAUCAUAUGGAUACUAGUGUUGGAGAUUUAGUUUUGCAUUGUGAUGAUUCUUCCAUGGAUGAGCCAGAGCUGCAGUUAGUUGUUUUUUAUAUUGAGGAGUCACCUUUAGUUGAUAUUGAUCAUGUGCUGCUAGAGCCAGAUAUGGAGAAGUUCACCUUCAAUGAUGUUAGCCGCAUUGAUUCCUCAACACUUGAGCCUGAGAUGGAGAGCUUCAUGGUUAAUUAUGAUGAGGUGGAUUCAGAUGUCAAGGAGCCAAGCUCUAGUAUUUCACUUGUUGACAUGAGUCCGGUGGAAAUUUCUACUACCACACCUCACUUGGUAUCUUCAAUUGAGGUAGUCCUGAAGUUUCUUCCCAAGUAUCUCAGGUAUGAUAUCAACUUUCUCGACAAGAUAUGCCAUAUCAUGGAUACUGCCUAUGCACCAUGCGAUUUAUUGAUGAUAUCUAUUUAUCAUAUGUUCAAUAGAUAUGCUUAUGUGAUAGGAUACUCUAUUGAUGACUUAGAGGGCAUUGUCCCUAUCAUUUGUUUUGGCCUUGUUGUUGAGUGUUCUUUCAGGUUUACGCUUGUGCACCAUUCAUUGCGGGCUGACCAAGUUCGAGUUGACAUCCCAUGGGAUCCUGGUGGAUUCACGGCAUGGUGAUGAGGAGAAGCAAUGUGCACACAUGAGGAAGAGCGAAGCUGGAGCAUGUAUGAGGAAGCAAAAAGGAGAGGAGCUGCAGUUGGUGAGGUGAUCGAGCGAGUGCUACAUCAUCAAAGCCCGGUGAGCUGUUUCAUGACCCAUUUUGCAGUCAUCAUCCAUUAAUGCUUGGUGAAUUAAAUUUCUAUUUGGGUUGCUUGUGCCAUUUCUUAAAUGUUGUCCCACUGAAUUUCACCUUUGACAUAUGGUGCUUGAUGGGAAUAUGUGAACUCAUUUCUGAAUGCCUUGUAAACUAGUGAUCUAUACAAUGAUUGCUUUGCUGAAAUUAGUGAGAACUAUUAGUUUUGAGUGCUCAAAUCCCUAGUGCACUAGUAAACUUAAUCAUUUUCUGCAUUUACCUUGAUACACCUAGAUCACUAUGUUCAGAUGAUGUAUUUGUGCCAAGUGUGUUCCCAUUUAGAGCAAUAACUUUACCACUAUGGACUAGCAUGGUAUGUUCCCUGGAUCGGUAGCAUGUGAACCAGACAUCACUACAAAAAAAAGACACAUCCAUGACAUUUUGGGCCUAAUGAAAAUCUUUUCUGUCAUACUUAUGACACUUCUCUGACGAUAAUUGUGACAAAACCCGGUAUCAUCAUAGAUGUGGUGGGGUCCUACUUAUAUGACAAACAAUCAUGAUAGAAAAUGGGCUUUUCGUCCUGGGCGGGCCGGAGACGCAGCUGCAUGACAUUCUUUGGGCCGCCCAUGACGGAAAAAACUGUGGUAGAAGCGAGGGCGCGGAAAAUAUCGGGGAGUCCCCGGUUACGGUGGGUGGUCGGGGGCCGAGCGAUGCAUGUUUCUCUCGUACGUAAGCGCAUGUGUGCGAGGCGUUGGGCUCUAACUGAACCCGAGCAAUUGCACUGCAGGCUACACGUUACUGAACCCAAACAAUCGAUCGAUGGUUGUUAACUGAACCCGAUCGAGCGAUUCCUUCGCUACUACUGCUAACUGAAGCCGGUCAAUGCUACCUCUGGAUGNNNNNNNNNNNNNNNNNNNNNNNNNNNNNNNNNNNNNNNNNNNNNNNNNNNNNNNNNNNNNNNNNNNNNNNNNNNNNNNNNNNNNNNNNNNNNNNNNNNNNNNNNNNNNNNNNNNNNNNNNNNNNNNNNNNNNNNNNNNNNNNNNNNNNNNNNNNNNNNNNNNNNNNNNNNNNNNNNNNNNNNNNNNNNNNNNNNNNNNNNNNNNNNNNNNNNNNNNNNNNNNNNNNNNNNNNNNNNNNNNNNNNNNNNNNNNNNNNNNNNNNNNNNNNNGGACCCCGAUCGAUCGAGCCGGUUGAGGCUGGAUGAACAGGACCCCGUGGAGGGCAAGAUGAACAGGACCACCCCGUGGAGGGCAGGAUGAACAGUAGACGGUGGAGGACUGGAUGAACAGUAGCCCGUGGAGGGGUGGUUGAACAGGAGCCCAUGGAGAGGGCUGGUUGAACAGUAGCCGGUGGAGUAGCGCGCGGUGGAGGCUGGAUGAACAGGAGCCCGUGGAUGAACAGUCGCAGCUGGAGGCUGGAGGAGCUCGACGGUGGAUGAACAGUAGCCCAUGGAGGCUGGAGGGGGUCGACGGUGGAGAUGAAUAGUAUCCCGUGGAGUCUCGUUUUGUGGUACGCCACACCCCUCCCGAUGAACAGGACCCCCGUUUUGACCGUAGCGCUCCAACACAAGUCCGUUUCCUCCAUUUUGCGGUACGCCACACCCCUCUCGAUCAACAGGACCCCUGUUUCGACCGUAGGAGGUCCCUUUCCUCCGUUUUGCGGUACGCCAGACCCCUCCCGAUGAACAGGAUCCCGUUUUGAACGUGGCCGGUCGAACACAAGUCCGUUUCCUCCGUUCUGCGGUACGCCAGGCCUCGUUUCCAUCGGCUGUUCCGUCCAAGCCCUCCCGAUGAACACGAGGAUGCAUUCCGUUCCGACCUAGCCAGUUGGCUCCCCAUGAACACGACGACGACGCUGUUUCUCCGUUCCGACCCAGCCAUGUACACGAGCCCAGACCGUACACAUGCGUGAGUAGGCAUUCGAGACCUUGCCCGUAUGUACGUACGUGGCCAUAUUUUCUUUCUUGCACACUGGCCGCUGUACGUACGUGUACAUGCUACGUGCGCACCUCUACUACGACACGUGCGCGCCUCUACAUCGACCAGUAUGUACGUACACGUUCGCGACCAGAAUGACAACGCUACGUACGCUUCGACCAGGUGGGUCCCGACUGUCAGGCACUUCCUUGCCUGCGAAGAUGUAGCUGGUGGGUCCCAGCAGUCAGGGGGCGAAUCAUUUUUUUUGCCCGGACGCACUUCCUUGCGUGCGAAGAUGUAGCUGGUGGGUCCCAGCAGUCAGGGGAAACGAUUUUUUCAUGAAAUACGGUGGAUCAUCCGGUGGGUCCCCGCUGUCAGGUGGAGGAAUAAUUAUUUUGCGCAUAAUAAGGAGGCACUUCCUUGCUGCGACCGUGGACCCAGCUGUCAACCUCUCCACGUACAGUCCAUGUCUGAUGGAAGCCGUUCCUUGACCACGUUGACCACGCCGCCCGAGAGCACCAGGGCGGUGGACGACGGCGAGGCCUAGGAAGAGGACGACGUGGAGCCGGGGAAGACGUGGCAGUGGAUGCCCACGCGUAGAGGAGUACGAGGGUUCACUGGUUCGCUACGGUGUGAGGCUGCCAUCGCUGCAGAAUAACAGGGGGUGUGGGUGAGUAGAGGGAUGGUCUGGCCAGCGGUGGGAAUAGUAGGGGGCGGUGAGGCCUCUGCGGCAGCACAACCGGCCACGGGAGGCAGGAGCAUGCGGCACGACCAGCACUACUUUGGGUGGCUGGAGCAACAAGACCAGAGGUUAAAGAAGCACUACGGCCGUUGGAUGGACAUCGUACGGUCACUGGAGCUAGAAUCGUUUAUAUUGACUAAGUUGACAAAGCACUCCGUCCCCGUCAACUUAGUAGGCCCACAAGUCAGCCUCCCACCAAGGUGGGUCCCAACUUGCAGGGGGAGCAUUCAUUUUUUUGUGCGUAAUAAGGAGGCACUUCCUUGCAUGCGAAGAUAUAGCUGGUGUGUCUGACCUGUCAGCGGUGGGAACGUUUUUUUUGUGAAAUACAGAGGCCCUUCCGGUAUGUCCCAGCUGUUAGGUGGAGGAAUCAUUAUUUUGCACGUAAUAAGGAGGCAUUUCCUUGCGUGCGGCCGUGGACCCAGCUGUUAGCCUCUCCACGCACAGUAUACUUCCGAUGGUGUCGUUCGUUGACCACGUUGACCACUCCGCGCCGAGCGCAUCCAAGGUGGUGGACGACGGCGAGGCCCCGGACAGCAACGAGCCGGAGAUGUGAAGACGCGGGAGUAGAGUCGCAGACGGAGAGGUGUACUGUGACACCCCAAAAUUUUGACCUUUGUUUUAUAAAUUAAAAAUUUGCCAAGAAAUUAAACUUUUCCAUUUAUCUAGAUUUACCCUUUUGAUAUUGUGGGUUUUACCUCAAGUGGAAACUUUCCAAAAGUAUUAUUGGACUUGUAUGCUCUCUCUAUGAAACAAUUCUUUAUCAGUGGAUUUAAUUGCAAGGUUUGCUUUUUCUUGAGCUUUACUCUUUUAAAAUGAUCUUUCAUGAAUUUGGAGCCUGUUUUGCACUGCAACCAUUUGGCAAAUACCUUUAAAAUUUCCACCAAAAUUUGGGGAUUCCAUGUGAUGUUUCCACAUCACUUCUAUGCAAAAAUAUCUUUUGGUUAUUGGAGAUUUUUAGCUCUACAUCAACUUUUCAAAUCUGGUCCAGUUGGCAUUUUUGCACUACACCUACUUAAGUAUUUCUUUAAAAAUUCUUCCAAGUGUUUGGGGAUGUCAGUAGAUGCAUAUAACUCAACUUCAUGCAAAAACCCAGUGUUGUUCUUUGAAAAAUUUGAGUGAAUCAACCUCUUUUUCAUUCUGGUCCAGUUUGGUGAUUUGUACUGCAACCCUAUUUUAUUUUGCUCUAGUGCCCCUGAACUUUUUCCUGCUUGUAGCCCUCCCUGCAAAACCCUUAAGUCCAGGAGAGUGGACUCAUUGGAGGAUUUAAAUUUCAUGCAAUGAGACCUUUUUCUUUCUGUCCAAAACUGUAGUUUUGCAAAACUUGCACUAGCAAGUUUCUGGUUUUGCCCAAAUGAUCUUGCCAUCAUCACCUACAUCUAGGGAGACACUGGUCUGGAGUUUUUGGCUACUCCAAGAGUUGCCUAGAUGCACUUAGCAUUAUCUCGAACACCUUGUGUUCAUGGACAGUUUUUGGCAUAGUUUCUAGUUUGCAUUAUGAUCUUGUUCCACUGACCCAGCAACCUUGUCCACUAAGCUCCUACCUAUCCCUAUCCCUGUCCUGUUAUUUGCCAGCCUCCCUCUAGCACUCUAGGCUGCCCUGGCAUUUCGUCGAGCAUGUCCCGUGCGUGCUCUGGGCGCCCCCAGAGCGCACGUUUUGCACGCGCGCGCAUCGAGCCGCCGCGUCGCACUGCCGCCCUCGCCGCGCCCCGCCCCUGGCCCUUGCUCGCCUGCAGAGCCGCGCCCUGCACUCGCCCACUCGCCAGAACCCUCCAAGCCGCCCCUGGCGCCCUACAGCGCCGCCGUCAGAGCCUUUGGCGGCACGCCGGCGUCGGCAGUGAGCUCCUGCCAUGGACGGCGCCGCCCAAGCCACCCGCGCGCGCCAGCUGCCCCUGUGAACAGCUCGAGCUUAUCCUGAAACCCGUCGGCACGCGCUCGUCGCCGCCACGUCACCCUGCAGCUACAGCACGGCGGUCGCCGGCGUUCUUAUCCACGGCCGCCGCGGGACCAGCCUCGAACGCCUAUAAAAGGAGACCCCGAGCCCCUCCGAGCGCUCAGGCGACCUCAGGCCUCCCUCCUAGUGCUCCCCUAGCCGUGGAUUGACCGGAAGAGGCCAUCUCCCCCACCUCCGGCCGGUUCGGCCGCCGCUGCCUUCCGGUGCCAUUCGUCGCAAUCGGACACUCCCCCGCCGAUCCAGCGCCACCACUCGCUUCCCCUUGUUCUUGCGGAGCUGCCCAGUGCCUCAGCCUCGAUCGGAAACCACCGGAGCCCAAAACCCCCUUCACUCCCGUAGCCCCCUCCGCCGCGGAGCUCGGCGCCGGCGACUCCUCCCACCACCGUUGACCCAACGACCACCGAGAGGACCGCCCCGGUCUGGCAGGUCCAUCCCCGCCCUCGGAUACCCGUGGGGAGCUGCCGUUCGUCGACGGCGAUCGCCGGAGUCCCGCCCCGUUCGGGCAGAGGAAGAGGAGGGAGAGGGGGGAAUAGUCAAACCUGACCAGUGGCCCCCCCUGGACCCACUGUCAGCAACCCAGCCCCGCCGACGCAUGUUUUAAGUGGAGACGUGUUUCGCAAAAUACGUUUUCUCUGAACAGAAAGCGUAAGCCCCUCCGAAACGUUUUCUUUUUCUGUUUUAUUUAAAACAGAACUUUGACUGGCUAUAUCUUUUAAAAUAAAACUCCAAAUGAGUUGAUUCUUUUUCCUACCUCUCUCAAAUUUCAUCUAGUUUAUUUUAAGAUUUAUUUCAAAAAUAUUUGAGACAACUUUUUUACUGUUUUUGAAAUAUUUGUUAUUUGAAUAUUUUUCAAAAUAGGAAAUGGAGAGAGAAGAAAACUUUCAAAAAGUGCACCCCCUUGCAUACUCUUGAAGGCAAGCAUUCUGAACUCUGGCAUAAUAUUUUUGUGUGGUGUUUUGAUACGGUUACAACACCACUUUGACUUGGAGCAUACGUUAUUUUUAUGUAACAAUAAAGUCACACGCAUCAGUGCAUACUGGAGAUGCUUUACUGUUAGAAUGGAUAUGCGGGUAAUAGUGAUCAUCCUCGCGAGCUUUUCAUGCAUACCGGCAGGAAGCCGGGAGAGUCGUGGUCUUGGGUAGACACGAGCUUGUCCCUAGUUCCUCGUCGAGACGAGUGUGUCUGGUAUGGCAUGAUGAGGUUUGAUGAGCGGUGAUUCUGUCUGUCAAUGGGAUAUAUAUUAGUUAUGCUAAUCAUUCGGAGAAUACUUGGACCUCCUGAGUCGGCCGUAGGUCGAGUCUUGAUUAGUAACUUCCUCUACUUGUUUUGUACUACCACUUGUCCCUGCCGCAGGUAGGGUAUGGUUCAGUAAGUUGUCAACCCCUUACCAAAGCACACACCGUACAGAGAGGCCAUGGUGGAAGAUACCGGAUGCAUCCGGUAGGCAUGCCACUUGGUCCGGGGGCAUGGGUGUUUCCGGUUGGGACCGAGAGGGGGGCACCCCUUAGAGCGCGCGAUAUAAAUUUGAUCCCAUGCUACGUCGAGGUUGUAGCCUCCCCACUUAGAGUUUUUCUUGACAGGUGUCGUGGGUGAUUCCAGACACCGGUAAGUUAAGCUGGUGUAUGCAGGUCAGGCGUGUUUUCAAUUAAAAGGCCGUAGGCGGAAUUAGUCCCGAUGGACUAAAUAAAUCCGUUACUCGUGGGUAAAGAGUACACCCUCUGCAGAGGUCAUAUCUAUUUGGAUAGCCAUGUUCAUGGGUAAGGACUUCAGUCUGAGAUGGGUCUAGUGACGGUUUUCGGAUGGAGAAACGGCUAGACUAGAACUUUGUUUAUGACCUGUGACGUAUUGUGACACCCAAGUUUUUAUUUGGAUUUUUCAAAAGAUUUUAUUUGACUUGAGGGGAGUGAUUUAAAUUUUUUCUUCAAGAGAACUCUCCCUCUCAUAUAUUUUUCCUUAUGGGAAAAGUUUUAUUUGGAUUCACCCAAGAUCUGCCUUUGGUCUUGGAAGUCCUUGCUUUUCAUUUGGACACAAGACAAAAUGUUUUUCAUUUGGGAAAAGUAACUUUUGAAAACCUUUUUGAAUUUUGCACUAUGGCUUUUGGAAAGUCCUUUGCCACUUUCAAGAAUUCCUCCUUGCCAUGGCCCUAGUGCAAAUGAUCUCUCCUAACCCUUCCCUCACCUUUGGAUCAUGUUUUACACCAAAUCCAGCAAGUGGAACCUCCUCAUGUAUCUAUUUCCAUUCAAAUUUUAUUCAAACAAAUUUCUGUCCUCUAUUCUACCACUUGGAGAUUUACAAAGGAACCCCUUUUUCUGUUUUGAUUUUUGCCACCAAACCAACUCUCCCUCCUAGUCCUUUGAAACCCCAACCUAGAACUAUGAAGAUCCACUGUUCUUCAGUUCAAAAUUUUCAAACUACACUUGCUACAAGUUUGGACCAGAUUUGUCAAAUUUGGUGAAAUUCAUUUAAAACCUUCUCCAAAAAUUCCAAGUAAAAUCAGGCAGCCUCUGGGUGCAUUGAGUGGUAACUCACCAAGUUACAGCUCCAGAAAAAUUUAUCUCAUGGCCAAAACCUCCCGUCGAACACCUGCAGUGCAUGUUCAGAGUUUCAGAGAUUCAGUCAAGUGGCUGCUGUCGUUUUCUUCAGAAGCGGACGUCGAUCUCGCCAGUGCCACCGCGUCGCCUUGCUCCUCGUCCCCGCCCUCUUGUUCCUGCACCACACGAACGCCUGGCGCCUUGCGGGCGUCGGCGACGAGUAGCAGAAGGUGCGCCACCCCGUGACCGACGCCGGCGGCGGCUUUGCGGACGCCAGCAGGAGACACGGCGCCGAUGAUGCCACCCAGCGCCGCCCAAACCACCGGAGCUCGCCGCGUGGCCUUCCACUCCCCCGAACGCGCUGCCGCUCUCGUCGUGAACCGCAGGGUGCGGAGCGCGCUCUCUGCCGCCGUUGAGCCCGUGCGGUCACCUCACCGUGGACCGACGCCAUUACGCCAAGACCGACCCCGUUUAGCUGCAAAACGAGUCCAGUAACCUCCACUGAUGCUGCCCGGCCGCUCAAACCCCCUGCCAAUCCACUGCUCCGCCGUAAUCGCUCACCGGAGAUUCUCCGUUCACGGCCACCCCGUCGAUCUGCCUAUAAAUAGAGGCCCCGAGCUUCAACUCGAGCACCCACCAGCACUGCACUCCCCCUAGAGUACGCCGAGCCACUUGAAGAGCCCCGAGGAGGUCUCCUUCCUCGACUCCGGCCGCCGCGACCCGCCACGGGAUCUAGCCCGAUUCGCCCCCAUGUGUGCUCCUCCGCCUCCAUUCUCUUACCAGUAGCUUCACCAUGCACCCCUCUUUCUGACCCGCACUUCAAUUUGAAGCUUGCAGCCCUACACCGGAGUUCCCCAUCCUCACCCGAGCCGCCGUCCGCCGGAGAAAGUGUCGCCGUUGACAUAGUGCUCCCCGUUGGACGAGUCCACCACCCACCGAUGCGGAAGAAGACGCUGAAGCUCUUGGUACCCUCCGUUUCUCAUAACUCGCCGUGGUUCGACGCCGGCGUCCACCGCAAUCUUCGGGCGCCGGCGAGCUUUUCAAACCUGACAUGUGGACCCCGUAUGUCAGCCUCUGUUCUUUUAUUCGCGAACCAUUUUCUGUUGGCGCCUUCGGGCAGAAUACGUUUCCUCCUUUGCGCUUGCGCAUUCCCAGCCGAAGCGUUUUCUGUUUUCUCAGUUAAAACCCUGGAACUUUUCUGUUUCAUUACAGAUAAGUCCCUGGACAGAAACCUUUAUAACUUUUUAACAAAAAGGAGUGAUUCUUUUUCUGACAAUCUCCAAAUUUUGUCUAGGUUUUUUAUGGGAUUUAUUUGAAAAAUAUUUGGAAAAGUUUCUGUGUAUGUGUUGGUUUUCACGUUAGUACCCGUUUCGUGAUUGCCGUAGGUUCCGGGAGAGGUGACGGAGCCGCGAACUUCGCCGAGCUAGACUCCGACUUCUCCGAACCAGGCAAGCAUGUUUUGAACAUUUGAUAUGACAGAUUCUUUACAUGUUCACGUGAGAGUUUGUGCGUGGCAUAUGAGUGUCGGUAAAUACCUCGUUGCUUGUAAGGCAACGACCCGGUUGUUCCAAAAGUUGCGAUGACCUCUGAUGAGAGGUGGCCUAAUCAUGUGGUGACAUGAAAGGCAGCAAGGUGGUACUGUCGUAGCAUACCAGCCUUGCGUCAUCCGACUUUCCCCAACGUUAACGUGGUUGGAGCCACGUUAUCGAUCUUUUUCCGCAUGUUCCAAAGUUGCGAUGAUCUCUGAUGAGAGAUGGCCAAAUCAUGUGGUGACAUGAAUAGCAGCAAGGUGGUACUGUUGUAGCAUGCCAGCCUUGCGACAUCCGACUUUCUCCGACGUUAACGUGGUUGGAGCCGCGUUACCGUUCUUUCCCCUUUCCGUGCUACCACAUGUCUCAUUGCCAGGAUGCGGUUUAGUAAGUUGGUAACCUCUUUCCGUGUACACACCAAACAGAGAGGCCGGGAUGAUGGUACCUUGGCCCAGGAUUAAAGCCAGUCAUCCGGUCAGGGGGCAUGGGUGUUUCCGGUUGGGACCGAGAGGGGGGGCACCCCCUUAAAGCGCGCGUAUAGAAAUUUGAUCCCAUGCUACGCGAGGUUGUAGCCUCCCCGUCUCAAGGUUUUUCGUGAACGUUGCCGGGGGUGAUCCCUGGCUUCGGAUGGUUGAAUUGGGUGUGUACUGGUUAGACAUGUUUCUUCCAAAACACCGUAGACGGAACUAGUCCCCGUGACUACUGAAAUUCGUUGGCUGUGGUUAAGUACAAACUCUGCAGAGUCAAUUCUUUCCAAAUCAUCGUAUCCGUGAUCAAGUAAUGAGAACAUUAUAUCCAUAUCUAUCCGUGUGAAAAACUUGUCCCCGGUGAACAAGCUCAAGUGGUAAAAUUCAGAUUUAUUGUUAUUCCUGUGGAUGGACUAACUUUAUUUUGUGUCUCAUGCUUGUGAUAAUUUAUGUUCCCGAACUGUUGUAUUAAUGAGAUGUGAUAUAAGCCCUUUAUGUGACGUCGCGCAGACGUCCGACUGUGGCGUGUACUCGUUUCUCACUUUCAAUAUAAGCCCUUUAUGUGAUGUCGCUCAGACGUGCGACUGCGGCAUGCACUGUCUUUAUUUUCUGUUGCAAGCCCUUUAUGUGGUGUCGCCCCGACGCCCGACUGUGGCAUUAUUAUUCCGCAUUUUCCUCUCGAGGAGUCUUUCAGACCCUCGUUUGGCACCUGUAUUAUUAUUCCGCAUUUUCCUCUCGAGGAGUCUUUCAGACACUCGUUUGGCACCUGUAUUAUUAUUCCGCAUUUUCCUCUCGAGGAGUCUUUCAGACACUCGUUUGGCACUCGUAUUAUUAUUCCGCAUUUUCCUCUCGAGGAGUCUUUCAGACACUCGUUUGGCACCUGUAUUAUUAUUCCGCAUUUUCCGCUCGAGGAGUCUUUCAGACACUCGUUUGGCACCAGUAUUACUAUUCUGCAGUUUCCGCUCGAGGCGUCAUUCAGACCCUCGCUUGGCACCCAGUAUUUAUUACCGUUAUGUCUAAUCGCACCAUUAACUUGUUCAUAUGCUUCAUGUUUACAUUUGUUAUACCUUAUGUCCGAACUGUCUUGCGAGUACUUUCAUAGUACUCACCUGGCUUGUUGAUUUGGCCAGAUGUUGACGAAGGUGAUCUCUUGGAUGAAGAGUUCGAUAGCGCGUCCGACACCUAGAGGAGUCCCAGUCAGUCCUGCGCGAUCCCGCAUAUUGGUCACUUGUAUUGUAUACGCUUCCACCACCCGCAAUAAGUCUUCUCGAGCCUCACUCCAACGCUCGAUGAGUUGUAGUCUUCUGGAAUCAUAUCACUCGCUUCGCGGUGAUAUUUCCACCACCAUCAUUGUCGUGAGUUAGUAGUUGCCACCCUAUCCGCCGUUUUGUUUUAGCGGCGUGCAUGUAAUAAAUUUUUGGGCAGUCUCUGCUCAACCUUGUAUUAUAUUUAGUACUCCUGGUAUUUUUUCUUCUGUGACCAAGAUAUUGUCUACCAGUGAGAAGGAAUUCUUCCUCGCUGGUCCGUAAAAGGGAUUGGUCUCUCAAUAAUUAUUUUAUUGAAAAACCGGUCGUGACAAGCUUGGUACCAGAGCCAGGAUGACUGUAGGAAGCCACUAGGUGCGAGCGCUAAUCGGUUAUUAGCGUUUUUGUGCUUUUUCAGCUUUUUGCAAUUGUAGCUAUUUUCUGUUGGUCAUCAUAAAUUUAUGACAUGACUACUCAGAAUUUUUGCCUACUUUUGUAGAUGGCUGGCAGCAGCUGUGAGAAUCGAGUGUUCACCAACGUGCCUGAGGGGUUUGUCAAGCUCCUCGUCUCCAUCACCAAGCUCGCGAUCGGGCCAGCAGCUCGCCCGGAGUUCACGCUCUAUCAGCACAAGCUCAGUGACGACGUGUCUAUGCACCAAGCCGUGGUGCAGUUCAGGGGAGGACGUUCUGCUGCUCGUCACUUCCGUUUUACGGGAAGGGCCAUGCCUACAGAGAGGCAUGCCAUGCAGAUGGCUGCCCGCGAGGCGAUAGCUCGCCUUCGGGACAUCCUUCCUAUGAUGAAGACUCGUCGCUACCGCUACCUCCCAUGCCAUGUGCCUUACACCAGCCACUAUGCGUUCGCCUGCCAUCGGGGAGAACGAGAUGAAGCCAUCGAGAUGGUUGUGGAGUAUCUCAAGGCUCUGGAGGAGUCUUUCGACAACCUCGUAGAUGAUCUUGUGGCUGCCCGCAUGGACUUAGUCCGGGGCGGUCCUGCCAGCAGGAAGGAGCUUCUCCACACGGCGCCGCCUCUGACAUUCGUCUCGUCUUCAGCCUCGUAUGCACCGGCCGUUUUGGCCACUGCUCGCCGUCUGCCUACCACUGAGGAGUUCGACCGAGUCAUCGCUCCUACACCAGUUAGAGCCGCACCGCCUGCCGCACGCGCUCUACCACCAGUCGCCCCCGCACCAUCACCGCAGCGCAGCGUCACGCGCCAGGAGCCAACUAGAGAGGAGGAGGUUGAUUCUCCUGGACCGCUGAGCCUUGCCAUCGGCAAGGGGAAGGAGAUCUUCACCAUCUCCGACUGAGAGCACCGAGUAGCCGCAUGUUAUGCCUGCUUGUAUGAUGUGUUGUUUUAUCUGUGCGCUAGUUUGUAUUGGUGUGUUUGCUGCCUUCCGGAGUAGUACGCUAGUUUUUAAUAACAUGUCAGGAUUUUGUACGCGCAUCCUGAGUGCUGUAUCUUGUGUUUGCUUUUCGCAUGUAAGAUUUAUGUUAAUCACUUCUUCUCCAUGAAAAAUCAUUCGUGUUUCUUUGAAAACCUUGAAGCCUUUUUAUUUUUUCCUUUGCGAGAUUUUUGUGCUACACAAUUUUUCUCAUGGGUUUUGCAAAUAAUACCCCAGACUGGAAAAAUGUCUCGCCCGUGGACUCGCUCCAUGCCCAAUCAGCCAGAAGAGGUUUACGGGACACAGACCAGCAACAAUUUCACUCAGGGUCAGUCCAGCCAACAAGACAGCGAAGCGGCACUGUCACAAGUAUGCCGUCUCUUCGAGCAAAGCCAGCAACAGCACCAAGAGAUGAUGAACCAUGUCAUCAACAUGGGAAACCACCGUGAAGCCUAUCAACCCCAUUCCAAGUUAUCUGAAUUACAGAAGACUCGCCCCUCAACUUUUGCUCACACCGACAGACCGCUGGAAGCCGAUGAUUGGCUUCGUGAGAUUGAAAGGAAACUGAUUAUUGCUCAGUGCUCAGAUCAUGAGAAGGUGCUUUAUGCACCGCACUACCUUACUGGAGCAGCCGCAGCAUGGUGGGAAAACUUCCUACACAUGCAUCCCAGGGAACACAACAUCACCUGGGAAGAGUUCAAGGAAGGCUUCCGUGGGGCACACAUCCCCAGGAGCAUCCUAAAGAUCAAGAAGAGAGAGUUUGAUGACCUGAAGCAAAGAGGCAUGUCAGUGACCGAGUACAAUGGUCAGUUCACCCAGCUGUCUCGUUAUGCCUACGACGAGCACAUGACAGAAAGCAAGAAGAUGGAAAAAUUCCUGGACGGCCUGGCACCAGCGUUAAGAUGCCAACUGAUCGUGCACACCUUUCCGGAUUUUAAGACGCUGGUGGACAAGGCCAUCACCUUGGAGAAUGAGCGCCGUAGUCUGGAAGAUAUCCGCAAGCGAAAGAGGGACAAGACAACUCUUUCCCGCAGCAACUGAGGCAAGACUGAGGUCCCAAGGACAGACACAAGGAGAUCCACGACUACUGAGCCAAGACCCGUCGGACAAUUUCAUGCUAGAGACAAGGAGUUCACAUACCGUCCAGGGGUCACCUGCUAUGCUUGUGGUCAACAAGGGCAUUAUGCUAAACAGUGCCCGAAGCCACGAGACUCGGCACCCAAGCCGAACAAUGGUGGGAACAAUCCAGCCCCCAAGCGCAACAACUUCAACCCCAGCAACAACCACAGGAAGGGUCACCUGAACCAUGUGACCAGGGAAGAGGCGCAGAAUGCCCCAGACAUCGUGCUCGGUACGUUCCCUGUCAACACAGUACCUGCCACGGUUUUGUUUGAUUCUGGAGCUUCCCAUUCGUUCGUUUCGAAGAGUUUUGUUUCGCAACAUGGUUUUCCGAUACUUCCCUUGGAAAAAUCUAUGAUCAUCAAGUCCCCCGGAAAUAAGCAAAUCGCUCAGGGUUACUGCCAAGGAGUGGUCAUUGAGUUCGAAGGACUACAAUUCCACGCGAAUCUCAUCGUGUUGGAAAGUAAAGGACUGGAUGUCAUUUUAGGGAUGGACUGGUUGACCACCAACAAAGGAUUCAUCGACUGUUUCAAUCGGACAGUGAUUCUCACUCACCAUCACGGCAAGACUAUAAGAGUUUCCGCCCAAGAAAGGCCACGAUCACAGCAACCAAAACUGAACAAAAUGGACAUUGCAGAAUUGAGAAAAGUCCCAGUGGUAUGCGAGUUUCCUGAUGUGUUUCCUGAAGAACUACCAGGCAUGCCACCAGACCGAGAGAUCGAAUUCAGCAUUGAACUAGCACCUGGCACCGCUCCCAUCUAUAAGAAGCCUUAUAGAAUGGCACCCUCAGAAUUGGUGGAGUUGAAGAAGCAGAUAAAAGAAUUAUUGGACAAAGGAUUUAUUCGAGCCAGCUCCUCACCAUGGGGUUCGCCUGUGUUGUUCGCUAAGAAGAAAGAUGGGACACUGAGGCUGUGCAUAGACUAUCGAGCCCUCAAUAUGGUCACCAUCAAAAACAAAUAUCCGAUGCCACGGAUCAAUGAUUUGUUCGACCAGCUCGCACAAGCCAAGGUAUUUUCAAAGAUUGAUUUGAGAUCAGGAUACCAUCAACUGAAGGUACGGACAGAAGACAUUCCCAAGACAGCUUUCACUUCCAGAUAUGGGUUAUACGAGUUUACAGUGAUGCCUUUUGGACUAACGAACGCCCCCGCAUAUUUCGUCCACCUCAUGAACAAAGUGUUCAUGAAAUUCAUGGACAAAUUUGUGGUGGUAUUCAUUGACGAUAUUCUGGUUUACUCAAGGACACCAGAAGAGCAUGCUGAGUACCUCAGAAUUGUUUUGGGAGAAUUGAGGAAACAUCAGUUAUACGCCAAAUUUAGUAAGUGCGAAUUUUGGCUAAGACAAGUUGGUUUCUUGGGCCAUAUAUUGAACCAGGAAGGCGUGGCCGUAGACCCAGAAAAAGUCAAGGCCAUACUGGACUAGAAGCCACCCGCCAAUGUUACAGAUGUGCGGAGUUUCCUAGGAAUGGCCGGAUAUUACAGGAGAUUUAUUGAAGGAUUCUCCACUGUGGCGAAGCCUAUAACACAGUUACUCAAGAAGGACAAAAAAAUUGUAUGGACAGAAGCAUGCGAGCAGAGCUUCCAAGAACUCAAGAAGAAACUGACAACCGCACCGAUCUUAACUGUGCCAGACAUACACAAGAGCUUUGAAGUGUAUUGUGACGCGUCCCGAAAAGGUCUCGGAUGCGUGCUAAUGCAGGAUGGCAAAGUUGUCGCAUAUGCCUCCAGGCAGCUGCGAAAACAUGAGGAAAAUUACCCAACACAUGACUUGGAGCUAGCAGCAGUUAUACAUGCACUCAAUGAGUGGAGACACUUUCUGUUGGGAAAUCGCUGUGAAAUAUAUACGGACCAUAAGAGCCUCAAAUAUAUUUUCACACAGCCAGAGCUGAAUUUACGCCAACGACGCUGGUUGGAACUAGUCAAAGACUAUGACGUCGGUAUUCACUACCACCCAGGGAAAGCAAAUGUAGUGGCCGAUGCCCUUAGUCGAAACCCCAGCCCGGACAGUGAUGGUCCGCAAAAUUUGAGGCCUGAGUUUCAACGAGAGUUCACUAGGCUCAACAUGAUGUUAGUCUCUGAGGGAACCGUAUCGAACCUGGAGAUACAACCCACCCUGGUGGAACAAAUUAAGAAGGCUCAACAGGGACACCCCAGCAUCGAAGGCAUAAAGAAGAAAAUGAACCUUUGUAAGACUUCAGAAUUCGUCACGGAUAGUGAAGGAACAUUAUGGUACCGGGACAGGCUUUGCGUACCCAACAUUGAGGAACUCAAGCAACAGAUCUUGACGGAAAGCCACACCGCCCCAUACUCGAUCCAUCCUGGAGGAACCAAAAUGUACAAGGACAUCCAGGAAAGAUUUUGGUGGCACGGUAUGAAAAGAGAUAUAGCCACAUUCAUCGCUUGUUGCGAUUCAUGUCAGCGCAUCAACGCCGAGCACCAAAAGCCAGCAGGGCUACUCCAGCCUAACAGGAUACCGGAGUGGAAAUGGGAUGAAAUAGGAAUGGAUUUCAUCGUCGGACUACCCCGAUCACAGCAUGGGAAUGACGCCAUAUGGGUCAUCACAGACCGACUAACCAAGGUUGCUCAUUUCAUUCCCGUGAAGACUACCUACUCCACACAAAGACUGGCAAAACUUUAUCUCUCCCAUAUAGUUUGCUUGCACGGAGUCCCGAAGACUAUAAUAUCAGACCGAGGCACCCAAUUCGUCUCCAAAUUUUGGGAUCACCUACAACAAGCUCUGGGCACGCAACUAGCGUUCAGUACAGCAUACCACCCUUAGACUGAUGGACAGACAGAACGUGUAAAUCAAAUCCUAGAGGAUAUGCUAAGAGCAUGUGUGCUCACCUAUGGAUCCAGUUGGGAAGAAAGUUUACCGUAUGCCGAAUUUGCUUACAACAACAGUUACCAAGCCAGCUUGCAAAUGGCACCCUUUGAAGCAUUGUACGGACGGAGGUGUCGUACCCCACUGAAUUGGUCAGAAACAGGUGAGCCGUAUCUUCGGCCCAGAUAUGCUUAAUGAGGCCAAGGAGAAAGUUAAACAAAUCAGGGACAGAAUCAGGACGGCGCAGAGCCGACAAAAGAGCUACUAUGAUCGGAAGCAUCGUGAGGUCAGCUUGAACCCGGUGACUCUGUAUACCUCCGAGUAUCUCCUAUGAGGGGUCGGCAACGGUUCAAAAUUAAGGGGAAGCUAGCCCCAAGAUUUAUUGGACCAUUUUGUGUAAAGGCACGAAGAGGCACGGUAGCCUACCAGCUAGACCUACCCAAGGAGUUGUCAGACGUCCAUGACGUGUUCCACGUCUCACAGUUAAGAAAAUGUGUGAGCAACCCAGAAAAUCAUGUACCUCAUGAGGACAUUGAUAUGCAACCAGAUCUCACCUACAGAGAAAGGCCAGUAAGGAUUUUAGAAGAGUCUGAACGGAGGACCCGUCAGAAAACGACAAAGUUUUUCAGGGUUCAGUGGAGCAACCACACUGAGGAUGAAGCUACAUGGGAAAGGGAGGAUUUCCUUCGAGCGGAGUAUCCAUAUCUAUUUGAGGGUCAGCAGAAAUCUCGAGGACGAGAUUUUUCCUAAGGGGGUAGGUGUUGUGACACCCAAGUUUUUAUUUGGAUUUUUCAAAAGAUUUUAUUUGACUUGAGGGGAGUGAUUUAAAUUUUUUCUUCAAGAGAACUCUCCCUCUCAUAUAUUUUUCCUUAUGGCAAAAGUUUUAUUUGGAUUCACCCAAGAUCUGCCUUUGGUCUUGGAAGUCCUUGCUUUUCAUUUGGACACAAGACAAAAUGUUUUUCAUUUGGGAAAAGUAACUUUUGAAAACCUUUUUGAAUUUUGCACUAUGGCUUUUGGAAAGUCCUUUGCCACUUUCAAGAAUUCCUCCUUGCCAUGGCCCUAGUGCAAAUGAUCUCUCCUAACCCUUCCCUCACCUUUGGAUCAUGUUUUACACCAAAUCCAGCCAGUGGAACCUCCCCAUGUAUCUAUUUCCAUUCAAAUUUUAUUCAAACAAAUUUCUGUCCUCUAUUCUACCACUUGGAGAUUUACAAAGGAACCCCUUUUUCUGUUUUGAUUUUUGCCACCAAACCAACUCUCCCUCCUAGUCCUUUGAAACCCCAACCUAGAACUAUGAAGAUCCACUGGUCUUCAAUUCAAAAUUUUCAAACUACACUUGCUACAAGUUUGGACCAGAUUUGUCAAAUUUGGUGAAAUUCAUUUAAAACCUUCUCCAAAAAUUCCAAGUAAAAUCAGGCAGCCUCUGGGUGCAUUGAGUGGUCAUCUCACCAAGUUACAGCUCCAGAAAAAUUUAUCUCAUGGCCAAAACCUCCUGUCGAACACCUGCAGUGCAUGGUCAUUGUCAAGUUCAGAGUUUCAGAGAUUCAGUCAAGUGGCUGCUGUCGUUUUCUUCAGAAGCGGACGUCGAUCUCGCCAGUGCCACCGCGUCGCCUUGCACCUCGUCCCCGCCCUCUUGUUCCUGCACCGCAUGAACGCCUGGCGCCUUGCGGGCGUCGGCAACGAGCAGCAGAAGGUGCGCCGCCCCGUGACCGACGCCGGCGGCGGCUUUGCGGACGCCAGCAGGAGACACGGCGCCGACGACGCCACCCAGCGCCGCCCAAACCACCGGAGCUCGCCGCGUGGCCUUCCACUCCCCCGAACGCGCUACCGCUCUCGUCGUGAACCGCAGGGCGCGGAGCGCGCUCUCUGCCGCCGUUGAGCCCGUGCGGUCACCUCACCGUGGACCGACGCCAUUACGCCAAGACCGACCCCGUUUAGCUGCAAAACGAGUCCAGUAACCUCCACUGAUGCUGCCCGGCCGCUCAAACCCCCUGCCAAUCCACUGCUCCGCCGUAAUCGCUCACCGGAGAUUCUCCGUUCACGGCCACCCCAUCGAUCUGCCUAUAAAUAGAGGCCCCGAGCUUCAACUCGAGCACCCACCAGCACUGCACUCCCCCUAGAGCACGCCGAGCCACUGGAAGAGCCCCGAGGAGGUCUCCUUCCUCGUCUCCGGCCGCCGCGACCCGCCACGGGAUCCAGCCCGAUUCGCCCCCGUGUGUGCUCCUCCGCCUCCAUUCUCUUACCAGUAGCUUCACCAUGCACCCCUCUUUCUGACCCGCACUUCAAUUUGAAGCUUGCAGCCCUACACCGGAGUUCCCCAUCCUCACCCGAGCUGCCGUCCGCCGGAGAAAGUGUCGCCGUCGACAUAGUGCUCCCCGUUGGACGAGUCCACCACCCACCGAUGCGGAAGAAGACGCUGAAGCUCUUGGUACCCUCCAUUUCUCCUAACUCGCCGUGGUUCGACGCCGGCGUCCACCGCAAUCUUCGGGCGCCGGCGAGCUUUUCAAACCUGACAUGUGGACCCCGCAUGUCAGCCUCUGUUCUUUUAUUCGCGAACCGUUUUCUGUUGGCGCCUUCGGGCAGAAUACGUUUCCUCCUUUGCGCUUGCGCAUUCCCAGCCGAAGCGUUUUCUGUUUUCUCAGUUAAAACCCUGGAACUUUUCUGUUUCAUUACAGAUAAGUCCCUGGACAGAAACCUUUAUAACUUUUUAACAAAAAGGAGUGAUUCUUUUUCUGACAAUCUCCAAAUUUUGUCUAGGUUUUUUAUGGGAUUUAUUUGAAAAAUAUUUGGAAAAGUUUCUGUGUAUGUGUUGGUUUUCACGUUAGUACCCGUUUCGUGAUUGCCGUAGGUUCCGGGAGAGGUGACGGAGCCGCGAACUUCGCCGAGCUAGACUCCGACUUCUCCGAACCAGGCAAGCAUGUUUUGAACAUUUGAUUUGACAGAUGCUUUACAUGUUCACGUGAGAGUUUGUGCGUGGCAUAUGAGUGUCGGUAAAUACCUCGUUGCUUGUAAGGCAAUGACCCGGUUGUUCCAAAAGUUGCGAUGACCUCAGAUGAGAGGUGGCCUAAUCAUGUGGUGACAUGAAAGGCAGCAAGGUGGUACUGUCGUAGCAUACCAGCCUUGCGUCAUCCGACUUCCCAAACGUUAACGUGGUUGGAGCCACGUUAUCGAUCUUUUUCCGCAUGUUCCAAAGUUGCGAUGAUCUCUGAUGAGAGAUGGCUAAAUCAUGUGGUGACAUGAAUGGCAGCAAGGUGGUACUGUUGUAGCAUGCCAGCCUUGCGACAUCCGACUUUCUCCGACGUUAACGUGGUUGGAGCCGCGUUACCGUUCUUUCCCCUUUCCGUGCUACCACAUGUCUCAUUGCCAGGAUGCGGUUUAGUAAGUUGGUAACCUCUUUCCGUGUACACACCAAACAGAGAGGCCGGGAUGAUGGUACCUUGGCCCAGGAUUAAAGCCAGUCAUCCGGUCAGGGGGCAUGGGUGUUUCCGGUUGGGACCGAGAGGGGGGGCACCCCCUUAAAGCGCGCGUAUAGAAAUUUGAUCCCAUGCUACACGAGGUUGUAGCCUCCCCGUCUCAAGGUUUUUCUUGAACGUUGCCGGGGGUGAUCCCUGGCUUCGGAUGGUUGAAUUGGGUGUGUACUGGUUAGACAUGUUUCUUCCAAAACACCGUAGACGGAACUAGUCCCCGUGACUACUGAAAUCCGUUGGCUGUGGUUAAGUACAAACUCUGCAGAGUCAAUUCUUUCCAAAUCAUCGUAUCCGUGAUCAAGUAAUGAGAACAUUAUAUCCAUAUCUAUCCGUGUGAAAAACUUGUCCCCGGUGAACAAGCUCAAGUGGUAAAAUUCAGAUUUAUUGUUAUUCCUGUGGAUGGACUAACUUUAUUUUGUGUCUCAUGCUUGUGAUAAUUUAUGUUCCCGAACUGUUGUAUUAAUGAGAUGUGAUAUAAGCCCUUUAUGUGACGUCGCGCAGACGUCCGACUGUGGCGUGUACUCGUUUCUCACUUUCAAUAUAAGCCCUUUAUGUGAUGUCGCUCAGACGUCCGACUGCGGCAUGCACUGUCUUUAUUUUCUGUUGCAAGCCCUUUAUGUGGUGUCGCCCCGACGCCCGACUAUGGCAUUAUUAUUCCGCAUUUUCCUCUCGAGGAGUCUUUCAGACCCUCGUUUGGCACCUGUAUUAUUAUUCCGCAUUUUCCUCUCGAGGAGUCUUUCAGACACUCGUUUGGCACCUGUAUUAUUAUUCCGCAUUUUCCUCUCGAGGAGUCUUUCAGACACUCGUUUGGCACUCGUAUUAUUAUUCCGCAUUUUCCUCUCGAGGAGUCUUUCAGACACACGUUUGGCACCUAUAUUAUUAUUCCGCAUUUUCCGCUCGAGGAGUCUUUCAGACACUCGUUUGGCACCAAUAUUACUAUUCUGCAGUUUCCGCUCGAGGCGUCAUUCAGACCCUCGCUUGGCACCCAGUAUUUAUUACCGUUAUGUCUAAUCGCACCAGUUAACUUGUUCAUAUGCUUCAUGUUUACAUUUGUUAUACCUUAUGUCCGAACAGUCUUGUGAGUACUUUCAUAGUACUCACCUGGCUUGUUGAUUUGGCCAGAUGUUGACGAAGGCGAUCUCUUGGAUGAAGAGUUCGAUAGCGCGUCCGACGCCUAGAGGAGUCCCAGUCAGUCCUGCGCGAUCCCGGAUAUUGGUCACUUGUAUUGUAUACGCUUCCGCCACCCGCAAUAAGUCUUCUCGAGCCUCACUCCAACGCUCGAUGGGUUGUAGUCUUCUGGAAUCAUAUCACUCGUUUCACGGUGAUAUUUCCACCACCAUCAUUGUCGUGAGUUAGUAGUUGCCACCCUAUCCGCCGUUUUGUUUUAGCGGUGUGCAUGUAAUAAAUUGUUGGGCAGUCUCUGCUCAACCUUGUAUUAUAUUUAGUACUCCUGGUAUUUUUUCUUCUGUGACCAAGAUAUUGUCUACCAGUGAGAAGGAAUUCUUCCUCGCUGGUCCAUAAAAGGGAUUGGUCUCUCAAUAAUUAUUUUAUUGAAAAACCGGUCGUGACACGUAUGAGGAUUAUGUUUAUUAUUAUGGACUAACCAUUUACAUUAUUUGAAUUAUUGAGUAUCCCUGGGAUGGUUCUACCUCCUGGAUAUUCACUGUGAUUAUUCUUAUAUAAGCCCUUUAUGUGGUGUCGCUCAGACGCCCGACUGCGGCAUGCUUGUUAUUUAAUUUUUCUUUAUAAGCCCUUUAUGUGGUGUCGCUCAGACGCCCGACUGCAGCAUGCUUGUUAUGUGGUGAGUGCACGCUGCACCGGCAGCUAGCACGCCGCGCACUACCGCAGUACGACCUAGAUGCCCUACGCGCUAGGCGUCGCCGGUAGAGGAAGCGCGCGAGAGAAGAGAGAGCCAGAGGUAGAAGAAGAGGCCGAUAUUGGGCCCUGGGUCCACCUGUCAGCCAGAGAGAGCACUGUGCUCUCGGGUGCGACCAGCGUAUUUUAGUAAUUUAGAAUCUAUUCUAAAUUACUAUAUCCACGUAGAAAUAUCUCGUUUUUCCCCGACCAUGGAUUUUUCCACGCAACGCCAGUAGAUCGCACUGUGGUUUUACACCACUAAUUGCCCUCUCACUGUAGCUACAUUGUUAUUGCAUAGUAGCAUAUUGUUUUCUUUUGGUAAGAGCAAUGUUUGUUCAAAACAGCUUUUAACAAAUCUCGAGGACGAGAUUUUUCUUAAGGGGGGUAGUGUUGUGACACCCCAAAAUUUUGACCUUUGUUUUAUAAAUUAAAAUUUUGCCAGGAAAUUAAACUUUUCCAUUUAUCUAGAUUUACCCUUUUGAUAUUGUGGGUUUUACCUCAAGUGGAAACUUUCCAAAAGUAUUAUUGGACUUGUAUGCUCUCUCUAUGAAACAGUUCUUUAUCAGUGGAUUUAAUUGCAAGGUUUGCUUUUUCUUGAGCUUUACUCUUUUAAAAUGAUCUUUCAUGAAUUUGGAGCCUGUUUUGCACUGCAACCAUUUGGCAAAUACCUUUAAAAUUUCCACCAAAAUUUGGGGAUGUCAUGUGAUGUUUCCACAUCACUUCUAUGCAAAAAUAUCUUUUGGUUAUUGGAGAUUUUUAGCUCUACAUCAACUUUUCAAAUCUGGUCCAGUAGGCAUUUUUGCACUACAACCUAUUUAAGUAUUCCUUUAAAAAUUCUUCCAAGUGUUUGGGGAUGUCAGUAGAUGCAUAUAAUUCAACUUCAUGCAAAAACCCAGUGUUGUUCUUUGAAAAAUUUGAGUGAAUCAACCUCUUUUUCAUUCUGAUCCAGUUUGGUGAUUUGUACUGCAACCCUAUUUUAUUUUGCUCUAGUGCCCCUGAACUUUUUCCUGCUUGUAGCCCUCCCUGCAAAACCCUUAAGUCCAGGAGAGUGGACUCAUUGGAGGAUUUAAAGUGCACGCAAUGAGACCUUUUUCUUUCUGUCCAAAACUGUAGUUUUGCAAAACUUGCACUAGCAAGUUUCUGGUUUUGCCCAAAUGAUCUUGCCAUCAUCACCUACAUCUAGGGAGACACUGGUCUGGAGUUUUUGGCCACUCGAAGAGUUGCCUAGAUACACUUAGCAUUAUGUCGAACACCUUGUGUUCAUGGACAGUUUUUGGCAUAGUUUCUAGUUUGCAUUAUGAUCUUGUUCCACUGACCCAGCAACCUUGUCCACUAAGCUCCUAGCUAUCCCUAUCCCUGUCCUGUUAUUUGCCAGCCUCCCUCUAGCACUCUAGGCUGCCCUGGCAUUUCGUCGAGCACGUCCCGUGCGUGCUCUAGGCACGCCCAGAGCGCACGUUUUGCACGCGCGCGCACCGAGCCGCCGCGUCGCACUGCCGCCCUCGCCGCGCCCCGCCCCUGGCCCUUGCUCGCCUGCAGAGCCACGCCCUGCACUCGCCCACUUGCCAGAACCCUCCAAGCCGCCCCUGGCGCCCUACAGCGCCGCCGUCAGAGCCUUUGGCGGCACACUGGCGUCGGCAGUGAGCUCCAGCCAUGGACGGCGCCGCCCAAGCCACCCGCGCGCGCCAGCUGCCCCUGUGAACAACUCGAGCUUAUCCUGAAACCUGUCGGCACGCGCUCGUCGCCGCCACGUCGCCCUGUAGCUACAACACGGCUGUCGUGGAAUUAUCACGGCAGAUGUCCUCAAGCUAGGACUUAGUCGUGGAGCCAUCGCUGCUAGGAAGCUUGAAGGGGUUAAACGGGACAAGGAACACGAGGGUUUAUACUGGUUCGGCCCCUUACGGUGAAGGUAAAAGCCUACGUCCAGUUGAGGUGGUAUUGAUUAGGGUUUCGAUGACCAGGGAGCUUAACUGCUAUGCCUGGCUCUCGACGAGAUCUUUCUUCCCCCUAAACCGCUGCCGGGUCGUCCCUUUAUAUAGAGAGGCUGACGCCCCGCAGCUUCUGAGAGUCCCGGCCGGCUCAUAAGAGUGUCCGGCUUGGACUCUCAACUAUUCUUGCCUUAUACUACAAGCUCUACCUUAACGACGGUUGUAACUACGGGCCUUAAGCCACCUCCAUGUCUUAAGCCCAUCUCUGGCCCACCGUCUUCAAGCUUGGCGCCGGGCUUCAGGUGAUGAUCCUUAUGUGUAACCCUGCCCCGUCGGGCGGGUGACUCUAAGGGUUAUAUCCUCAACAUUAGGCCCCAGAAUUAUUUGAGCCAGCUCAUGUCAAUCUUCAACUCUUUCGACAGAAAAGCUCCGGCUUACAAUUGUGUAAAGGCCAUAACCCGGCGUGACGUCAUCCUCUGGAUUCCGGGUAAUCCGCCGUGACGUCGUCUUCCAUUAAGUCCAUUUUUUAUUCCACCAUAUCCACAAUGGAUCUUUAUCUUUACUGCCAUCCCGAAAAUUGAGGCGUUUUUAUGGUGAGAUAACCGCGCCGUGGCUUCCUCGUUUCUCGCGCCCACUUAUGAGCUUGUCCUUAUAAGUAGCCCGGCCCGAUGAGUCUUCAGCCACCCGUCUUCCUCCUCGCGCCACUGUUCUUCCGCUCGUGCUCCGUUGCCGUCGCCACCGCGGGUCUUCUCGUCUUCGCUGACUCCGGCCGCUGCAUCAACCUGUUGCGUCCAGAGAAAACGGCGGUGACCUCCGCAACUCACCAGCACUUGUAAGCCCUUGCUGCCCCGUAGAACAGAUCUGCAGUAGGGUUUCCCCCUGUUCUUCGCGUGUUCUUCACCGUUCUUCGCGGAUUCUCAGUAGAUUUGAUUUUUACCACCCUUCUUGAUCUUAGACUUGUAUAGAACCGCUGCGGUAACUGUUUGGCACCCAUUUCAAAUGCAAAUAGAUCUCUUUUCAUUGCAUAAAAGCUCCGUUCGGACCCAAGAACUUCUCUUGCGUCUGUUUUUAGGUCUAGGAAAUUUCCUUUUUAGCCAACCGUUUUGAUCCAAAUUCAUUACUGCGACGUGUGAAACCUGUUUUCACCACACUUAGUAAAAAAACUGCACCUGCUGGGUCAUGGCGGUUUACAUUUCCGGCUUAAAGAAGCUACGCACUGUAAAACCUUCCGGCUCAAAGAAAACACGCGCCGUAAAAUUUGCCGGCUCACUUACAACAAGGCUGUAGACGAUUAAAUUACUCUCAAUGCUUCCAAAAGCUUGGAUAACCCGAUGCACUUAGAUAUAUGUCAUUAGGCCCCUCCAUAAACCGCCACUUUAAACAUUGAACUGCAAAUUUCCUCCGGCUUAUAGUUAAACCGGACAUUUUUCCUUUUAUCAUAGGCUUCCGACUUUCACCAUGCCUCCCAAAGCUCCCUAAGCACCCAUCACUUGCAACUAGAUGAGGUCCAACGUCACCGACGAGACCUUAGCGGAUUUUGUGAAGUCAGGUUACCUGCCCAAGAAGGACGUCAUGUCCUACCGUGCCCCCGACCCAUCAGAGGAAAGACCACAGCCAAGAGACGGGGAGGUGGUAGUUUUUGCGGAUCAUAUGAGCCGGGGCUUCGCAUCGCCCGGCUCAAAGUUCUUCAGGGAUGUUCUGAAUUUCUUUGACCCGCGGCCCCAAGAUAUAGGACCCAAUUCGGUGUCGAACAUAUGCAACUUCCAAGUGUUCUGCGAGGUCUACCUUGGAGAGGAACCCAGCCUUUUGCUCUUUAGAGAGCUGUUCUAUUUGAAUCGCCAGAACGAGUGCGCCAACGGGCCGAGCUUAGAACUUGGUGGAAUCUCCAUUCAGCGACGGAGAGACUGCCUUUUUCCUUACGCCGAGCCGCCCAGCCACCCAAAGUACUAGAACCAGACGUGGUUCUACUGCCAAGACACGUCGCCGGCUGACGAGAGCCCGCUGCCCGGCUUUCGACCUUCACGUCUGGAACCAACUCACCCUCUGUCUGACAAGUUAACUCAGGCGGAGCGCCAACCUCUGAUCCCCACCAUCAACAAAAUCAAGGCUCUCCUGGGAAAUGGCCUUAAUGGCAUUGAUCUGGUCCGAGUCUGGAUCUCGUGGCGGGUGAUCCCCUUAAGCCGCCGCCCCGGCUUAAUGUGCGAGUAUACGGGCCGGAAAGAUGACCCCUUGAGACACAGCCGCAACGAUCUUCCUGAAGACGUUGCUGAGGAUAUGACCAAGGCUCUCUUGAACGAGAGUUUGGCAGACUGCGGGAGGACCGGCUUAAGCCCCUUCUGCAAGACCAACCCGGCCCCAGCGGUAAGCCGCUGAUCUGAACAUCUUAUUUUCUUCUGUAGAUAGCUUUCAUCUGAACCUUAAGAAAUCGUCAUUGUAUUUUUCAGGCUGAUGACAAAUUCUGGAAGGUCAAAUAUGACCAUGAGGCGGCCAAGAAGGCCAGGAAGGCUAAGAAAGCCGCCAAGAGAGCCGCUCCCCGCAAGAAGGGAAGUAGGCCUACUGCUUCAGAGCUGCUGCAACUAAGCGACAGCUCCGAGUCAGAGGUAACCCCUGAGCCUGUAAGCUCUUAUUGUAUUUGUUGUUUAUUUCUGUCCACCUUAUCAAUACUGUUCAUCAACAGGAUGACACCGGAGCAAGUAACCCGGUCGUUGAAGAGGUAAUGACACUUUCCUCCGACUCGGAGCCCUUGCCAAGGCUGAAAGUCCGAAGGGUAACCCGGAAAGUAAGAUUUUCACAUCCUUUAGCUUAUCAAGAUCCUCAAUUUCUUUUGAAGCAACCGAUUCAUGAGAGCCGGCAGCACACCCGGACCAACAAGGACGCUGACCUCUCCUCCGGUUUACCUGACGCGUCAAGGAAACGCCGGACCGAGGUUAUCUCCCACUUGUACCCUUUUCAUCCUUUGGCGGGUGUUAUACGUCAACCGCUCAAUUCUUCCGAUUAAAACUAUCAGGAAACCUCACCCUCCUCUGGUGACUCGAUGCAAUCAAACCUGCCGGCCUUCAAGACCGUACCCGGGUAAUGAUGAUCAUCUCUUGUUGUGCUUAUCUUUACUCAUGCUUUUGUACUAACCUUUUUGUACUUUCAGUGCCCAGGCAAAGCUCAGCAAGAGGGCGAAAAAGAACAAGCCGGUCGAAGAGCCGGACUUGCCUGAACCGGAGGCUGCAGCUCAAGAACCGCCAGUUGCCUCUGCUCCUGCAGCCGCCGCUCCAACCGACAAGCCAAUCACAGAAACUUCUGCUAACCCGGAGACCUCCAGCCUGGCUCACCCGGCCGAUGACCCGGACGUGGUAAUCACCCGGACGGAGUUUGUUGAGCUGGGAAGACCCACUGCAUUGGCCAAGUGCUCUGCCAAAGAAGAACUGCUAGAGCACCGCCGGGCCAAUCUGGACCUUACCGACUAUGCCAAUCUGAGCAUCGGAGAGAUCGUCUCCGGCUAUGUCAGUCAGGUGCACAAGAGCCGGGACUUAGAGAUCGACAUGGUGAAUCAGAUUCAGCAGAAGUCUGAGGUACCACUCUUCUUGCUUACUGCAUAGUUAUCUUUACCAUACUAGCCCCCAAGUCGACGAUUUUAGAUUGAAUAUGUUGUAGACUUAAGUUCCGGCUUACUUCCAUGAACCGGUAAUUUGUAGAUAGAAACGUUCGAUAUGCAUUAGCCCCCAAGUGCCAAGUGUCUUUGCUUGGAAAACGCUUGGGACUUUAAAUUUGCAUAGUAACUGUUCAUACUAUAACCCAGAAUUUAUGCAGGCUGCUUGCAAGAAGUUUGAGGCUGGCAUCUCCGAUCUAAAGACUCGCCUGAGGACGCAAGAAACUGAGACCCGUAAGGCCAACGCCAAAUUUGUGUCCAGUAUUGCUGCUCAAGAUAAGCUGAAAAAGGACUUUGAAGCUGAACGGAAAACUUUGGGCCAAAGAGAAGGCUACUCUGGUGAGCCGGGCCGAACAGGCGGAGAAGGCUCUGACAGAGAAAACCACCGAGCUCUCCGGCUUAAAACGCCACGUGUCCUAGAUGGUUGCCGCGAUCUUCGGUAAGUCAUGCCACCGGCUCUCGUCCAGUUUAUAACCUUUAUAUCGCAUAACGCACCAUUGCCAGCGGCUUAUCUUACUUUGUUAAACAGGUCCCAGAAGCGCCAACCUCAACCAAAGUGUGCUGACCAAGCUGAAGGCCGUGUACACCCUGGUGGAGCAACUCUACACUGGGUCACAGCGCGCCUUGGCCGUGGUGGCCCUAUCCAAUGAGGUGCCGACUCACCUGGCGGAAGUUCUUCGCCGGCUUGCCGUUCUUCCUCAACAUGUCCAAGAGCUGCGAUGGGCCUCUGCAAGAGCCGGCGCCAUAGCUGCUCUGAGCCGGGCCAAGGCGUUCCUUCCAGAACUAGACCCGGCGGACAUUGCCCUUGGCUACCCUAGCUUGAAGGAAGACGGCACCCCCUUCGACCAAAAGGACUUUGCAGCCUGCGUGAAGAUUGUACGCCCGGUGGCCACUCUGAUUGGAAAUGACACGGAUCUGACCAAGUACCAGCCGGGUUACGAUGCGGAGAAUCAGAGGAUCCCCACUCCGCGUUAUGAAGCCAUCAGCUUAGUCCCGCCGACUCGUAAGCACACCUUUGCCCCGGAAAUUGACCCGGCCGGGUUAAUUGACGAGGAAGCUCGAUUUGAGGCUCUGAGCGGCAUUGACUGGAAAUCAUCAACUUUCCAGGUCUUGGGAACAGCCGAAGGAGCGGAGAGGGAUGAGCCGGAAGAUUCAACCCAGCAAGCAUCUUAACUCUGUAGGCGGCUUAUUAAAACAAUGCUUCACCCUUUUGGACUCAAUGAGUCUUGUAAUAGAAUAGGACCAACACUUUAACUUUGCCGUGCCAUCGUGCACGCGUUGAAUGCUGAAUUCCAUUGAAGUUGCUUCCUUAUAUUUCUCCGGGUCAUAGUUGAUCAGUCAUGUUCCUUAAGCUUAAAUAGUUGUCUUUAACUAUCCUGCAUAGAAAGACAAAUCACAAGUCUCUAGGCGGCUUACCGCACGGAGAAUCAUAGUCUUAUGCAUAUAACCCGGAAUAUGAAUCACAAAAGACUGGUCCUCAAUUAUGUCCUUGAUAUAACCGUAACAACACACUUAUCGGCCUGCAAGCACGCUUCCGGCUUAGAUAACCCGGGUAACAAGGUUGGUACCUCAAUUCCGGUUUACCAGUCUUAAUAACCCCGAUUGUGUUCGACUAAUACUGUAAAUCAAAAUUAAGCCGGCAAAGUGAGACCCGCCGUGCACACUUGAAAUAAUCAGAAGAACUCGCUAUAAAUCAGAAAACUUAGGGGCUUCCGGUUCGAAUACGACCAGAGACCCGUCCCAAAGGGGUUAUGCUCGGAUUCGAAUGCGAUCAUAUAGCCCCCAGUGGGUGUGGCGAUGCCAAUCAAGAGGGUACCAACAGCUAUGUUCUCUUUGGUUCGAAUACGACCCAUGUUUGAACAGGAAGCCCCCAAAUGACCUUAAGAAUUGUUUAACGACGCUGAUUCGAAUACGAUCCCCGUCGGUUCCCAAAGGGGGUUGAACUGUGAUUCAUAUAUGAUCAAAGAAAACUCCCCAAUGAGCUCGGCCCCUUGCCGAGCAAAUGGGUAUCGACAGCUAUGUUCUCUUUGGUUCGAAUACGACCUAUGUUUGAACAGGAAGCCCCCAAGUGACUACAUUGCGUAUGGCUAGAUUCGAAUACGAUCAUAAGCCGGAUCCCCCUUCAAGUUAUCAUGUGAUCUUGCAAUGAAAACAACACGUUCACCUUUGGAGAAGAAAAAAGGACAGAGGUCCUGCUUUAUUGCUUAUCAUAAUAUAUACAUGGCUUAGAGAAAUAUGUACAUUAUAACAGCCGGUGGCUCAAGUAUAAUAAGGCCGAAGCUGUGCUAUGUUCCAUGGCCGACGGGUCUCUUCCUCCGACUUACGUGAAUCUUUGUGCUCCCGAAUGUCAAUGAGGUAAUAUGACCCGUUGUGCAAAUUCUUGCUGACCACAAAGGGCCCUUCCCAAGGUGGGGAUAGCUUGUGCGCAUCUGUUUGAUCUUGGAUGAGCCGGAGCACCAGAUCGCCUUCCUGGAAGACCCGGGAUUUAACCCGGCGACUAUGAUAACGGCGCAGAUCUUGCUGGUAAAUCGCCGAACGAGCUGCUGCCACAUCACGCUGUUCGUCCAACAAGUCAAGAGCAUCUUGGCACGCCUGUUCAUUAUCCGCCUCCACAUAAGCCGCCACUCGAGGUGAGUCAUGACGGAUGUCACUAGGGAGAACUGCUUCCGCUCCAUAAACCAUGAAGAAAGGCGUGAAACCUGUAGACCUGUUAGGAGUAGUGUUGAUGCUCCACAACACGGAGGGUAACUCCUCCACCCAACAACCCGGCGUCCGUUGUAAAGGGACCAAAAGCCGGGGUUUGAUGCCUUUGAGAAUCUCCUGAUUAGCCCUCUCAGCCUGACCAUUGGAUUGAGGAUGAGCCACUGAUGAAACAUCAAGUCGAAUAUGCUCUCGUUGACAAAACUCCUCCAUGGCGCCUUUGGAUAGAUUGGUACCAUUGUCAGUUAAAAUGCUGUGUGGAAAGCCAAAACGAAAAAUCACCUUUUUCAUAAACUGAACUGCCGUGGCUGCAUCACACUUGCUAACUGGCUCCGCUUCAACCCACUUGGUAAAUUUGUCAACUGCCACCAAGAGGUGGGUCUUCUUAUCCUUGGACCUUUUAAAAGGCCCAACCAUAUCAAGCCCCCAGACCGCAAAGGGCCAAGUAAUUGGGAUCAUCCUCAGCUCCUGAGCCGGCACAUGAGCCCAUCAUGAGAACCUUUGGCAACCAUCACAUUUACUGACCAAGUCCUCCGCAUCAGCAUGAGCCGUCAGCCAAUAAAAACCAUGACGAAAAGCCUUGGCCACAAGAGACUUUGAGCCGGCGUGAUGGCCACAAUCCCCUUCAUGAAUCUCACGCAAGAUCUCUUGACCUUCCUCAGGGGAGACACAACGCUGGAACGCUCCCGUAACACUGCGGUGAUGCAACCCGCCAUUGAUAACAACCAUUGACUUAGACCGCGGGGUUAUUUGUCUGGCCGAAGUUUCAUCCUCAGGCAAAUCUCCCCGGGUCAUGUAAGCCAGAUAGGGCACUGUCCAGUCCGGUAUGAUGUGGAGAGCCGCCACCAGUCGUGCCUCCGGGUCAGGGACAACCAAGUCUUCCUCUGUAGGCAACUUAACAGAAGGGUUAUGCAGGACGUCCAGGAAAGUAUUAGGCGGCACCGGUUUUCGCUGAGAGCCCAGCCGGCUUAAAGCAUCAGCCGCCUCGUUCUUCCUGCGAUCGAUGUGCUCUACUUGUUAACCCUGAAAGUGCCCAGCAAUGGCAUCAACUUCGCGGCGAUAAGCCGCCAUGAGAGGGUCCUUGGAGUCCCACUUUCCUGACACUUGUUGAGCCACCAAGUCUGAGUCACCGAAGCACCUUACCCGGCUUAAGAUCAUCUCCCUACCAUCCGAAGACCGUGGAGCAAGGCCUUGUACUCUGCUGCAUUGUUGGUGCAAGGAAACAUCAAUUGUAGCACAUAAUGGAACUUGUCACCUUUAGGGGAUGCCAAUACGACUCCAGCCCCCGAACCCUCCAAUUGCCUGGACCCAUCGAAGUGAAUAGUCCAAUAUGUGUUAUCCGGCUUUUGUUCGGGCACUUGUAGCUCUGUCCAAUCAUUGAUGAAAUCCACCAAGGCCUGAGAUUUAACAGCAGUGCGUGGCACAUAUUUCAGACCAUGAGGUCCGAGCUCUAUAGCCCACUUAGCCACUCUCCCUGUGGCCUCUCUGUUUUGAAUGAUAUCUCCAAAGGGGGCAGAACUGACCACAGUGAUGGGGGAACCCUGGAAAUAAUGCUUAAGCUUCCGGCUUGCCAUGAACACACCAUAAACAAGCUUCUGCCAAUGCGGAUACCGCUGCUUGGACUCAAUGAGUACUUCGCUGACAUAAUAAACCGGCCGCUGAACCGGAUGCUCCUUACCCUCUUCCUUGCGCUCCACCACCACGGCCACACUGACGGCUCGUGUGUUAGUAGCCACAUACAACAAUAAAGGCUCCUUGUCAACCGGAGCAGCAAGGACUGGGGGCUCGGCCAGCUGUAUCUUCAAAUCCUCAAAAGCAGUAUUAGCUGCAUCAUUCCAGACAAAGUUAUCAGUUUUCUUCAUCAACUGAUAUAAUGGCAUGGCCUUCUCCCCCAAACGGCUUAUAAAAUGGCUUAAAGCAGCAAUACGACCAGCCAGGCACUGGACGUCGUUUAUACACGCCGGCUUAGCCAGGGAGGUGAUGGCCUUGAUCUUCUCCGGGUUAGCUUCAAUGCCUCUGUUAGAAACCAAGAAACCCAAGAGCUUGCCUGCAGGAACACCAAAAACACACUUGGCCGGGUUAAGCAUCAUCUUGUAGACCCGGAGAUUAUCAAAGGUUUCCCUCAGAUCAUCUAUCAAGGUUUCCUCCUUCCUAGAUUUAACCACAAUAUCAUCCACAUAAGCAUGAACAUUGCGCCCAAUCUGGUUAUGAAGACAGUUCUGCACGCAACGCUGAUAAGUCGCCUGUGCACUCUUGAGUCCAAAGGGCAUAGAUACAUAGCAGAAGGCUCCAAAGGGAGUGAUGAACGCCGUCUUCUCCUGGUCCUUAACUGCCAUUUUAAUCUGAUGAUAUCCAGAGUAAGCAUCCAAGAAACUUAGGCGCUCACAACCCGCCGUAGCAUCAAUGAUUUGAUCAAUACGGGGAAGGGCGAAAGGAUCAGCCGGACACGCCUUGUUCAAGUCCGUGUAGUCCACACACAUCCGCCAGGUGCCGUUCUUCUUGAGUACGAGCACCGGGUUAGCUAACCACUCUGGGUGAAAGACUUCAACAAUAAACCCGGCCGCCAAGAGCCGGGCCACCUCUUCACCAAUAGCUUUCCGCCUUUCUUCAUUAAACCGCCGAAGGAAUUGCCUGACCGGCUUAAAUUUCGGAUCAACAUUGAGAGUGUGCUCAGCGAGUUAUCUAGGUACACCUGGCAUGUCAGAAGGUUUCCAUGCAAAAAUGUCCCUAUUCUCACGAAUGAACUCGAUGAGCGCGCUUUCCUAUUUUGGAUCCAGAUUGGCACUGAUGCUAAACUGCUGAGAUGAAUCACCUGGAACGAAAUCAACAAGUUUGUCUCAUCAGCCGACUUAAAUUUCAUUGCCGGCUCAUGCUCCGUAGUUGGCUUUUUCAGAGAGGUCAUAUACGUUGGCUCAACAUUGUCCUUGUAGAAUUUUAACUCCUCUGUUGCACAAACAGAUUCUGCGUAAGCUGCAUCGCCUUCCUCACACUCCGAGGCCACCUUUCGGCUGCCAUGAACCGUAAUGGUCCCAUUGAGACCCGACAUCUUAAGUUGUAAAUACACGUAACACGGCCGUGCCAUGAACUUGGCGUAAGCCGGCCGCCCGAAUAUGGCAUGAUACGGGCUCCUUAUCUUGACCACCUCAAAGGUCAAUUUUUCCACCCUGUAGUUGUGCUCGUCUCCAAAGGCCACUUCCAACUCGAUCUUGCCGACUGGAUAAGCCAACUUACCAGGUACCACACCAUGGAAAAUAGUGUUUGACUGGCUGAGGUUCUUAUCAAUCAACCCCAUAUGACGGAAAGUCUCAUAAUAAAAGAUGUUGAUGCUGCUGCCUCCAUCCAUGAGCACCUUAGUGAACUUAUAUCCUCCCACCUGAGGAGCCACCACCAAGGCCAAGUGACCCGGAUUAUCCACCCGGGGAGGGUGAUCCUCCCUACUCCAUACUAUAGGCUGCUCGGACCACCGUAAAUAUCGUGGAACCGCCGGCUCAACAGCAUUUAAAGCCCUCUUAUGAAGCUUCUGAUCUCGCUUACACAGACUGGUGGUAAAUACAUGAUACUGUCAACCGCUAAGCUGCUUUGGAUUGGUCUGAUAACCCCCCUGCUGCUGUUGAUGACCCUGGCCAGACUGCUGAUUAAAGCCCCCUUGACCGUUCUGGGGAUUAGAAUUUGAGCCGCCGCCCGGGCCAUGAAAACCGCCAGCGCCUGAGCCACCGCUCGGGCCGUUGUUGCCAUUAAAGGCGUUGGAAUUCUUAAAGGCCUUCAUGAUCGCACAAUCCUUCCAUAAAUGAGUAGCUGGCUUCUCCCUAGAGCCGUGCCUUGGACAAGGUUCAUUCAACAGCUGCUCCAGCGUCGGGCCUGACCCGCCGGCUCGGGGAGGUGGCCUCCCCUUGCGUCGCUGGUUAUUACCCUGUGAGCUGGCGUUGGCCACGAACUCUAGGCUGCCGUCGGCCUUGCGCUUGCCACCUCCUUGGCUCCCCGGGUUAUGCUGAGGACCCUUGCCAUUGCCGUUCUUCUUUCCCUUCCCUGUCCUUUCAUCAUCUGAAGCGGGGUCCUUGGUACUAUCAGAAUCGGCGUACUUGACGAGAGCCGCCAUCAGCGUACCCAUGUCAUUGCAAUCGCGCUUAAGCCGCCCGAUUUUCAUCUUCAGGGGCAGAAAGCGACAAUUCUGUUCCAGCAUUAAAACUGCAGAGCCGGCAUCCAUCUUAUCAGAUGAAUGUAUUAUCUCCUUAACCCGGCGAACCCAUUGCGUCGUAGACUCGCCCUCCUGUUGCUUACAGUUAGUCAAAUCCACUAUUGACAUAGAUAGUCUACAGGUGUCUUUGAAGUUUUGUAUGAACCGGGCCUUCAGCUCAGCCCAAGAUCCAAUGGAAUUCGGCGGUAGCCCUUUCAACCAAGUGCGGGCAGUCCCAUCUAGCAUCAUGGUGAAGUACUUGGCCAUCGCCGCCUCACUGACCUCCAGCAGUUCCAUGGCCAUCUCGUAACUUUCGAUCCAGGCUGCGGGUUGUAAGUCAGCCGUGUAAUUAGGCACCUUCCUAGGGCCUUUGAAGUCCUUGGGUAGCCGCUCAUUGCGGAGAGCUGGCACUAAACAAGGGACACCUCCGGUCCUGGUAGGGAUACCCACGUCGACGGAGGUCGUCGCAUAAGCCGGGGGAGUCUGGUAAGCCGUCAACUGAGGCACCUGCUCCGCCUCUUGCCACGCUCUGUCUUGGUCUGCUGCGUGAAAGGCUCCGUUAUGAGCCGGGCCAUAGCCAGGGGGCGGCUCAUGGCGUCGGACAUUACUUGAGCCGGUCGCUGAGACCAUGUGUCUGCUAUAACUCGGGCUCCGGCCUGGACGAGGGGUCGAGUGGAUCCUGUCCCGGCUGUACGAGUACGCCUCUUGCUGUGCCAGCGCUGUCUGAAGGAGUUCCCUGACCCGGCGGGUUUCAAUAGCCGUCGGAGAGUCGCCGUCAAUUGGGAGGGCCGCCAGCCAUGCUGCUGCGGCGACCAUGUUCUCCAGCGGGUUAGCAUAAUGACCCGGUGGUAUCGGCACAUACUGAGGCGGGGCAGGGUUUGCCUGGGGAGGCCCCAUCACUUGUGGCUGAACAGGGGUCCCAGACCCAGGCACUAUGAUCCCUGGCGGGUUACUAGACCCUGCACCUGGCGUGUUGAAGAGGUUUCGAGGAUCAUAGACCGGAGGGAGUUGAGAUUGGGCCUUUUGAUGCCUCCUUCUCAUGACCUCGUUGGACGUGUUCUGAUCCAUCGUGAGCCGGAGGGACUGCGCCUGAAUCAACUGAGUUUGGGCGUCGAGGGCCGCCCUCUCCGCGGCCAUCCUGAUCCCUUCUGCUGCCAGAUCGUCCUUGGCUUUCACUAGAUCUAACUUUAACUGCGCCACCUCCGCGUCAUGCUGAGCUUGAUCCGCCGGGUCAACCGCGGCGGUCAACAGGGCCGUCAUCUUGUCCGUGAGAUCCAUCAACACCUGAGCCGGCGAGGGCACCGGGUUUCCUGCCCCAGCAGCAGGGUUCUGAACAGGCUGCGCACCGGCCAUGAAGAUUCCGACCCGGCUCGGCGGCUCAAACGGGUCCGGAAUACUGUCACCAUCGGAACAACCCAUGAGCCUACCAUCUUGAAGUUGAUACAACGAGUUUGACUCAUCUGUGGACGACUCGCCGUCAGAGCCGGCGGCCGUCUCAUCACCAGAUCCAGACCUAUGAGAGUGCCCUCCAUGGACACAUCCCACAAAAGCAUGCCUCAAGGCAGGCAGGGCCCGGGCGGGUCGUGCGCGCUGAGCCAUCUCGACGAGAUCGGCGCAGAGACCCGACUCAGGGCCCGGCUCACCAAUCUUGCCAAUGAAAACAUGAAUUCCGCCGAAGGGGACCCGGUAUCCGUACUCGAUUGAGCCGGCAUCGGGGCCCCAGUUUGCAUCGUCGAUGUAGAGCUUGCCGCGACGACUCUUGGUCAUCCGGCCCACAGCGUAUCCCUUGAGCCCCUCGAAGCUGCCCUUCAAGAACUCAAAUCCACCGUGCGCUGGCCCCACGGUGGGCGCCAACUGUCGUGGAAUUAUCACGACAGAUGUCCUCAAGCUAGGACUUAGUCGUGGAGCCAUCGCUGCUAGGAAGCUUGAAGGGGUUAAACGGGACAAGGAACACGAGGGAUUAUACUGGUUCGGCCCCUUACAGUGAAGGUAAAAGCCUACGUCCAGUUGAGGUGGUAUUGAUUAGGGUUUCGAUGACCAGGGAGCUUAACUGCUAUGCCUGGCUCUCGACGAGAUCUUUCUUCCCCCUAAACCACUAUCGGGUCGUCCCUUUAUAUAGAGAGGCUGACGCCCCACAGCUUCUGAGAGUCCCGGCCAGCUCAUAAGAGUGUCCGGCUCGGACUCUCAGCUAUUCUUGCCUUAUACUACAAGCUCUACCUUAAUGACAGUUGUAACUACGGGACUUAAGCCACCUCCGGGUCUUAAGCCCAUCUCUGGCCCACCGUCUUCAAGCUUGGCGCCGGGCUUCAGGUGAUGAUCCUUAUGUGUAAGCCGGCCCCGCCGGGCGGGUGACUCAAAGGGUUAUAUCCUCAACAACGGCGGUUGCCGGCGUUCUUAUCCACGGCCGCUGCGGGACCAGCCUCGAACGCCUAUAAAAGGAGACCCCGAGCCCCUCCGAGCGCUCAGGCGACCUCAGGCCUCCCCCUAGUGCUCCCCUAGCCGUGGAUUGACCGGAAGAGGCCAUCUCCCCCACCUCCGGCCGGUUCGGCCGCCGCUGCCUUCCGGUGCCAUUCGUCGCAACCAGACACUCCCCCGCCCAUCCAGCGCCACCACUCGCUUCCCCUUGUUCUUGCGGAGCUGCCUAGCGCCUCAGCCUCGAUCGGAAACCACCGGAGCCCAAAACCCCCUUUACUCCCGUAGCCCCUUCCGCCGCGGAGCUCGCCGCCGGCGACUCCUCCCACCACCGUCGACCCAACGACCACCGAGAGGACCGCCCCGGUCUGGCAGGUCCAUCCCCGCCCUCGGAUGCCCAUGGGGAGCUGCCGUUCGUCGACGGCGAUCGCCGGAGUCCCGCCCCGUUCGGGCAGAGGAAGAGGAGGGAGAGGGGGGAAUAGUCAAACCUGACCAGUGGGCCCCCCUGGACCCACUGUCAGCGACCCAGCCCCGCCGAUGCAUGUUUUAAGUGGAGACGUGUUUCGCAAAAUACGUUUUCGCUGAACAGAAAGCGUAAGCUCCUCUGAAACAUUUUCUUUCUCUAUUUUAUUUAAAACAGAACUUUGACUGGCUAUAUCUUUUAAAAUAAAACUCCAAAUGAGUUGAUUCUUUUUCCUACCUCUCUCAAAUUUCAUCUAGUUUAUUUUAAGAUUUAUUUCAAAAAUAUUUGAGACAACUUUUUGUACUGUUUUUGAAAUAUUUGUUAUUUGAAUAUUUUUCAAAAUAGGAAAUGGAGAGAGAAGAAAACUUUCAAAAAGUGCACCCCCUUGCAUACUCUUGAAGGCAAGCAUUCUGAACUCUGGCAUAAUAUUUUUGUGUGGUGUUUUGAUACGGUUACAACACCACUUUGACUUGGAGCAUACGUUAUUUUUAUGUAACGAUAAAGUCACACGCAUGAGUGCAUAUUGGAGAUGCUUUACUGUUAGAAUGGAUAUGCGGGUAAUAGUGAUCAUCCUCGCGAGCUUUUCAUGCAUACCAGCAGGAAGCCGGGAGAGUCGUGGUCUUGGGUAGACACAAGCUUGUCCCUAGUUCCUCGUCGAGACGAGUGUGUCCGGUAUGGCAUGAUGAGGUUUGAUGAGCGGUGAUUCUGUCUGUCAAUGGGAUAUAUAUUGGUUAUGCUAAUCAUUCGGAGAAUACUUGGAUCUCCUGAGUCGGCCGUAGGUCGAGUCUUGAUUAGUAACUUCCCCUACUUGUUUUGUACUACCACUUGUCCCUGCCGCAGGUAGGGUAUGGUUCAGUAAGUUGUCAACCCCUUACCAAAGCACACACCGUACAGAGAGGCCAUGGUGGAAGAUACCGGAUGCAUCCGGUAGGCAUGCCACCUGGUCCGGGGGCAUGGGUGUUUCCGGUUGGGACCGAGAGGGGGGCACCCCUUAGAGCGCGCGAUAUAAAUUUGAUCCCAUGCUACGUCGAGGUUGUAGCCUCCCCACUUAGAGUUUUGCUUGACAGGUGUCGUGGGUGAUUCCAGACACCGGUAAGUUAAGCUGGUGUGUGCAGGUCAGGCGUGUUUUCAAUUAAAAGGCCGUAGGCGGAAUUAGUCCCGAUGGAGUAAAUAAAUCCGUUACUCGUGGGUAAAGAGUACACGCUCUGCAGAGGUCAUAUCUAUUUGGAUAGCCAUGUUCAUGGGUAAGGACUUCAGUCUGAGAUGGGUCUAGUGACGGUUUUCGGAUGGAGAAACGGCUAGACUAGAACUUUGUUUAUGACCUGUGACGUAUGAGGAUUAUGUUUAUUAUUAUGGACUAACCAUUUACAUUAUUUGAAUUAUUGAGUAUCCCUGGGAUGGUUCUACCUCCUGGAUAUUCACUGUGAUUAUUCUUAUAUAAGCCCGUUAUGUGGUGUCGCUCAGACGCCCGACUGCGGCAUGCUUGUUAUUUAAUUUUUCUUUAUAAGCCCUUUAUGUGGUGUCGCUCAGGCGCCCGACUGCGGCAUGCUUGUUAUUUAAUUAUUCUUUAUAAGCCCUUUAUGUGGUGUCGCUCAGACGCCCGAUUGCGGCAUGCUUGUUAUUUAAUUAUCCUUUAUAAGCCCUUUAUGUGGUGUCGCUCAGACGCCCGACUGUGGCAUUAUUAAUUUAUUUGUACCCUUUCGAGGAGUCAUAUCAGAUACUCGAUGAGUGCAUUCUAUUACUACCCCGUAUUGCAUGUUCAUAUUUUUCCCGCAUGCGUGCAUCACGGAUUUCGCUUAUUUCGUGGCAGACGUUAUCAUCAUAAAAUAUUUCGGAGCAUGAUUACCCCUUGUUAUAUUAUACCCGUGUUCUUGAUGUUUGCGAGUACAUUCAAACGUACUCACUGGCUUGUCGCUGGCUAUUGUCUUGUCCAGAUUCCUUGCAUGGAGAAGAGCGUUACGACGACAACCCCGGAACCCAUGUAAAGGUGAUAGCAGCCUCGCGAAGAUAGGAGUUAUCCUGGUCUGCUGUUCUUGUGGGAAAUGGAGUCCCAUAGACGCAGAUGUACCGCAAACCGCUUCCGCCAUCAACCACUAGAAACCAAGUGUUGUACUCAUAGGCCACAAUGGUCUUGUACUACAUAUUUUUUACUUUGCUUGGAAUUCUUGUAUCAAGUUGGUACCUCAUCAGCUAACAGUAAUCCUGGGGCUGGUGAGCACAAAGGCCAUUUUUUGGGAAAUUAAUAUCCCGAAAAUCCGGUCCUGACAUGUACGAGGGUUAACUGGUUCUGGUGUGGUGUGGUUCGGCAGUUGUUGGAGAAGAACAGGAGGUGUGGAGGGGUGGAGGGAUGGCCUGGCCAACGGUGAAGUAGGGCUUCACAGCGAAGUGUGCUAAGCAGAGCUGCUAUCAGCAGGAGGCGGGAGGAGGUGGUCCCGGCGGCGCUGGAGGAAUAAGAUGAGAGAUUGAAGAUGGAUGCUAGUCGUUGGAUGUAAAUCCAACGGCUGUCGAUGUCAAAAUCAUUUGUUGACUAAGUUGACAUUGACUUCCAUUGGCUUCGGCCUAUUGGCCCACAUUUCAGCCUCCAAAAAUGUGGCACGUAUUCAACCCAUUUUUUAAGAAUUUAAAGUCUUUUUUUUGCGGGGUAGAAUUUACAGUCCAUUUGAUCUCUAUUUUUUAAUUACAAUCCAUUAGCUGGGCUGGGUGAACAAAUAAUGUAGCGUCCAUGCGGCCCAUUUAUGUUUUUCCUAAAAAAUUACAGGCCAUUUGCACUUUCUCGAAAUACACGAUUUUGCUAGGCUGAUUCUAAUUAUAAUGUUGGGGUGGGCGCAUCAAUGUUAUCAAAAAAAACAUGGGCUGAGCAUUUUGUUAUAUAUAUAUAUUUAAAUAAUAAGUGAUUUAUUAUUACAUUGGUCCUUAAAUCUUACCAAGAUUUUGUACACAAUCACCAGGAUUUUCCUUGCCAAAAAAUUCUAGGAUUUUAUUGUUAAGAAAUUAUCUAUACUACUAUAUAGUGUAUCAGUUUCGAACUAGACCUAGAGCAUCAAUCAUAGCCGUUGGUCACCUAAAUCCAAUGGCUGGGAUCAUCAGGAUUUGUCGGCGUCCUGGGAACGGGGGUCCCCAGACUUGCCUGCCUGCGGCCCACGGCGUGGCUAAGCUAGUAGGCCGUACGGCCCAUCUUCACCGACAAGGCAUCCAAGACCCUCGCGAGGAGGACGACGCAAGACCUCUUCAGGAGUGGCCUAGUCAGGCAGGCUCGCGAGGAGCGGAGAUAUCAAGGCGGGCCGAACCUCACGACGCUCUCGUGACGUAAGCCAUCACGAUCGGCGCUAGGCGGGCGCCAGCGCGCGCAGCGUCCUUGUUUCCUCUUUGGUGCUAAGGAAGCAGGUGCAGGCGAGGAGCACCGAGGCAUCAGACAAAGGUUGCUAUAUCAGAGCAACGGGACCAAGACCAGGACGGCGGCAAGACAGAGGUCAUCGUGGAGCCCAAGACGGAGUCACCACUAGAGCCUUUUGCAGGCGAAGACCACUUUUGUCAGGAUAGCUUGUACUAUCUGUCCCCCUUCAAAUUUGCCCGCCGUUGUUGGCUCCCUUCCCGUUCAAUAUUUGGGAAGAGGACCAAGGCCUAUAUAAGUAGAACUAGCCACCACAGUAGGGGCAUCGAGCAGUUCAUCCAGAUAUCACCCGCUAAGUCACCAAGCACAAGAACACCUCAACCUCAGGAGGCUGUUCUUCACUCUGAACUAUUCAUCAGCCCAAGAGGCAAUCCACCACCCCCACACUGGAGUAGGGUAUUACACCACAACGGUGGCCCGAACCAGUAUAAAUUCCGUGUCUCUUUGCGUUGUGAGUUCAUCGAGUUCGUCCGCAAGAUCUUAGCGAGCUAGGGCGUAGAUCGGUAGGAGGGAAAGACUUCGCGCGCACCCCAGUGUUCGAACCUUAAGGGUUUGCCGGAACCCCACAUCCGACAUUUGGCGCGCCAGGUAGGGGUGUGCCGGAGCUCCUCUCCACCAACCUGCGCCCCGUUCCACUACACUUCGCUCCCAUGGCGGGUGCCCCGCCACCCACCUCUGCGGCCGACAUCGACAGCGGGGCGUCAGGGUAUCGAGCCCUGGCCCCCGCCCUGCGGCGGGUGCGGUGGCCGACCAAGUUCAAGCCAGAGAUGCCGCCGCGUUACGACGACGCGGCAGACCCGACGCCGUUCCUGCUGGCGUACGAGGACGCUGUCCUCGAAGCCGGAGGUGACGACAAGAUCAUGGCCAACUGGUUCCCCAUGGCCCUCGCAGGCGAGCCACGCGCCUGGCUGCUCAACCUCCCGGGAUCCAUGGUGGCCUCCUGGGGGAACUCUGCGACCUCUUCGCCGCUCGCUACGCGGUGCCGGCACACCACGCAGUCGCGGCCCUGCUGGGCGGCUCUCAAGCACCACCUUCAGAACGCCACGUCAAGCCGUUCCUCCGUUAGAUCAGAGCCACAUCCAAGCGCCCGGGGGCUCCGCCGGGUUGGGCCGCGCCAGAGGCCGACCUCACCUUCGGGUCAGAAGACCACCCUGACUCCACCGCCGGCUCCGGAAUGCUCCCGAUGCUCUGCACGCCCACCAUCUGCAACGUGGCCGUUACCAAGACCCUCAUCGACGGCGGUGCUGGCCUCAACUUGCUCCCCGUAGAAGCCUUCAGCCUUCUUCACGUGCCGCUUGAGCGGCUCGGCCUCAGCAAGCCCUUCUCGGGAGUGGGUGGUGGAGCUGCUCACUCUCUGGGGAAGAUCCGCCUCCCUGUCACCUUCGGCACACGCGACAACUACCGCACCGAGCUGGUGGACUUCGACAUCGCCCGCAUCGGUCUCCCGUACAACGCCAUCCUUGGGUACCCGGCUCUCGCUCAGUUCAUGACGGCGACUCACCCGGCUUACAACCUCAUGAAGAUGCCAGGAAGCAAGGGCGUCCUCACCAUCAAGGGGGACACUAAGGAGGCCGUGACGGCACUCAGGCUCGCCUUCAAGACCGCAGCAGCAGCACAGCCCGCCGGCGCCGGUACCCCCGAGGCCAAGGAGGCCGCGCCUACCAAGAAGAAGCAGCUAUUCACCCAAGACAAGGCGGAAACCAAGCAGGUGCCGGUCGAUGAGGACGGGUCUUCAGGAUCCACCUUUACCAUCGGAGCCGGCCUCGACCCGGAACAAGAAAAAGCCUUGGUGAGGUUCUUGCACGCGAACAAGGAGAUCUUUGCGUGGGAGCCUAACCAGCUGGUAGGGGUUCCGAGGGAGGUGAUCCAGCAUCAUCUAAAGGUGUGCCCCAAUAUACGCCCCGUGAAGCAGCAAGCAAGACAGCAGUCCACUGAAAAGCAGGCCUUCAUCGUCCAAGAGACUCGCAAGCUGGAGGCGGCGGGUGCCAUCCGAGAAGUUUGAUAUCCCGAAUGGCUGGCGAACCCCGUCAUAGUGCCGAAGAAAGGCGGAAAGGAACGGAUGUGCGUCGACUUCACCAACCUCAACAAAGCCUGCCCCCAAGAUCCAUUCCCACUCCCGCGCAUCGACCAGAUUGUCGACUCCACCGCCGAGUGUGACUUGUUGUGCUUCCUGGACGCGUUCUCAGGGUAUCAUCAGAUCAAGAUGGCGGUGGAAGAUGUGGAGAAGACAACCUUCCUGACCCCAUGUGGGGUGUACUGCUACACCUGCAUGCCCUUCGGGCUGCGCAACACGGGCGCGACCUUUCAGCGGUUGAUGCACAUCGCCCUGGGGCGGCAGCUCGGGAGAAACACAGAGGCCUACGUCGAUGACAUAGUGGUAAAGUCUCGCGAGGCGAGGACAUUGAUUCAAGACUUGGAGGAGACCUUCGAGAGCCUGCGCCAAGUGAACUGGAGGCUUAACCCGGAGAAGUGCGUGUUCGGCGUCCCCUCCGGAAGCUACUGGGUUUCCUCGUAUCCCACAGAGGGAUCGAGGCGAACCCAGAGAAGAUCAAGGCCAUCGAGGACAUGAGCCCACCACAGACCCUCAAAGAGAUGCAGAAACUAGCGGGGCGGGUAACUGCGUUAGGGCGUUUCAUCUCCAAACUGGGAGAGCGCGCCUUGCCCUUCUUCAAGCUCAUGAAGAAGAAGGGCUCGUACGAGUGGACCCCGGAGGCCGACCAGGCCUUCCAAGACCUCAAGAAGUACCUUACCAGUCCCCCGGUGAUGGUGGCACCACGGCCUCUCGAGCCUCUGGUACUCUACCUUGCCGCCACCCCGUACUCCGCCAGCGCGGCGCUGGUGGCGGUUUGGGAGGAGCGCCAAGCCAAGGGGGCGCCGCGCCAAGCCGGAGCUGAAGUGGCGAGGGUUCAGGAAGGCGCAGCAAAGGCAUCAGCGGUGGAAGAUCAAGCUCAGUAGGACAACAUCACAGAAGCUCCUGAGGACAGUCAAGUCUCAGGAACCCCUCCACCUUAGGACAUGCCCCGAUCUCCGCAGGGCCCUAGCCUUGAUAGUGUGCCUACCCUCGUCGAGCACCCGGUGUACUUCGUCAGCACCAUACCGCGGGACGCGAGGGCACGCUACCCCAUGCCCCAGAAACUACUGCUCGCACUCCUGGUGGCCUCACGGAAGCUGCGACACUACUUCCAGGGACACCCCAUCAAGGUCGUCUCAGCCUACCCAUUGGAGAGGGUACUCAGGAGCCCUAACUCAGCCAGAAGGGUCACCGAGUGGAACAUCGAGUUGCAAGCAUUCCAGUUGGAGUUCAGCACCACCAGGGUCAUCAAGGGGGCUGCGCUCGCUGACUUUGUGGCAGAAUGGACGGAUGCCCCAACACUUGAGGAAGGAGAAGACCGGUCCACCUCCCCAGGAAGUGAGGCUCCAGACGGCUGGGUCAUGUAUUUCGAUGGCGCCUUCGCGCACCAGGGCGCGGGGGCUGGAGCCGUGCUCAUCUCGCCCACUCAGGACAAGAUCUACUACGCCGUGCAGCUCUGCUUUUAGCACGGCGAGAAGGUCUCCAACAAUAUCGCAGAAUACGAAGGCCUCAUAGCUGGCCUGAAGGCUGCGGCGGCUCUAGGGGUGAAGCGCCUCACUGUUAGAGAUGACUCGCAACUCCUCGUCAACUUCUCCAACAAGGCGUACGAGCCAAAGGACGAGCAUAUGGAGGCCUACCUGGCAGAGGUGCGCAAGAUGGAGAAGCAAUUCUCGGGCCUGGAGCUGCAGCACGUGCCCCGGGGCACCAACAAGGAAGCCGACGACAUCGCCAGGAGGGCAUCCAAGCGGCAGCCGCAGGAGCCCGGUGUCUUUGAGGAGCGGUUCUUCAAGCCAUCAGCUACGCCUCCUCUUUCAAGCAUGACUCAGCCUCGGGAGGAGCUCCCAUAGCCUCCGGCCACGGGAGCCCUAGCCCGUGGCCCAACCUCAGGAGCUCGGCUGCUCUUGGCGCUCGAGCCCCAGGAGUAAUGCUGGACCAAGGAAUUCAAGGAAUACCUGACACACCGGACGCUGCCGGAGAAGGAAGAGGACGCGGAGCGCGUGGCCCGGCAAGCCACGGCAUAUUGUAUCCAAGACGGUGAGUUAUAGAGGAAACGACCGAACGAUGUCACGCUGCGCUGCAUCUCCAGCGACCAAGGAAGGGAGUUGCUAAUUGACAUACACGGCAGGGACUGCGGACACCACUCAUCGUCACGGACCCUCGUCGGCAAGGUGUUGCGCAAUGGAUUCUACUGGCCUACAGCACUCAACGACGCAGCCGAGCUGGUGAAGUCCUGCGAAGCUUGCCAAUUCCAUGCCAAGAAAAUCCAUCAGCCUGCUCAGGGCCUCCAAACCAUCCCGCUCACAUGGCGGUUCGCGGUCUGGGGGUUGGACAUCCUAGGCCCGUUCCCUCGGGCGCCAGGGGGCUACCGCUAUCUCUAUGUCGCCAUCGACAAGUUCACCAAGUGGGCGGAAGUAGAAGCCGUCCGUACCAUCCCAGCCGGCUCUGCUGUCAAGUUCAUCAAGGGCCUCGUGAGCCGCUUCGGGGUCCCCAACUGCAUCAUCACAGAUAACGGCUCGCAGUUUACUAGCAACCUUUUCAAAACCUAAUGUGCACCUUGGAACGCAGAUCUGCUACGCUUCGGCAGCGCACCCCAUGAGCAAUGGCCAUGCCGAAUGUGCCAACGCGGAGGUCCUGAGGGGCCUCAAGACCAGGACCUUCAAGAAGAAGCUGGAGGCCUACGGCAGGGGCUGGCACGAUGAGCUCCAGUCCGUGUUGUGGUCCAUCCGCACCACCGCCAGCAAGCCAAUGGGCGAGACUCCAUUCUUCCUCGUCUACGGAGCUGAAGCAGUCCUCCCUCAUGAGGUCAAGCAUCGCUCCGCACAGGUCCUGGCGUUCGACGAAAUGCAGCAGGACGCCACGCGGGGGAUGGAUCUCGUGCUGGGGGAGGAACGUCGCCGCGAAGCUGCGUUAAGGGUGGCAAGGUACCAACAAGCACUGCGGCGAUACCACUGCCGCAACGUCCGCUCCAGGACGCUCGAGGUGGGCGACCUCAUCCAGAGGCGGGUCCUCCCCAGGGAAGGGCUGCAUAAGCUUUCACCAAUGUGGGAGGGCCCGUUCAAGGUCGUCCACAUCUCCAGGCCUGGUGCCGUGCGCCUGGAGACACAAGACGGGGUACCUAUCCAAAACGCCUGGAACAUCCAGCACCUCCGGAAGUUCUAUCCAUGAAGCAAGGCCCAGAGCCUGUGAAGAAAGGCCAAGAGCCUGUGAAGAAGGCCCAGAGCCUGUGAAGAAGGCCUAGAGCCUGUGAAGAAGGCCCGGUGCCUGUGAAGUAUCGCCGCCCGUGACACUCUCAAGUAAUAAUGAGUUGGGGCUAUACAUGCCCCGGAGUCUCAGGAGCACCGGCCUCAGGCCCUGGGGCUCCCGCCCACGCCUAGUGGCAGCACUUAGCUCCGCACUGGUGAGAAGACAUGAAGACUAGAUUAGGUGCCGGACGCGGCUUUUCAUUUGCUUUCCGUAGUUGGCUCGCCUUUCCAUAACCGGAGUUUGCUUUUGGUGUUCCUUGCUGAUUUGAUUCCCUCGCCUCUUACCGCUUUUUCCGGCUCUAGUUUGCUCGUGUUCUCUCUCUCGCAUACCUUGCGAGGGGGCUAGGCAGGUGCCCUCAUGAGCAUUUUUCUCUUCUCUGCCUUCUCGCGAGCCACCCUCGUUCGAGCCCAAAAGCUGGCGCACCUCUCCUAGUCCGUGCCCCAUGGGUACCGCGAUACAAAGCGCCAGGUCAGGGCCAGGGUGGACGACAAGUCCUUUAACGCACUUCCUAACGAGUUUGUGCAGUUCCUGAGCGAAUGCAGGCCACCAAGGCAAGAUGUUCACGAGGAAAUAAGCGCUUCGUAAGGAAGAAGGGCAUCCUGAACGCACCAGGUUAAGUUAUCUUUGCGCAAAAUAACAACACGGCACGGGAAUAACAAGCAUAGUACCAAGGAACCACAGUUCGAUACACGCCCCUCUGGGCCCAUACUGGUUUCACUUUUUGAUGCAGGAAAAAAGAGCAAAACAAAGCGGCGUUGCGGCGAUCCGCGGUGGCAGGGCCCUAGCGACGCCCCGAGCCUAGCCAGAUCCCUCCUCGCACUUCACGGAGGCGCGGCGACGAGAUGACCCACUGCCGCCUUCGAAGCGGGCGCGGCGGCUGGUCGUAGCCACCACUGCUGGAGCUAUCGCUGGAGGAAGAGCCACCGUAGCUGGAGGAGACACGGUCGCCGCCGAAGGCAGGCUCGCCUUCGUCCUCGCCGCGACCGUCACCAAGGCCGAGCACCUCCUCAUCGUCGUUCGUCUCAGGGCAGCACCCGGCGCGGCGACCAUCUUCCCCAAACACCCUCACGUAGAGGGUCGAUCCACCAUCGUACUUGAAGUGGAGAGUGCACCGCCUGCCCAGGCCGUGCGCGCGGGCAAACGUCUGCCAGCCGCGGGCCAGGGCUAUGUUGCGUGCGGCGGAAGUCUCGACCGCGACCCAAGAGGCCUUGCUGCAGCAACCAUCCGCCUGCAACCAGAGUCCGCCUGGACCAGGGGCCGACAGUCCGUCGACGAAGAAGCGCGGAAGCUGGAGCCAGUUGCCGGCCGGGUUCUCCGAGUAGACGACGAACUCCGGCGACACCUCCGCUGAAUGGAAGCGCGGACGAGGAGGCUGCGCCACCAUAGCACGCCUCCCCUCGUUAACUGGAUCGCCAUGGCUAGGCGACCGCCUCCGCGUGUCGCGGUGCCGCCUCAACAGUGGGCCACGGCGGGGGACGCGGCGUGCUUGCGCGGACGGCCGCACCCGCUCUUGGGCGUCGGGGAGCCGGGUCCCUCGCGAGGGGCCUUUCCCUUCUCGGCGGCGGAGAACUUCCUUCAUGGCACCAUUGGUGGCACUGCAAGCAAUGGAGCGAGGAAGAAGAAGCAAGCAAGCAAGGAAGAGACGGGCGACGGGGGCUCCGCCCCCUCCCCAUUUAUAGCAGGAGAAGGCCAACCGGCGCCUCCCACGAUCGCAGGUAAUGAUAGUUUUCCUUGCAUGUCACAGGGACUUGUCAAGUCGAGCAGUUGCCGAGGCAGCGUGGGGAAGCGGAGACGCCCACGUCCAAUCAACUGCCACGCGUCAACCGAGGCCACAGGCUUUUGGGGCUCGCGGUGCUCUGUACUUGACCCUUGGCUUCUCCGUGAAGCCAAGCCCGAGCACACCUUGGGCCCAGGGGCUACUGUCGGCGUCCUGGGAACGGGGGUCCCCAGACUUGCCUGCCUACGGCCCAUGGUGUGGCUAAGCUGGCAGGCUGUACGGCCCAUCUUCACCGACAAGGCAUCCACGACCCUCGCGAGGGGCCAAGCCUCGCGAGGAGGACGACGCAAGACCUCUUUAGGAGUGGCCUAGUCAGGUAGGCUCGCGAGGAGCGGAGAUAUCAAGGUGGGGUGAACCUCACGAGGCUCUCGUGACGUAAGCCAUGACGAUCGGUGCCAGGCGGGCGUCAGCGCGCGCAUCGUCCUUGUUUCCUCUUUGGUGCUAAGGAAGCAGGCGUAGGCGAGGAGCACCGAGGCAUCAGGCAAAGGUCGCUAUAUCGAUGCAACGAGACCAAGACCAGGAGGACGGCAAGACGGAGGUCAUCGCGGAGCCCAAGACGGCGUCACCACCAGAGCCUUUUGCAGGCGAAGACCACUUUUGUCAGGAUAGCUUGUACUAGCUGUCCCCCUUCAAAUUUUCCCGCCGUUGUUGGCUCCCUUCCCGCUCAAAAUUUGGGAAGAGGACCAGGGCCAAUAUAAGUAGAACUAGCCACCACAGUAGGGGCAUCGAGCAGUUCAUCCAGCUCUCACCCGCUAAGUCACCAAGCACAAGAACACCUCAACCUCAGGAGACCGUUCUUCACUCUGUACUGUUCAUCAUCAGCCCUAGAGGCAAUCCACCACCACCACCACACUGGAGUAGGGUAUUACACUACAACGGUGGCCCGAACCAGUAUAAAUUCCGUGUCUCUUUGCGUUGUGAGUUCGUCAAGUUCGUCCGCAAGAUCUUAGCAAGCUAGGGCGUAGAUCGGUAGGAGGGAAAGACUUCGCGUGAACCUCAGUGUUCGAACCUUAAGGGUUUGCCGGAACCCCACAUCCGACAGGAUUCGCCAUGAACAGUAGACUGAUACUGCCUCUACUGUGUUCUGGAACAAUCACGUGACCUUUCAAGAACAAAAGAAGCCCAUGUUCCCUGCCUCAUGGGCCGUAUUGCCGCUUGAGUACAUGGCAGUUUGAGCCCAAACGAGAUUGUUUGGGAGUAAAACAGGGAGCAAAAAGUAAGGUGCAGUCUUUGUAGAAAUGCACAUACAGUUUCUCGUAUGAAUAAUAAUCCCUACCUUUAUAAUACUUAUCAAUCAUAAUUAAUUAAUAUGUACAUUCGCUCAUUUAUAUAUUUUCUUUUUGCCUUUUAUCUAUCAGCAAAUCUAUGGCUUAUUCUCUUUUACCAAAAUCACUCUCUUCAACUAAGACGUGCCUUGCACGUGUAUACAUACUAGUUUUUAUAAGUUAACAAGAUGUGGGAUAUUGUUUUCUUACAUAUGUAAGUAUCUGUUAAAUAUAUGAUGACAAUAAAAAUAAUAUAUAAUAACAUAUAAAAUAAUUUAAAUAUAUAUAAUAUAGUUAGAAGGGAAACAUAAGUUGGACCAGGCGUUCCUAUUCUUAUAUAGAAAAAUAGAACAGACCUCUGCGUUUUCUUCAAAAAAAUACCUAAAUUGGGCUGCCGAUGUUUCAGGAAAAAUAAAACCUCGGAUGGGAGGUCCAUAGGCCGGUCGAUACAUGACGGCCCUCAAGAAAAUACAAACAGCCUUAUGGACCUCCCAUCCGAGGUCGUGGGCUGCACAUGUUAAAAAAGAAAGCCUAGACGGGGCAGCUGUUCCGCCAGGGUUCGAUUCCACCUAUGCAGAGAAAAUAUCUCCAAAUUUUUUGCCUCCGCCUUUAUUGACAUGUGGGUCCCAAUUGUCAUCUACGCACACCACGUCCUACACUUGUCAAAACUUCGUCCCUCGUUUUCUCUGUUUUUCGCACACUCGACAUUGUGUGGGCAUUUUGAAAAUAGCAUAUCUUUUUGACUGUGCAUCAUAUGAAGAUGUGCUAUGCAUGAAUGUUGAUCAACAUGAUGUUAACUGGCUGGUAGUUCCAGUUUCCACCAUGAAUAAAACUUCCAGCAUGAUGUUAACACUGUUUGAAAAGGCCGUGUUAAUAUAAAUGAUAUGCCUCUGAAAGUUGCAGUUUCUUAUCUGAAACUGAACUUGGAGUUUCUUAUCUGAAACUGAAACUUGCAGUUUCUUCUCUGAGAAUCACAUUGUUUGCACUUUUAUACUCCUAUGAAACUACAUUUUUUUAAGUGCUAAAAAUAGAUCUCUAGAAUUCAUAAAAUACUUCAGCUGUCAAUACUGCAAAUCUGAAAUUCAAAAGACAUUCAUAUCUGAAAGUACUCUCAAAAUACACAACACAAAACACAAUUCACAACAUGCAAAUACUAACAACCCUAAGCUCCUCCUGACAAUUCACAACCUGCCCGACUAUUGGUCUGGGGGGGCAAAUCCCUCCUAUUCCUUGGCGGCAGACAGCCGCCCCGUGAGACGAUGUGAACGGCAAGGGAGAGGAUGACGGGGAAGCGUCAUCGGCCAACUGUUUUUCUCCUCUUGUAGUUGGGUUCGGUCCACGAGGACUCCAGCGGCUCGCUCUGGCAUGUCACCCUCACAAACGGCACCCUGUAGAUGCUCAAUCCUUCAAUCUCUGGUGGAUGCUCCAUCUGGGAUCGAUACUCCCACCACCACUCCCUCACGAUCGGAUUCGGUGAAUCUGUUUGCUCCAUGGCCCAGAGGAGCAGGUCUGUGUACUCCCAUGCGACUCCCUCCGGGAGUAUCGCCGCCUUUUCGCUCUGUUGCAGAUAUUUGGCCAUGGAUGUCGCCAUCACCGCUAGUUGGUCCUUGUUGUCAAACCAAGACUGUAUCUCCAACAUCCUAGCUAGCUUCACAGGGUCGCCGUCUGUGAUCCUCACGUAUCGGUUGUACUUCUCCAUCGAUCUUCUUCUCCACAGCACCUUCACUCGCCGGGGGUGGUUUUUGAAUGGAAGAGGAGAGGGGCAGCGCUGGUUUUGGUUUAGAACGGGAGAGGAGCGACACUGGUUUUGGAUUGGAACAGGAGAGGAGGGGUGUUUGUUUUGAAAUGGAAGAGGAGAGGAGCGGUGCUGGAUUUAGAUUGGAAUAGGAGAGGAGCGGCGGUGGUUUAAGAGGAGAAGAGCGGAAGACCGGCGCUGGUCUUGGAAGUAUUUUUUUUGUUUUCCGUAUUUUUGGUCAAAGUUUGACCAUGUACUCUAUUUGACAAGAAAAAUGUGAAUGCAUGUCACCAAAAUUGUAUCGUUUGGUUCGUAUCUGAAUGUACUUUCCAAUUAUAUUAUUUUUGCAACGUAUAGCAUAUAUUUUAUUUGCAAAAAUCAUGGUCAAUUAUGACCCAGAAUAAAAGGGAGACUAGUUAAUGUGGGGUCACUUUCUUAAUUGAAGGGUAAAUUGAUUUUGAUUUUGAUCCCGUCACAGUGCGCCGGCCCUCUCGUCCAAUCCUAAAUCGCUGCCGCACGCUCCUCUCCCUCUUCUCCAUUGCAAAACCACCUCCUCUCCUCUCCAUCAUCUCCAUUCCAAAACCACCGUCUCACCUAUCCCUCUUCUCCAUUGCAAAACCACCUCCUCUCUCCUCGGACGAGGAUCCCCAGACGUAGCCCAUCCUGCCAUUGAGACACUGACACAUGGGUCCCACCAAGCGCGGGGCCACCUGUUAGUGACCGAAAGGCAGGGGAACCUCUCCUCUCCAUCAUCUCCAUUCCAAAACCACCGUCUCGCCUCUCCCUCUUCUCUAUUGCAAGACCAUCGUCUCUCCUCCCAUCUUCCAAAGCUAGCACCAGACCACUCAGAAGGACAUCUAUGGAGGGGAUGCAGUAGCAAAUCUGGCAGAUCGCCGGCGACGACCAGGCAAAGUUAGCCAGGUUGAAGGAGAUCCUUACUUGGUUUGACAAUGAGUGGGAGAUUUCGAGGACGGUGAGGGCCAUGUGGCAAUGUAUGCGAAAGAGCGAGACGACGCCGAUGAGGGCGGCGAUGUACUCCUCGGCUGCAGUCACGCCGCAGUCCUUCGAGUUCAUCGAGUAUCUCCUCUGGGCGAUGGAGCAGAUAGAUUUGCUUGAGGCGAAAGUCAGGCGGAGGUGGUGGGCGUACAGGUCAAAAGUCGAGCACCCAGAGGAUAACGAAUCGAUCGAGUACGGUGUGCCGUUCGUGAGGGUGCAGAGAAAGCCGGAGCCACAGGAGUAUUCUUUCUCCCACCUCAAGAGGAGGCCGGAUGGCGCGACGUCGCUUCCCCGCCGUUCUCCAUGGUUCCCUUGACGCUCGCCACAUUUCAACGGUGUCGGUAGGGUUUAAGGUAAGCUUCGCACUAACCUAAUCUUCCAUCUGCUCAUGCUUACAAUCAGUGUGACAACUAAUAAAAAUCAUGCUUACAAUCAGCCUCCGAGUACUACGCCAAUCACCCUAAAAUAGCUCUACCUUUGUGUCAAAGUUGUGACACUGUGUACAAAUAAUGAAAAAUAGAUUGGUGCUACUUUCAGAAAAGAGUACACCCCUAGAAAACUGCCAAUAUAAGCUACUAGUAUUUUAUUAAGUUUAAGCUACUAGUAUUUGGUUAGAGGAUUUGCUGCUGAGAAAGAUCCAUCCACAGUGAGCGCCACACAUCCCACUAAUGGUGGUGGAUGCCAAUGCUUAGAUGGAGCAGGGUUGGUGUCCGUAAUUUUUACUUGGCACCUAGCACUCUGCAUAUAUGCCGGUUCCAUCCAUACAUUUGUGCAGUUCCACCAAAAUGCAGCUGAAUAACCCUGUUUGCACAGAUAAUGAAAACGUGUGAUUACAUUAUAGUGGCACUAGUUGAUGAAACAUACACUAAUAAACAGAAGAAAAUAUUACAUCAUACUGGAAAUCGAUGAACAUCAGUGUACAGCGGUAGUACAAGGAGGGGCCUUGAGACAUUCAAAUCUCUAUUUUUGUGCAGAUCAACUCAAAUUAAGCACCCCAGUUUGCAGAAACGCUUAAACAUUAACAAUGGGACUAGUUGAUGAAACAUACAUUAACAAAGAGAAGCACUUUCUUUAUCUACAUUGGAAAUGAAAUGAUAAAGAGGAAACUCGCUCUAUUUUAACUGUAUUAUUACUUCAUUUUAUAAGUGACACUAGGGUCGAGCAGGUGGCAAACGAGGUGUACCAUGUGUCACAAGGAUGAAGGCCAAGGGUGCUUAGACUGGGAUGCUGAAGCUGGCUCUUUCAGUACCUAUCUUCCCCCUGAUGUUUCUGUGGUAGCAUUUGGGUUGUAAUCCACACUUGGUCGAGCUGGUGCUGCGUCCCCCUACCUGCCUAGCUUAUGUGGCGAACUUGUCUCCUGCUAGUACUCAGUCUGUUCUAGUAGUAGUUGCAUAACUGCCCAUUUACACUGAGAUGUUGUCGGAUAAUGGUUCUCUAUGGUUGGGUUUCUUUAAUGAAAUCGGAGGGAACCCUCUCUUUUGAUAUAUAAAAAACAGUGGCACUAGCGGUGCCAAAACAUUGCCUCAAAUUAAUAGUGCCACUAGAUUAAGGUGCAAAAUAAUAACAUUACUGCUUUAUCAUGGCAAUGCCAAAACAGUAGCACAAGAGCAUGAUCAACAUGCAGGAUCUUUGGCAAACGGUCAGACCAAAAAGGAACAUACUUCGUGAUGGGAACCAUAUCUACAGUCAACGCCAUCGUAGAAGGGAUGACACCAGUCACCAACAUGGAUGAUUCAAUUCAGGGGACCUUUUGGUGCAGUUCACCUAAAAUGAAGCAAUGUCCCAUGAGCUAGCAGCUUCUUCUUCUUCUUCUUUUAAGAAAAGGGCUCCAGCCCCGGUUCCAUUUCCAUCAGAAAAUGAAACCAACAAAGCUUCUUCAUUAGUUGCAAUAAAAUUGAGCAACAUCAUGGUUGGUCGUGAAGCUCCUGGAGAGUAGGCGGACCAUGACAGUUGCAUCUCUAAUGAAAAGAAGCAACUUAUCUUAAUGGGAAAUUUAGCAGGACGUGAAAAAAGUGCCAUUGAUUCAUAUUACUGGAGGCAUUACAUUGAAAACAACAUUGGUUUAACGUGUCCUUACUUUUAACAGUGCGACUGCUACAUUUUACCAGCGGCAUUACAUAAGAGCGGCUCGGGGCAACAAACAUCAGAAGAGGAUAUCUGGGCUGGUCCCAUUUUUGUUCGGUAUAUAGCCACCUUAUACUGUGUGAGGCUAGCAAAUCUAGUGCUGGACUUACUCUGUUGACUUGUCCCCCAGUCCCCACUUUCUUUCAUUUUUCAACCAAUAGAUCGGGUUUAUAUUGAGUUUGUAUUGCGUUCCCUUUAUUUCCCUAUUAGACCUAGAGACCAGUUGGAUAGCCAGUCUCUGCUACUUUUCGCCCCCAUUAUUUCCUCUUUCGACCAAGUCCUAGAUUCACGUAACAAAUCUUCCUCCACCCCCACCCCCUUUCUUCCAUGUUUGAACCAAGUACUACUAGAUUCGAGUGCAUGAACUAGUUUUACCUCUUAACAGUAAAAAAUUAGGUGGUUUUCGAACAGCCGAUCGAUCCUAUCUACACGAGGGGCCUGAGAAAUAGUAAAAGAUACAAAUGCAGUGAAGUCAGGAGCUCGGGAAGUAGAGCAAGGCUGGUUUCGAAGGAAGUUAUACCUAAGGGUCGCCGGGAUGUCGCUAGGUGGGCGGCGGGAGGCCGGAUCUGCCCACACUACGGCAGCGAGGAAGAAGGGGUGGGAGGCCCUCCCUCGCCAAUGAUGCUUGGGAGAGAACAACAAGGCACGCUGAUCGAGACGCGCCGGCAGUGGGUAAGAGCAGUCGCCGAGGACGACCGCGUGAACGUUGCACCUUCUCACCCUCCCCGGCAGAGAGGAUCCGGCAGGAUCUGUGACCAGCGGUGAGUAGAGAGAGAGAGAGUGUGGCCACCGCUGUCGUGUUUAGAUCUGGAGAGGACGAGACAGUGUGAAGAGAGCAACACUAGCAAGCAAGCGCGGAGGCUCCUGCCUAUAUAGUGGAGCACUAGUUUUCUUUUGUCUACCGGCCGGAGCCGGCUUGACCUCGGCAAUGACUGUCGAGAAGUCUUCAUGCACGUGCCCGGAGGCGCAGUUGUCGUCAUUUUGAUCUGAAGCACCGGAUUAUAACAUAUAACACGAAAAAAUGCCACAUGACAAGAAAUCAUAACCUCACUGCCCAAAGGAGACAAGAUGAAUCCCGACGGACAAACUAGACGAGGAUCAAAGCUCAAAUUAAAGAUAAACUCGUAGAAAAGGGGUCCGUCGAUAGUAGUCUUCGUGCAUGUUCCCCCAAUGACUAGCCCAACUCAGUUGUCGCUGUUUAACCCUCGCAGUGAUCCGAAGUACCUGACACCUAAUUUUGCGAGAUGACAAGAAACCUUUUUUUAGAUUUCUCACCAGAACUACAGCCCUGUACAACACAGCCUGCACGAUAUGUAGACGAUAGCCAAUCUAGGCAUGUCUGCUGGAGUCUGGUCACAUGCAUGGACGAACUGAUCUUCCGUGUCUUGCAGGGAUCGUCCAGGUACCAAGGUGGAGUAUGUGCUUCUAUUAACUCAGCCGACUUGCGGGGCCGGGGAGUGUGCCUAUGGUCGGUUCUCAAUUGCGGUCCCACAUGUGUGUGCAAACGCAAUAUGACGCGCGUUCCAUUCGGAGAGCGGCGUGCCAGACCGACCGACCGUCUGUGGUGCGACGCGAACGCGACGGCCGUGCUGUAUACUCUGUACAUGUGUACCGCCGUUUUCUUGAGGCUUUGCUCCAUGGCGCAAUCCAUGGAUACAAAAUUAGUAUACUGUACUAUUUAAAAGUCGAGGGCGGGGCUUUUCCCACGCGGUAGGCAGGGUAGUUCCGCCUAGUUGGUUCGACAGAGACGCGAGAAGAUGAGGGAGUAGGCUGCUGCAAACAUAGGGCUGUGUGAUUUGCCAGUGAGUUACUGCUGGACAGGUGGGGCCCGGUGAUUUGACUUGCCAUUAUCAUUUUAACUGCGGCGCUACGACCGGCUUGAGUCUCCCAAUUCCUGACCACCUCCAUACAGGUGCCUCUCCCGAUGCUCCACCAUGUAGAGGCUGGCUCUUGCUUGAGAGCCCACUCCUCCACUUUUUCCUUGCCUCUUUCCCCCACAUAUGCAAAAAUGCCAUGUAAAGCGGGCUUAUAGCCCACUAUUGUACUUGAUCCUACAGGUUCUAAGCCUGCCACAUAGGCAUAAAGUCUGAUGUGGCAAGUUAAUUAAGAAGAGAGAGACUAGUUUGGUGACCCCAGGAAGAAACGGUGCUAAGCGCGUGUACCUAGAUGAUAUACUAGUUUGGUGGUAGGCGCGACCAUGAUACGGGCUGCUGGCAGCCCUUGGAUCUGAGAUCGAACGGUCGCAUGCUAAGUUGCUGAAAAUUUGCAGAAUAACCCUCCAGGAUAGGAUAUUCACCCAUAGGUCUAGAAUCACGCCAUGCAACCGUUCGAUCUCAGAUCCAAGGGCUCUCAGAAGCCCGUAUCAUGGGAGAAUGGAAAGCUUCGUAUCACAUGUAAUUUUCCCGAUGCUUGACAUGACAUCGAAAGCCAUUUAAUUGGGCGUGUAGUAGACAUGACAUCUAAUUGGGCCCCCAUAGUACUGUGCAUGAAUCCAUUUAUCCACCAGGCAAGCCACUGCCCUGCCAUUCGCACGCCCCCCCCACUCGAUAUUUUUACAAUCGAUAAACCGCUCCUAGUCGUCCCGUCCUUUCACAUUACGGCAGUUCCACUAAUACUAACCCUCCUCCCAAAUCCAUGGCGUCCCAAAUCUCCAUGAUCGGUAGUGAGUACAAGGUUAGAACCGGCGAUGAGUUCGACGUCAUCUACACCCGUUCUUCCGCAACGGUGAAAGAAUGCCUUGCUCGCUUCAAACGCAUGUUCGAAAACUCAAAUGAUGAGUGGGUCGCUGGGCUAGAUGUUGAGUACACCACAGUCCUGGGAAGCGAGAAGAAACUAAAGGAGGCAGAGAAGAAGAAGCCCGCCAUGAUCCUAGUUUGCGUGCAUGACUUAUGCUUGGUCUACCACAUAUGCCAUGCCGACAUUGAGUGCGAGGAAUUUAAGAAGUUCCUCAAGGGCGGCCGAGUCAAAUUCGUUAAUGUAGACUUUAGGAACGACAAGGAAAUCCUGGGUCGGAUAGGCCUCGUUGUAGGCGACCCCUUCGACCUCCAGAAGGAAGGGCUGGUGCCCUCCCUUGAUCAGCCUUCCAUGCUGACCCUGGUAGGAGCCAUGUGUAAUGCCCACGAUGCGGCUAUAUCUCCCAUAUGUCGGGGCACGACUUAGAGGCAUAACCGCAUUGUGGUUUUGUCGCAAGAAGGGUCAUCUUCACACAAUCCCAUGUAAUGAACAAGAAUGGGAUAACGAGAGUUGGCUUACAAUCGCCACUUCACACAAUACAUAAAUUAAGUUCAUACAUCAUCCAAAAUCCACACAUAGACCGACUACGGUCAAAACCAAAUGAAAAUAAGAUAACCCCAAAUGCUAGAUCCCCGAUCGUCCCAACUGGGCUCCACUACUGAUCAUCAGGAAAAGAAACAUAGUAACGACCACGUUCCUCGUCGAACUCCCACUUGAGCUCGGUUGCGUCAUCUGCACUGGCAUCGUCGGCACCUGCAACUGUUUUGGUAGUAUCUGUGAGUCACGAGGACUCAGAAAUCUCACACCCGCGAGAUCAAGACUAUUUAAGCUUAUAGGAAAGGAUGGUGUAAUGAGGUGGAGCUGCAGCAAGCACUAAGCAUAUAUGGUGGCUAACAUACGCAAAUGAGGGCGAGAAGAGAAGCAACGCAACGGUCGCGAAGCUAGAGAUGAUCAAGAAGUGUUCCUGAAAACUACUUACGUUCAUGCAUAACUCAAACCGUGUUCAUUUCCCGGACUCUGCCGAGAAGAGACGAUCACGGCUACACACACGGUUGAUGUAUUUUAAUUAAGUCAUGUGACAAGUUCUCUACAACUGGACAUUAACAAAUUCCCAUCUGCCUCAUAACCGCGGGCAUGGCUUUUGAAAGAUAAUACCCUGCAGGGGUGUCCCAACUUAGCCCAUUAUAAGCUCUCACGGUCAACGAAGGAUAAACCUUCUCCCAGGAAGACCCGAUCAGUCUCGAAAUCCCGGUUUACAAGACAUUUCGACGAUGGUAAAAGAAGACCAGCAAGACCACCCGCUGUGCCGACAAAUCCCGAUAGGAGCUGCACAUAUCUCGUUCUCAGGGCACACCGGAUAAGCUAAGCGUACAGGUACCGACGUAACCCAAGUUGCCAAAGGACGGUCCCGCAUGGUGCUCUAGUUUGGACCACUAGGCAAAUGGUAAAACCAAGGUUGGGACUUGCUGGAGGAGUUUUAUUCAAGGCGAACUGUCAAGGGGGUCCCAUAAAUCACCCAACCGCGUAAGGAACGCAAUCUCAAGGAACAUAACACUGGUAUGACGGAAACUAGGGCGGCAAGAGUGGAACAAAACACCAGGCAUAAGGCCGAGCCUUCCACCCUUUACCAAAUAUAUAGAUGCAUUAAUUAACUAAGAGAUAUUGUGAUAUUCGAAAAAUAUCCAUGUUCCAACAUGGAACCAACUUCAACUUCACCUGCAACUAGCAACGCUAUAAGAAGGGUUGAGCAAAAGCGGUAACUUAGACAAACAACGGUUUGCUAGGAAAGGAUGGUUAGAGGCUUGACAUGGCAAUAUGGGAGGCAUGAUAUAGAAAGUGUUAGGUAGCACAACAUGGCAAUAGAACGAACAACUAGCAAAGCAAAGAUAGAAGUGAUUUCGAGGGUAUGGUCAUCUUGCCUGCAAGGUUCUCAGAGUUUUCGAAAGCUUGAUCCUCGUAAGCGUACUCAAUAGGUUCCUCGUUCAAGAACUCGUCUCCCGGCUCUACCCACAACAAGAACACAAGCAAUGGAACCACAAUCAAACACGGAAAAUGCACAAGCAACAUUAUGCAAUACAUGCAUGAUAUGCGAGAUAUAAUAUGCGAUGCGUAUGCGUGCUCCGGAAGAAAAAGGAUGAACAAGGCAGUAACUUGGCAAACCAAGUAUGCCACUGGAAAGAUGAGAUGAUUUUGGCUGCAAUCGAUAUAAAGAUCACUGGAAACGGAUGCACGGUUUGCACAUGGCAAGCAAAACAAGAAUGACACGAUUCUGCGAUUAACAGCAUGAUAGCACUUAGAAUACAUCAAGUAACUAUGCUACAGCACCCCAACAUAGAAAAAAAGCAUAUGGCAGUAAUCUACAGGAGAUGCUUGACAAAAGAUGAACAGUGAGCUACGGCUAGAUCACACAAUAACAGGCUCAAACAAGCAUGGCAAAAAUGCAAAAGAUAUCAGGUUAACAGACUUAGAGAAAAUACUGGACAUGGCUGAAACAGCAUCAGGUAGCAAUGUUCAGAGCAAGCAAUCAACAUGCUACAGGACUUAACAUAGCCAAAGAAGGCAUGGAAUGAAUCUACCAAAUGCAUAGAACAAAAGUCCCUUACUGACAAUCAGCCAAAAAGGAUCAGAAGAUAAGAUGGCACCCAGGUAAACAUAGCAAGUUUCGUUAACAGGUUUCAAACUUAGCAGAAAACAGAGCAUGGCAUUAACAGCAUUAUGAAGGCAUCUUGGUGAGCUUGAUUCACUCAUCACAAGGCAAUGCAUGACAAAACAAGCAUACCUACAGCAAGAUGGAAUGUUUAUGAAGCUAACCAUGGCAAGAGCAAGUUCAUAGCAUGUAUGGAUCAACUACAACAACCUUGGCAAAAUUGAAUAUCAUGUUAACAUUCUGCCAGACAUGCUAGGGCACUCCAUAAUUGCAAACAGGGGAAUGGAUGGAUAGAGAACAACUAUAUCUACAAAACAUCCUUACUGAACAUACUCAAAAGAAGCAUGGAUCUCUCUGUAGACACAUGGAUACAUGGCAACAAAAUAACUGCAGAUAAAGGACAGCAAAAUCCCAAGUCUCUGAAAACAGAAACAUCACGAAGCCUAGUUUGCAUGCUUGUGCUAGUCACCACAUAGAUCACAAAAAUACAUGGCAUACACCUCUGUAAAGAUGGCAUGGCAUAGAUCAAAGCACCCGUAGAGCUCAUGCCCAUAAGAUGCAUACAUCAAAUGCAACAAAAAUAACAAAACACCAAGUUCUGAUAAGUAACAGCAGUAAACAUCAUAUAGCACUCUUGCACCAGAGAUUUGGGCAUCAAGAUCAACUGAAACGAGCAUGGCACAAUGGAACAAAAUGAAUAGCAUCUCGUGACGAACAUUUCAAUAUAUCAUGCACACAAAAUGGAGCAGUAUGCAAAGAGUUAUGAGGUGAUGAACAGAGCAACAUAUGGUGAAAACUUCGGGACUUAGCAGAAAAUGAAGGGGGAAAAGUCAACCUCUAGAUCUGGAUCGGGGUCCGCACGGAAGCCGAGGCGGCCGGGAUUCCUCGCUGGAGAUGGAAAGGAGGAGGUCGGAGGAGGCGUCGGGCGGACGGGGACGGAGGAGGCCGGCCGGAGGAGGAAGGCGCCGGCGGGGUCGCGGGUGCACGCGGGCGUCGGCNNNNNNNNNNNNNNNNNNNNNNNNNNNNNNNNNNNNNNNNNNNNNNNNNNNNNNNNNNNNNNNNNNNNNNNNNNNNNNNNNNNNNNNNNNNNNNNNNNNNNNNNNNNNNNNNNNNNNNNNNNNNNNNNNNNNNNNNNNNNNNNNNNNNNNNNNNNNNNNNNNNNNNNNNNNNNNNNNNNNNNNNNNNNNNNNNNNNNNNNNNNNNNNNNNNNNNNNNNNNNNNNNNNNNNNNNNNNNNNNNNNNNNNNNNNNNNNNNNNNNNNNNNNNNNNNNNNNNNNNNNNNNNNNNNNNNNNNNNNNNNNNNNNNNNNNNNNNNNNNNNNNNNNNNNNNNNNNNNNNNNNNNNNNNNNNNNNNNNNNNNNNNNNNNNNNNNNNNNNNNNNNNNNNNNNNNNNNNNNNNNNNNACGCUCGGCGGCGGGAGGUCGCGGGAGGAGGCGGCGUGGGGCGCGCGUGGGCACAGGCGACGGACGGCGGACGGGCCGGGAUGGCCCGACUCGGGCUCUCCGGGCCGCGACCGGUGGAUGGCGGCGGCGGGACACGUGUCACGACACGGUUGGACGCGGGCGGUGGCAGCGCUGAUGUGGCGGCGGCGGAUUGGCCGGGGUGAGGUGGCGGCGGUUGUGUCGGGCACCGGGCGGACACGUCCGGCGGCGCGGAGGAGUGGGGCUAGGGUUUAUCUGCGAUUUGGACGCAAAUUUCGGAGGGGGAGGUGUUUAUAUAGGAAUAGGGAGCUAGGAAAGUCCAAAUGGAGUGCGGUUUCGCCCACACGAUCGUGAUCGAAUGACCAAGAGCAUGGAGGGGAAUUAGAUGGGUUAUUGGGCUGUUUGGAGGGGGGUUUUGCUGCAACACACAAAAGGCCUUUGCGGUUACCCGGUUAACUGUUGGAGCAUCAAACGACCUCCAAAUGGAACGAAACUUGACUGGUGGUCUACCAGUGGUAUACCAAGGCCACUUGACAAACCUCGGUCCAUUCCGAGAACAUUUAACACCCACUCACGAAAAGAAACAAGAGGGGUGCGCCGGUGCAAGUGGCAGUGUCGGAUUGCGAAACGAACAACGGGGAAAAUGCUCGGAUGCAUGAGACGAACACGUAUGCAAAUGAGAUGCACAUGAUGACAUGAUAUGAGAUGCAUGACAUGAACAAAAUGCAAAACGAAAGACAAAACCCAACCACGGAGGGAAUAUCAUAACACAUAGCCGAAAAUGGCAAGAGUUGGAGUUAAAAAUAUUGAAACUUACAUCCGGGGUGUUACAACACUCCACCACUACGAGAGGAUCUCGUCCCGAGAUCUAGGACUAAAAUAACUCUAGAUAUUCGGAACGGAGGUGGUCCUCACGUUCCCAGGUGGCUUCUCGGUCGGAAUGGUGCGACCACUUCACUUUCAGGAAUUUGAUUGACUUGUUGCGAGUCUUGCGCUCAGUUUCUUCAAGAAUAGCAACGGGGUGCUCAUGAUAAGACAGAUCUUCUUGGAGGCCAAUCUCUUCGAAGUUGAUGGUGCGCUCAGGAGUCUUGAAGCACUUGCGAAACUGAGACACGUGGAACACAUCGUGCACGUUCGCGAAGUUGGAGGGAAGCUCAAGUUGAUAGGCGAGGUCGCCUCUUUUGCCAAAGAUCUUGAAAGGAACCACGUAUCUAGGGGCAAGCUUCCUUUUGAUACCGAAGCGACGAGUGCCUUUCAUUGGAGAGACGCGGAGGUAGACAUGGUCUCCGAUCUCGAAAGCCACAUCACGGUGCUUGCUAUCAUAGUAACUCUUCUGGCGCGAUUGCGCGGCUUUGAGAUUUUCACGGAUGACUUUACACAUUUCUUCAGCCUCUGUGAUUAAGUCAUUGCCAAGAAGUUGGCGUUCACCAGUCUCUGACCAAUUGAGAGGAGUACGACACUUUCUGCCAUAUAGAAUCUCGAAUGGGGCCUUGCCCGAACUCGCUUGGAAGCUGUUGUUGUAGGAGAAUUCGGCAUAUGGAAGACAAUCUUCCCACUUCAUGCCAAAGGAAAUGACACAAGCCCUGAGCAUAUCUUCAAGGAUUUGAUUGACUCGCUCGACUUGGCCACUAGUUUGAGGAUGGAAAGCUGUGCUGAAACGAAUGUUGGUGCCCAUGGCCUUCUGAAAAGAGUCCCAGAACUUAGAAGUAAAGAUGCUUCCACGAUCUGAAGAUAUCAAUUGUGAAUGCCAUGCAAGGAGACAAUCCUGGAGGUGUAUAGCUCUGCCAACUGAGCUGCUGUGAUAGAUUCUUUGAUUGGAAGGAAAUGAGCCACUUUUGUAAGCCUGUCGAUGACAACGAAGAUAGCAUCAUUUCCACGCUUGGACCUUGGAAAUCCAGUCACGAAGUCCAUUUCGAUAUGAUCAAACUUCCAUUCUGGGAUAGCAAGAGGUUGGAGGAGACCAGCUGGUCGUUGGUGUUCUGCUUUCACCCUUCGACAGACAUCACAUUCAUUCACGAAUUGAGCGAUUUCUCGCUUCAUUCGAGUCCACCAAUACGACUGCUUGAGGUCAUGGUACAUCUUCGUACUUCCAGGAUGAAUGGAAAGAAGAGAAUUGUGCGCCUCGUUCAUAAUGACCUUCCUUAGAUCACCUUUAGGAACCACAAUCCGGUCCUCGAAGAAUAAAGUGUCUCUGUCAUCAAUGCGAUAGCACUUGUAUUUGAAAAGACCCUUGUCGAUACCACGUUUCACCUUCUUCACCAUGGCAUCAAGAAGUUGUGCCUCACGAAUUUGAUCUUCCAAAGUAGGAGAGACUAUGAGGUUGGAAAGAAAGCCUUGAGGAACAACUUGGAGAUUCAGUUUGCGGAAAGCUUCACAAAGAUCCGGUUGAAAUGGCUUGAGAAUUAAGCUGUUGCAAAAAGCCUUCCUGCUCAAAGCAUUUGCAGUGACAUUGGCUUUGCCUGGAGUAUAUUCAAUACUCGGAUUGUACUCUUGAAUCAUUUCGACCCAUCGAGUUUGUCUGAGGUUGAGGUUGGGCUGAGUGAAGAUGUACUUGAGACUCUUGUGAUCGGUGAAUAUGUCCACUUUUCUUCCCAACAAGAGAUGUCUCCAUGUUAUUAAUGCAUGGACAACUGCCACCAACUCAAGAUCGUGAGUGGGGUAGUUCUUUUCGUUGGGCUUCAACCGACGAGAGGUAUAGGCCACAACGUUCUUCUCUUGCAUUAACACAGCACUGAGACCUUGAAGAGAAGCAUCACAGAAAACUUCGAAUGGCUUGGAUUCGUCAGGAGGAGUUAAGACAGGAGCUGUGACGAGUUUCUCUUUGAGAGUGUUGAAAGCAACGUCACACUCAGGAGACCAGACAUACUUCACAUGCUUCUGGAGGAGGUUCGAAAGAGGCUUUGCAAUUUUAGAGAAAUUCUCAACGAAUCUUCGGCAAUAGCUUGCAAGACCAAGGAAACUGCGAAGUUGCUUGACAUUCUGACGAGGUUCCCAAUUCACAAUUGCAGACACCUUCUCGGGAUUAACAGCGAUGCCCUUGGCAGAGAUGAUAUGACCAAGGUAAAGAACUUCAUCAAGCCAAAACUCACAUUUGGAAAACUUCGCAUAGCAUUGAUACUCUCUGAGCUUGUCGAGCACCAAUCGCAAAUGUUUGGCAUGAUCCUUCUUAUUCUUGGAGAAGACCAAGAUAUCAUCGAGAUACACCAGGACGAAUUCAUUGGUAUAGGGGUUGAAGAUGAAGUUCAUCAUUCGAGAGAAUGUUGGAGGAGCAUUGACAAGGCCGAAAGACAUGACAGUAUAUUCAUCAGAACCAAAGCUUGUUCUGAAUGCUGUCUUGGGAAUAUCUUCUUCACGAAUGCGAAUCUGAUGAUAACCCAUACGAAGGUCAAGCUUGGAGAAUACUUUAGCACCUUUAAGUUGCUGGAAUAGCUCAUUGAUGUUGGGAAGUGGAUACUUGUUCUUGAUUGUCUUCUUGUUCAAUGGACGGUAGUCGACACAAAGUCAGUGCGUGCCAUCCUUCUUCUGCACAAAAAGAACACCACAACCCCACGGAGAUGAACUCGGUCUAAUCAAACCCAGACACUCUUGUUCAUCGAGCUGUUUCUUCAAUUCUUUCACCUCCUUGGGUCCAAGCUUGUAAGGACGCUUGCAAACGGGUUCCGUGCCAGGUUCAAGAUCGAUAACGAACUCAACUGGCCGGUGAGGAGGCAUACCCGGAAGCUCUUCUGGAAAGACAUCUUGAUACUCACAAACGACUGGAAUUUGAGAAAUAGCAUCCAACUCGCCCUUCUCAUUGAGAGAAAAUAACCGAAUGGUUUCAUCAUGAGCGGCAUAGAUGAUAACAUCCUCAGAAGAGUGUGUCAAUUUCAUUUCCCUGGCAGCACAAUCAAGUUGAGCCUUGUGCUUAGAAAGCCAGUCCAUCCCGAGAAUUAGAUAAAUAUUCGAGUCACCAAGAACAAAAGGUUUAGACAGAAAUUUAUAGUUGCCCAUCUUGAUAGAAACAUCCGGAAUCAUUGUGGUAGCCCUCAUAGAAGAGCCCGGAGAAACAACUCCCAUGGGUUUUUCCAACAUUUUCGAAAUGAAAUCAUGCUUUGCAACAAAUGAUCUUGACAUGAAACAAUGCGAUGCACCAGUGUCAAAAAGAACUUUUGCAGGAAAGUCAUUAACAGGAAGGUUACCCAUUAUCACAUCAGUAGAUUCCUCCGCUUGAGCUGCAUUCAUCAUGUUCACCUUUGCAGACUUGGGAUUAUGCUUGACCACUGCAUUGCUGGAAGAUCUCACAGGAGGAGGAGGCGGAAGGCGCCUUUGGUUGAAGCACUUGUUAGCAUAGUGACCUUUCUGCUGACACUUGUUGCAAGUCACCUCUGAGAGUGGACAAUGAUAAGGAGCAUUCGACUUUGGAGCUUGAUUGUGAGACUUGUUCUGAUAGCCAGGGUUGGAUGAGUGGGAAGAUCCAUGGCUACCUUUGUUCUUCUGCUGGAAAGGCUCACGAAACGAAGGAGGAGGCAACUAGAACUUCUGUUGCUUAGCAGCCACUAGUGAGGAAGAAGAAGACUGAACUGCGUCCCUGACUCUCUUCUUAGAAGCCUCACACUUGAGCUGAGCAACCUCUUGCUUCAGUGCCAUAUUGUAGAAAUCAUCAUACUUGGUCGGCUCAAAAAGCACGAGAGGUAAUUGCAGAUCUUCUCUAAGACUACCUCUGAAUUGAUAGAUCAUGCUCUUUUCAUCAGGACCGUCUUGCUUAGCGAAGCGAGCGAGUUUCUGAAACUGGGUAUUGUAUUGAUACACGGACAUGCUGCCUUGCUUGACAUUGUGGAACUCCUCACGCUUGCUCUCAACAACACUUUGUGGAAUGUCGUGAGCUUUGAAGUCUCGGCGGAAAUCAUCCCAGGUAAUCACACGACCUCCUCUGGAAUCUUUGUAUUGUUGAUACCACUCGGCAGCUUGAUCCUUGAGUUGAAAAGAAGCAAACUGUGACACCCAAGUUUUUAUUUGGAUUUUUCAAAAGGCUUUUAUUUGACUUGAGGGGAGUGAUCAAAAAAUUUUCUUCAAGAAAACUCUCACUCUCAAAUAUUUUCUUUAUGGCAAAAGUUUUAUUUGGAUUCAACCAAGACCUGUCUUUGGUCUUGGAGGUUCUUGCUUUUCACUUGGACUCAAGACAAAAUAUUUUCACUUGGGAAAUGACUUUUGAAAAUCUCCUUGAAAAUUUGCACUAUGGCUUUUGGAAAAUUCUUUGCCACUUUCAACAAUUCCUUCUUGCCAUGGCCCUAGUGCAAAUCCUCUCCCCUAACCCUUCCCUCACCUUUGGAUCAUGUUUUACACCUAAUCCAGCAAGUUGAACCUCCCCAUGUGUUUAUUUCCAUUUAAAUUCUAUUCAAAUAAUUUUCUGCCUCCUUUUCUAGCACUUGGAGAUUUGCAAAGGAACUCCACUUUCUGUCUUGAUUUUUGCCCCCAAACCUUUUUCCCCUCCUAGUCCUUUGAACCCUCAACCUAGAACCAUGAAGAUCCACUGGUCUUCAGUUCAAAAUUUUCAAACUACAUCUGCUGCAAGUUUGGACCAGAUUUGCCAAAUUUGGUGAAAUUCAUUCAAAACCCCUUCCAAAAAUUCCAAGUAAAAUCAGGCAGCCUCUGGGUGCAUUGAGUGGUCACCUCACCAAGUUACAGCUCCAGAAAAAUUUAUCUCGUUGCAAAAACCUUCUGUCGAACACCUGCAGUGCACUGUCUAUGUCAAGUUCAGAAAAUUCAGUGAUUCAGUCAGUGGCUUGCUGUCGUUUUCUUCAGAGAAGGACGUCGAUCUCGCCAGUGCCACCGCGUCGCCUUGCUCCUCGUACCCGCCCUCUUGUUCCUGCACCGCAUGAACGCCUGGCUUGCGGGCGUCGGCGACGAGCAGCAGAAGGUGCGCCGCCCCGUGACCGACGCCGGCGGCGGCUUUGUGGACGCCAGCGGGAGACACGGCGCCGACGACGCCACCCAGCGCCGCCCAAACCACCGGAGCUCGCCGCGUGGCCUUCCACUCCCCCGAACGCGCUGCCGCUCUCGUCAUGAACCGCAGGGCGCGGAGCGCGCUCUCUGCCGCCGUUGAGGCCGUGCGGUCACCUCACCGUGGACCGACGCCAUUACGCCAAGACCGACCCCGUUUAGCUGCGAAACGACUCCAGUAACCUCUACUGAUGCUGCCUGGCCGCUCAAACCACCUGCCAAUCCACUGCUCCGCCGUAAUCGCUCGCCGGAGAUUCUCCGUUCACGGCCACCCCGUCGAUCUGCCUAUAAAUAGAGGCCCCGAGCUUCAACUCGAGCACCCACCAUCCCUACACUCCCCCUAGAGCACGCCUAGCCACUGGAAGAGCCCCGAGGAGGUCUCCUUCCUCGACUCCGGCUGCCGCGACCCGCCACGGGAUCCAGCCCGAUUCACCCCCGUGUGCGCUCCUCCGCCUCCAUUCUCUAGCCAGUAGCUUCACCUUGCAUCCCUCGUUCUGAACCACACCUCAAUUUGUAGCUUGCAGCCCUCCACCGGAGUUCCCCAUCCUCACCCGAGCCGCCGUCCGCCGGAGAUAGUGUCGCCGUCGACGUGGUGCUCCCCGUUGGACAAGUCCACCACCCACCGACGCGGAAGUAGACGCUGAAGCUCUUGGUACCCUCCGUUUCUCCUAACUCGCCGUAGUUCGACGCCGGCGUCCACCGCAGUCUUCGGGCGUCGUCGUGCUUUUUAAACCUGACAGGUGGAACCCGCCUAUCAGCCUCUAUGCUAUUCUCCUUCGAACCGUUUUCUGUUGGCGCCUUCGGGCAAAUACGUUUUCUCCUUUGCGCUUGCGCAUUCCCAACCGAAGCGUUUUCAGUUUUCUCAGUUAAAACCCUGGAACUUUUCUGUUUCAUUACAGAUAAGUCCCUGGACAGAAACCUUUAUAACUUUUAAAUAAAAAGGAAUUUUUGAGUGAUUCUUUUUCUGACAAUCUUCAAAUUUUGUCUAGUUUUUUAUGGGAUUUAUUUGAAAAAUAUUUGGAAAAGUUUCUGUGCAUGUGUUGGUUUUCACGUUAGUACCCGUUUCGUGAUUGCCGUAGGUUCCGGGAGAGGUGAAGGAGCCGCGAACUUCGCCGAGCUAUACUCCGACUUCUCCGAACCAAGCAAGCAUGUUUUGAACAUUUGAUAUGACAGGUGUUUUGCAUGUUCGCGUGAAAGUUUGUGCGUGGCAUAUGAGUGUCGGUAAAUACCUCGUUGCUUGUAAGGCAACGACCCGGUUGUUCCAAAGUCGCGAUGAUCUCUGAUGAGAGAUGGCCGAAUCAUGUGGUGACAUGAAGGGCAGCAAGGUGGUACUGUUGUAGCAUACCAGCCUUGCGUCAUCCGACUUUCUCCGACGUUAACGUGGUUGGAGCCACGUUAUCGUUCCUUUCCCGCAUGUCCCAAAGUUGCGAUGAUCUCUAAUGAGAGAUGGCCGAAUCAUGUGGUGACAUGAAGGGCAGCAAGGUGGUACUGUUGUAGCAUACCAGCCUUGCGUCAUCCGACUUUCUCCGACGUUAACAUGGUUGGAGCCGCGUUACCGUUCUUUCCCUUUUCCGUGCUACCACAUGUCUCAUUGCCAGGAUGCGGUUUAGUAAGUUGGUAACCUCUUUCCGUGUACACACCAAACAGAGAGGCCGGGAUGAUGGUACCUUGGCCCAGGAUUAAAGCCAGUCAUCCGGUCAGGGGGCAUGGGUGUUUCCGGUUGGGACCGAGAGGGGGGGCACCCUGUUAAAGCGCGCGUAUAGAAAUUUGAUCCCAUGCUACGUGAGGUUGUAGCCUCCCCGUCUCAAGGUUUUUCUUGAAUGUUGCCGAGGGUGAUCCCUGGCUUCGGAUGGUUGAAUUGGGUGUGUACUGGUUAGACGUGUUUCUUCCAAAACACCGUAGACGGAACUAGUCCCCGUGACUACUGAAAUCCGUUGGUUGUGGUUAAGUACAAACUCUGCAGAGUCAACUCUUUCCAAAUCAUCGUAUCCAUGAUCAAGUAGUGUAAACAUUAUAUCCAUUUCUAUCUGUGUGAAAAGCUUGCCCCGGUGAACAAGCUCAAGUGGUAAAUCCAGUUUUAUUGUUAUUUCUGUGGAUGGACUAACCUUAUUUUUGUCGCAUGCUUGUGAUAAUUUAUGUUCCCGAACGAUUGUAUUAUUGAGCUGUGAUAUAAGCCCUUUAUGUGACGUCGCGCAGACGUCCGACUGUGGCGUGUACUUGUUUGGCACCAGUAUUAUUAUUCCGCAUUUUUCCGCUCGAGGAGUCUUUCAGACACUCGUUUGGCACCAGUAUUAUUAUUCCGCAUUUUUCCGCUCGAGGAGUCUUUCAGACACUCGUUUGGCACCACUAUUAUUAUUCCGCAUUUUUCCGCUCGAGGAGUCUUUCAGACACUCGUUUGGCACCAGUAUUAUUAUUCCGCAUUUUUCCGCUCGAGGAGUCUUUCAGACACUCGUUUGGCACCAGUAUUACUAUUCUGCAAUUUCCGCUCGAGGCGUCAUUCAGACCCUCGCUUGGCACCCAGUAUUUAUUAUCUCUAUGUCUGAUCGCACUGGUUAACUUGUUCAUGUGCUUCAUGUUUACAUUUGUUAUACCUUAUGUCCGAACUGUCUUGCGAGUACUUUCAUAGUACUCACCUGGCUUGUUGAUUUGACCAGAUGUUGACGAAGGCGAUCUCUUGGAUGAAGAGUUUGAUAGCGCGUCCGAUGCCUAGAGGAGUCCCAGUCAGUCCUGCGCGAUCCCGGAUAUUGGUCACUUGUUUUGUGUACGCUUCCGCCACCCGCAAUAAGUCUUCUCGAGCCUCACUCCGACGCUCGAAGAGAUGUAGUCUUCUGGAACCAUAUCACUCGCUUCGCGGUGAUAUUUCCACCACCGUUAUUAUCGUGAGUUAGUAGUUUGCCACCCUAUCCGCCGCCUUGUUUUAGCGGCGUACAUGUAAUAAAUUGUUGGGCAGUCUCUGCUCAACCUUGUAUUAUAUUUAGUACUCCUGGUAUUUUUUUCUGUGACCAAGAUAUUGUCUACCAGUGAGAAGGAAUUCUUCCUCGCUGGUCCGUAAAAGGGAUUGGUCUCUCAAUAAUUAUUUUAUUGAAAAACCGGUCGUGACAAGCUUGGUAUCAGAGCCAGGCUGACUAUAGGAAGCCACUAGGUGCGAUCGCUAAUCGGUUAUUAGCGUCUUUUUUGUUUUUUUCAGCAUUUUGCAAUUGUAGCUAUUUUCUGUUGGUCAUCAUAAAUUUAUGACAUGACUACUCAGAAUUUUUGCCUACUUUUGUAGAUGGCUGGCAGCAGCUGUGAGAAUCGAGUGUUCACCAUCGUGCCCGAGGGGUUUGUCAAGCUCCUCGUCUCCAUCACCAAGCUCGCGAUCGGGCUAGCAGCUCGCCUGGAGUUCACACUCUAUCAGCACAAGCUCAGUGACGACGUGUCUAUGCACCAAGCUGUGGUGCAGUUCAAGGGAGGACGUUCUGCUGCUCGCCACUUCCGUUUUGUGGGAAGGGCCAUGCCUACGGAGAGGCAUGCCAUGCAGAUGGCUGCCCGUGAGGCGAUAGCUCGCCUUCGGGACAUCCUCCCUAUGAUGAAGACUCGUCGCUACCGCUACCUCCCAUGCCAUGUGCCUUACACCGGCCACUAUGUGUUUGCCUGCCAUCGGGGAGAAAGAGAUGAAGCCAUCGAGAUGGUUGUGGAGUAUCUCAAGGCUCUGGAGGAGUCUUUCGACAACCUCGUAGAUGAUCUUGUGGCUGCCCGCAUGGACUUAGUCCGAGGCGGUCCUGCCAGCAGGAAGGAGCUUCUCCACACGGCGCCGCCCCUGACAUUCGUCUCAUCUUCAGCCUCGUAUGCACCGGCCGUUUUGGCCACUGCUCGCCGUCUGCCUACGACUGAGAAGUUCGACCGAGUCAUCGCUCCUACUCCAGUCAGAGCCGCACCGCCUGCCGCACGCACUCUACCACCAGUCGCCCCCGCACCAUCAUCGCAGCGCAGCGUUACGCGCCAGGAGCCAGCUAGAGAGGAGGUGGAGGUUGACUCUCCUGGACCGCUGAGCCUUGCCAUCGACAAGGGGAAGGAGAUCUUCACCAUCUCCGACUGAGAGCACCGAGUAGCCGCGGGUUAUGUCUGCCUGUAUGAUGUGCUGUUUUAUCUGUACGCUAGUUUGUAUUGGUGUGUUCACUGCCUUCCGGAGUAGUACGCUAGUUUUAAAUAACAUGUCAGGAUUGUGUACGCACAUCCUGAGUGCUGUAUCUUGAGUUUGCUUUUCGCAUGUAAGUUUUAUGUUGAGCACUUCUUCUCCAUGAAAAACCAUUUGUGUUUCUUUGAAAACCUUGAAGCCUUUUUAUUAUUGCCUUUGCGAGAUUUUUCUUGGACUACACAGUUUUUUUUCUCAUGGGCUUUGCAAAUAAUACCCCAGACUGGAAAAAUGUCUCGCCCAUGGACUCGCUCCAUGCCCAAUCAGCCAGAAGAGGUUUACGGGACACAGACCAGCAACAAUUUCACUCAAGGUCAGUCCAGCCAACAAGCAAGCGAAGCAGCACUGUCUCAAGUAUGCCGUCUCUUCGAGCAAAGUCAGCAACAACACCAAGAGAUGAUGAACCAUGUCAUCAACAUGGGAAACCACCGUGAACACUAUCAACCACAUUCCAAGUUAUCUGAGUUACAGAAGACUCGCCCCUCAACUUUUGCUCACACCGAUAGGCCGCUGGAAGCCGAUGAUUGGCUUCGUGAGAUUGAGAGGAAACUAAUUAUUGCUCAGUGCUCAGAUCAUGAGAAGGUGCUCUAUGCACCACACUAUCUUACUGGAGCAGCCGCAGCAUGGUGGGAAAACUUCCUACACAUGCAUCCCAGGGAACACAACAUCACCUGGGAAGAGUUCAAGGAAGGCUUCCGUGGGGCACACAUCCCCAGGAGCAUCCUAAAGAUCAAGAAGAGAGAGUUUGAUGGCCUGAAGCAAAGAGGCAUGUCAGUGACAGAGUACAAUGGUCAGUUCACCCAGCUGUCUUGUUAUGCCUGCGACGAGCACAUGACAGAAAGCAAGAAGAUGGAAAAAUUCCUGGACGGCCUGGCACCGGCACUGAGAUGCCAACUGAUUGUGCACACCUUUCCGGAUUUUAAGACGCUGGUGGACAAGGCCAUCACCUUGGAGAAUGAGCGCCGUAGUCUGGAAGGUAUCCGUAAGCGGAAGAGGGACAAGACGACUCUUGCCCGCAGCAACCGAGGCAAGACUGAGGUCCCAAGGACAGACGCAAGGAGAUCCACGACUACUGAGCCAAGGCCCGUCGGACAAUUUCAUGCAAGGGAUAAGGAGUUCACAUACCGUCCAGGGGUCACCUGCUAUGCUUGUGGUCAACAAGGGCAUUAUGCUAAACAGUGCCCGAAGCCAAGAGACUCGGCACCCAAGCCGAACAAUGGUGGAAACAAUCCCGCCCCCAAGCGCAACAACUUCAACCCCAGCAACAACCACAGGAAGGGUCACCUGAACCAUGUGACCAGGGAAGGAGCGCAGAAUGCCCCAGACAUCGUGCUCGGUACGUUCCCUGUCAACACAGUACCUGCCACGGUUUUGUUUGAUUCUGGAGCUUCCCAUUCGUUCGUUUCGAAGAGUUUUGUUUCGCAACAUGGUUUUCCGAUACUUCCCUUGGAAAAAUCUAUGAUCAUCAAGUCCCCCAGAAAUAAGCAAAUCGCUCAGGGUUACUGCCAAGGAGUGGUCAUUGAGUUUGAAGGACUACAAUUCCACGCGAAUCUAAUCGUGUUGGAAAGUAAAGGACUGGAUGUCAUUUUAGGGAUGGACUGGUUGACCACCAACAAAGGAUUCAUCGACUGUUUCAACCGGACAGUGAGUCUCACUCACCAUCACGGCAAGACUAUAAGAGUUUCCGCUCAAGAAAGGCCACGAUCACAGAAACCAAAGCUGAACAAAAUGGACAUCGCAGAACUGAGAAAAGUUCCAGUGGUAUGCGAGUUUCCUGAUGUAUUCCCUGAAGAACUACCAGGCAUGCCACCAGACCGAGAGAUCGAAUUCAGCAUUGAACUAGCACCUGGCACCGCUCCCAUCUAUAAGAAGCCUUAUAGAAUGGCACCCUCAGAAUUGGUGGAAUUGAAGAAGCAGAUAAAGGAGUUGUUGGACAAAGGAUUUAUUCGAGCCAGCUCCUCACCGUGGGGUUCGCUAGUGUUGUUCGCCAAGAAGAAGGAUGGGACACUGAGGCUGUGCAUAGACUAACGAGCCCUCAAUAUGGUCACCAUCAAAAACAAAUAUCCGAUGCCACGAAUAAAUGAUUUGUUUGACCAGCUCGCACAGGCCAAGGUAUUCUCAAAAAUUGAUUUGAGAUCGGGAUAUCACCAAUUGAAGGUACGGACGGAAGAUAUCCCCAAGACAGCUUUCACUUCCAGAUAUGGGUUAUACGAGUUCACAGUGAUGCCUUUUGGACUAACGAACGCCCCCGCAUCUUUCGUCCACCUCAGGAACAAAGUGUUCAUGAAAUUCAUGGACAAAUUUGUGGUGGUAUUCAUUGACGAUAUUCUGGUUUACUCGAGGACACCAGAAGAGCAUGCUGAGCACCUCAGAAUUGUUUUGGGAGAAUUGAGGAAACAUCAGUUGUACGCCAAAUUUAGCAAGUGCGAAUUUUGGCUAAGACAAGUUGGCUUCUUGGGCCAUAUACUGAACCAAGAAGGCGUGGCCGUAGACCCAGAAAAAGUCAAGGCCAUACUGGACUGGAAGCCACCCGCCAAUGUUACUGAUGUGCGGAGUUUCCUGGGAAUGGCCGGAUAUUACAGAAGAUUUAUUGAAGGCUUCUCCACUGUGGCAAAACCUAUGACACAGUUACUCAAGAAAGACAAGAAAUUUGUAUGGACGGAAGCAUGCGAGCAGAGCUUCCAAGAACUCAAGAAGAAGCUGACAACCGCACCGGUCUUAACUGUGCCAGACUUACACAAGAGCUUUGAAGUGUAUUGUGACGCGUCCCGAAAAGGUCUCGGAUGUGUACUAAUGCAGGAUGGCAAAGUUGUCGCAUAUGCCUCCAGGCAGCUGCGAAAACAUGAGGAAAAUUACCCAACACAUGACUUGGAGCUAGCAGCAGUCAUACAUGCACUCAAGGAGUGGAGGCACUUUCUGUUGGGAAAUCGCUGUGAAAUAUAUACAGACCAUAAGAGCCUCAAAUAUAUUUUCACACGGCCAGAGCUGAAUUUACGCCAACGACGCUGGUUGGAACUGGUCAAAGACUAUGACGUCGGCAUUCACUACCACCCAGGGAAAGAAAAUGUAGUAGCCGAUGCCCUUAGUCGAAACCGCAGCCCGGACAAUGACGGUCAGCAAGAUUUGAGGCCUGAGUUUCAGCGAGAGUUCGCUAGGCUCAACAUGAUGUUAGUCUCCAAGGGCACCGUAUCAAAUCUGGAGAUACAACCCACCCUGGUGGAACAAAUUAAGAAGGCUCAACAGGGACAUCCCAGCAUCGAAGGCAUAAAGAAGAAAAUGAAUCUUCGUAAGACUUCCGAGUUCGUCAUCGACAGUGAAGGAACAUUAUGGUACCGAGACAGACUUUGCGUGCCUAACAUUGAGGAACUCAAGCAACAGAUCUUGACGGAAAGCCACACCGCUCCAUACUCAAUCCACCCUGGAGGAACCAAAAUGUACAAGGACAUUCAGGAGAGGUUUUGGUGGCACGGUAUGAAAAGAGAUAUAGCCACAUUCAUUGCUUGUUGCGAUUCGUGUCAGCGCAUCAAGGCCGAGCAUCAAAAGCCAGCAGGGCUACUCCAACCAAACAGAAUACCGGAGUGGAAAUGGGAUGAAAUAGGAAUGGAUUUCAUCGUCGGACUACCCCGAUCACAGCAUGGGAAUGACGCCAUAUGGGUCAUCACAGACCGACUAACCAAGGUUGCUCAUUUCAUUCCCGUGAAGACUACCUACUCCACACAAAUACUGGCAAAGCUUUAUCUCUCUCGUAUAGUUUGCUUGCACGGAGUCCCAAAGACUAUAAUAUCAGACCGAGGCACCCAAUUUGUCUCCAAAUUUUGGGGUCACCUACAACAAGCUCUGGGCACGCAACUAGCUUUCAGUACAGCAUACCACCCUCAGACUGAUGGACAGAUGGAACGUGUGAACCAGAUCCUAGAGGAUAUGCUAAGAGCCUGUGUGCUCACCUAUGGAUCCAGUUGGGAAGAGAGUUUGCCGUAUGCCGAAUUUUCUUACAACAAUAGUUACCAAGCCAGCUUGCAAAUGGCACCCUUUGAAGCAUUGUACGGACGAAGGUGUCGUACCCCACUGAAUUGGUCAGAAACAGGUGACAGCCGUAUCUUCGGCCCAGACAUGCUUAAAGAGGCCGAGGAGAAAGUUAAGCAGAUCAGGGACAGACUCAAGACAGCACAAAGCCGCCAAAAGAGCUACUAUGAUCAGAAGCACCGUGAGGUCAGCUUUGAACUCGGUGAUUCCGUAUACCUCCGAGUAUCUCCUAUGAGGGGUCUACAACGGUUCAAAAUUAAGGGAAAGCUAGCCCCAAGAUUUAUUGGACCAUUUUGUGUAAAGGCACGAAGAGGCACGAUAGCCUACCAACUAGACCUACCCAAGGAGCUGUCAGACGUCCAUGACGUGUUCCACGUCUCACAGUUAAGAAAAUGUGUGAGCAACCCAGAAAAGCAUGUACCUCAUGAGGACAUUGAUAUGCAACCAGAUCUCACCUACAGAGAAAGGCCAGUGAAGAUUUUAGAAGAGUCUGAACGGAGGACCCGUCAGAAAACGACAAAGUUUUUCAGGGUUCAGUGGAGCAACCACACUGAGGAUGAAGCCACAUGGGAAAGGGAAGAUUUCCUCCGGACAGAGUAUCCAUAUCUAUUUGAGGUUCAGCAGAAAUCUCGAGGACGAGAUUUUUCCUAAGGGGGUAGGUGUUGUGACACCCAAGUUUUUAUUUGGAUUUUUCAAAAGGCUUUUAUUUGACUUGAGGGGAGUGAUCAAAAAAUUUUCUUCAAGAAAACUCUCACUCUCAAAUAUUUUCUUUAUGGCAAAAGUUUUAUUUGGAUUCAACCAAGACCUGUCUUUGGUCUUGGAGGUUCUUGCUUUUCACUUGGACUCAAGACAAAAUAUUUUCACUUGGGAAAUGACUUUUGAAAAUCUCCUUGAAAAUUUGCACUAUGGCUUUUGGAAAAUCCUUUGCCACUUUCAAUAAUUCCUUCUUGCCAUGGCCCUAGUGCAAAUCCUCUCCCCUAACCCUUCCCUCACCUUUGGAUCAUGUUUUACACCUAAUCCAGCAAGUUGAACCUCCCCAUGUGUUUAUUUCCAUUUAAAUUCUAUUCAAAUAAUUUUCUGCCUCCUUUUCUAGCACUUGGAGAUUUGCAAAGGAACUCCACUUUCUGUCUUGAUUUUUUGCCCCAAACCUUUUUCCCCUCCUAGUCCUUUGAACCCUCAACCUAGAACCAUGAAGAUCCACUGGUCUUCAGUUCAAAAUUUUCAAACUACAUCUGCUGCAAGUUUGGACCAGAUUUGCCAAAUUUGGUGAAAUUCAUUCAAAACCCCUUCCAAAAAUUCCAAGUAAAAUCAGGCAGCCUCUGGGUGCAUUGAGUGGUCACCUCACCAAGUUACAGCUCCAGAAAAAUUUAUCUCGUUGCAAAAACCUUCUGUCGAACACCUGCAGUGCACUGUCUAUGUCAUGUUCAGAAAAUUCACUGAUUCAGUCAGUGGCUUGCAGUCGUUUUCUUCAGAGAAGGACGUCGACCUCGCCAGUGCCACCGCGUCGCCUUGCUCCUCGUCCCCGCCCUCUUGUUCCUGCACCGCACGAACGCCUGGCGCCUUGCGGGCAUCGGCGACGAGCAGCAGAAGGUGCGCCGCCCCGUGACCGACGCCGGCGGCGGCUUUGCGGACGCCGGCGGGAGACACGGCGCCGACGACGCCACCCAGCGCCGCCCAAACCACCGGAGCUCGCCGCGUGGCCUUCCACUCCCCCGAACGCGCUGCCGCUCUCGUCGUGAACCGCAGGGCGCGGAGCGCGCUCUCUGCCGCCGUUGAGCCCGUGCGGUCACCUCACCGUGGACCGACGCCAUUACGCCAAGACCGACCCCGUUUAGCUGCGAAACGACUCCAGUAACCUCUACUGAUGCUGCCUGGCCGCUCAAACCACCUGCCAAUCCACUGCUCUGCCGUAAUCGCUUGCCGGAGAUUCUCCGUUCACGGCCACCCUGUCGAUCUGCCUAUAAAUAGAGGCCCCGAGCUUCAACUCGAGCACCCACCAUCCCUACACUCCCCCUAGAGCACGCCUAGCCACUGGAAGAGCCCCGAGGAGGUCUCCUUCCUCGACUCCGGCCGCCGCGACCCGCCACGGGAUCCAGCCCGAUUCACCCCCGUGUGCGCUCCUCCGCCUCCAUUCUCUUGCUAGUAGCUUCACCUUGCAUCCCUCGUUCUGAACCACGCCUCAAUUUGUAGCUUGCAGCCCUCCACCGGAGUUCCCCAUCCUCACCCGAGCCGCCGUCCGCCGGAGAUAGUGUCGCCGUCGACGUGGUGCUCCCCGUUGGACGAGUCCACCACCCACCGACGCGGAAGUAGACGCUGAAGCUCUUGGUACCCUCCGUUUCUCCUAACUCGCCGUAGUUCGACGCCGGCGUCCACCGCAGUCUUCGGGCGCCGGCGAGCUUUUUAAACCUGACAGGUGGACCCCGCCUGUCAGCCUCUAUGCUAUUCUCCUUCGAACCGUUUUCUGUUGGCGCCUUCGGGCAAUACGUUUUCUCCCUUGCGCUUGCGCAUUCCCAACCGAAGCGUUUUCAGUUUUCUCAGUUAAAACCCUGGAACUUUUCUGUUUCAUUACAGAUAAGUCCCUGGACAGAAACCUUUAUAACUUUUUAAUAAAAAGGAAUUUUUGAGUGAUUCUUUUUUGACAAUCUUAAAAUUUUGUCUAGUUUUUUAUGGGAUUUAUUUGAAAAAUAUUUUGAAAAGUUUCUGUGCAUGUGUUGGUUUUCACGUUAGUACCCGUUUCGUGAUUGCCGUAGGUUCCGGGAGAGGUGAAGGAGCCGCGAACUUCGCCGAGCUAGACUCCGACUUGUCCGAACCAGGCAAGCAUGUUUUGAACAUUUGAUAUGACAGGUGUUUUGCAUGUUCGCGUGAAAGUUUGUGCGUGGCAUAUGAGUGUCGGUAAAUACCUCGUUGCUUGUAAGGCAACGACCCGGUUGUUCCAAAGUCGCGAUGAUCUCUGAUGAGAGAUGGCCGAAUCAUGUGGUGACAUGAAGGGCAGCAAGGUGGUACUGUUGUAGCAUACCAGCCUUGCGUCAUCCGACUUUCUCCGACGUUAACGUGGUUGGAGCCACGUUAUCGUUCCUUUCCCGCAUGUCCCAAAGUUGCGAUGAUCUCUGAUGAGAGAUGGCCGAAUCAUGUGGUGACAUGAAGGGCAGCAAGGUGGUACUGUUGUAGCAUACCAGCCUUGCGUCAUCCGACUUUCUCCGACGUUAACGUGGUUGGAGCCGCGUUACCGUUCUUUCCCUUUUCCGUGCUACCACAUGUCUCAUUGCCAGGAUGCGGUUUAGUAAGUUGGUAACCUCUUUCCGUGUACACACCAAACAGAGAGGCCGGGAUGAUGGUACCUUGGCCCAGGAUUAAAGCCAGUCAUCCGGUCAGGGGGCAUGGGUGUUUCCGGUUGGGACCGAGAGGGGGGGCACCCCCUUAAAGCGCGCGUAUAGAAAUUUGAUCCCAUGCUACGUGAGGUUGUAGCCUCCCCGUCUCAAGGUUUUUCUUGAAUGUUGCCGAGGGUGAUCCCUGGCUUCGGAUGGUUGAAUUGGGUGUGUACUGGUUAGACGUGUUUCUUCCAAAACACCGUAGACGGAACUAGUCCCCGUGACUACUGAAAUCCGUUGGCUGUGGUUAAGUACAAACUCUGCAGAGUCAACUCUUUCCAAAUCAUCGUAUCCAUGAUCAAGUAGUGUAAACAUUAUAUCCAUUUCUAUCCGUGUGAAAAGCUUGCCCCGGUGAACAAGCUCAAGUGGUAAAUCCAGUUUUAUUGUUAUUUCUGUGGAUGGACUAACCUUAUUUUUGUCGCAUGCUUGUGAUAAUUUAUGUUCCCGAACGAUUGUAUUAUUGAGCUGUGAUAUAAGCCCUUUAUGUGACGUCGCGCAGACGUCCGACUGUGGCGUGUACUCGUUUGGCACCAGUAUUAUUAUUCCGCAUUUUUCCGCUCGAGGAGUCUUUCAGACACUCGUUUGGCACCAGUAUUAUUAUUCCGCAUUUUUCCGCUCGAGGAGUCUUUCAGACACUUGUUUGGCACCAGUAUUAUUAUUCCGCAUUUUUCCGCUCGAGGAGUCUUUCAGACACUCGUUUGGCACCAGUAUUAUUAUUCCGCAUUUUUCCGCUCGAGGAGUCUUUCAGACACUCAUUUGGCACCAGUAUUACUAUUCUACAAUUUCCGCUCGAGGCGUCAUUCAGACCCUCGCUUGGCACCUAGUAUUUAUUAUCUCUAUGUCUGAUCGCACUGGUUAACUUGUUCAUGUGCUUCAUGUUUACAUUUGUUAUACCUUAUGUCUGAACUGUCUUGCGAGUACUUUCAUAGUACUCACCUGGCUUGUUGAUUUGGCCAGAUGUUGACGAAGGCGAUCUCUUGGAUGAAGAGUUUGAUAGCGCGUCCGAUGCCUAGAGGAGUCCCAGUCAGUCCUGCGCGAUCCCGGAUGUUGGUCACUUGUUUUGUAUACGCUUCCGCCACCCGCAAUAAGUCUUCUCGAGCCUCACUCCGACGCUCGAAGAGAUGUAGUCUUCUGGAACCAUAUCACUCGCUUCGCGGUGAUAUUUCCACCACCGUUAUUAUCGUGAGUUAGUAGUUUGCCACCCUAUCCGCCGCCUUGUUUUAGCGGCGUACAUGUAAUAAAUUGUUGGGCAGUCUCUGCUCAACCUUGUAUUAUAUUUAGUACUCCUGGUAUUUUUUUUUCUGUGACCAAGAUAUUGUCUACCAGUGAGAAGGAAUUCUUCCUCGCUGGUCCGUAAAAGGGAUUGGUCUCUCAAUAAUUAUUUUAUUGAAAAACCGGUCGUGACAAAAACUAAGGUUGGGCCUUACUGGAGGAGUUUUAUUCAAGGCGAACUGUCAAGGGGGUCCCAUAAAUCACCCAACCGCGUAAGGAACGCAAACUCAAGGAACAUAACACCGGUAUGACGGAAACUAGGGCGGCAAGAGUGGAACAAAACACCAGGCAUAAGGCCGAGCCUUCCACCCUUUACCAAAUAUAUAGAUGCAUUAAUUAAAUAAGAGAUAUUGUGAUAUUCCAAAAAUAUCCAUGUUCCAACAUGGAACCAACUUCAACUUCACCUGCAACUAGCAACGCUAUAAGAAGGGCUGAGCAAAAGCGGUAACUUAGCCAAACAACAGUUUGCUAGGAAAGGAUGGUUAGAGGCUUGACAUGGCAAUAUGGGAGGCAUGAUAUAGCAAGUGUUAGGUAGCGCAGCAUGGCAAUAGAACGAACAACUAGCAAAGCAAAGAUAGAAGUGAUUUCGAGGGUAUGGUCAUCUUGCCUGCAAGGUUCUCAGAGUUGUCGAAAGCUUGAUCCUCGUAAGCGUACUCAAUAGGUUCCUCGUUCACGAACUCAUCUCCCGGCUCUACCCACAGCAAGAACACAAGCAAUGGAACCACAAUCAAAUACGGGAAAUGCACAAGCAACAUUAUGCAAUACAUGCAUGAUAUGCGAGAUAUGAUAUGCGAUGCGUAUGCGUGCUCCGGAAGAAAAAGGAUGAAUAAGGCAGUAACUUGGAAAACCAAGUAUGCCACUGGAAAGAUGAGAUGAUUUCAGCUGAAAUCAAUAUAAAGAUCACUGGAAACGGAUGCACGGUUUGCACAUGGCAAGCAAAACAAGAAUGACACGAUUCUGCGAUUAACAGCAUGAUAGCACUUAGAAUACAUCAAGUAACUAUGCUACAGCACCCUAACAUAGAAACAAAGCAUAUGGCAGUAAUCUACAGGAGAUGCUUGACAAAAGAUGAACACUGAGCUACGGCUAGAUCACAGUAUAACAGGCUCAAACAAGCAUGGCAAAAAUGCAAAAGAUAUCAGGUUAACAGACUUAGUGAAAUUACUGGGCAUAGCAGAAAACAGCAUCAGGUAGCAAUGUUCAGAGCACGAAAUCAACAUGCUACAGGACUUAACAUAGCCAAAUAAGGCAUGGCAUAAAUGUACUAAAUGCAUAGAACAAAAGUCACUUACUGACCAUGAGCCAAAAAUGAUCAGAAGAUAUUAUGGCACCCAUGUAAACAUAGCAAGUUUCGUUAACAGGUUUCAGACAGCAGAAAACAUAGCAUGGCAUUAACAGCAUUAUGAAGGCAUCUUGGUGAGCUUGAUUCACUCAUCACAAGGCAAUUAAUGAGAAAACAAGCAUACCUACAGCAAGAUGGCUUGUUUAUGAAGCUAACCAUGGCAAGAGCAAUUUCAUAGCAUGUAUGGAUCAACUACAACAACCUUGGAAAAAUUGAAUAUCAUGUUAACAUUCUGCCAGAAAUAUUUUAUAGCAAAAGUAGAGCAAGAUUAAGACAUGCUAGGUCACUCCAUAAUUGCAAACAGGGGCAUGGAUGGAUAGAGCACAACUAUAUCUACAAAACAUCCUUAAUGAACAUACUCAAAAUAAGCAUGGAUCUCUCUGUAGACACAUGGUACAUGGCAACAAAAUAACAGCACAUAAAGGACUUAGCAAAAUCCCAAGUCUCUGAAAACAGAAACAUCACGAAGCCUAGUUUGCAUGCUUGUUCUAGUCACCACAUAGAUCACAAAAAUACAUUGCAUACACCUCUAUAAAGAUAACAUGCCAUAGAUCAAAACACCUGUAGAGCUCAUGCCCAUAACAUGCACACAUCAAAUGCAACAAAAAUAACAAAACACCAAGUUCUGAUAAGUAACAGCAGUAAACAUCAUAUAGCACACUUGCACCAGAUAUUUGGGCAUCAAGAUGAACUCAAACGAGCAUGGCACAAUGGAACAAAAUGAAGAGCAUCUCGUGGCGAACAUUUCGAGAUAUCAUGCAUGCAACACAAAGUAGUAUGCAAAGAGUUAUGAGAUGAUGAAGAGAGCAACAUAUGGUGAAAACUUCGGGACUUGGCAGAAAAUGAGGGGGGGAAAGUCAACCUCUAGAUCUGGAUCAGGGUCCGCACGGAAGCCGAGGCGGCCGAGAUUCCUAGCCGGAGAUGGAAAGGAGGAGGCCGGAGGAGGCAUCGGGCGGACGGGGACGGAGGAGGCCGGGCGGAGGAGGAAGGCGCCGGUGAGGUCGCGGGUGCGCGCGGGCGUCGGCGGGGUGCCGAGGACGGCGGNNNNNNNNNNNNNNNNNNNNNNNNNNNNNNNNNNNNNNNNNNNNNNNNNNNNNNNNNNNNNNNNNNNNNNNNNNNNNNNNNNNNNNNNNNNNNNNNNNNNNNNNNNNNNNNNNNNNNNNNNNNNNNNNNNNNNNNNNNNNNNNNNNNNNNNNNNNNNNNNNNNNNNNNNNNNNNNNNNNNNNNNNNNNNNNNNNNNNNNNNNNNNNNNNNNNNNNNNNNNNNNNNNNNNNNNNNNNNNNNNNNNNNNNNNNNNNNNNNNNNNNNNNNNNNNNNNNNNNNNNNNNNNNNNNNNNNNNNNNNNNNNNNNNNNNNNNNNNNNNNNNNNNNNNNNNNNNNNNNNNNNNNNNNNNNNNNNNNNNNNNNNNNNNNNNNNNNNNNNNNNNNNNNNNNNNNNNNNNNNNNNNNCGGCGGCGGGAGGUCGCGGGAGGAGGCGGCGCGGGGCGCGCGAGGGCACGGGCGACGGACGGCGAAUGGGCCGGGAGGGCCCGACUCGGGCUCUCCGGGCCGCGAGCGGUGGAUGGCGGCGACGGGACACGUGUCAUGGCACGGUUGGACGCGGGCGGUGGCAGCGCUGACGUGGCGGCGGCGGAUUGGCCGGGGUGAGGUGGCGGCGGUUGUGUCCGGCGCCGGGCGGACACGUCCGGCGGCACGGAGGAGCGGGGCUAGGGUUUAUCUGCGAUUUGGACGCAAAUUUCGGAGGGGGAGAUGUUUAUAUAGGCAUAGGGAGCUAGGAGAGUCCAAAUGGAGUGCGGUUUUCGCCCACACGAUCGUGAUCGAACGACCGAGAGCGUGGAGGGGACUUAGAUGGGUUAUUGGGCUGUUUGGAGGGGGGGUUUGCUGCAACACACAAAAGGCCUUUGCGGUUACCCGGUUAACCGUUGGAGCAUCAAACGACCUCCAAAAGGAACAAAACCUUACAGGUGGUCUACCGGUGGUAUACCAAGGCCACUUGACAAACCUCGGUCCAUUCCGAGAACGUUUAACACCCACUCACGAAAAGAAACAAGAGGGGUACGCCGGUGCAAGUGGGAGUGUCGGAUUGCGAAACGGACAACGGGGAAAAUGCUCGGAUGCAUGAGACGAACACGUAUGCAAAUGAGAUGCACAUGAUGACAUGAUAUGAGGUGCAUGACAUGAACAAAAUGCAAAACGAAAGACAAAACCCAACCACGGAGGGAAUAUCAUAACACAUAGCCGAAAAUGGCAAGAGUUGGAGUUACAAAUAUGGAAAGUUACAUCCGGGGUGUUACACCAUGGUUCAUCCUUCGUACGGUAAACUAGAGAAACCUCCGUACACGUUUCAUCGUCAUGCAUGGCAGUGGAAUGUACUAGAUAUGGACCACAUCCACUACGCUGCAAUGGAUGGCUACCUUUGUUUCAAUAUCUACAAGGGUUGGAUGAAGAGCAAGAGCCAAGUGUGCGGUUCAAGCAAAGAAGUAUCGCCCAAGAGGAGGAGGGACAAGGACAAAGUCGCGGACGUGGACGAGGACUCCGAGUAAGGUGGCAGUGCCGUUGCUCAUGGUGGUUCUAAUGUAGUGUCUACCGGAUUAGUUGCUUAGUUUAAUUUCUGGUGUGCUUAGUUUUAUUUGAGGGGUGUGUUGCGCUGAGCCCCCAGCAGAACUAUGUUAUGUUUCUUCUCGUUAUAUUUCGUACAUUUCAUCUUUUAGUUGGUAUAGUACUACCACUCGUUUCUUGACAUUAUAUACGUACAAUAUAUAUGGCCAACAUCAUAUAGCCAGCAGUUUAGUUGUCAAAGAAUUUCAGGGUGCUUAGUUUUGUCAAAGAAUUCCAGGGUGCUUAGUUUUAUUUGCGGGGUGUGUUGUGCUGGACACCAUUAACUUAUCAUUGUGAGAAUCGGCCUAUUUUUGUCAUGUAACAUGGUCAACAGGGUUUGACGUGAAAAUAACAAUGUUUAAUGGCAUUUCUGAGCAAACAUCUAACUUAGCGAUGGCAUUUUUUAGAUAUCUAAUUGCAUUUUUGAGCAGGCAUCUCAUGGAUCGAUGGCAUUUUUUGAGUAGUUGUAACUUCUUAUGGCAAAACUGAGUAGUGAUACACAACUAGUGGCAUAAAUAAUAAGAACCCAAGAAUUAUAUAGGGCUAAUUUAUUUAUUUCUUUAUACCUUUGUGUGCGAAACAAUAUACGCUGCCUACCGCCAGAUUUUCUUUACAGAGGCAACAUAGAACUAUAUGAGUGCCCUGUUAAAUUUUGGAAUUAUUCUGGGUUCGUUUGGCCUUUUUUAUACAUUAAUUGAGUUUCUGGUCAUUAAUGUGCAUAAUUGAAAUUUGAACUACAAGCACAUGCUCCUGUGCACCAAAGUUGACUGAAAAAUCACAUGUGUGUCCUCGGGUGAAUUUCUAGGUCCCAUGCAAGAAAUGGGAAUGAAAUUCAAAUAUCUGGGCAUCGUGGUUCGGCUGAGAACAUUGAGAAGCUUGGUUUUAAAAUUCUUGUAAAUCCAAAACACGCCUGAAAAUCAUGAAACUUGGCAUGGUGUCAUGUCAUGGUACUACCAUGCUGUGGUAAAAAAAUGCAGAAUAGGAACAAGUUUUGGUAUAAGUUUCUUGCAAACCAGAGCUUCUCUCAAGAAGGCUCGUGGUUAUGAGAGGGAACGUGUCACCUUUGUGUGCAUAAUUCAAAUAUUAAAUACAAGCACAUGCUCCAGUGCACCAAAGCUGGUUGAAAAAUCACAUGUGUGUUCUCGGGUAAAUUUCUAGGUCCCAUGCCAGAAAUGGGAAUGAAAUUCAAACAUCUGGGCGUCAUGGCUCGGCUGGAAACAUUGAGAAACUUGGUUUUUUAAUUCCUGUAAAUCCGAAACACGCACAAAAUCAUGAAACUUGGCUUGGUGCCAUGACAUGGCACCAACAUGCUGUGGUAAUUUUGUUGUCCGAUUUGCGAAGGCGCACACAUUAACAAUCAACAAAGUCAUUUUGGAACAAGUGUUGUCACACAAUCGGAAACACAACUAUUAUUGAAACUGUGGGCGUUCUAUUUACCAUUUACGUGUCGCCACGCGUUCCCUUUUUUUAUUAGCUAGGAGGCGCCGUGCAGGGUAACUAUUGGAGUACGGGAGGCGUGCGAUCAGACCCCUGCGCGUGCUUAUCGGGAGGAGAGCCCUUUGACCUCCAUCUGCUGUCCACUCCUGUCCCAAGGUACCAUUAAUGGCGCCCGAGCCUCUGUUUAAUGGUGUGGCAAUGUCUCACUCGACGGAGAUUUAAGAGAGAAAAAAGAAAAUCUGAAAAGAAAUUUUUGCACGGAUCUUGAUGUAAGAUCCGACGGACCUAUAUAGCAUAUACUGCGACUUAUAGCAAGACUGAUGAAUAUAUAUAAGGACGACGAGAGUGGAUAAUAAUUGUCUUACAUAAUUAGGAAGAUAAUUAAAAAAGCCACAUGCGGCUAAAAAGAAGAAGGAAGACGCGUACAACGAUCUGGCUCGCUGAUCUCUACUUUCUUUAUACGCUGCAGGUCGCGGAGACUAGUUCUUGCGGCGGGCGAUGAUCUUUUUCAUCAGUUUCAUGUCCUUAAUACGCUACUUGGCAGCAUCCAUGGAUUCCUCCACCAGCCUGUUGCACUCGAUGCGGAGCAUGGCAUUCUCGUCCAUAAGUUUCUUGAUGAUGACGCCCGUCCUCUACAACACGGCAGCGGUCUCCUCCUCCUGCUUCGCCCUUCCGGCGAUCUUCGCCCUCAGCAGGUCGCGCUCGCCCCGGAGCUUCGCAUUGCCCUCCCCGAGUUGUCGGAUGAUGCCGGUAGCCUCGUCCUGCAUCCUCGCCCAGCCGGACAUCUGAUCCAUCUGGCUAUGGACUAUCACAUGCAUGCGCCUGUAAGAGUCCUCGCCUGCCCGCGAGAAAUUUUCCCAGGCCGCUGCGGCGCAGCGGGACCUCCCUGCUGCUUCGGCGACGUGGCGGGACAUCUCUGUUGCUUCCGCGGCGUGGCCGGACCAGUCUGCUACAUCGACGGCGCGACGGGACCUCCAUGCUGCUUUGGCGGCGCGGCGGGACCUCUGUGCUGCUACUGCUGCGCGGCUGGACAUGUCGGCUACUUUUGCAGCGAGGCGGGACAUCUCUCGUGCUUCCUCUUCCAUGCUCACCUCUCCCUGGUGGAAAUCUCUCGACCCAGAACUCACGCUGGCUAUGGCUUGAUUGUUUCUUGUGGAUGAGGAGUUGAGGAGGAAUGUGCAGUAAUCUUAGCAUAGUAGUAUUUAUAACCGAAUACUACUAAUACGCUCCUAAGUGGGAAACUGUUUAAGUUGUGAUCGGUGUGAACAGGUUUGCAAUUAAAUAUAGCGUGGUAGUAGUAGUAAUUUGGAAUGUGACGAGACGCGCUCAAGAUUUAUUGACGGUUCUAGUUUCGAAGUGCGGCACUAUUCCCGGAUGGCGUAACGUGGCACGUUUUCUCGGCCGUGGUGUAGCAUAUGCCAUGGUACUUGUCGUGGAAUUGUCACGGCAGAUGUCCUCGAGCUAGGACUUAGUCGUGGAGCCAUCGCAACUACCAAGCUUGAAGGGGUUAAGCGGGACAAGGAACACGAGGGUUUAUACUGGUUCGGCCCCUUACGGUGAAGGUAAAAGCCUACGUCCAGUUUGAGGUGGUAUUGAUUAGGGUUUCGAUGACCAGGGAGCUUAACUGCUAUGCCUGGCUCUCGACAAGAUCUUUCUUCUCUCUAAACCGCUGCCGGGUCGUCCCUUUAUAUAGGGAGGCUGACGCCCAGCAGCUCUCAGAGUCCCGGCCGGCUCAUAAGAGUGUCCGGCUCGGACUCUCAACUAUUCUUGCCUUACACUACAAGUUCUACCAUAACAAUGAUUGCAACUACGGGCCUUAAGCCGUAUCCGGGUCUUAAGCCCAUGUCUGGCCCACCGUCUUCAAGCUUAGCACCGGGCUUCUGGCAAUGACCAUAGAAUAACCCGGCCCCUCCUGGCGGGUGACUCUAAGGUCUAUAUCCUCAACAUUAGGCCCCAGAUUGAUUUGAGUCGGCUCAUGUCAAUCUUCAAUUCUUCGAUAGAAAACCUCCGGCUUACCAUUGUGUGAGAGCCAUAACCCAGUGUGACGUCACCCUUCGGACUCCGGGUAAUCCGCCGUGACGUCAUCUUCUAUUAUGCCCGUUUUUUACUCCACCAGAUCCGCAACGGAUCUUAUCUUUACUGCCAUCCCAAAAAUCGAGGCGUUUCGUGGGGAGAUAACCACGCCGUGGUCUCCUCGUUUCUCGCGCCCACUUAUGAGCUCGCCCUUAUAAAUAGGCCGGCCCGACGGGCCUUCAGCCACCCUUCUUCCUCCUCGCGCCACUGUUCCUCUGCUCGAGCUCGAACUCUGCCGCCGCCGCCGCCGCCGCGCCCCCGGUCUUCGUCAACCUUGGCCGCUGCAUCACCCUGACUCGGUCGAGACAAACGGCGGCAACCUCCGCUUCUCUUCAGCACCGGUGAGUCCUCAUUACUCCAUAGGGCAAAUCCGCACUAGGGCUUCAUAGUUCUUCCUCUGUUCUUCGUAGUUCAUUGCGGCCCUCAGUAGAUUUGAAUUUUACUGCCUCUUUUUGAUCUUAGUAUAGGGUAGAACUAGUGCGGCGGCUGUUUAGCCCUCAUUUCAAAUGCAAGUAGGCCUCUUUUUACUGCAUAAAGACCUCAUUCGAGCUUAAGAACUUCCCUCGUGUCUGUUUCUAGGUCUAGAAACUUUUUCUUUUGCCCGACCACUUUGAUCCAAAAUAUUUACCGCAAUGUGUGAAACCUGUUUUCACCAUACUUAGUAAAAAACUGCCCUCAUUGAUCCAUGGAGGUUUACAUUUCCGGCUUAAAGAAAACACGCGCCGUAGAACCUUCCGACUUAAAGGAGACCAUGCACCAUAGAAUUUUCCGUCUCAUCUGUGAUAAGGCUGUAGACAAUUUGAGUUACCCUCAGACACACCAGCGGCUUAGAUAACCCGAUGCACUUAGACAUAUAUCAUUAGUCCCCUCCAUAAACCGCCACCUUAAACCUUAACUUGUAAGUCUCCUCCGGCUCAUUAUUAAACCGGACAUUUUUCCCUGUAUCAUAGGCUUCCAACAGUCACCAUGCCUCCCAAAGCUCCUAAAGCCUCCAUCACUUGCAACUGGAUGAAGUCCAAUGUCACCAACGAGACGUUAGCAGAUUUUGUCAAGUCUGGCUAUUUGCCCAAGAAGGAUGUCAUGUCCUACCGUGCCCCUGACCCGUCAGAAGAGAGACCACAUCCAAAGGACGGGGAGGUAGUGAUUUUUGCGGAUCAUAUGAGCCGGGGCUUCGCACCGCCCGGCUCAAAGUUUUUCAGAGACGUUCUGAAUUUCUUCGAUCUGCGGCCUCAGGACAUAGGACCCAACUCAGUGUCCAAUAUCUGCAACUUCCAAGUGUUCUGCGAGGUUUACCUUGGAGAAGAACCCAGUCUGCUGCUCUUCAGAGAGCUUUUCUAUUUAAACCGCCAGAACGAGUGUGCCAACGGGCCAAGUUUGGAGCUAGGCGGCAUCUCCAUCCAGCGGCGGAGGGACUGCCUUUUCCCUUACGCAGAGUCGCCCAGCCACCCCAAGGACUGGAAUCGGACGUGGUUUUACUGCCAAGACACAUCGCCGGCUGAUGAGAGUCCGUUGCCCGGCUUUCGCCCCUCACGUCUGGAGCCGACUCACCCACUGUCAGACAAGCUGACUCAAGCGGAGCGCCAACCUCUGCUCCCCACCAUCAACAAGAUCAAGGCUCUCCUGGGCAAUGGUCUGAAUGGAAUCGAUCUGGUCCGGGUCUGGAUCUCGUGGCGGGUGAUCCCAUUGAGCCGCCGCCCCGGCUUAAUGUGUGAGUACACGGGCCGAAAGGACGACCCCCAAAGACACAGCCGCAACGAUCUUCCUGAAGACGUUGCAGAGGAGAUGACCAAGGCUCUCUUGAACGAGAGCCUGGCAGACUGCGGAAGGACCGGGUUAGCCCCGUUCUGCAAGACCAACCCAGCCCCAGCGGUAAGCCGCUGACCUGAACAUCUUAUCUGUAUAUAACUUUCAUUUGAAUCGUUUUAAGAAAUCAUCAUUGUAUUUUUCAGGCUGAUGAUAAGUUCUGGCGGGUCAAAUAUGACCAUGAGGCGGCCAAGAAGGCCAGACAGGCAAAGAAAGCCGCCAAGAAAGCCGCCCAUCAUAAGAAAGGAAACAGGCCUACUGCUUCAGAGCUGAUGCAACUAAGCGACAGCUCCGAGUCAGAGGUAACCCCUGAGCCUGUAAGCCCUUGUCGUACUUUGUUGUUUAUUUCUGUCCGCCUUAUCAAUACUUGUUCAUCAAUAGGACGACACCGAAGCAAGUAACCCAGUGGUUGAAGAGGUAACGACAUUUUCCUCCGACUCGGAGCCCUUCCCCAGGCUGAAAAUCCGAAGGGUAACCCGGAAAGUAAGCUUUUCACAUCCUUUAGCUUAUCAAGACCCUCAAUUUAUUUUGAAGCGACAGGUGCAUGAGAGCCGGCGGCACACCCGGACCGAUAAAAGCACCGACCUCUCCUCCGGGUUACCUGACGCAUCGAGGAAACGCCGGACCGAGGUGAUCUCAAAAUUGUACCCUUUUCAUCCUUUGGCAGGUGUUAUACGUCAACCGCUCAACUCUUCUGACUCAAAUUAUCAGGAAACUUCCCCCUCUUCUGGCGACUCUAUGCAGUCAAGCCUGCCGGCCUUCAAGACCGUGCCCGGGUAAUGAUAACCAUCUCAUGUUGUACUUUGUCUUCACUUACCCUAUUGUGCUUAACCUUUCUGUCCUUUCAGUGCCCAGGCCAAGAUCACCAAGAGGGCGAAGAAGUCCAAGCCGGUCGAUGAGCCGGACUUGCCUGAGCCAGAGGCAGCCGCUCAAGAGCCGCCAGCUGCCUCUGCACCUGAGGCCGCUGCCCCAACCACCAAGGCAACUGCAGAAGCUUCUGUUAACCUGGAGGCCUCCAGCUCGGCUCAACCAGCAGAUGACCCGGACGUGGUAAUUACCCGGACGGAGUUUGUUGAGCCGGGGAGACCUACUGCGCUGGCCAAGUGCUCCGCCAAAGGGGAGCUGCUAGAGUCCCGCCGGGUUAACCUGGACCUCACUGACUACUCCAACUUGAACAUUGGAGAGAUUGUCUCCGGCUUCGUCAGCCAAGUGCACAAGAGCCGGGACGCAGAGAUUGCCAUGGUGAACCAGAUCCAGCAGAAAGCUGAGGUAUUAUUCUUCUGUCCUCUUACUUACUGCUUAGUUACCUUGACCAUGCUAGCCCCCAAGUCGACGACUUAUGAUUGAGUAUGUUGUAGACUUAGGUUCCGGCUUACUCCAUUGAACCGGCAAUGUGUAGAUAAAAACGUUCAAUAUGCAUUAGCCCCCAAGUGCCAAGUGUCUUUGCUUGGAAAACGCUUGGGACUUUAAAUUUGUAUAGUAACUGUUCAUGCCAUAACCCGGAAUUUUAUACAGGCUGCUGGCAAGAAGCUUGAGGCUGACCUCGCUGAUCUCAAGAACCGGCUGAAGAUGCAAGAGAUGGAGACCCAGAAGGCAAAUGCCAAGUUUGUGUCCAGCAUCGCCGCGCAAGAGAAGCUGAAGACGGAGUUUGACGCUGAGCGGAAGGCGUGGGCCGAAGAAAAGGCCGCAUUGGUGAACCGGGCUGAACAGGCGGAGAAGGCUCUCUCCGAGAAGACCGCCGAGCUCUCCGGCCUAAAGCGCCAAGUGUCCCAGAUGGUGGCCGCAAUCUUCGGUAAGUCGCCUCACCGGCCUUCAUCAAGUUUAAAAUUUUAUAUCUCAUAAUUCAUCCUUGUCGGCGGCUUAUCUGACUCUGUUAAACAGGUCCCAAAAGUGCCAACCUGAACCAGAGUGUGGUGACCAAGCUGAAGGCCGUAUACACCCUGGUGGAGCAGCUCUACACCGGGUCACAACGUGCCUUAGCUGUGGUGGCCCUUUCCAACGAGGUGCCGACUCACCUGGCGGAAGUUCUUCGCCGGCUCGCCGUUCUGCCUCAACGGAUCCAAGAGCUGCGACGGGCCUCUGCAAGAGCAGGAGCGAUCGCUGCACUGAGCCGGGCCAAGGCGUUCCUGCCAGAGUUAGACCCGGCGGACAUCGCCCUUGGCUAUCCAAGCCUGAAGGAAGACGGCACCGCCUUCGAUCAGAAGGAUUUCGCAGCUUGCGUGAAGGCCGUACGCCCGGUGGCCACUCUGAUUGGCAAUGAUACAGAUCUGUCUAAGUAUCAGCCGGGCUACGAUGCAGAAAAUCAGAGGAUACCUACUCCGCGCUAUGAAGCCCUCAACUCGAUCCCGCCGGCUCGUCAGCACACCUUCGCCCCGGAGAUUGACCGGCCGGGUUAAUUGACGAGGAAGCCAAAUUCGAAGCUCUCAGCGGCAUCGACUGGAAGUCAUCAACCUUCGAGGUCUUGGGAUCAGCCGGAGGAGAAGAGAGGAACGAGCCAGAGACUUCAACCCAGCAAGCGUCAUAACUCGGCUGGCGGCUUAUCAAACAAUGCCUCACCCUUUUGGACUCAAUGAGUCUUGUAAUAGAGUAGGACCAAUACUUUAUCUUUGUCGUGCCAUCGCGCACGCCUUGAAUGCUGAAGUCUGUUGAAGUUGUCUCCUUUAUGUUUCUCCGGGUUGUAAUCAAUCAUUUGUUUUCCUUAAUCUCAAAAUAGUUGCCUUUAACUAUCCUGCAGAGAAGGACAAAUCACAAGUCUCGAGGCGGCUUACCGCCCUGAGAAUCAUAAGUUUUAAAUAUACAACCCGGAAUAUGAAUCAAAAAGGACCGGUCUUCAAUUAUAUCCUUAACACAGCCGUAAUAACAUACUUAGCGGCCUGCCAGCAUACUUCCGGCUUAAAUAACCCGGGUAGUAAGGUUGGUACCCCAAUUCUGGUUUACCUGUCUUAAUAACACCCAUUGUGUUCAGCUAAUACUACAAACCAAAGUUAAGCCGACAAAGCGAGACCCGGCCGCACACUCGUUGAAAUAAUGAGACGAAACUGACUAUAAAGUAGAAGAACUUAGGGGCUUCCGGUUCGAAUACGACCAGAGACCCGGGCCAAAGGGGUUAUGCUAGGAUUCGAAUGCGAUCAUAUAGCCCCCAGUGGGUGUGGCGAUGCCAAUCAAGAGGGUACCGACAACUAUGUUCUCUUUGGUUCGAAUACGACCCAUGUUUGAACAGGAAGCCCCCAAGUGAUUUUAAGAAUUGUUUAACGACGCUGAUUCGAAUACGAUCCACGUCGGUUCCCAAAGGGGUUAAACUAUGAUUCAAAUAUGAUCAAAGAAAAUUCCCCAAUGAGCUCGGCACUUUGCCAAUCAAAUGGGUAUCGACAGCUAUGUUCUCUUUGGUUCGAAUACGACCUAUGUUUGAACAGGAAGCCCCCAAGUGACCUUAUUGCUUACGGCUAGAUUCGAAUACGAUCAUACGCCGGAUCCUCCUUCAAGUUAUCAUGUAAUCUUGUAAUGAAAACAACACGUGCAUAUUUGGAGGAAAAAGGACAGAGGUCCUGCUUUAUUGCUUAUCAUAAUAUAUACAUGGCUGAGGGAAAUAUGUACAUUAUGAGAGCCGGUGGCUUCAAGUGUAGUAAGGCCGAAGCUGAGCUAUGUUCCACGGCCGACGGGUCUCUUCCUCCGACUUACGUGAAUCUUUAUGCUCCCGAAUGUCAAUGAGGUAAUAUGACCCGUUGUGCAAAUUCUUGCUGACCACAAAGGGCCCUUCCCAAGGUGGGGAUAGCUUGUGCGCAUCUGUUUGAUCUUGGAUGAGCCGGAGCACAAGAUCACCUUCCUGGAAGACCCGGGAUUUAACCCGGCGACUAUGAUAACGGCGUAGGUCUUGUUGGUAAAUCGCUGAGCGAGCUGCUGCCACAUCACGCUGUUCGUCCAACAAGUCAAGAGCAUCUUGUCGCGCCUGUUCAUUGUCCGCCUCAACAUAAGCCGCCACUCGAGGCGAGUCAUGCCGGAUGUCACUGGGGAGGACUGCCUCUGCCCCAUAAACCAUGAAGAAAGGUGUGAAGCCUGUAGAUCUGUUAGGAGUAGUGUUGAUGCUCCAUAACACGGAGGGCAACUCCUCUACCCAACAACCCGGCGUCCAUUGCAAAGGGACCAAAAGCCGGGGCUUGAUGCCCUUCAGAAUCUCCUGAUUAGCUCUCUCAGCUUGACCAUUGGAUUGAGGAUGAGCAAAUGAGGAGACAUCAAGUCGGAUAUGCUCUCGUUGACAAAACUCUUCCAUGGCGCCUUUGGAAAGAUUGGUGCCAUUGUCAGUUAUAAUGCUGUGCGGAAAGCCAAAGCGAAAGAUCACCUUCUUCAUGAACUGAACUGCUGUGGCCGCAUCACACUUGCUAACUGGCUCUGCUUCUACCCACUUGGUAAAUUUGUCAACUGCCACCCAAAGGUGGGUCUUCUUAUCCUUGGAUCGUUUGAAAGGCCCAACCAUAUCAAGCCCCCAGACCGCAAAGGGCCAAGUAAUUGGGAUCAUCCACAUGAGCCCGUCGUGAGAACCUCUGGCAACCAUCACAUUUACUGACCAAGUCCUCUGCAUCAGCAUGAGCCGUCAGCCAAUAAAAACCAUGGCGAAAAGCCUUGGCCACAAGAGACUUUGAGCCAGCGUGAUGGCCACAAUCCCCUUCAUGAAUCUCACGCAAGAUCUCUUGACCUUCCUCAGGGGAGACACAACGCCGAAACGCUCCUGUAACACUGCGAUGAUGCAACUCGCCAUUGAUAACAAUCAUUGACUUAGCCCGCCGGGUUAUUUGCCUGGCCAAAGUUUCAUCCUCAGGCAACUCACCCCGGGUCAUGUAAGCCAAAUAGGGCAUUGUCCAGUCCGGUAUGAUGUGGAGAGCCGCCACCAGUCGUGCCUCCGGGUCAGGGACAGCCAAGUCUUCUUCUGUAGGCAGCUUGACAGAAGGGUUAUACAGGACAUCCAGGAAAGUAUUAGGCGGCACCGGCUUUCGCCGAGAGCCUAGCCGGCUUAGAGCAUCAGCCGCCUCGUUCUUCCUGCGAUCAAUGUGCUCUACUUGGUAGCCCUGAAAGUGCCCAGCAAUGGCAUCAACUUCGCGGCGAUAAGCCGCCAUGAGAGGGUCCUUAGAGUCCCACUUGCCUGAUACUUGUUGAGCCACCAAGUCUGAGUCACCGAAACACCUUACCCAGCUCAAGCCCAUCUCCUUAGCCAUCCGAAGACCGUGGAGCAAGGCCUCGUACUCAGCCGCAUUGUUAGUGCAAGGAAACAUCAACUGUAGCACAUAAUGGAACUUGUCACCUUUAGGGGAAGCCAAUACAACUCCAGCCCCCGAGCCCUCCAACUGCCUGGACCCAUCGAAGUGAAUAGUCCAAUAUGUGUUAUCCGGCUUUUGCUCGGGCACUUGUGACUCUGUCCAAUCAUUGAUGAAAUCCACCAAGGCCUGAGAUUUGACAGCAGUGUGUGGCACAUAUUUGAGAUCAUGAGGUCCGAGCUCGACAGCCCACUUAGCCACUCUCCCUGUGGCCUCUCUGUUUUGAAUGAUAUCACCAAGAGGGGCAGAACUGACCACAGUUAUGGGAUGACCCUGGAAAUAGUGCUUAAGCUUCCGGCUUGCCAUAAACACACCAUAAAGAAGCUUCUGCCAAUGCGGAUACCGCUGUUUGGACUCGAUGAGCACUUCGCUGACAUAAUAAACCGGCCGCUGAACCGGAUGCUCCUUACCCUCUUCCUUGCGCUCCACCACUAUAGCCAACACUGACGGCUCGUGUGUUCGCCGCCACAUAUAAUAAUAAGGGCUCUUUAUCAACCGGAGCAGCAAGGACUGGAGGCUCUGCCAGCUGCUUCUUUAACUCCUCAAAGGCAGUAUUAGCUACAUCAUUCCAGACAAAGUUAUCAGUUUUCUUCAUCAACUGAUAUAAUGGCAUGGCCUUCUCACCCAAACGGCUUAUGAACCGGCUUAAAGCAGCGAUGCGACCCGCCAAGCACUGAACGUCAUUUAUACACGCCGGCUUAGCCAGGGAGGUGAUGGCCUUGAUCUUCUCCGGGUUAGCUUCAAUGCCUCUGUCAGAAACCAAAAAACCCAAGAGUUUGCCUGCAGGAACACCAAAAACACACUUGGCCGGGUUAAGCAUCAUCUUGUAGACCCGGAGAUUAUCAAAGGUUUCCCUUAAAUCAUCUAUCAGGGUUUCCUCUUUUAUGGAUUUAACCACAAUAUCGUCCACAUAAGCAUGAACGUUGCGCCCAAUCUGGUUAUGAAGACAGUUAUGUACACAACGCUGAUAAGUCGCCUGUGCACACUUGAGUCCAAAAGGCAUAGACACAUAGCAGAAGGCUCCAAAGGGAGUAAUGAACACCGUCUUCUCCUGGUCCUUGACUGCCAUUUUAAUCUGAUGAUAUCCGGAAUAAGCAUCCAAGAAACUUAAGCGCGCACAUCCUGCCGUAGCAUCAAUAAUUUGAUCAAUACGGGGAAGGGCAAAAGGAUCAGCCGGACACGCCUUGUUUAAGUCCGUGUAGUCCACACACAUCCGCCAAGUGUCGUUCUUCUUGAGUACGAGCACCGGGUUAGCUAACCAUUCCGGGUGAAAGACUUCAACAAUAAACCCGGCCGCCAAGAGCCGGGCCACCUCUUCACCAAUAGCUUUCCGCCUCUCUUCAUUAAACCGCCGAAGGAAAUGCCUGACCGGCUUAAAUUUUGGAUCAACAUUGAGAGUGUGCUCAGCGAGUUCUCUAGGUACACCUGGCAUGUCAGAGGGUUUCCAUGCGAAGAUGUCCCUAUUCUCACGGAUGAACUCGAUGAGCGCACUUUCCUAUUUUGGAUCCAGAUUUGCACUGAUGCUAAACUGCUGAGAUGAAUCUCCUGGAACAAAAUCAACAAGCUUAGUUUCAUCAGCCGACUUAAAUUUCAUCGCCGGCUCAUUUUCCGUAGUCGGCUUUUUCAGAGAGGUCAUAUCUGUUGGGUCACCAUUGUCUUUGUAAAACUUCAACUCCUCUGUUGCACAAACAGAUUCUACAUAAGCCGCAUCGCCUUCCUCACACUCCAGAGCCACCUUCCGGCUGCCGUGAACCGUAAUGGUCCCAUCGUGACCCGACAUCUUGAGCUGUAAGUACACAUAACACGGCCGUGCCAUGAACUUGGCGUAAGCCGGCCGUCCAAAUAUAGCAUGGUAGGGACUUCUUAUCUUGACCACCUCAAAGGUCAACUUCUCCACCAUGUAGUUGUUCUCAUCUCCAAAGGCCACUUCCAACUCAAUCUUGCCGACUGGAUAAGCCGACUUACCAGGUACCACACCGUGGAAAAUAGUGUUGGACUGGCUGAGGUUCUUAUCAAUCAACCCCAUACGACGGAAUGUUUCAUAAUAGAGGAUGUUGAUGCUGCUGCCUCCAUCCAUGAGCACCUUAGUGAACUUAUAUCCUCCCACCUGAGGAGCCACCACCAGGGCCAAGUGACCCGGAUUAUCCACCCGUGGAGGGUGAUCCUGUUGGAAAUAUGCCCUAGAGGCAAUAAUAAAUGGUUAUUAUUAUAUUUCUUUGUUCAUGGUAAUUGUCUAUUGUUCAUGCUAUAAUUGUAUUGUCCGGAAUUCGUAAUACAUGUGUGAAUACAUAGACCACAACGUGUCCCUAGUAAGCCUCUAAUUGACUAGCUCGUUGAUCAACAGAUAGUCAUGGUUUCCUGACAAUGGACAUUGGAUGUCAUUGAUAACGGGAUCACAUCAUUAGGAGAAUGAUGUGAUGGACAAGACCCAAUCCUAAGCAUAGCAUAAAAGAUCGUGUAGUUUCGUUUGCUAGAGCUUUUCCAAUGUCGAGCAUCUUUUCCUUAGACCAUGAGAUCGUGCAACUCCCGGAUACCGUAAGAGUACUUUGGGUGUGCCAAACGUCACAACGUAACUGGGUGACUAUAAAGGUGCACUACGGGUAUCUCCGAAAGUGUCUGUUGGGUUGGCACGGAUCGAGACUGGGAUUUGUCACUCCGUGUGACGGAGAGGUAUCUCUGGGCCCACUCGGUAAUGCAUCAUCAUAAUGAGCUCUAUGUGACUAAGGCGUUAGUCACGGGAUCAUGCAUUGCAGUACGAGUAAAGAGACUUGCCGGUAACGAGAUUGAACAAGGUAUUGGGAUACCGACGAUCGAAUCUCGGGCAAGUAACAUACCGAUUGACAAAGGGAAUUGCAUACGGGAUUGAUUGAAUCCUCGACAUCGUGGUUCAUCCGAUGAGAUCAUCCUGGAACAUGUGGGAGCCCACAUGGGUAUCCAGAUCCCGCUGUUGGUUAUUGACCGGAGAGGCGUCUCGGUCAUGUCUGCAUGUCUCCCGAACCCGUAGGGUCUACACACUUAAGGUUCGGUGACGCUAGGGUUGUAGAGAUAUGUGUAUGCGGAAACCUGAAAGUUGUUUGGAGUCCCGGAUGAGAUCCCGGACAUCACGAGGAGUUCCGGAAUGGUCCGGAGGUGAAGAAUUAUAUAUAGGAAGUCAAGUUUCGGCCACCGGGAAAGUUUCGGGGGUUACCGGUAUUGUACCGGGACCAACGGAAGGGUCCCGGGGGGUCCACCAGGUGGGGCCACCUAUCCCGGAGGGCCCCGUGGGCUGAAGUGGGAAGGGAACCAGCCCCAAGUGGGCUGGGCGCCCCCCAUGGGCCUCCCCCUGCGCCUAGGGUUGGAAACCCUAGGGUGGGGGGCGCGCCACUUGCCUUGGGGGGUAAGUUACCCCCCUGGCCGCCGCCCCCCACCCUAGAUGGGUUCUGGCCGGCGCCCCCCCCUCCCAGGGGGCCUAUAUAAAGGGGGGAGGGAGGGCAGUAGAAUACAGCCUUGGGCGCCUCCCUCCUCCUCUGCAACACCUCUCUCUCUCGUAUAAGCUCGGCGAAGCCCUGCCGACAUCCCGCUGCAUCCACCACCACGCGGUCGUGCUGCUGGAUCUCCAUCAACCUCUCCUUCCCCCUUGCUGGAUCAAGAAGGAGGAGACGUCGCUGCACCGUACGUGUGUUGAACGUGGAGGUGCCGUCCGUUCGGCACUCGGUCAUCGGCGAUUUGGAUCACGGCGAGUACGACUCCGUCAUCCACGUUCAUUGGAACGCUUCCGCUCGCGAUCUACAAGGGUAUGUAGAUGCACUCCUUUCCCUCGUUGCUAGUAUACUCCAUAGAUGCAUCUCGGUGAGCGUAGGAAAAUUUUAAAAUUAUGCUACGAUUCCCAACAGUGGCAUCAUGAGCCAGGCCUAUGCGUAGUUACUAUGCACGAGUAGAACACAAAGAAGUUGUGGGCGUUGAUGUUGCCAAUUCUUCUUGCCGCUACUAGUCGUUUCUUGUUUCGGCGGCAUUGUAGGAUGAAGCGGCCCGGACCGACCUUACACGUACGCUUACGUGAGACAGGUUCCACCGACUGACAUGCACUAGUUGCAUAAGGUGGCUAGCGGGUGUCUGUCUCUCCUACUUUAGUCGGAACGGAUUCGAUGAAAAGGUUCCUUAUGAAGGGUAAAUAGAAAUUGGCAAAUCACGUUGUGGUCAUACGUAGGUAAGAAACGUUCUUGCUAGAAACCUACAAACCACGUAAAAACUUGCAACAACAAUUAGAGGACGUCUAACUUGUUUUUGCAGCAUGUGUUAUGUGAUGUGAUAUGGCCAGAAGAUGUGAUGAAUGAUAUAUGUGAUGUAUGAGAUUGAUCAUAUUCUUGUAAUAGGAAUCACGACUUGCAUGUCGAUGAGUAUGACAACCGGCAGGAGCCAUAGGAGUUGUCUUUAUUAUUUUGCAUGACCUGCGUGUCAUUGAAUAACGCCAUGUAAAUUACCUUACUUUGUUGCUAAACGCGUUAGCCAUAGAAGUAGAAGUAAUCGUUGGCGUGACGACUUCAGCAAGACACGAUGAUGGAGAUCAUGAUGAUGGAGAUCAUGGUGUCAUGCUGGUGACGAAGAUGAUCAUGGUGCCCCGAAGAUGGAGAUCAAAGGAGCAUGAUGAUAUUGGCCAUAUCAUGUCACUAUUUGAUUGCAUGUGAUGUUUAUCAUGUUUUUGCAUCUUAUUUGCUUAGAACGACGGUAGUAAGUAAGAUGAUCCCUUAUGAUAAUUUCAAGAAAAGUGUUCCCCCUAACUGUGCACCGUUGCGAAGGUUCGUUGUUUCGAAGCACCACGUGAUGAUCGGGUGUGAUAGAUUCUAACGUUCGCAUACAACGGGUGUUGCCGAGCCUAGCAUGUACAGACAUGGCCUCGGAACACACGCAAUACACUUAGGUUGACUUGACGAGCCUAGCAUGUACAGACAUGGCCUCGGAACACGGAGGACCGAAAGGUCGAGCAUGAGUCGUAUAGAAGAUACGAUCAACAUGGAGAUGUUCACCGAUCUUGACUAGUCCGUCUCACGUGAUGAUCGGACACGGCCUAGUUAACUCGGAUCAUGUUUCACUUAUAUGACUAGAGGGAUGUCUAUCUGAGUGGGAGUUCAUUAAAUAAUUUGAUUAGAUGAACUUAAUUAUCAUGAACUUAGUCUAUAAACUUUACACUAUGUCUUGUAGAUCAAAUGGCCAACGUUGUCCUCAAUUUCAACGCGUUCCUAGAGAAAACCAAGCUGAAAGAUGAUGGCAGCAACUAUACGGACUGGGUCCGGAACCUGAGGAUCAUCCUCAUAGUAGCCAAGAAAGAUUAUGUCUUAGAAGCACCGCUAGGUGAAGCACCAAUCCCUGAGAACCAAGACGUUAUGAACGCUUGGCAGCAGCGUGCUGAUGAUUACUCCCUCGUUCAGUGCGGCAUGCUUUACAUCUUAGAACCGGGUCUCCAAAAGCGUUUUGAGAAACAUGGAGCAUAUGAGAUGUUCGAGGAGCUGAAAUUGGUUUUCCAAGCUCAUGCCCGGGUCGAGAGAUAUGAAGUCUCCGACAAGUUCUUUAGCUGUAAAAUGGAGGAAAAUAGUUCUGUAAGUGAGCACAUACUCAGAAUGUCUGGGUUGCACAACCGCUUGACUCAUCUGGGAGUUAAUCUCCCGGAUGACGCGGUCAUUGACAGAAUCCUUCAGUCGCUUCCACCAAGCUACAAGAGCUUUGUGAUGAACUUCAAUAUGCAGGGGAUGGAAAAGACCAUCCCUGAGAUAUAUUCAAUGCUGAAAUCAGCGGAGGUGGAAAUCAGAAAAGAACAUCAAGUGUUGAUGGUGAAUAAAACCACUAAGUUCAAGAAGGGCAAGGGUAAGAAGAACUUCAAGAAGGCGGCAAGGGAGUUGCCGCGCCCGGUAAGCCAGUUACCGGGAAGAAGUCAAAGAAUGGACCCAAGCCUGAAACUGAGUGCUUUUAUUGCAAGGGAAGUGGUCACUGGAAGCGGAACUGCCCCAAAUACUUAGCGGACAAAAAGGCCGGCAACACCAAAGGUAUAUGUGAUAUACAUUUAAUUGAUGUGUACCUUACCAGUACUCGUAGUAGCUCCUGGGUAUUUGAUACCGGUGCGGUUGCUCAUAUUUGUAACUCAAAACAGGAACUACGGAAUAAACGGAGACUGGUGAAGGACGAGGUGACGAUGCGCGUCGGGAAUGGUUCCAAGGUCGAUGUGAUCGCCGUCGGCACGCUACCUCUGCAUCUACCCACGGGAUUAGUUUUAAACCUCAAUAAUUGUUAUUUAGUGCCAGCUUUGUGCAUGAACAUUGUAUCUGGAUCUCGUUUAAUUCGAGAUGGCUACUCAUUUAAAUCCGAGAAUAAAGGUUGUUCUAUUUUUUUGAGAGAUAUGUUUUACGGUCAUGCCCCGCUGGUUAAUGGUUUAUUCUUGAUGAAUCUCGAACGUGAUGUUACACAUAUUCAUAAUGUGAAUACCAAAAGAUGUAAAGUUGAUAACGAUAGUCCCACAUACUUGUGGCACUGCCGCCAUGGUCACAUUGGUGUCAAGCGCAUGAAGAAGCUCCAUGCAGAUGGACUUUUGGAGUCUCUUGAUUACGAAUCAUUUGACACAUGCGAACCAUUCCUCAUGGGUAAGAUGACCAAGACUCCGUUCUCCGGAACAAUGGAGCGAGCAACCAACUUAUUGGAAAUCAUACAUACCGAUGUGUGUGGUCCAAUGAGUGUUGAGGCUCGCGGAGGAUAUCGUUAUGUUCUCACUCUCAUUGAUGAUUUAAGUAGAUAUGGGUAUGUCUACCUAAUGAAACACAAGUCUGAAACCUUUGAAAAGUUCAAGGAAUUUCAGAGUGAAGUUGAGAAUCAACGUGACAGAAAAAUAAAAUUCUUACGAUCAGAUCGUGGUGGAGAAUAUUUAAGUCACGAAUUUGGUACACACUUAAGGAGAUGUGGAAUAGUUUCACAACUCACGCCGCCUGGAACACCUCAGAGAAACGGUGUGUCCGAACGUCGUAAUCGCACUCUAUUGGAUAUGGUGCGAUCUAUGAUGUCUCUUACCGAUUUACCGCUCUCAUUUUGGGGCUAUGCUUUAGAGACUGCCGCAUUCACUUUAAAUAGGGCUCCGUCGAAAUCCGUUGAGACGACACCGUAUGAAUUAUGGUUUGGGAAGAAACCUAAGCUGUCGUUUCUAAAAGUUUGGGGAUGCGAUGCUUAUGUCAAGAAACUUCAACCUGAAAAGCUCGAACCCAAGUCGGAAAAAUGCGUCUUCAUAGGAUACCCUAAGGAAACCAUUGGGUAUACCUUCUACCUAAGAUCCGAAGGCAAGAUCUUCGUUGCCAAGAAUGGGUCCUUUCUAGAGGAGUUUCUCUCAAAAGAAUUGAGUGGGAGGAAAGUGGAACUUGAUGAGGUGAUAGUCACCCCUUCCGAACCGGAAAGUAGCGCAGCGCGGGAAGAUGUUCCUGUGGUGCCUACACCGACUGGGGAGGAAGUUAAUGAUGAUGAUCAUGAAGCUUCGGAUCAAGUUACUACUGAACUUCGUAGGUCCACAAGGACACGUUCCGCGCCAGAGUGGUACGGCAACCCUGUCCUAGAAAUCAUGUUGUUAGACAACGGUGAACCUUCGAACUAUGAAGAAGCGAUGGCGGGCCCGGAUUCCGACAAAUGGCUGGAAGCCAUGAAAUCCGAAAUAGGAUCCAUGUAUGAAAACGAAGUAUGGACUUUGACUGACUUGCCCGAUGAUCGGCGAGACAUAGAAAACAAAUGGAUCUUUAAGAAGAAAACGGACGCGGAUGGUAAUGUGACCAUCUACAAAGCUCGACUUGUCGCUAAGGGUUAUCGACAAGUUCAAGGGGUUGACUUCAAUGAGACUUUCUCACCCGUAGCGAAGCUGAAGUCCGUCCGAAUCAUGUUAGCAAUUGCCGCAUACUAUGAUUAUGAGAUAUGGUAGAUGGACGUCAAAACGGCAUUCCUUAACGGCUUCCUUAAGGAAGAGUUGUAUAUGAUGCAGCCGGAAGGUUUUGUCGUUCCUAAGAAUGCUAACAAAGUAUGCAAGCUCCAACGCUCAAUCUAUGGGUUGGUGCAAGCAUCUCAGAGUUGGAACAUUCGCUUUGAUGAAAUGAUCAAAGCGUUUGGGUUUACACAGACUUAUGGAGAAGCCUGUGUUUACAAGAAAGUGAGUGGGAGCUCUGUAGCAUUUCUCAUAUUAUAUGUGGAUGACAUACUAUUGAUGGGAAAUGAUAUAGAAUUCUUGGAAAGUAUAAAGGCCUAUUUGAAUAAGUGUUUUUCAAUGAAGGACCUUGGAGAAGCUGCUUAUAUAUUAGGCAUCAAGAUCUAUAGAGAUAGAUCGAGACGCCUCAUUGGUCUUUCACAGAGUACAUACCUUGACAAGAUAUUGAAGAAGUUCAAUAUGGAUCAGUCCAAGAAGGGGUUCUUGCCUGUAUUGCAAGGUGUGCAAUUGAGCACGGCUCAAUGCCCGACCACGGCAGAAGAUAUAGAAAAGAUGAGUGUCAUCCCCUAUGCCUCGGCCAUAGGGUCUAUUAUGUAUGCCAUGCUGUGUACCAGACCUGAUGUAAACCUUCCCGUAAGUUUGGUAGGAAGGUACCAAAGUAAUCCUGGCAUGGAACACUGGACAGCGGUCAAGAAUAUCCUAAAGUACCUGAAAAGGACCAAGGAUAUGUUUCUCGUUUAUGGAGGUGACGAAGAGCUCAUCGUAAAGGGUUACGUCAACGCUAGCUUCGACACAGAUCUGGAUGACUCAAAGUCACAAACCGGAUACGUGUAUAUUUUGAAUGGAGGAGCAGUAAGCUGGUGCAGUUGCAAGCAAAGCGUCGUGGCGGGAUCUACAUGUGAAGCGGAGUACAUGGCAGCCUCGGAGGCAGCGCAGGAAGCAGUCUGGAUGAAGGAGUUCAUUACCGACCUAGGGGUGAUUCCCAAUGCGUCGGGCCCGAUGACUCUCUUCUGUGACAACACUGGAGCUAUUGCCCUUGCGAAGGAGCCCAGAUUUCACAGGAAGACCAGGCAUAUCAAGCGUCGCUUCAACUCCAUUCGUGAAAGUGUUCAAAAUGGAGACAUAGAUAUUUGUAAAGUGCAUACGGACCUGAAUGUAGCAGAUCCGUUGACUAAACCUCUCCCUAGAGCAAAACAUGAUCAACACCAGGACGCAAUGGGUGUUCGAUUCAUCACAAUGUAACUAGAUUAUUGACUCUAGUGCAAGUGGGAGACUGUUGGAAAUAUGCCCUAGAGGCAAUAAUAAAUGGUUAUUAUUAUAUUUCUUUGUUCAUGGUAAUUGUCUAUUGUUCAUGCUAUAAUUGUAUGUCCGGAAAUCGUAAUACAUGUGUGAAUACAUAGACCACAACGUGUCCCUAGUAAGCCUCUAAUUGACUAGCUCGUUGAUCAACAGAUAGUCAUGGUUUCCUGACUAUGGACAUUGGGUGUCAUUGAUAACGGGAUCACGUCAUUAGGAGAAUGAUGUGAUGGACAAGACCCAAUCCUAAGCAUAGCAUAAAAGAUCGUGUAGUUUCGUUUGCUAGAGCUUUUCCAAUGUCGAGCAUCUUUUCCUUAGACCAUGAGAUCGUGCAACUCCCGGAUACCGUAAGAGUACUUUGGGUGUGCCAAACGUCACAACGUAACUGGGUGACUAUAAAGGUGCACUACGGGUAUCUCCGAAAGUGUCUGUUGGGUUGGCACGGAUCGAGACUGGGAUUUGUCACUCCGUGUGACGGAGAGGUAUCUCUGGGCCCACUCAGUAAUGCAUCAUCAUAAUGAGCUCUAUGUGACUAAGGCGUUAGUCACGGGAUCAUGCAUUGCGGUACGAGUAAAGAGACUUGCCGGUAACGAGAUUGAACAAGGUAUUGGGAUACCGACGAUCGAAUCUCUGGCAAGUAACAUACCGAUUGACAAAGGGAAUUGCAUACGGGAUUGAUUGAAUCCUCGACAUCGUGGUUCAUCCGAUGAGAUCAUCGUGGAACAUGUGGGAGCCAACAUGGGUAUCCAGAUCCCGCUGUUGGUUAUUGACCAGAGAGGCGUCUCGGUCAUGUCUGCAUGUCUCCCGAACCCGUAGGGUCUACACACUUCAGGUUCGGUGACGCUAGGGUUGUAGAGAUAUGUGUAUGUGGAAACCCGAAAGUUGUUCGGAGUCCCGGAUGAGAUCCCGGACGUCACGAGGAGUUCCGGAAUGGUCCGGAGGUGAAGAAUUAUAUAUAGGAAGUCAAGUUUCGGCCACCAGGAAAGUUUCGGGGGUUACCGGUAUUGUACCGGGACCACCGGAAGGGUCCCGGGGGUCCACCGCGUGGGGCCACCUAUCCCGGAGGGCCCCGUGGGCUGAAGUGGGAAGGGAACCAGCCCCUAGUGGGCUGGGCGCCCCCCCAUGGGCCUCCCCCCUGCGCCUAGGGUUGGAAACCCUAGGGUGGGGGGCGCCCCACUUGCCUUGGGGGGUAAGUUACCCCCCUGGCCGCCGCCCCCCACCCUAGAUGGGUUCUGGCCGGCGCCCCCCCUCCCAGGGGGCCUAUAUAAAGGGGGGAGGGAGGGCAGUAGAAUACAGCCUUGGGCACCUCCCUCCUCCCCUGCAACACCUCUCUCUCUCGUAUAAGCUCGGCGAAGCCCUGCCGACAUCCCGCUGCAUCCACCACCACGCCGUCGUGCUGCUGGAUCUCCAUCAACCUCUCCUUCCCCCUUGCUGGAUCAAGAAGGAGGAGACGUCGCUGCACCGUACGUGUGUUGAACGCGGAGGUGCCGUCCGUUCGGCACUCGGUCAUCGGUGAUUUGGAUCACGGCGAGUACGACUCCGUCAUCCACGUUCAUUGGAACGCUUCCGCUCGCGAUCUACAAGGGUAUGUAGAUGCACUCCUUUCCCUCGUUGCUAGUAUACUCCAUAGAUGCAUCUUGGUGAGCGUAGGAAAAUUUUAAAAUUAUGCUACGAUUCCCAACAGAUCCUCCCUGCUCCACACUAUAGGCUGCUCAGACCACCGCAAGUAGCGUGGAACCGCCGGCUCAACAGCAUUCACAGCCCUCUUAUGAAGUUUCUGAUCUCGCUUGCACAGACUAGUGGUAAACACAUGAUACUGUCCACGGCUAAGCUGCUUUGGAUUGGUCUGAUAACCCCCCUGCUGCUGUUGAUGACCCUGGCCAGACUGCUGGUUAAAGCCCCCUUGACCGUUCUGAGGAUUAGAAUUUGAGCUGCCGCCCGGGCCAUGAAAGCCGCCGGCGCCUGAGCCGCCGCCCGGGCCGUUGUAAUUCUUAAAGGCCUUCAUGAUUGCACAAUCCUUCCAUAGAUGAGUCGCUGGCUUCUCUCUAGAGCCAUGCCUUGGACAAGGCUCAUUCAACAGUUGCUCCAGCGUCGGGCCUGACCCGCCGCCUCGGGAAGGGAGCCUCCCCUUGCGUCGCUGGUUAUUACCUUGUGAGCUGGCGUUGGCUACAAACUCUAGGCUGCCAUCGGCCUUGCGCUUGCCUCCUCCUUGGUUACCCAGGUUAUGCUGAGGACCCUUGCCAUUGUCAUUCUUCUUUCCCUUCCCUGCCCUUUCAUCAUCUGAAGGGGGAUCCUUGGUACCAUCAGAAUCGGCGUACUUGACAAGAGCCUCCAUUAGUGUACCCAUAUCACUGCAGUCGCGUUUAAGCCGCCCGAGUUUCAUCAUCAGGGGCACGAAACGACAAUUCUGUUCCAACAUUAAGAUUGCAGAGCCGGCAUCCAUCUUAUCUGAUGAAUGUAUGAUCUCCUUGACCCGGCGAACCCAAUGCGUCGUGGAUUCACCCUCCUGCUGCUUACAGUUAGUCAAAUCCACAAUUGACAUAGACUGCCUACAGGUAUCCUUGAAGUUUUGGAUGAACCGGGCUUUCAGCUCAGCCCAAGACCCGAUGGAAUUCGGUGGUAGCCCUUUCAACCAAGUGCGGGCAGUCCCAUCCAACAUCAUGGUGAAGUACUUGGCCAUUGCCGCCUCACUGACCUCCAGUAGUUCCAUGGCCAUCUCGUAACUCUCGAUCCAGGCUGCGGGCUGUAAGUCAGCCGUGUAAUUGGGCACCUUCCUAGGGCCUUUGAAGUCCUUGGGUAGACGUUCAUUGCGGAUAGCUGGCACUAAGCAAGGGACACCCCUAGUCCUGGUAGGGAUACCCACAUUGACGGACGUCGUCGGAUAAGCUGGGGGAGUCUGGUAAGCCGUCAACUGAGGCACCUGCUCCGCCUCUUGCCGCGCUCUGUCUUGGUCUGCUGCGUGAAAGGCUCCAUUAUGAGCCGGGCCAUGGCCAGGGAGUGGGUCAUGGCGUCGGACAUUACUUGAGCCAGUCGCUGAGACCAUGUGUCUGCUGUAACUCGGGCUCCGGCCUGGACGAGGGGUCGAGUGGAUCCUGUUCCGGCUGUAGGAGUACGCCUCUUGCUGCGCCAGUGCUGUCUGAAGGAGUUCCCUGACCCGGCGGGUUUCAAUAGCCGUCGGAGAGUCGCCGUCGACUGGGAGAGCCGCCAGCCAUGCUGCCGCAGCGACCAUGUUCUCCAGCGGGUUAUUAUAAUGACCCGGUGGUAUUGGCACAUACUGAGGCGGGGCAGGGGGCACCUGGGGAGGCCCCAUCACUUGUGGCUGAAUAGGGAUCCCAGACCCGGGCACUAUGAGCCCUGGCGGGUUACUACACCCUGCACCUGGCGUGUUGAAGAGGUUGCGUGGAUCGUAAACCGGAGGGAGUCGAGAUUGGGCCUUUCGAUGCCUCCUUCUCAGGACCUCAUUGGACGCGUUUUGAUCCAUCGAGAGCCGGAAGGACUGCGCUUGAAUCAACUGGGUUUGGGCAUCAAGAGCCGCCCACUCCGCAGCCAUCCUGAUCCCUUCCGCUGCCAGAUCCUCCUUAGCCUUCACUAGAUCCAACUUUAACUGUGCCACCUCCACAUCAUGCUGAGCUUGAUCUGCCGGGUCAACCGCGGCGGUUAACAGGGCUGUCAUCUUGUCCGUGAGAUCCAUCAGCACCUGAGCCGGCGAGGGCACCGGGUUUCCUGCUCCAGCAGCAGGGUUCUGAAUAGGCUGUGCACCGGCCAUAAAGACCCCAACCUGACUGGGCGGCUCAAAUGGGUCCGGAAUACUGUCACCAUCGGAAAAACCCAUGAGCCUGCCAUCUUGAAGUUGAUACAACGAGUUUGACUCAUCGGUGGACGACUCGCCGUCAGAGCCGGCGGCCGUCUCAUCACCAGAUCCAGAUCGAUCAGAGAGCCCUCCAUGGAUACAUCCCACAAAGGCAUGCCUUACGGCAGGCCGGGCCCGGGCGGGUCGUGCACGCUGAGCCGUCUCGAUGAGAUCGGCGCAGAGAUCCGGCUCAGGGCCCGGCUCACCGAUCUUGCCAAUGAAAACAUGAAUUCCGCCGAAGGGGACCCGGUACCCGUACUCAAUUGAGCCGGCGUCGGGGCCCCAGUUUGCAUCGUCGAUGUAGAGCUUGCCGCGACGACUCUUGGUCAUCCGGCCCACAGCGUAUCCCUUGAGCCCUUCGAAGCUGCCCUUCAAGAACUCAAAUCCACCGUGCGCUGGCCCCACGCUGGGCGCCAACUGUCAUGGAAUUGUCACGGCAGAUGUCCUCGAGCUAGGACUUAGUCGUGGAGCCAUCGCAACUAGGAAGCUUGAAGGGGUUAAGCGGGACAAGGAACACGAGGGUUUAUACUGGUUCGGCCCCUUACGGUGAAGGUAAAAGCCUACGUCCAGUUUGAGGUGGUAUUGAUUAGGGUUUCAAUGACCAGGGAGCUUAACUGCUAUGCCUGGCUCUCGACGAGAUCUUUCUUCUCUCUAAACCGCUGCCGGGUCGUCCCUUUAUAUAGGGAGGUUGACGCCCAGCAGCUCUCAGAGUCCCGGCCGGCUCAUAAGAGUAUCCGGCUCGGACUCUCAACUAUUCUUGCCUUACACUACAAGUUCUACCAUAACAAUGAUUGCAACUACGGGCCUUAAGCCGUAUCCGGGUCUUAAGCCCAUCUCUGGCCCACCGUCUUCAAGCUUAGCGCCGGGCUUCUGGCAAUGACCAUAGAAUAACCUGGCCUCUCCUGGCGGGUGACUCUAAGGUCUAUAUCCUCAACAGUACUACUAGUUCUUUUUCUACUGCUGUGUACGUGCAAAAACGGGCACCGUCGGAUACAUAUCUUACGCUUGGCAUUCGAUAGGAAUAGCCUCGUGGCGAGCUAUAGACUAGUCUUUUUUUCAGACGCAUUACACCUAUCUCUCGGGACUUCUCGCACGCACCAUCACUGCUCCCUAGGCCGAUGCCACCCACAUACAGUUGUACUCUGAGGAGAGGUGCACGCAUGCACUCGUCCUCUCUCACACACGCAUCUGUAGCUAUGAAUUUUAGUGUUCUCAACCAUCUGAUUGGCUCAAUCAUAGGUUUCACGUUGCUCCUUGGCCUUGAGGUUGAGAUGUUUUAAACGCGGAGGCUAAGAUGGAGGCGUGAGGUUUUGGUUAAUGUGCGAGCCGCACACGGCACCAACACGACACGAGCUUCGUCUGCCUGGUGCGCAUGCAGUCGGGUGAGUUGUCCAAGUAUAUACACAACCAGGCCCUCGUUGGUAUCCGCCCCUCGACUUUGGCUGGUUAUAGUGGAGAGUAACAUAGACCAGUUACUAGUCUAUGUUACUAGUACCUUCAUAGUGGGUGGUGUCAUAUACGUAGUAGUAUAUGCAUAGUUUUGCUCCAUGGCGCAAUCCAUCGAUACUACUACUGUACAAAUGUAUACAUUUUUAAAAGGCUAGAGGGCGGGGCAGUCUAGCUUGGUUCUUUUCACAAGAGGCGAGGGCCUUUGUGAUUUGAUGGCUCAUUACCGCUGGAAGGCGGGGCCUUGUGAUUUUACUGCUCGUAUAAAUGUGCCGACGACCUGAGGAGGAGCAAAGAACCGUGCGGUAUACUCAAGUUUUCCACUGGAGUACGACGGAGGAGCACGAAACACGGCAACCCAGUGCCAUAUCCUCUACUCUCUACUCUUAUGUAACGCCCACGAUGCGGCUAUAUCUCCCACGUGUCGAGGCACGACUUAGAGGCAGAACCGCAUUGUCGUAUUAUCGCAAGAAGGGUUAUCUUCACACAAUCCCAUGUAAUGAACAAGAAUGGGAUAACGAGAGUUGGCUUACAAUCGCCACUUCACACAAUACAAAAAUUAAUUCAUACAUCAUCCAAAAUCCACACAUAGACCGACUACGGUCAAAUCCAAAUGAAAAUAAGAUAACCCCAAAUGCUAGAUCCCCGAUCGUCCCAACUGGGCUCCACUACUGAUCAUCAGGAAACGAAACAUAGUAACGACUACGUUCCUCGUCGAACUCCCACUUGAGCUCGGUUGCAUCAUCUGCACUGGCAUCGUCGGCACCUGCAACUGUUUUGGUAGAAUCUGUGAGUCACGAGGACUCAGCAAUCUCACACCCGCGAGAUCAAGACUAUUUAAGCUUAUAGGAAAGGAUGGUGUAAUGAGGUGGAGCUGCAGCAGGCACUAAGCAUAUAUGGUGGCUAACAUACGCAAAUGAGAGCGAGAAGAGAAGAAACGCAACGGUCGCGAAGCUAGAAAUGAUCAAGAAGGGAUCCUGAAAACUACAUACGUUCAUGCAUAACUCAAACCGUGUUCACUUCCCGGACUCUGCCGAGAAGAGACCAUCACGGCUACACACACGGUUGAUGUAUUUUAAUUAAGUCAAGUGACAAGUUCUCUACAACCGGACAUUAACAAAUUCCCAUCUGCCUCAUAACCGCGGGCACGGCUUUCGAAAGAUAAUACCCUGCAGGGGUGUCCCAACUUAGCCCAUUAUAAGCUCUCACGGUCAACGAAGGAUAAACCUUCUCCCGGGAAGACCCGAUCAGCCUCGGAAUCCUGGUUUACAAGACAUUUCGACAAUGGUAAAACAAGACCAGCAAAGCCACCCGAAUGUGCCGACAAAUCCCGAUAGGAGCUGCACAUAUCUCGUUCUCAGGGCACACCGGAUGGGCAAGACGUCAGGUUGGCAUAGAUCCGGGUUGCCCAGGGGACGCCGGACAUCGCCCAGUUUGGGCCAGCACUCGAAGGAGCACUGGUCCGGGGGUUUAAAUAAAGAUGACCCUCGGGCUCGCGAAAACCCAAGGGAAAAAGGCUUAGGUGGCAAAUGGUAAAACCAAGGUUGGGCCUUGCUGGAGGAGUUUUAUUCAAGGCGAACUGUCAAUGGGGUCCCAUAAAUCACCCAACCGCGUUAGGAACGCAAACUCAAGGAACAUAAUACCGGUAUGACGGAAACUAGGGCGGCAAGAGUGGAACAAAACACCAGGCAUAAGGCCGAGCCUUCCACCCUUUACCAAAUAUAUAGAUGCGUUAAUUAAAUAAGAGAUAUUGUGAUAUUCCAAAAAUAUCCAUGUUGCAACAUGCAACCAACUUCAACUUCACCUGCAACUAGCAACGCUAUAAGAAGGGCUGAGCAAAAGCGGUAACUUAGCCAAACAACGGUUUUCUAGGAAAGGAUGGUUAGAGACUUGACAUGGCAAUAUGGGAGGCAUGAUAUAGCAAGUGGUAGGUAGCGCAGCAUAGCAAUAGAACGAACAACUAGCAAAGCAAAGAUAGAAGUGAUUUCGAGGGUAUGGUCAUCUUGCCUGCAAGGUUCUCAGAGUUGUCGAAAGCUUGAUCCUUGUAAGCGUACUCAACAGGUUCCUUGUUCACGAACUCGUCUCCCGGCUCGACCCACAGAAAGAACACAAGCAAUGGAACCACAAUCAAUCACGGGAAAUGCACAAGCAACAUGAUGCAAUACAUGCAUGAUAUGCGGGAUGUGAUAUGCGAUGCAUAUGCGUGCUCCGGAAGAAAAAGGAUGAACAAGGAAGUAACUUGGCAAACCAAGUGUGCCACUGGAAAGGUGAGAUGAUUUCGGUCGAAAUCGAUAUAAAGAUCACCGGAAACGGAUGCACGGUUUGCAAAUGGCGAGCAAAACAAGAAUGGCACGAUUCUGCGAUUAACAGCAUGAUAGUACAUAAAAUACAUCAAGUAGCUAUGCUACAGCACCCCAACAUAGCAACAAAGCAUAUGACAGUAAUCUACAGGAGGUGCUUGACAAAAGAUGAACAGUGAGCUACGGCUAUAUCACAAAAUAACAGGCUCAAACAAGCAUGGCAAAAGUGCAAAAGAUAACAGGUUCACAGACUUGGUAAAAAUACUGGACAUGGCAGAAAUAGCAUCAGGUAGCAAUGUUCAGAGCAAGCGAAACACAUGCUACAGGAACUUAUCAUAGCCAUACAAGGCAUGGCAUGAAUCUACUAAAUGCAUAGCACAAAAGUCCCUUACUGACCAUGAGCGAAAAAGGAUACGAAGAGAAGAUGGCACCCAUGUAAACAUAGCAAGUUUCGUUAACAGGUUUCAGACUUGGCAGAGAACAGAACACGGCAUUAACAGAAAUAUGAAGGCAUCUUUGUGAGCUUGAUUCACUCAUCACAAAGCAAUUCAUGACACAACAAGAAUACCUACAGCAAGAUGGCAUGUUUAUCGAGCUAUCCAUGUCAAGAGCAAAUACAUAGCAUGUAUGGGUCAACUACAACAACCUUGGCAAAAUUGAAUAUCAUGUUAACAUUCUGCCAGAAAUAUUUUAUAGCAAAAGUAGAGCAAUAUUGAGACAUGCUAUUUUACUCCAUAAUUGCAAACAGAGACAUGGAUGGAUAGAGCACAACUAUAUCGACAAAACAUCCGUACUGAACAUACCCAAAAGAAGCAUGGAUCUCACUUUAGGCACAUGGAUACAUGGCAACAAAAUAACAGCAGUAACAGACUUGGCAAAAUUCAAGUCCCUGAAAACAGAAACAUCACGAAGCCUAGUUUCCAUGCUUGUGCUAGUCACCACAUAGAUCACAAAAAUACAUGGCAUACACCUCUGUAAAGAUGGCAUGGCAUAGAUCAAAACGCCUGUAGAGAUCAUGCCCAUAAGAUGCACACAUCAAAAGCAACAAAAAUAACAAAACAACAAGUUCUGAUAAAUAACUGCAGUAACAUCAUAUAGUACUCUUUCACCAGAGAUUUGGGCAUCAAGAUGAACUCAAACGAGCAUGACACAAUGGAACAAAAUGAAGAGCAUCUCGUGACGAACAUUUAGAUAUAUCACACGCAUGGAACGGAGCAGUAUGCAAGACGUUAUGGCAUGAUGAACAUGAGCACAUAAUGCAAUAAUUCGGGGACUUCAAGGAUUUUCAGGGUCAACCUUCUUCCAGAUCUGGAUCGGGGGCAGGCACGCGAACCGAGGUUCGCCGGGGUUCUCCAGGGAUGGAGAGGAGGAGGCCGGAGCUUGGACGGAGAGGGAGGAGGCCGGAGGAGGCACCGAGGACGGCGGCGACCGGCGAACGGCGGCGGCGACUGGNNNNNNNNNNNNNNNNNNNNNNNNNNNNNNNNNNNNNNNNNNNNNNNNNNNNNNNNNNNNNNNNNNNNNNNNNNNNNNNNNNNNNNNNNNNNNNNNNNNNNNNNNNNNNNNNNNNNNNNNNNNNNNNNNNNNNNNNNNNNNNNNNNNNNNNNNNNNNNNNNNNNNNNNNNNNNNNNNNNNNNNNNNNNNNNNNNNNNNNNNNNNNNNNNNNNNNNNNNNNNNNNNNNNNNNNNNNNNNNNNNNNNNNNNNNNNNNNNNNNNNNNNNNNNNNNNNNNNNNNNNNNNNNNNNNNNNNNNNNNNNNNNNNNNNNNNNNNNNNNNNNNNNNNNNNNNNNNNNNNNNNNNNNNNNNNNNNNNNNNNNNNNNNNNNNNNNNNNNNNNNNNNNNNNNGAGGCGAUGCACGGGCGCGGGCGACGGGCCGGGAGGGCCCCGCCUGGGCCCCGACGGGCCGGCGCGCGGCGGUGCGGCGGAAGUGGGCGCGGGCGGCGGGCGAAUCCGGAGGCGACACGUGGCAGCGGAGAGGGCGGCGGACACGUCCGUCGACGGGAUUUUUUGUCCGGCGGCGCGAAGGGGAAGAAGACUAGGGUUGCACCGCGAAUUUGGAAGGGGAAGGCACCUUUAUAUAUAGGUAGAGGGAGCUAGGAGACUCCAAAUGGAGUGCGGUUUUCACCCACACGAUCGUGAUCGAACGACCGAGAGCAUGGAGGGGACUUAGAUGGGUUAUAGGGCUGUUUGGAGGGGUGUUUUGCUGCAACACACAAAAGGCCUUUGCGGUUACCCGGUUAACUGUUGGAGCGUCAAACGACCUCCAAAUGGAACGAAACUUGACAGGUGGUCUACCGGUGGUAUACUAAGUCCACUUGGCAAACUUCGGUCCAUUCCGAGAACGUUUAACACCUGCUCACGAAAAGAAACAAGAGGGGUGCGUCGGUGCAUGUGGGAGUGUCGGAUUGCAAAACGGACAACGGGGAAAUUCUCGGAUGCAUAAGACGAACACGUAUGCAAAUGAGAUGCGCAUGAUGACAUGAUAUGAGAUGCAUGACAUGAACAAAAUACAAAACGAAAGAUAAAACCCGACCACGAAGGGAAUAUCAUAACACAUAGCAGAAAAUGGCAAGAGCUGGAGUUACAAAUAUGGAAAGUUACAUCCGGGGCGUUACAACACUCCACCACUACGAGAGGAUCUCGUCCCGAGAUCUAGGACUGAAAGAACUCCGGAUAUUCGGAACGGAGGUGGUCCUCGCGUUCCCAGGUGGCUUCUCGGUCGGAAUGGUGCGACCACUUCACUUUCAGGAAUUUGAUUGACUUGUUGCGAGUCUUGCGCUUAGUUUCUUCAAGAAUAGCAACGGGGUGCUCAUGAUAAUACAGAUCUUCUUGGAGAUCAAUCUCUUCGAAGUUGAUGGUGCGCUCAGGAGUCUUGAAGCACUUGCGAAGUUGUGACAUGUGGAAUACAUCGUGCAUGUUCGCGAAGUUGGAGGGAAGCUCAAGUUGAUAGGCGAGGUCGCCUCUUUUGCCAAUGAUCUUGAAAGGACCCACGUAUCUAGGGGCAAGCUUCCCUUUGAUACCGAAGCGAUGAGCGCCUUUCAUUGGAGAGACGCGGAGGUAGACAUGGUCUCCGAUCUCGAAAGCCAAGUCACGGUGCUUGCUAUCAUAGUAACUCUUCUGGCGCGAUUGCGCGGCUUUGAGAUUUUCACGGAUGACUUUACACAUUUCUUCAGCCUCUGUGAUUAAGUCAUUGCCAAGAAGUUGGCGUUCACCAGUCUCUGACCAAUUGAGAGCAGUACGACACUUUCUGCCAUAUAGAAUCUCGAAUGGGGCCUUGCCCGAACUCGCUUGGAAGCUGUUGUUGUAGGAGAAUUCGGCAUAUAGAAGACAAUCUUCCCACUUCAUACCAAAGGAAAUGACACAAGCCCUGAGCAUAUCUUCAAGGAUUUGAUUUACUCGCUCGACUUGGCCACUAGUUUGAGGAUGGAAAGCUGUGCUGAAGCAAAUGUUGGUGCCCAUGGCCUUCUGGAAGGAGUCCCAGAACUUAGAAGUGAAGAUGCUUCCACGAUCUGAAGAAAUCAAUUGUGGAAUGUCGUGCAAGGAGACAAUCCUGGAGGUGUAUAGCUCUGCCAACUGAGCGGCUGUGAUAGAUUCUUUGAUUGGAAGGAAAUGAGCCACUUUAGUAAGCUUGUCGAUGACAACUAAGAUAGCAUCAUUUCCGCGCUUGGACUUGGGAAAACCAGUCACGAAGUCCAUUUUGAUAUGAUCAAACUUCCAUUCUGGGAUAGCAAGAGGUUGGAGGAGACCAGCUGGUCGUUGGUGUUCUGCUUUCACCCUUCGACAAACAUCACAUUCAUUCACAAAUUGAGAGAUUUCUCGCUUCAUUCGAGUCCACCAAUACGACUGCUUGAGGUCAUGGUACAUCUUCGUACUUCCAGGAUGAAUGGAAAGAAGAGAAUUGUGUGCCUCGUUCAUAAUGAAUAUCCUUAGAUCACCUUUAGGAACCACAAUCCGGUCCUCAAAGAAUAAAGUGUCUCUGUAAUCAAUGUGAUAGCACUUGUAUUUGGAUAGACCCUUGUCGAUACCACGUUUCACCUUCUUCACCAUGGCAUCAAGAAGUUGUGCCUCACGAAUUUGAUCUUCCAAAGUAGGAGAGACUAUGAGGUUGGCAAGAAAGCCUUGAGGAACAACUUGGAGAUUCAGCUUGCGGAAAGCUUCACAAAGAUCCGGUUGAAAUGGCUGAGAAUUAAGCUGUUGCAAUAAGCCUUCCUGCUCAAAGCAUCUGCAAUGACGUUGGCCUUGCCUCGAGUAUAUUCAAUACUCGGAUUCUACUCUUGAAUCAUUUCGACCCAUCGAGUUUGCCUGAGGAUGAGGUUGGGCUGAGUGAAGAUGUACUUGAGACUCUUGUGAUCGGUGAAUAUGUCCACUUUUCUUCCCAACAAGAGAUGUCUCCAUGUUAUUAAUGCAUGGACUACUGCCGCCAACUCAAGAUCGUGAGUGGGGUAGUUCUUUUUGUUGGGCUUCAACUGACGAGAGGUAUAGGCCACAACUUUCUUCUCUUGCAUUAACACAGCACCGAGACCUUGAAGAGAAGCAUCACAGAAAACUUCAAAUGGCUUGGAUUCGUCAGGAGGAGUUAAGACAGGAGCUGUGACGAGUUUCUCUUUGAGAGUGUCGAAAGCAACGUCAGACUCAGGAGUCCAGACAUACUUCACAUGCUUCUGGAGGAGGUUGGAAAGAGGCUUUGCAAUCUUAGAGAAAUUCUCAACGAAUCUUCGGCAAUAGCUUGCAAGACCAAGAAAACUGCAAAGCUGCUUGACAUUCUAAGGAGGUUCCCAAUUCACAAUUGCAUACACCUUCUCGGGAUUAACAGCGAUGCCCUUGGCAGAGAUGAUAUGACCAAGGUAAAGAACUUCAUCAAGCCAAAACUCACAUUUGGAAAACUUCGCAUAAAAUUGAUACUCUCUGAGCUUGUCGAGCACCGAUCGCAAAUGUUUGGCAUGAUCCUUCUUAUUCUUGGAGAAGACCAAGAUAUCAUCGAGAUACACUAGGACGAAUUCAUUGGUAUAGGGGUUGAAGAUGAAAUUCAUCAUCCGAGAGUAUGUUGGAGGAGCAUUGACAAGGCGGAAAGACAUGACAGUAUAUUCAUAAGAACCAAAGCUUGUUCUGAAUGCUGUCUUGGGAAUAUCUUCUUCACGAAUGCGAAUCUGAUGAUAACCCAUUCGAAGGUCAAGCUUGGAGAAUACUUUAGCACCUUUAAGUUGCUCGAAUAGCUCAUUGAUGUUGGGAAGUGGAUACUUGUUCUUGAUUGUCUUCUUGUUCAAUGGACGGUAGUCGACACAAAGUCGGUCCGUGCCAUCCUUCUUCUGGACAAAAAGAACACCACAACCCCAUGGAGAUGAACUCGGUCUGAUCAAACCAGACGCUCUUGUUCAUCGAGCUGUUACUUCAAUUCUUUCAGCUCCUUGGGUCCAAGCUUGUAAGGACGCUUGCAAACGGGUUCAGUGUCGGGCUCAAGAUCGAUAACGAACUCAACUGGCCGGUGAGGAGGCAUACCCGGAAGCUCUUCUGGGAAGACAUCUUGGUACUCACAAACGACUGGAAUUUGAGAAAUAUCAUUCAACUCGCCCUUCUCAUUGAGAGAAAACAACCGAAUGGUUUCAUCACGAGCGGCAUAGAUGAUAACAUCCUCAGAAGAGUGUGUCAAUUGAAUUUCCCUGGCAGCACAAUCAAGUUGAGCCUUGUGCUUAGAAAGCCAGUCCAUCCCGAGAAUUAGAUCAAUAUCCGAGUCACCAAGAACCAUUGGAGAAGAUAAAAAUUUAUAGUUGCCCAUCUUGAUAGAAACAUCCGGAGCCAUCAUUUUGGUAUUCAUGAAUAAGCCCGGAGAGGAAACCACUAUCGGCUUAGACAGAUAGACAGUAUGCAAAUUGUUCAUGGAUGCAAAAGGUCUUGAUAUGAAAGAAAUAGAUGCACCAGUAUCAAAAAGAACUUUUGCAGGAAUAUCAUUAACUGAGAGAUUACCCAUAAUCACGUCAGUAGAUUCCUCCGCUUGAGCUGCAUUCAUCAUGUUCACCUUUGCAGACUUGGGAUUAUGCUUGACCACUACAUUGCUGGAAGAUCUCAUAGGAGGAGGAGGCGGAAGACGCCUUUGGUUGAAGCACUUGUUAGCAUAGUGACCUUUCUGCUGACACUUGUUGCAAGUCACCUCUGAGAGUGGACGAUGAUAAGGAACAUUCGACUUUGGAGCUUGAUUCUGAGACUUGUUCUGAUAGCCAGGGUUGGGUGGGUGGGAAGAUCCAUGGUCACCUUUGUACUUCUGCUGGAAAGGCUGACGAAACGGAGGAGGAGGAGGCAACCAGAACUUCUGUUGCUUAGCAGCCACUAGUGAGGAAGAAGAAGACUGAACUGCGUCCCUGACUCUCUUCUUAGAAGCCUCACACUUGAGCUGAGCAGCCUCUUGCUUCAGUGCCAUAUUGUAGAAAUCAUCAUACUUGGUCGGCUCAAAAAGCACGAGAGGUAAUUGCAGAUCUUGUUUGAGGCCACCUCUGAAUUGAUAGAUCAUGCUCUUUUCAUCAGGAACAUCUUGCUUAGCGAAGCGAGCGAGUUUCUGAAACUGGGUAUUGUAUUGAUACACGGACAUGCUGCCUUGCUUGAGAUUGCGGAACUCCUCACGCUUGCUCUCAACAACACUUUGUGGAAUGUGGUGAGCUUUGAAGUCUCGGCGGAAAUCAUCCCAGGUAAUCACACGACCUCCUCUGGAAUCUUUGUAUUGCUGAUACCACUCGGCAGCUUGAUCCUUGAGUUGAAAAGAAGCAAACUUGACAAAGUCCUCAGGCCUGACAUUGCUACAUUGAAAAUGCUUGUUGAUGUCCACGAGCCAAUCAUCGGCGUUUGUGGCCUCGACACAGUAGCUGAAAGACUUCGGCUGAUUUGCGAGGAACUGGUUGAGGGUAGCGAAGUGAGGCUGAUUGUUGCCUUGGCCUUGAUUUCCUCGAUUGCCUUGCCCUUGGGUGCGCUCUUGCAAGAGUUGCAAAAUCAUCUGAGCAUUGGCGUUGGUGGCUGCCAUGAUAGCUUGCCAUGCCUCCGGAGGCGGAGGUGGUGGCGGAGGGUUCGCCUGACUCCCCUCAUUGUGUUCCGGAUUCUGACGCGUUGGCGGAGCCAUCCUGAAGAGGGUGACAUCCGUUAGCAUCUUGAUAGACAAAUAGACAAGUUGAAUCAACGGAUAGAAAUUUCAACAUAUAGUCUUCACAAUAAACAUUCGAACGAGGAUGAACGAAUGAAUUCCAUAGUAAAUCAUCACACUUCCAUUAAGGUGAGAAGCCACUUGAUAAGAGAUUGAUGAAUAAAAUAACAAGGUGCAACUGGAACAAAUAAGUGGUAAGGAUUACCCAAUCACAAACCAAAUAUCUGCGGGAAGAAAUGCUAAGAGCUACUUGAAUCCCACCUAUAAACUCCCGAAACUUUCUGGUUAUGCAAUCUGCUGUUGGGGAUACAGGGGACACAAAAUAUAUCACCCAAACUAGCAAUCCCUAGAUCCAGCUGUAUCCAUCCCUCAACACAUAACCAAGAAACCUUCGGAAAUCGUGUACCUCAACCUUCGAAAAGCAUCCGUUAUACGAGUUAUGGCAAUACUCCCGAACUCCCGCCCCAGUACUGGGUGGCGUCGAGGUGAUCUCACCAACAACUGCAUAAAAGAGAUUUUCGAUGUCGGCGAAAUUCAGGUAUUCCAGAACUGCAACGAUAAAAUUGUGACGACAACACCUCAGAGCUCAACUCCCCGGGACACUGCCACAACCCCUAAAUGUCAGGAGGCACCAAGAACAAUGUUCUCGUCACAAAACCAUCAGAACGAUUCUAAGAUACCCGCGUGAUCCUAAAAACAAUUAGUGAAAUUUGAGGAGAGAAGAGUCAAAACUUCUACGUCAGGAGGCCUCACCAGAGCGAGGAAGGGACUGAGGAGUAAAAAGAAUCCUACUCUCCGAUAUAUAUAAUCCUAAGACUCAAAACAUUUUUGUUCUAGACUCAACAACGCCAGCGAUUCGAUCAAGCAGGGGGCUCCUAAGUCGGGGAUGGCUCUGAUUACCAACUUGUAACGCCCACGAUGCGGCUAUAUCUCCCACGUGUCGAGGCACGACUUAGAGGCAUAACCGCAUUGUGGUAUUGUCGCAAGAAGGGUUAUCUUCACACAAUCCCAUGUAAUGAACAAGAAUGGGAUAACGAGAGUUGGCUUACAAUCGCCACUUCACACAAUACAAAAAUUAAUUCAUACAUCAUCCAAAAUCCACACAUAGACCGACUACGGUCAAAUCCAAAUGAAAAUAAGAUAACCCCAAAUGCUAGAUCCCCGAUCGUCCCAACUGGGCUCCACUACUAAUCAUCAGGAAAAGAAACAUAGUAACGACCACGUUCCUCGUCGAACUCCCACUUGAGGUCGGUUGCGUCAUCUGCACUGGCAUCGUCGGCACCUGCAACUGUUUUGGUAGAAUCUGUGAGUCACGAGGACUCAGCAAUCUCACACCCGCGAGAUCAAGACUAUUUAAGCUUAUAGGAAAGGAUGGUGUAAUGAGGUGGAGCUGCAGCAGGCACUAAGCAUAUAUGGUGGCUAACAUACGCAAUUGAGAGCGAGAAGAGAAGCAACGCAAUGGUCGCGAAGCUAGAAAUGAUCAAGAAGUGAUCCUAAAAACUACUUACGUUCAUGCAUAACUCAAACCGUGUUCACUUCCCGGACUCCGCCGAGAAGAGACCAUCACGGCUACACACACGGUUGAUGUAUUUUAAUUAAGUCAAGUGACAAGUUCUCUACAACCGGACAUUAACAAAUUCCCAUCUGCCUCAUAACCGCGGGCACGGCUUUCGAAAGAUAAUACCCUGCAGGUGUUGGAAAUAUGCACUAGAGGCAAUAAUAAAUGGUUAUUAUUAUAUUUCUUUGUUCAUGGUAAUUGUCUAUUAUUCAUGCUAUAAUUGUAUUGUCCGGAAAUCGUGAUACAUGUGUGAAUACAUAGACCUCAACCUGUCCCUAGUAAGCCUCUAGUUGACUAGCUCGUUGAUCAACAGAUAGUCAUGGUUUCCUGACUAUGGACAUUGGAUGUCAUUGAUAACGGGAUCACAUCAUUAGGAGAAUGAUGUGAUGGACAAGACCCAAUCCUAAGCAUAGCAUAAAAGAUCGUGUAGUUUCGUUUGCUAGAGCUUUUCCAAUGUCAAGUAUCUUUUCCUUGGACCAUGAGAUCGUGCAACUCCCGGAUACCAUAGGAGUGCUUUGGGUGUGCCAAACGUCACAACGUAACUGGGUGACUAUAAAGGUGCAUUACGGGUAUCUCCAAAAGUGUCUGUUGGGUUGGCAUGGAUCGAGACUGGGAUUUGUCACUCCGUGUGACGGAGAGGUAUCUCUGGGCCCACUCGGUAAUGCAUCAUCAUAAUGAGCUCAAUAUGACUAAGGCGUUAGUCACGGGAUCAUGCAUUGCGGUACGAGUAAAGAGACUUGCCGGUAACGAGAUUGAACAAGGUAUUGGGAUACCGACGAUCGAAUCUCGGGCAAGUAACAUACCGAUUGACAAAGGGAAUUGCAUACGGAUUGAUUGAAUCCUCGACACCGUGGUUCAUCCGAUGAUAUCAUCGUGGAACAUGUGGGAGCCAACAUGGGUAUCCAGAUCCCGCUGUUGGUUAUUGACCGGAGAGGCGUCUCGGUCAUGUCUACAUGUCUCCCGAACCCGUAGGGUCUACACACUUAAGGUCCGGUGACGCUAGGGUUGUAGAGAUAUAUGUAUGCGGAAACCCGAAAGUUGUUCGGAGUCCCGGAUGAGAUCCCGGACAUCACGAGAGGUUCCGGAAUGGUCCGGAGGUAAAGAUUUAUAUAUGGGAAGUCUUAUUUUGGUCGCCGGAAAAGUUUCGCGCUUUAUCGGUAUUGUACCGGGAGUGCCGAAAGGGGUCCGGGGGUCCACCAAGGGGGUCCACCAGCCCCAAGAGGCCCAUGCGCAAGAGAUAAGAAAGAAGGGAGAGUCCUAAAGGGGGAAGGCACCUCCGAGGUGCCUUGGGGAGGAAGGACUCCCCCCUGGCCGCACCCUUCCUUGAAGGAAGGGGCAAGGCUGCGCCCCCCCUCUCCCUUGGCCCUAUAUAUAGUGGGGGGAAGGGAGGGCAGCAACAUCUAAGCCUUGGGCGCCUCCUUCCUCCCCUACAACACCUCUCUCUCUCUCUCGCAGAAGCUCGGCGAAGCCCUGCCGGAGACCCGCUACAUCCACCACCACGCCGUCGUGCUGUUGGAUCUCCAUAAACCUCUCCUUCCCCCUUGCUGGAUCAAGAAGGAGGAGACGUCGCUGCACCGUACGUGUGUUGAACGCGGAGGUGCCGUACGUUCGGCACUCGGUCAUCGGUGAUUUGGAUCACGGCGAGUACGACUCCGUCAUCCACGUUCAUUGGAACGCUUCCGCUCGCGAUCUACAAGGGUAUGUAGAUCCACUUCUUUCCCCUCGUUGCUAGUAGACUCCAUAGAUGCAUCUUGGUGAGCGUAGGAAAAUUUUAAAUUAUGCUACGAUUCCCAACAGUGGCAUCAUGAGCCAGGCCUAUGCGUAGUUACUAUGCACGAGUAGAACACAAAGAAGUUGUGGGCGUUGAUGUUGCCAAUUCUUCUUGCCGCUACUAGUCGUUUCUUGUUUCGGCGGCAUUGUAGGAUGAAGCGGCCCGGACCGACCUUACACGUACGCUUACGUGAGACAGGUUCCACCGACUGACAUGCACUAGUUGCAUAAGGUGGCUAGCGGGUGUCUGUCUCUCCUACUUUAGUCGGAACGGAUUCGAUGAAAAGGGUCCUUAUGAAGGGUAAAUAGAAAUUGGCAAAUCACGUUGUGGUCAUACGUAGGUAAGAAAUCGUUCUUGCUAGAAACCUACAAACCACGUAAAAACUUGCAACAACAAUUAGAGGACGUCUAACUUGUUUUUGCAGCAAGUGAUAUAUGUGAUAUGAUAUGGGCGGAAGAUGUGAUGAAUGAUAUAUGUGAUGUAUGAGAUUGAUCAUAUUAUUGUAAUAGGAAUCACGACUUGCAUGUCGAUGAGUAUGACAACCGGCAGGAGCCAUAGGAGUUGUCUUUAUUAUUUUGCAUGACCUGCGUGUCAUUGAAUAACGCCAUGUAAUUUACUUUACUUUGUUGCUAAACGGUUAGCCAUAGAAGUAGAAGUAAUCGUUGGCGUGACAACUUCAUGAAGACACAAUGAUGGAGAUCAUGAUGAUGGAGAUCAUGGUGUCAUGCCGGUGACGAAGAUGAUCAUGGUGCCCCGAAGAUGGAGAUCAAAGGAGCAUGAUGAUAUUGGCCAUAUCAUGUCACUAUUUGAUUGCAUGUGAUGUUUAUCAUGUUUUUGCAUCUUAUUUGCUUAGAACGACGGUAGCAAGUAGGAUGAUCCCUUAUAAUAAUUUCAAGAAAGUGUUCACCCUAACUGUGCACCGUUGCGAAGGUUCGUCGUUUCGAAGCACCACGUGAUGAUCGGGUGUGAUAGAUUCUUACGUUCGCAUACAACGGGUGUUGACGAGCCUAGCAUGUACAGACAUGGCCUCGGAACACACGCAAUACACUUAGGUUGACUUGACGAGCCUAGCAUGUACAGACAUGGCCUCGGAACACGGAGGACCGAAAGGUCGAGCAUGAGUCGUAUAGAAGAUACGAUCAACAUGGAGAUGUUCACCGAUCUUGACUAGUCCGUCUCACGUGAUGAUCGGACACGGCCUAGUUGAGCUCGGAUCAUGUUUCACUUAGAUGACUAGGGGGAUGUCUGUCUGAGUGGGAGUUCAUUAAAUAAUUUGAUUAUAUGAACUUAAUUAUCAUGAACUUAGUCUAAAAUCUCUACAUUAUGUAUUGUAGAUCAAAUGGCCCACGUUGUCCUCAAUUUCAACGCGUUCCUAGAGAAAACCAAGCUGAAAGAUGAUGGCAGCAACUAUACGGACUGGGUCCGGAACCUGAGGAUCAUCCUCAUAGCAGCCAAGAAAGAUUAUGUCUUAGAAGCACCGCUAGGUGAAGCACCAAUCCCUGAGAACCAAGACAUUAUGAACGCUUGGCAGCAGCGUGCUGAUGAUUACUCCCUCGUUCAGUGCGGCAUGCUUUACAGCUUAGAACCGGGUCUCCAAAAGCGUUUUGAGAAACAUGGAGCAUAUGAGAUGUUCGAGGAGCUGAAACUGGUUUUUCAAGCUCAUGCCCGGGUCGAGAGAUAUGAUGUCUCCGACAAGUUCUUCAGCUGUAAAAUGGAGGAGAACAGUUCUGUUAGUGAGCACAUACUCAGAAUGUCUGGGUUGCACAACCGCUUGUCUCAGCUGGGAGUUAAUCUCCCGGAUGACGCGGUCAUUGACAGAAUCCUCCAGUCGCUUCCACCAAGCUACAAGAGCUUUGUGAUGAACUACAAUAUGCAGGGGAUGGAAAAGACCAUUCCCGAGGUAUAUUCAAUGCUAAAAUCAGCGGAAGGGGAGAUCAAAAAGGAACAUCAAGUGUUGAUGGUGAAUAAAACCACUAAGUUCAAGAAGGGAAAGGGUAAGAAGAACUUCAAGAAGGACGGCAAGGGAAUUGCCGCGCCCGGUAAGCCAGUUACCGGGAAGAAGUCAAAGAAUGGACCCAAGCCCGAGACUGAGUGCUUUUAUUGCAAGGGAAGUGGUCACUGGAAGCGGAACUGCCCCAAAUAUUUAGCGGACAAGAAGAAGGCCGGCAACACCCAAGGUAUAUGUGAUAUACAAGUAAUUUAUGUGUACCUUACCAGUACUCGUAGUAGCUCCUGGGUAUUUGAUACUGGUGCGGUUGCUCAUAUUUGUAACUCAAAUCAGGAACUACGGAAUAAACGGAGACUGGCAAAAGACGAGGUGACGAUGCGCGUCGGGAAUGGUUCCAAGGUCGAUGUGAUCGCCGUCGGCACGCUACCUCUGCAUCUACCCACGGGAUUAGUUAUAAACCUCAAUAAUUGUUAUUUAGUGCCAGCUUUGAGCAUGAACAUUGUAUCUGGAUCUCGUUUAAUUCGAGAUGGCUACUCAUUUAAAUCUGAGAAUAAUGGUUGCUCUAUUUAUUUGAGAGAUAUGUUUUAUGGUCAUGCCCCGCUGGUCAAUGGUUUAUUCUUGAUGAAUCUCGAACGUGAUGCUACACAUGUUCAUAGUGUGAAUACCAAAAGAUGUAAAGUUGAUAACGAUAGUCCCACAUACUUGUGGCACUGCCGCCUUGGUCACAUUGGUGUCAAGCGCAUGAAGAAGCUCCAUGCAGAUGGACUUUUGGAGUCUCUUGAUUACGAAUCAUUUGACACGUGCGAACCAUGCCUCAUGGGUAAGAUGACCAAGACUCCGUUCUCCGGAACAAUGGAGCGAGCAACCAACUUAUUGGAAAUCAUACAUACCGAUGUGUGCGGUCCAAUGAGUGUUGAGGCUCGCGGAGGAUAUCGUUAUGUUCUCACUCUCACUGAUGAUUUAAGUAGAUAUGGGUAUGUCUACCUAAUGAAACACAAGUCUGAAACCUUUGAAAAGUUCAAGGAAUUUUAGAGUGAAGUCGAGAAUCAACGUGACAGGAAAAUAAAAUUCUUACGAUCAGAUCGUGGUGGAGAAUAUUUAAGUCACGAAUUUGGUACACACUUAAGGAAAUGUGGAAUAGUUUCACAACUCACGCCGCCUGGAACACCUCAGAGAAAUGGUGUGUCCGAACGUCGUAAUCGCACUCUAUUGGAUAUGGUGCGAUCUAUGAUGUCUCUUACCGAUUUACCGCUCUCAUUUUGGGGUUAUUCUUUAGAGCCUGCCGCAUUCACUUUAAAUAGGGCACCGUCUAAAUCCGUUGAGACGACACCGUAUGAAUUAUGGUUUGGGAAGAAACCUAAGCUGUCGUUUCUAAAAGUUUGGGGAUGCGAUGCUUAUGUCAAGAAACUUCAACCUGAAAAGCUCGAACCCAAAUCGGAAAAAUGCGUCUUCAUAGGAUACCCAAAGGAAACUAUUGGGUAUACCUUCUACCUCAGAUCCGAAGGCAAGAUCUUCGUUGCCAAGAACGGGUCCUUUCUAGAGAAGGAGUUUCUCUCGAAAGAAUUGAGUGGGAGGAAAGUGGAACUUGAUGAGGUGAUAGUCACCCCUUCCGAACCGGAAAGUAGCGCAACGCGGGAAAAUGUUCCUGUGGUGCCUACACCGACGGGGGAGGAAGUUAAUGAUGAUGAUCAUGAAGCUUCGGAUCAAGUUGCCACUGAACUUCGUAGGUCCACAAGGACACGUUCCGCACCAGAGUGGUACGGCAACCCUGUCCUUGAAAUCAUGUUGUUAGACAACGGUGAACCUUCGAACUAUGAAGAAGCGAUGGCGGGCCCGGAUUCCGACAAAUGGCUAGAAGCCAUGAAAUCCGAGAUAGAAUCCAUGUAUGAAAACAAAGUAUGGACUUUGACUGACUUGCCCGAUGAGCGGCGAGCCAUAGAAAUAAAUGGAUCUUUAAGAAGAAGACGGACGCAGAUGGUAAUGUGACCAUCUACAAAGCUCGACUUGUCGCUAAGGGUUAUCGACAAGUUCAAGGGGUUGACUACGAUGAGACUUUCUCACCCAUAGCGAAGCUGAAGUCCGUCCGAAUCAUGUUAGCAAUUGCCGCAUACUAUGAUUAUGAGGUAUGGCAGAUGGACGUCAAAACGGCAUUCCUUAACGGCUUCCUUAAGGAAGAGUUGUAUAUGAUGCAGCCGGAAGGUUUUGUCGAUCCUAAGAAUGCUAACAAAGUAUGCAAGCUCCAACGCUCAAUCUAUGGGCUGGUGCAAGCAUCUCGGAGUUGGAACAUUCGCUUUGAUGAGAUGAUCAAAGCGUUUGGGUUUAUACAGACUUAUGGAGAAGCCUGUGUUUACAAGAAAGUGAGUGGGAGCUCUGUAGAAUUUCUCAUAUUAUAUGUGGAUGACAUAUUAUUGAUGGGAAAUGAUGUAGAAUUAUUGGAAAGUAUAAAGGCCUAUUUGAAUAAGUGUUUUUCAAUGAAGGACCUUGGAGAAGCUGCUUAUAUAUUAGGCAUCAAAAUCUAUAGAGAUAGAUCAAGACGCCUCAUUGGUCUUUCACAGAGUACAUACCUUGACAAGAUAUUGAAGAAGUUCAGUAUGGAUCAGUCCAAGAAGGGGUUCUUGCCUGUAUUGCAAGGUGUGCAAUUGAGCACGGCUCAAUGCCCGACCACGGCAGAAGAUAUAGAACAGAUGAGUGUCAUCCCCUAUGCCUCGGCCAUAGGGUCUAUUAUGUAUGCCAUGCUGUGUACCAGACCUGAUGUAAACCUUGCCGUAAGUUUGGUAGGAAGGUACCAAAGUAAUCCCGGCAAGGAACACUGGACAGCGGUCAAGAAUAUCCUGAAGUACCUGAAGAGGACUAAGGAUAUGUUUCUCGUUUAUGGAGGUGACGAAGAGCUCGUCGUAAAGGGUUAUGUCGACGCUAGCUUCGACACAGAUCUGGAUGACUCGAAGUCACAGACCGGAUACGUGUAUAUAUUGAAUAGAGGAGCAGUAAGCUGGUGCAGUUGCAAGCAAAGCGUCGUGGCGGGAUCUACAUGUGAAGCGGAGUACAUGGCAGCCUCGGAGGCAGCACAGGAAGCAGUCUGGAUGAAGGAGUUCAUUACCGACCUAGGGGUGAUUCCCAAUGCGUCGGGCCCAAUGACUCUCUUUUGUGACAACACUGGAGCUAUUGCCCUUGCGAAGGAGCCCAGGUUUCACAGGAAGACCAGACAUAUCAAGCGUCGCUUCAACUCCAUUCGUGAAAGUGUUCAAAAUGGAGACAUAGAUAUUUGUAAAGUGCACACGGACCUGAAUGUAGCAGAUCCGUUGACUAAACCUCUCCCUAGGGCAAAACAUGAUCAACACCAGGACGCAAUGGGUGUUCGAUUCAUCACAAUGUAACUAGAUUAUUGACUCUAGUGCAAGUGGGAGACUGUUGGAAAUAUGCACUAGAGGCAAUAAUAAAUGGUUAUUAUUAUAUUUCUUUGUUCAUGGUAAUUGUCUAUUAUUCAUGCUAUAAUUGUAUUGUCCGGAAAUCGUGAUACAUGUGUGAAUACAUAGACCUCAACCUGUCCCUAGUAAGCCUCUAGUUGACUAGCUCGUUGAUCAAUAGAUAGUCAUGGUUUCCUGACUAUGGACAUUGGAUGUCAUUGAUAACGGGAUCACAUCAUUAGGAGAAUGAUGUGAUGGACAAGACCCAAUCCUAAGCAUAGCAUAAAAGAUCGUGUAGUUUCGUUUGCUAGAGCUUUUCCAAUGUCAAGUAUCUUUUCCUUGGACCAUGAGAUCGUGCAACUCCCGGAUACCGUAGGAGUGCUUUGGGUGUGCCAAACGUCACAACGUAACUGGGUGACUAUAAAGGUGCAUUACGGGUAUCUCCAAAAGUGUCUGUUGGGUUGGCAUGGAUCGAGACUGGGAUUUGUCACUCCGUGUGACGGAGAGGUAUCUCUGGGCCCACUCGGUAAUGCAUCAUCAUAAUGAGCUCAAUAUGACUAAGGCGUUAGUCACGGGAUCAUGCAUUGCGGUACGAGUAAAGAGACUUGCCGGUAACGAGAUUGAACAAGGUAUUGGGAUACCGACGAUCGAAUCUCAGGCAAGUAACAUACCGAUUGACAAAGGGAAUUGCAUACGGAUUGAUUGAAUCCUCGACACCGUGGUUCAUCCGAUGAUAUCAUCGUGGAACAUGUGGGAGCCAACAUGGGUAUCCAGAUCCCGCUGUUGGUUAUUGACCGGAGAGGCGUCUCGGUCAUGUCUGCAUGUCUCCCGAACCCGUAGGGUCUACACACUUAAGGUCCGGUGACGCUAGGGUUGUAGAGAUAUAUGUAUGCGGAAACCCGAAAGUUGUUCGGAGUCCCGGAUGAGAUCCCGGACGUCACGAGAGGUUCCGGAAUGGUCCGGAGGUAAAGAUUUAUAUAUGGGAAGUCUUAUUUUGGUCGCCGGAAAAGUUUCGCGCUUUAUCGGUAUUGUACCGGGAGUGCCGAAAGGGGUCCGGGGGUCCACCAAGGGGGUCCACCAGCCCCAAGAGGCCCAUGCGCAAGAGAUAAGAAAGAAGGGAGAGUCCUAAAGGGGGAAGGCACCUCCGAGGUGCCUUGGGGGGGAAGGACUCCCCCCUGGCCGCACCCUUCCUUGAAGGAAGGGGCAAGGCUGCGCCCCCCCUCUCCCUUGGCCCUAUAUAUAGUGGGGGGAAGGGAGGGCAGCAACAUCUAAGCCUUGGGCGCCUCCUUCCUCCCCUGCAACACCUCUCUCUCUCUCGCAGAAGCUCGGCGAAGCCCUGCCGGAGACCCGCUACAUCCACCACCACGCCGUCGUGCUGUUGGAUCUCCAUAAACCUCUCCUUCCCCCUUGCUGGAUCAAGAAGGAGGAGACGUCGCUGCACCGUACGUGUGUUGAACGCGGAGGUGCCGUACGUUCGGCACUCGGUCAUCGGUGAUUUGGAUCACGGCGAGUACGACUCCGUCAUCCACGUUCAUUGGAACGCUUCCGCUCGCGAUCUACAAGGGUAUGUAGAUCCACUUCUUUCCCCUCGUUGCUAGUAGACUCCAUAGAUGCAUCUUGGUGAGCGUAGGAAAAUUUUAAAUUAUGCUACGAUUCCCAUCAGCAGGGGUGUCCCAACUUAGCCCAUUAUAAGCUCUCACGGUUAACGAAGGAUAAACCUUCUCCUGGGAAGACCCGAUCAGCCUCGGAAUCCCGGUUUACAAGACAUUUCGACAAUGGUAAAACAAGACCAGCAAAGCCACCCGAAUGUGCCGACAAAUCCCGAUAGGAGCUGCACAUAUCUCGUUCUCAGGGCACACCGGAUGAGCAAGACGUCGGGUUGGCAUAGACCCUGGUUGCCCAGGGGGCGCCGGACAUCGCCCAGUUUGGGCCAGCACUCGAAAGAGCACUGGUCCGGGGGUUUAAAUAAAGAUGACCCUCGGGCUCGUGAAAAUCCAAGGGAAAAAGGCUUAGGUGGCAAAUGGUAAAACCAAGGUUGGGCCUUGCUGGAGGAGUUUUAUUCAAGGCGAACUGUCAAGGGGGUCCCAUAAAUCACCCAACCGCGUUAGGAACGCAAACUCAAGGAACAUUAUACCGGUAUGACGGAAACUAGGGCGGCAAGAGUGGAACAAAACACCAGGCAUAAGACCGAGCCUUCCACCCUUUACCAAAUAUAUAGAUGCAUUAAUUAAAUAAGAGAUAUUGUGAUAUUCCAAAAAUAUCCAUGUUCCAACAUGGAACCAACUUCAACUUCACCUGCAACUAGCAACGCUAUAAGAAGGGCUGAGCAAAAGCGGUAACUUAGCCAAACAACGGUUUGUUAGGAAAGGAUGGUUAGAGGCUUGACAUGGAAAUAUGGGAGGCAUGAUAUAGAAAGUGGUAGGUAGCGCAGCAUAGCAAUAGAACGAACAACUAGCAAAGCAAAGAUAGAAGUGAUUUCGAGGGUAUGGUCAUCUUGCCUGCAAGGUUCUCAGAGUUGUCGAAAGCUUGAUCCUCAUAAGCGUAGUCAAUAGGUUCCUCGUUCAAGAACUCGUCUCCCGGCUCUACUCACAUCAAGAACACAAGCAAUGGAACCACAAUCAAUCACGGGAAAUGCACAAGCAACAUGAUGCAAUACAUGCAUGAUAUGCGGGAUGUGAUAUGCGAUGCAUAUGCGUGCUCCGGAAAAAAAGGAUGAACAAGGCAGUAACUUGGCAAACCAAGUAUGCCACUGGAAGGGUGAGAUGAUUUCAGUCGAAAUCGAUAUAAAGAUCACCGGAAACGGAUGCACGGUUUGCAAAUGGCGAGCAAAACAAGAAUGGCACGAUUCUGCGAUUAACAGCAUGAUAGUACUUAGAAUACAUCAAGUAGCUAUGCUACAGCACCCCAACAUAGCAACAAAGCAUAUGACGGUAAUCUACAGGAGAUGCUUGACAAAAGAUAAACACUGAGCUACGGCUAUAUCACACAAUAACAGGCUCAAACAAGCAUGGCAAAAGUGCAAAAGAUAACAGGUUCACAGACUUGGUAAAAAUACUGGACAUGGCAGAAACAGCAUCAGGUAGCAAUGUUCAGAGCAAGCAAAACACAUGCUACAGAACUUAUCAUAGCAGUACAAGGCAUGGCAUGAAUCUACUAAAUGCAUAGCACAAAAGUCCCUUACUGAGCAUGAGGCAAAAAAUACCAGAAGAUAAGAUGGCACCCAGGUAAACAUAGCAAGUUCCGUUAACAGGUUUCAGACAUAGCAGAAAACAGAACAUGGCAUUAACAGAAAUAUGAAGGCAUCUUUGUGAGCUUGAGUCACUCAUCACAAAGCAAUGCAUGACAAAGCAAGCAUACCUACAGCAAGAUGGCAUGUUUAUGGAGCUAUCCAUGGCAAGAGCAAAUACAUAGCAUGUAUGGAUCAACUACAACAACCUUGGCAAAAUUGAAUAUCAUGUUAACAUUCUGCCAAAAAUAUUUUAUAGCAAAAGUAGAGCAAGAUUGAGACAUGCUAUUUUACUCCAUAAUUGCAAACAGAGGCAUGGAUGGAUAGAGCACAACUAUAUCUACAAACCAACAGAAGCACGGAUCUCAUUGUAGGCACAUGGAUACAUGGCAACAAAAUAACAGCAGUAAUAGACUUAGCAAAAUUCUAACUCCCUGAAAACAGAAACAUCACGAAGCCUAGUUUGCAUGCUUGUUCUAGUCACCAUAUAGAUCACAAAAAUACAUGGCAUACACCUCUAUAAAUAUGGCAUGGCAUAGAUCAAAAUACCUGUAGAGCUCAUGCCCAUAAGAUGCACAUAUCAAAAGCAACAAAAAUAACAAAACAACAAGUUCUGAUAAAUAACUGCAGUAAACAUCAUAUAGCACUCUUGUACCAGAGAUUUGGGCAUCAAGAUGAACUCAAACGAGCAUGACACAAUGGAACAAAAUGAAGAGCAUCUCGUGACGAACAUUUCGAUAUAUCACACGCAUGGAACGGAGCAGUAUGCAAGACGUUAUGGCAUGAUGAACAUGAGCACAUAAUGCAAUAAUUCGGGGACUUGGAGGAUUUUCAGGGUCAACCUUCUUCCAGAUCUGGAUCGGGGGCAGGCACGCGAACCGAGGUUCGCCGGGGUUCGCCGGGGAUGGAGAGGAGGAGGCCNNNNNNNNNNNNNNNNNNNNNNNNNNNNNNNNNNNNNNNNNNNNNNNNNNNNNNNNNNNNNNNNNNNNNNNNNNNNNNNNNNNNNNNNNNNNNNNNNNNNNNNNNNNNNNNNNNNNNNNNNNNNNNNNNNNNNNNNNNNNNNNNNNNNNNNNNNNNNNNNNNNNNNNNNNNNNNNNNNNNNNNNNNNNNNNNNNNNNNNNNNNNNNNNNNNNNNNNNNNNNNNNNNNNNNNNNNNNNNNNNNNNNNNNNNNNNNNNNNGGCGCUGGCGGCGGGCGAAUCUGGAGGCGACACAUGGCGGCGGAGAGGGCGGCGGACACGUCCAACGGCGGGAUUUUUUGUCCGGCGGCGCGAAGGGGAAGAAGACUAGGGUUGCACCGCGAAUUUGGAAGGGGAAGGCACCUUUAUAUAUAGGUAGAGGGAGCUAGGAGACUCCAAAUGGAGUGCGGUUUUCGCCCACACGAUCGUGAUCGAACGACCGAGAGCAUGGAGGGGACUUAGAUGGGUUAUAGGGCUGUUUGGAGGGGUGUUUUGCUGCAACACACAAAAGGUCUUUGCGGUUACCCGGUUAACUGUUGGAGCGUCAAACGACCUCCAAAUGGAACGAAACUUGACAGUGGUCUACCGGUGGUAUACCAUGGCCACUUGGCAAACUUCGGUCCAUUCCGAGAACGUUUAACACCCGCUCACGAAAAGAAACAAGAGGGGUGCGCCGGUGCAUGUGGGAGUGUCGGAUUGCAAAACGGGCAACGGGGAAAAUGCUCGGAUGCAUAAGACGAACACGUAUGCAAAUGAGAUGCGCAUGAUGACAUGAUAUGAGAUGCAUGACAUGAACAAAAUACAAAACGAAAGACAAAACCCGACCACGAAGGGAAUAUCAUAACACAUAGCAGAAAAUGGCAAGAGCUGGAGUUACAAAUAUGGAAAGUUACAUCCGGGGCGUUACAUCUUAUUAUAUAUUACUAGCAAGAGGCAUUGUUCUAUUGGCGAUAAAAAAUGAUCUAAUUUUCUAGUCAUAUCAUUUUUAGCAUUGUUCUAUUCAUGCCUCGUAGUGAAGGUGACACGUGCGGCGAAACAGCCGAAACAAAAUAAGAAACACAGGAGCAAAAGAAGAAGGAGGAUUAUCACCCCCAAAAAAGAAGGAAGACGCACACACAAGUCUGGGGCGCUGCUCUCACUACAUGAAGGGUUGCUGGCCGCGGAGUCCUAACUGCUUCUUCAUCGCCUCCACGACCUCCAUCUCCUUGCGCGUCUCCUCUGCCAUCUUCAUCAUUGUGUCCAUGACGCGGAUUUCUCGACGCGAGCCUUCAUUAUCUGUUCCACGGCCGCAUUACGUACCUUGACAGCGGUCGGGUGCUCGAUGCGGAGCUUCGCCAACUCCUCCUUCUGUUCCAUGACGAGGGCCUACAACAUCUUCAUCGAGGAACUACUAUUCUCAUGCAGCUUCUUCCAGCCGGCGUUCUCCUCCUUCAGCAGGUCGAGCUCGUGGCAGAGCUUCGCGUUGUCCUCCUGAAGUUGCAGGAUUUCGCCGGUUGCCUUCUUCUCCGAGGCAAUGCUCUUCUUCAGCAGCAUCACCAAGCCUGCGGUCAACUCCCCCUACUCACUGAGCUCAGCGGGCAUGUCAUCGAGGCUCUCCUUCAGUAGCUCCACCAAGCCAUGGAUGAACUCCUUCUGCUUAUUGAGGUGCUUAUUGAGCUGAUCGGGCAUGCCGUCGAGGGAUAACGACUCCAGCCCCGCCAGCUCGGCAUGUUCGCCUCCGCGUCUAGGGCGCUCCUGGGAGCCAUCGCCUGCCAGUGAGAGAUCUUUCGAUGUCUCUGCGUGGUGGCGAGCCCUCUCUUUUUUUCGCAGCCUUGGUUGCCGCUCCCUUGUUACGCGUAGUUCUCGACCUAUAGCUCUGCACACCGGCCAUGGCAAGGACGGACGAAGAAUCAGGACUUAUGAGGAGGAAGGUAGAGUAAUUUUCGGUUAGGUAGUUCCCCUUUUUAUAGCCUAAGUACUAGCACUAGUACUAAAACCUGCAUAGUGGGAACACGUUCAGGUUUGGUACGUACUGGUAGGUGUGAGCAGGCUUGCACUUAAUUGUAGCACUAGUACUUUCGAAUGUGAUGGGAACAAGGUAAAGAUUAAUUGAUGGUUUUUGGUUUCGAGGCCCGAAACGACUCCCGAUGAGUUUAGUGGAACAUAAAUUUCAAGUAGACUGCACUGCUCAGAUUCGUAAAUAUUAUGUUACUGUCAAAAAUUGGCACAAAAUACAAAGGAGACCAAUGGAAGUACUACUAGCAACCCAUGAUUUAACUACUCGCAUGCGCGCAGUGGAGUAGUAAUGUCUUUCUUCCGCCCUCACGUCCACUCAAUUUGCAUGCGUUGUAUUAAUUGACCAUCAAUGAAGUGAAGGACUUUACACGCUUCAAAUUAUCACAUGGGGUGGAUCUUGGUACAAAAUUGCAUCCGCCCGUGUACCCGCGUGUGCGUGCGAGGGAAUGAGUGCGUGCGUGGCGUGCGUGCACAUCUUCGCUUCGUGCAUGUAGCGCCAGUGCGGCUCAGGGAGGACGAGUACAUUCUUCUGGAACCAGCAGCACGUCACUGUGAUCAAUCCACACAAGGAUGUCGCGACAACGCCUCCACAUGUGCCACGUCCCCACGUGGCUUCAUGAACUGUAAGAGAGACACUGUGUAGCGUGCCAUUGUGUUUUGCACAUACUCGAAGUACUAGUAAGGUACAUGUGCAUUGCACGCGUCCGAUUUUGCAACCAAAUUACGAAUAAAUACCACACUGUAGCAUGUAAGCUCUGAGUCAUAUAUGCCUGAUGUAGACCUUCGUUUAAUUCUUAUAGUUCAUCUCAUUCAAAAUCAAUUAUUUUUUAUAAAAACCUAGGGCCUCUUUGAUUCGUAGGAUUUCCAAAACGCGGGAAUAGGAAGAACAUGGGAUUAGAGUGGAAUGUCGUCUUGAAUCCCACAGGAUGGUACGAGCGUUUGAUUGUGCAUAGAAAAAACGCAGAAUUCUUUCAAAGAGGUUUUAGUGGAUGGGAUGUUUCCUAUGAAAUCUAGUGCAAAUGAAUCAUAUGAAAAAAUUCCUAUGGUUUACAAUCCUACGAAUCAAACAACCAAGAUAGGAAAAAUUCCUAAGGAUUAGAAUCCUCCAAAAUUCCUUCGAGAAUCCUUUGAAUCAAAGAAGCCCUAAAUCUAUUUUAUGAUUCAUGGAAUUGUGCGCUGUAAAGCAUAAAGUACAAACAAAGAAUGGCAAUUCAACUAGAAAAAAAGUUUGGGAAGUUACGAUACGGAAGAUUCUAGAACAAAGGAGAACCACUUUUGUUUUGAGAUUUGUGCAUUAUGCUUAAGUUCAACCAUGGAGUCUGCUAGAUUGUACAUGUGGCAAAAUCCAGUGGGGGCUAGAAGAUGGUGCGAGGGGCCGAGUGGAGGGAGACUAUGAAGGAGUGCGCAACUGCGAGAUCGAUAUUUAGAGUGAGGGGGCGAGGACGUGUGCUGUUGCGCGCAGUGGCGGAGCCAUGAAAAAUGUCCCAUGAGCUAGGGGGCCAAGCAUUGCUAAUCCUUUACGAGGAGGGCCAAUUCAUCAACUUAAACCAUUUUUACCAGCAAUUGUCUAAUGAUCACAUUCAUAUUAGCCUCGAUAUAUAGUGAUCUUAGGGGGGGAGGGCCCUUGCUGCCCCCUGUCUUGGCCAUUGUGCGCGCGUCUGAGAGAUGAAGCGGAAGGCAUGGAUGAUGAGAGGGGGGCGUUGGAUAUAUAAUUAAUGUGGGUGUAUUAGCCAUAUAUGUAAUCCUAUAUAGAGAGGUAUAGAUUGAUCGAUGUGGACGUGGGAAAGAGGGUGAGACCUCACUAGAUAUAUAGAUUGAUCGGUUUAUGUGGAAAACUAUGAAAUACCUAGCUAUACAGACACACACACAUAGAGGAACAUCGAUCGUUGCGCAUGCACGCCAGAGAUAAAGAAUGCCCAAUAUGAUGGAGAGGGGUGUGUGUGUGUGUGCCUUCAUGGGAGACCGACCUGAAGAAAAAGAUUGCAUGUGUGCGAUGGAUAAUGCCGACUGGUAGUGUGUGUGCAUGCAUGCACGAGAGAAAGUUAGUGGUACAAUUAUAAAGAGAAGACCAAUGUGUGGGUGUAAAAGACUAGGUGAGGUCAUAAUCAAUAUAAAGUUGAAUUCAAAUAUUUGAAUAAGAGAUCAUGAUGUUUGAAACCUAUGCAUGCAUGAAUAUAACGGAGAUCUGCGCGGUGUGGUUUGGAAACGAGCAUGUUGCAAUGCAUACACAUUGAACAAGGUCAGAUUGGUUUGAAUUUGAGAUACCGAUGGCAGACAUCGUUUGGCCACAUUGCAUCCGUGCAUGGACAAACUAUUCUAAUUGGAGAUGAUGGGUGGCUUUCGCAUCACAUAUCUAUAUCUAUACCCCUAUAUAUAUUAUAUUAUAUAUUUUUUUUUAUAGUGUGCGGAUAACUUUAACUUUGAAAGAUGGUCGUUGGAUGAGGCCAAUCCGAUGGUGCAGAGCUGGCAAAUUUGAGCACUACUUGCCAUUGGAUAUCAUCUAGAUUCCACCAGAUUUUGCCACAUAACUUAAGCAUAAUGCACAAACCUCAAAACACAAGCACUUCUUCUUUGUUCUAGAAUCUUCCGUAUCAUAAUUGCCCAAAUGUUUUUCUACAUGAUUUUUAUUUACUUUAUGCCUUACAACGCACAAUUCCAUGAAUCUUAAAAUAGAUUAGAUUUCUUAUAAAAACAAGAUGAUUUUGAAUGAAAUGAACUAUAAAAAUUAAACGAACAUCUACAUCAUGGAUAUAUGACUCAAAGCUUACAAGCUAUAAUGUGGUAUUUAUUCAUAAUUUGGUUCCAAAUCUCAUGCGUGCAAUGCACGUGUACCUUACUAGUCUAAAUGGUGUAUGUGUGUGUGUGUUGUGCGUGUUAAACACAUUGUACGUAGUAUAUCAUACUAGUCUAAAUUGUCUUUUUUUCUUUUGGGUACACGUUAAACUUGUUCUCCCGAAAUUUCAAGCCGCGCCUUGUUAUGCCGAAAUUUCAAGCUAGCGUCUCUAUCUAUUGUGCUGCGAAACUCCGUCUCUUCAACCCGCGCCUUGUUAGCCCGAAAUAUUUAAGAUAUACCUUUGUCUCGUUGUGCUCCGACAACUCCCUCCAUCUCAACCCGCGCCUUGCUAUUCCAAAAUUACAACGCGCGCGAAAACUCACACCUCCUGUGAAAUCCCGACACGCGAAAUGCCCGUGAUACCCCUGAACCGAAAGAACUGCCUCAUAUCGGUGGGGGUACUUUUGUAACUUACCCCACAUUUUGGACAAGCACGUCCCUAAGCCAUGGUUCCGCACUCCCAUCCCAUCCGCCCACCAUUCGUACACCGAGGCUGGGAAAACCCGCGAAGCCCCACACCCUCCUCCAUCCGCCACCCAGCCAGAGCCUCUUCCCCGACGACGCCGUCCACAGCAACACCUCGACGUCCCUCAUCCACCGUACCGGUUGAGGAUCCGUCGUCGAUCUGGUCGUCCCGCCGGUUCAGCCACCCCGUCCUCCACCUCCAAGGAGCUGCCCCGACGUUCCCCUCGUCUUUCGCGCCACCUUCAUUCCCACACCGCCAUCUUCACCUACACCACCGGAAGAGCAUCAGCAUCACCGUUUCCUCGAAUGAAGUUGCGGCCUAAUCGGCGCCACCAAAGAGGUUGUACACUAAUCGCCGCAUUUUCUUCUUGAUUCGAUCUCACGGUGCUGCCGGCGCUCGGUCCCGAGCCAACACGGCGCGGCUCCAUCCAUCGCGGCAUCGCCGGCCACUUCCUCCACGGUGUCGCUCCCUCGGCGGUGACAUCCACAUCAGUAGGAGCUGCUGCUGCUUUAGCUCUCGCUCGCGCUGCUGCUCUGCUCUUGCUCUCGGUCCCCUGCCUGGUCUGCUCUUGCUCUUGCUCUUGCUCUUGCUUUCGCUGCUGCUCUCGCUCUUGCUCUUGCUUGCGAUGCUGCUCAGAUUUUGCUACACUUCAGUUGACUGAUCNNNNNNNNNNNNNNNNNNNNNNNNNNNNNNNNNNNNNNNNNNNNNNNNNNNNNNNNNNNNNNNNNNNNNNNNNNNNNNNNNNNNNNNNNNNNNNNNNNNNNNNNNNNNNNNNNNNNNNNNNNNNNNNNNNNNNNNNNNNNNNNNNNNNNNNNNNNNNNNNNNNNNNNNNNNNNNNNNNNNNNNNNNNNNNNNNNNNNNNNNNNNNNNNNNNNNNNNNNNNNNNNNNNNNNNNNNNNNNNNNNNNNNNNNNNNNNNNNNNNNNNNNNNNNNNNNNNNNNNNNNNNNNNNNNNNNNNNNNNNNNNNNNNNNNNNNNNNNNNNNNNNNNNNNNNNNNNNNNNNNNNNNNNNNNNNNNNNNNNNNNNNNNNNNNNNNNNNNNNNNNNNNNNNNNNNNNNAGAAGUACCCCACUAUCUAUCUUAGGGUUCAGGGUGGGGGCGGUGGUCGCCGGCGGUGGUGGGGCGGUGGCGUGGAGAUCGCCGGAGAAAAAGGUCGGCAUGGGGGGCCUAGAGGGAUGGCCGGGGCGGUGGCGAACCGGCGGUGGGGAGUGUUUUCGGGGCGGGCGGGGCGGCUCUUUGGCCGGUGGUGGCUGGCGGCUCAGGGGGGUGGAGGUUGAAGAUGAACUGCGGGCCCUUGAUUUCGUAUCCAACGGCUGCAAAAUUGACUGACCAGAGAUGAAAAAGCCAGUCGACUGAUGUGUAGCCUCACCUCUAGUGCGUUCAGUUUCGAUAGUAAAAUUCAGUUUCGACAGCAAAAUUCAGUUUCGCCAGUUAAGUUCAGUUUCGACAGUUAAAUUCAGUUUUGACAGUUAAGUUCAGAGAUGAGCGGCUGAUGUAUACAUCUAGCACUUUGUGGUUAUGUAUUUUACGUCAUCUAUUGGAGAUGCUAUUAGAAUUCCACUCAGGUUAACGUUGUCUCUCUUGUCCUGCUUCAGCCUCGGCGUCGUACAACUCACCAGAGCUGCUCCAAUGACGAAACCCUCCAUCACAGCACAGAAGUACCUCGGGCUCCAUCUCCAGACGCCUAAGAUCUUCUUCCCCUCCUCCGACAGCCAAGUCAGCCGGAGCAUCCUCUCCGGCCAACCCAAUCACGCUGAGAUCGACAUGGCUUCGCCAAAGAGGUUGUACACUUGUUGCAUAUCUUUUUUACUCUACAUGUUAUAUAUAUUGUCCACUGAGCACACGGAGUAACGGGAAAUACGAUUAUUUUAUCCUACUAUAUGACAAGCAGUGAGGUACCAGGCAACUUAGCUAUCCGCGAUGGACUCUCUUGAACGCCAUCAUUAUUUAUCUCUGCGUGUUUGAGCUGUGCAUUUGUCAAUGGCCCUGGGAGUUGAGCUAGUAGGGCACUGGCCUGGGUCCAAAGUAAUAGAAGUAGCACAAAAACAUUUUUUUAGUGUAGGCUUUUCCUUGCUCAAGCCUGCCUACUGGAAUCGCCAGUGCUUGAAAGGAAAAGUGAAUGAAAAACAUAGGAAUUGGAAAGUUUCGUAUGGUACUACUUUUCAUGAAUUUGGUGCAAAGGAAUGGAGCAAAGUAAAAUUGUAGGAUUUAUUCCUUUAGUGUCUCCUUGAAAGAAAAACCGUAGGAAUUUUAAUUUCCACUUGUCCUCCUUUUCAAAUUCCUAUUCAUGAAGCACAAGACUAAGAGAUAGUAGCAUAAUAGCAUUAUAACUGUACAUUUUCUUGUGUUGACUUAAUCUCACCAUGCUUCUUUGCAUCCUGUGAUCUUCCAAUUCUUGUGAACCAAACACCCAGAUUGGCAGAAAUCCUGUGUUUUUAAAUUCUCUAUUUUGCACGUGCAUUCCUAUCCUAUUCUUGUCUAUUUCCUAUCCCUGCAUUGUUAGAAUCCUCAAAUUCAAACAAGCCCUUACACAAUUACUUCUAUUACAGAUAUGUGUCAAAGAAAACCUUGUGUGGAUUGUCCUGCUCCUGCGCUGCUAUGUUCCACCCCAGCUCAGCUGCUCCAACGACGGAAGGGUUCACCACAGCAGGGAUCCGCUCUCCAGACUGUCUUUCGCCGCCUCAGAUCUUCUUCCCCGCCGCCGGCAGCCACGACAACUGCAUUACCAUCAUCAACUGAGCAGAUGACCUUGAGGACUACACGCAACAGAGGUCACACUCUUCUGUGUCUGCUUACGUUAUGCAUCUCUUAAUAUGAUGACAUGCUACUUUAUCGUCGUGUUCACCUAUUAGACUCCGAGUCAGGUCCAAACUUAUGCUGAAACUUGAGUUUUUAAAUGGUUGUGGGGUACAUAUUGGGGCAGCAAUCAGUACUAUCUAUCUACUAUCUGGUUAAUCUCGGGUGUCUACUAUGAGUUUCAUGUUGGGUGCAAACAAACAUUAAAGGAGCCAUUAUCUGUAUUUUUUAACUAAAGCUAUUAUCUGCCUGCUAUCAUUGGUUUCGGGUCUAUCCACAGUUUGCUACCAUCACUCUGGAUUUGUGCAUGCACUCCUUACAUAAUCUCACUAUGUUUUAUUCCUAUGCAUGUCAGUUAUUGUACACAAUGGAACUGAACAUGUAGAACAAAAGAGACGAGCCUUGCGUGGCAAUAAAAUUUCAUGCAGACGUCGCUCCAUGGUGGGCGCAAAGGCAGCCCCCCUCCACCCAUUUCGGAUCGUAAUCAAGAGGAAGAUAAUUGUUCUGAGGGGGAUUCAGAAGUAGAAGUCCACUCCUAUUUACCCCAUGAGGUCUUCGCUCUAACUUGGCAUGCUGAUGUUGGUUAUAUCAUGCAUAUGGUGCCUUGCAUUGCUUACUUUAUACAUCAAAUAUGUCAACUGCUUAGUUUAGACAUGCUUUGUGUGAAUGCCAUCUGUUUAGUUUAUUCAUCGUUUAUGUGAAUUAUGCAAUGCCAUCUUGUUUAGCCAGGCAUCAUAUAUGUGAAUUUUGCAAUGCCAUCCUGCUUAGCCAGUCAUCUUACAUGUGAAUUAUAUCAGGCCAUCCUUUAUUUUCGUUACGUAUUACAUUUGUUAACAAUGUUAGUACAUUCAACUACACUUCGUGUGCAUCAGCCAUUUGACACGGUGAUGGAAAAUUCUGGAGUGAAAUCAAGGUCUCCAGAGCAGACUAUGCUAUCUGACGAAGCGCAUAUCUCGCUGGUUACGGAUAGCUCCUCGGAGGAGGAUUCAGAGACAGAUGACCAGUCAUAUUUCCCCCCCGAGGUGUAUGCUCUAAUUAACUUGGCAGGGUUAUGUUGCUCAUAUCGUGCGUAUGGUGUCUUGCAUUGCGAUGUCAUUUGAUUAGUUUAGACAUGCUUUGUGUGAAUGCCACCUGUUUAGUGUCUAAUUACCAUAUAUGUGAAUUAUGCAUUGCCAUCUUGUUGCAAGACAUUAUAUAUGUGAAUUAUGCAAUGCUAUCUUGUUACAAAGGCAUUAUAUAUGUGAAUUAUGCAAUGCCAUGCUGUUGAGCCAAUCAUCAUGUAUGUGAAUUAUAUCAUGCUAUCAUUUUUUUGUAUUACGUGUUCCAUUUGUCGACAACGUUUGUAUAUUCAACUACUCUUCCUGUGCAUCAGCCGUUUGAAGCGGUGAUGGAAGUAUCUGGAGUGAAAACAAGGUAUUCAGAGCAGACAAUGCUACCUGCUGAAGCAAACAUCUUGCCGGAUACAGAGAGCUCCUCAGAGGAGGAUUCAGAGACUCAUGACCAGUCCUAUUUCCCCCCUGAGGUCUAUGCUCAAACAUGGCAGGGUUAUAUUACCCAUGUCAUGCAUGUUGUCUUGCAUUGCUUAGUUUUUACAUCAUAUAUGGAUUGCCAUCUGCUUACUUGCUUACUAUAUAAAUCAUAUAUUUGAAUUAUAUCAUGCCAUCAUGUUUACAUACACAACAUCUAUCUGAAUUAUGGCAUGGCAACCCAUUUAAUAAAGACAUCAUAUAGUUAUAUCAUCUCAUCCUGUUUAGUGUUUACAGUCAUCAUAUUUUGAAUUAUGUCAUUCUAUCCGGGAAUUAUAUCAUGCUAUCAUGUUUCCAUAGGCGGCAUGUAUGUGAAUUAUGGCAUGCCAACCUAUUUAAUAAACACAUUAUAUAGUUAUAUCAUGUCAUCCUGUUUACAUAGUCAUCAUAUUUUGAACUAUGUCUUUCCAUCUUUUUUAGUUAGCCAUCAUAAUGUGAAAUUGUCUCAUGCUAUCCUGUUUAGUUAGCCAUCAUAUAUGUGAAAUUGUGUCAUGCUAUCCUGUUUGGUUAGACAACAUAAAUGUGAAUUAUUUCGUGCCCUCUUUUAUUCCCCACUAUCCAUUGCACCUGUCUAUCAUACAAUGUGUGUACAUUCAAUUACUUUUCUUGUUUAUCAGCCAUUUGAAUUGGAGAGGGUGAUGGCAGUAUCUAAGGGAGUAACAACACGGUCUUCAGAAAAGAGAGUGCUACCAGUUGAUGCAGAUAGAACCACAAUUGUACUUGCCCAAGAACCUGCCCCACCACACAUAACUCAGACUCUCGCAGAUUGUACCCCUACCCAGUUGGACAAAGAACCAGCUACACCCCUUCUAACACCAACCCUAGCAGAUAGUAACCCGGUUCCAGUUGACACAUCACCGUCUCCACCAUAGAGCACCCAAACAUGAGCAGUUAGUAAGAUAACUGCAGUGCCCAAAGCACGAGGACCACCACUCCGAAUCCCAACUCAACGCUUAAAGGAGAAGAAGAAUUGUUCUCAGGUCAGGUUCUGUAGCUAUGGUUCAUACUCCUUUGCUCUUGCAUCACUGUAUUUACUCAGACCUACUAUUUUCAAAUUUGAAGGAUGGAAUUGAAACUCCAAUGGCGCAACAGGUAUGUUUUAAACUUGUUUCAUUAACUGGUUUGCUAUUGUAACUUGCUCUAUAUUGAUUUCAGUUUCAAUUGAAUAAACAGUUAUGUUCUCAUGUCAUGCACAUUACAAGUGUCUCUAUAGUUUCCCACACUUAUAUUCUAUCUAUUCUGCUUUGUCUUAAACAAAUAUUAUUUGAACUGUGUCUCUAUCUUGAUUUGGCAACAAAAACUAGAAUGAUAUAGACCAUAAAGUGACCAUGGUACAUAGAUAUAUGUUUGUUUCAUGCUGUUAUCCUGUGCACUUUACUACUGAACUGAUUUACCAAAAUGAGUUUCAUAUACAACAUGGUAAACCUGUGAUGUGUCUGCUUGUUUCUCUUUUAGAAUGCGGACAAAAUAUUGGAGAAUAGUACCCCGUUAUGCAAUGGUGAAGGAAGUAAUGCAGAUAAGGUUCAAGAUAGUGAGACAUCCCUAUUGGUCUCCAAGAAAGCUGAUAAAAACUACCUUGACGACAGUGAGAAAACCCAGAAGUCCUGUCUUGAUGUAGUGUUCGAGUUACUGGCCACUACCGCUGGCACAAGCUCUUCGAACUCGUUGCCUGAAUCAGUUCGUCUUCUUGAGUCUCAGCUUCAAGUUGAAAGACAUCGAUCAGAUGUGUUGCGACAGGAAGCUGAAGGACUGAGGAAGUCCCUGCAAAAUUCAGAUGCAUACUUUCUGGUGCAACAGCAAGCGCUGGAGGAUUUAAGCGCCAAACAAGAGAAAGUUAAUAAGCUUGCUAAGCAUCUUGCCAGCACUAUGGGUACCCAGGAUAUUGUUUCUUGAGAUCUUCUGAAGUGGUUUCAGUUCUGGACAUGUUUUGCUGCGGCGUUUAUUUGCACUAUUCGCCAACUUUGACAACUAGUGUAGAUGAUAUGCUGCUUUGUUCCCUAUAUUUGCACUGGUGGCGAACUUUGAUGCCCAGUGGAUGUAAUAUGUGUAAUAGCCGUGAUAGCCUAGCGUAAGUUGCUUGCUUAUUUAUUUCCUUGCUGUCUUGUUUAUUUGUUUGCUUGUAGUUAGUGCUAUUCUUUUUUCGCGGUUUGCUAGUGGCCGCAAUAAUCUUUUUUUAAACUAGGCCACAAUAACCAUGGGCUACAUAUUUACUAUAGUGACACUGGUCCUUAUACGGGCCGUAGAAACAAUGGGCCUUCUACGGGGCGUAGAAACAAUGGGCCUUCUACGGGUCGUAUCAUCAAUGGGCCUUCUACGGGCCGUAUUAUCAAUGGGCCUUCUACGGGUCGUAUGAUCGAUUGCCCAAACAUGGGCCAAUAACAUACCGCUUUAUGGCCGUAAACGGGCUAGAGUUGGAAUCGUCCGUUCAUGGGCCGACCAUAAUGGGCCGUCGUUAAUCGGCCGUAUUUGAUGACGCUAUGAAAACGGCCCAACGUAUUAACGGCCACAAACGGGCCGAUUGUAUGCACGGGCUGAAUUUGGCCCACAAGCAGAAAAUGACAGCAACAGGCCGUAAGUAACCGAAUGCUGGAAAUGAGCCCAAGAAUAAAUGGGCCCUGAGAAGGCCGAAAGAUAACAUGGGCUGGAAACGGCCCAACGGAAUAAUGGUCCGUUAAUGGGUAUAAAGUGAUACACUGUUCAUUACGGGCCAGUUUUACCACGGGCCGUUAACGGGCCGAGGGUUACUAAGGGCCUCAGAUGGGUCAAAAGACGUCAUGGGCCAUACAUGGGCCGGAAGUUAAAACGGAUUGGAAUUAUAUUGGACAGCCCAGAUGACGCUACUGGGCCUAAUUCGGAUAGGCCGUAAAUGGGCCCUGGGUUAGCGGGCUGUAAAUGGGCUAUAUGCGAACAGGCCGUUAAUAGGCUUGCCGUGGGCCGGCCCGCCACCUUUUGACCAAGUCAAACGGGUCGGCCUUUUCACAGGAAUGGGCCUCUGUUGGGCCGUGCCACGUGUCGACGUAUCAUAGGCGCUUUGGGUCCAAUGAGUGGAUGAUAUCUGUCCCAACGGUGAGUCGACACGUGUUUCCUCCAGCCAAUGAUGAUUUUACACGCGGAAAAUCCCCAUUGGUCGGGGCUGUUAACGGGUUAUCGGAUCCAAAACCGGACCCGAUAGCUUAAUGGCGUUCCGUUACGGUGGAUGCCACGUGUCGGUCACCCUUGACGAAAGCACUUCUGUGACGCGUGAUUUAUCGUCAUGGAAGUGGACACUUCCGUGAUGAUAAUUUUGGUAAUGUCAUGGAACACUUUUACGACAGCACAAGUAUGACUAUCUUGAUUCUGUCAUAAAUUUGUCAUGGAUGUACAUGCAUGACAAAAACGCGACCUACUGUGACAAACACAUAUCAUCACGGAAGUGUAUUUUUUUGUAGUGCAUGGUUGAGUGAUGAUUCUUGUUUUUGUUCAAAAAAUUAUAUCUUAUAAUGAAUAAUAAGUCUGACUACCUACAGUAGCAUGUCAUGUUCCUUGCAUCGGUGGCAUGUGAAAUCGGGUUAGGUUGGGCAGUAAUUAAUAAAUAAAUAUGUAAUUGUCGAACCAGGUGUAUACCAUGUUCUCUGGAUCGGUGGUAUGUUCCUUUGGGGAGAAAAAAAAUAAUUGGUUGAGCCAGGUGUAUACCAUGUUCUCGGGAUCGGUGGUAUGUUCCUUCGGUGAGACUAAUAAAAUAAUAUGUGUGUUUCUUUCAAAUUCAAUAAGUGGUUCACAACUUCCCUUUAUUCUCACGAUCAUGCUCUCUUUAGGAAACUUUUGGCACAAUCAGCAUUUGAACUUGCUAAUCUUCUUUUAUCAUUGUAAAAGUUUAAAAUGGUCAAGUCUACUAGUAUCCUACUGCUUUGUAGCACUCUAACCAUUAAUUUUCACUAACGAAGUCUGAAGCAUGCACUGUUUAGAGAUCUACUUCACUUGACAUUCUGUAGUCAGUUCACUAUUCACUAUCUAGUUCUUGUCAUAUUCCUUUGCUUGAGGACAAGCAAAGAUUUAAGUGUGGGGGAACUAGAACUUGUUAAGCACAUUUCAUAUACAUAAUUUGGGCAUUGAAUUAUACCAUUUGUUGAGUUAUGCCCAUCUAUUCUUGCUAAGUUUAGGUGAAUAUUUGCAUGAAAAUCAUAUAAUGAAUCAUUUACUAGUCAUUGUGUUUCUUUUGCAGAAAAGUGCGACAAGGCAAUAUAAUCUACAAGUUUCUGUCUAGAAAGUAUUGAGGAACAAGAUCACGCACAAGAAGAGAAGAAAGAGGGACUCAAGCUUGAAUAAGAUUAAAGCUUAGGGGGGCUAGCUAAAGAAGAGAGGGAUCUACUUGAGCUAAAAGAAGAGAAGAGAAGGGCCAAAGUGCAAUAUGGGCAGAUCUGAUCGAGAGGGGUCAAAAUCCCUAGGGUGGCCUUCGAUCCCCUUCGGGCCUGGCAUCUCCAUCUCUCUCCCUCACCCCUCCUCCACCUCCGGCCUCCGCCACGGCCAGGCCGGCGUGGUGGUGCGCCUCCCCACCCAUCCAUAUAUCCAUCACCAGCGCCGCUCACCACCAGCGCCCAUCUCGCCUGCCAUACCCGCGCGCCUCCACCUGCUGCUGAUUCUCCUUGCCGCUCCCUUCGCCUACCUCGCUGUUGUUCUUCUUCCCGACGUCCUCCAUGCUGCCCUUCUGCUUCUCCUCUGCUUCCCCUCUCCUAGCGCCUCAACUAGCUGCUUCUUCUUCCCCAAACUUUGCUGCUGCUUCUUCCCUCUCCUCACGUCCCUGCUGCUGCACUUCUCCUCCUAACCUUGCUGCUGUUCAUCUCUGAACCCCCAACAUGCUGCUGCUCCUCUCCAACAACGACGCCGAUCUGCAGCACUCCCUCGUCACCAGCCUCAAGAAACGGAGCUGCUGAUCCUCUCCAACGACCCCUUGUUGAUCCUCUCCCACUUGGCUUCGCUGAUCAUCUUCGUCCCUGCUGCUCUCCUUCGCCCGCAACAUCUACAGCCCAGGAGACAACUCUGAAUCUCUCUUCUCUUACUGUAGUUUUCUGAAUUUUUGCUCUGGUUAUUCUGCAGCUUGUAGUCUGAAUCUCAGUUAACUGUUGAUGUGCCCGUGAGAAAACUAGGUGGUUCAACUUGUAAUAUUGUUCUGCUGCCUGUGAUGUUUGAGAUAGUUACAUCAUCUACUCUAUGCUACUGAUAAUAUGCUACUGAUAAUAUGUUCAGUUCGUACUUGUCAUGUGUUAAUUAGUAUUCUGCUACUGUAUGUGUGAGAUCCCUUAUGUGUUUGUUCCUUACUGCAGAAAUUUAUUCAGUUGUCCAUGUGUUAGCUCCAGUACAUGUGCUAUAUAAAUACAUGUGUGUUUUGUGAUGUAAACCAUGUCAGCUAGCUCACUGUGACAAAUUCAUGUUACUAUUUGUGAUUUUAUUUUGUAUUGAAAUUACUCUCUGUGGUAGCCAGUUGGGUGAUCAUUCAAUUUUCAGUCUAUGUAUUAGAUCUGUACCUGUAAU
rnacentral:lncRNA from 1 species